rnacentral:lncRNA from 1 species
CGUACUCCGAGGCUCCAGCCUCCUAUAAAUAGGAUGCGAGGGCAGCCGGCUAUUUUGCUAAUUUCUUCUCUUCUCUCUCCCGUUUUGCAUCGUUUUGCGUGCCAGAAAUACCCCGAAGCCCCGGUAUCAUUCUCGAGCCCCGAGGCAAGUCCCGAGAUCCCGAAGAUCCCGAGAAGUGCGGUUCCCGAGUCGAAGCUCUGCCCGCGAGAAGUUCGAUUUUUGUGAAGAUCUUCCAGAUCUGCUGAGGAUUACUACUUCUGCAAGUCGUAGUGCUGUCCGAUCAUCUUCUGAUCAAGUGAGUGUAUACUACCUUUCAUAAACACGAUAAUAAUACAAGUGUGGUUUGAGUGUAUUAAGUAAAUUGUGGUUUAUAUGUGUGAGGGUGUAGUUACUUUCUUCUAACGAGUAACUAUGAAGUAUUUUAUACGAUAUACUUGUUAUGUGUAUAUUUUGUGAUUGUAUGCGUGAAUGGAUAUUCACUUUAUUCUAUCUCAUAGAUCUGAAUUGUUUUCUAUGGAAUACGUGUUAUGUGGUAUGCCUCAUCUGUUAUGUGGAAUAUAUAUUGAAUGAAAAUGAUAUACAGGUUUUAAACUAUGUAUGAAAAUAUAUAUUUUUAUCUACUAAUAUGUUGGGUAGAACAUGGGUAGAUAGUUGGUGUGUAAUAAACAGAUGAGAGGCCUCGAUGUUGUUGUUGUUGUUGUUGAUCUAGUUAUUCAGCGGAGUAUGGAUAACGACCACAGACUCUUUCUAGACAGUCCAGUGGAACGCUAGCAGGUUCAUAACCUGUAGGUGUUGUGAACGAUGUGUUCACCGGUGUACUCUAUCCCCCUCAUGGUUGCCUUUAGGAUAUCUAUUGUUGAGGAAACCCCUUAGCAGUGAUGUCCGUCCCGAUGAAAAUCCUAGAUUAGGUCCCUUGAGAUAGAUGUUAUUUUAGGGACGUAAAGUGAGGAUAACGGGAAUGGGUAAUCGGGAUAGUGAUUGGUUGGUGAAAUUAAAUAUAACUUAUUUAUUGUGGGUUGAAAACCUUAUAUGCUCACCAGGCUCCCAAGCCCGACCCACUCAGUUUUAUUUGUAUUACAGGUAGUGGCGCGAGGGCAUAAGAUGGUUGGAUCAUCUUGUGGUUUUGUUUACAAGUCUGUAUAUGUAUAUAUUUGUUGAAUGACUUGUAAUGUUAUCGUUUAUACUUUAUGGUAUGUAUCGGAACAUGACAUCCCGAGUUUUGAUUAUAUAAUGAAAAUGCAUCUCUUGAUGAAAUGCUUUGAUAAAUAUUAUUUAUUCAUGUUUUGUUUUGGGAACAAAUUCUGCAACUCUUUCAAAUCAAAAAGGAUUUACUCUGAAAUUAUUUAAAAGCAUAAAUGAAAAUCGGUCUUUUUUGGCCGAGAUUUUGGGGAUGUCACACCUCUAACAGGAAGAAGCCUGAUGGUUAACGAGAUGAUGGUGAGGGAUGAGGCAGAGAUAUAUUGUAGGGUUUUAAACUAAAUUCAUAAUUCAAAGCGAUAUGAAAUGUUUUAAAUAUUUACUACAAAUAAAAUUGUUCAAGUUUACUAUUAUACCCCUUAAGCAAUUUAUUAAUUAUUUAAUAUUUCUUAAAAGUUGAUUGGUCCACAUUGAUGUAUACAGUAACACAAUAAUUACUUUAAAUACCUGAACCUAGCUCUAUCUCUUUCUCUCUCUCUCUCUCUCUCUCUCUCUAUAUAUAUAUAUAUAUAUAUANNNNNNNNNNNNNNNNNNNNNNNNNNNNNNNNNNNNNNNNNNNNNNNNNNNNNNNNNNNNNNNNNNNNNNNNNNNNNNNNNNNNNNNNNNNNNNNNNNNNNNNNNNNNNNNNNNNNNNNNNNNNNNNNNNNNNNNNNNNNNNNNNNNNNNNNNNNNNNNNNNNNNNNNNNNNNNNNNNNNNNNNNNNNNNNNNNNNNNNNNNNNNNNNNNNNNNNNNNNNNNNNNNNNNNNNNNNNNNNNNNNNNNNNNNNNNNNNNNNNNNNNNNNNNNNNNNNNNNNNNNNNNNNNNNNNNNNNNNNNNNNNNNNNNNNNNNNNNNNNNNNNNNNNNNNNNNNNNNNNNNNNNNNNNNNNNNNNNNNNNNNNNNNNNNNNNNNNNNNNNNNNNNNNNNNNNNNNNNNNNNNNNNNNNNNNNNNNNNNNNNNNNNNNNNNNNNNNNNNNNNNNNNNNNNNNNNNNNNNNNNNNNNNNNNNNNNNNNNNNNNNNNNNNNNNNNNNNNNNNNNNNNNNNNNNNNNNNNNNNNNNNNNNNNNNNNNNNNNNNNNNNNNNNNNNNNNNNNNNNNNNNNNNNNNNNNNNNNNNNNNNNNNNNNNNNNNNNNNNNNNNNNNNNNNNNNNNNNNNNNNNNNNNNNNUUUUUCAUUUGUGUGUGUGUGUGUGUGUGUAUAUAUAUAUAUAUAUAUAUAUAUAUAUAUAUGUUUAGGUUCUAUGGAAAACAAAAAACCAUGUCAUUUACCUCGAACACGUUGUUUUCCCUUUUGCUUUUGAUCUUCUUGAUUUUUAGAGGAUUCUGAGUGACCGUGAGCUUGUGUGUUUCCUCGAACAUGUCCACCACCAUGUCAUUUACCUCAAUAAUUUGAUCCCCAACCUCUAUCUCAUGAUGACUUGUUGUUUCUGUUGGGCGAUUCUACUUUGGAAUAAAGUAAUUUGUUUUGAGUCUCGGUUACUUUGUCUUCUUCCUUGAUUAUUUCUUCAUAAACUUUUAGGUGAACAACCACGUCUUUGAAACCUAUUCUUUUGAGUUCCAUAACUUGUUCAAGGGUUGUAAAAAUAUGAACAGAUCGUCUAGGGAGACUCGUAAGAAAAAUCUUCGCAAGCUUCUGUUAUAUCAUGACCUCUCCCAAUGAAGCGGAUUUCGAAGAAAUUAUGUAUAAUUUUGUUGCAAAAGUCGUCUAUUGUUCUUGUGUCACUUAUUUUUAGAUUUUCGAAAUAUGUGAUUAGAUUUUGGAGUCUCUCUUCCUUCACUCGAUCGGCUCCAAGGUUGUGAGUUUUAAUUGCAUUCCACAUCUCUUUUCCAGUUUUCAGAUUACCAAUUUGAAGGACAAAAUCCUUCGGAAUCGACUAAAACUACAAUCCUUUCACGAUUUUGUUUUUCUUCACAUAAUCUAGUAUGGGAUCGAUCACAUCCCAGACACCAUGAAUUCCAAGUAGCAACUCUAUGCGCAUCCUCCAAAUGGUGUUGUUUGUCGAUGUUAAAGUUAGGCAUUGGAACGUUAACAAAGUGUGUUCCUUAGCCAAUGGUUGUGAUGAACCUCCUUCUCCCGUCAUCUCCAAUCGAUUUCUAUUGUUAACGUUUGAUCCAAAUAGAUGAAACUCACCACACGAACAUGACACAAACUAUUCAUUAUUUGAUUGAGAUUUCUGCACAUGUUUCCAUACGAACUUCUUGUUCUGAACAGAGAAUAAGAUUUAUUCACUGUUAACGAUUGUAUGUUCCUUAGAUGGUUUUAUGAUCUAAACAGGUUCCACAUGUUUUUGAUCUUCACAAAAAUAAAAACAAACUGAUGGCAGUUCUUUCUUUAAACACAAGCAAAGACAGAGAACAACAAAAGUUGUCACAUGCGAUCUUCACACAUGUGUCACUGGAGAACUUCAAUCUGAACAUGAAGACUCCUUCUUCUCAACGAUUAUACUUUCUGAUCAGAUGAACGUGAAAAAGAGGGGUACUCGAUAAUGGAACAAGUUUUCGGUCUUCAUAGGGACAAAAAAGGUUGUCGUUCUUUUGUCUCCACACGGACAUAAAGACAAAUGCAGAUGGCAGUUAUGCUUCAAACUCAAGCAAAAACAAAAAUUCUAUCACACAGCUCUGAAACAAAAACAUAAAAGUUGUUGCUUCUUUUGUCCAGUUCACCUUCUGCACAUGAUAAUUCUUUUCUCUGGUUUGGUUUCUUGUUGUCGCAUGUUUUAUUCCAUCACAAUACUUUGAUACCAAUUAAAGAAAAAAUAUGCAGCCUAAAACUCGUUGGACUCUGUAUUGAAGAAAAUUGCUCAAAACUUCAAUCUAUGAUGUUAUAGGAUCCUAAACACUAGUUUUAUACUAAACAAACUAAUUAGAAUAAAACUAGGAUUCCUAGACUUUCCUUAUACACAAUCCUUAUAGCUCAAGGAAAACAAGGAAAACUUGGACUGCGCUCCAAGAAAGUUAUUCUCUACCAAACACACAUAUGAUGCCACAUUGGACUCAAACAAAUCACCAACAAUAGCAUCAUGACAAAUAUGAACCAAAUAAUAAACAUGCAACUUCAAUCAAAUAUUCAAAAGCUAUAAAAUAAGUAUCCUAUUGAAGAUGCUUUAAAAAUUACUAAUUAUAUAAUAUACUAAUUUAGCAGCCCCCUUAGGAACAGUACUUUGUUCCUAUUGGACCACUUCUAUAUUUUUUUCCUUCAAGCAGUCAACGAUAUUGUUCAUCCUGUACACGAGUCAUUUUCUCCUGUACCACCUUCACUUUGAUUAGUUUACUCCCUCCACGUAACUAUCCACCGCCUCAUAUGUCUCAUCUCGCACCUUCCCAUAUUUCACUUUCACUAUUUGUCAUCUCUCAUAUGCAUCACCACCUACACCGCCUCAAUUCCCAGACGUAUCACCCAUCAAUUACAAUCAAUUCAGAUGCAUUAUCUUCAUCUCAAUGCUUCCCACUGACGUUCGACAACCAUCCAUCUCUCUCUAAACUUCCGCUCCAUCUUCACCUUCUACCUUUUUUGAGAGAUGUCUGUUCCAUAAAGCUGUGAUUUUUCGUCACCGGCAGCAAACCAGUCCCUCUUAUUUACCAUCAGAAAUCGAUUAAGAGGGAGGGUACCAAUGUUUUCUCCGAUUUCCGUUUGUGCAUAAUUUGGGGGAUCGACUCUGUAAUUUGUUUAUUCGAAGAUAUAGAAGGAUAUCAUAAAAAGUGGCAUAGCUGGUGUUGGAAUUGAAAAACUUCUGUUUUGCACACCAACUACUUGUUAAUAUGUCUUAGUGAACUUUAGAUACUAGAUUUACAAAAUCUUCUUCUUUUAUAACUUUCUCAAACAUAUUUUCUUCUUUCUAUAACAUGAAACAAGGCAGUGGACCGGUCGUUCUCCCACCCAUGGUCUAUUGUCAUCGGUUGUAGAGAGCUUAAAAAGGCACUUUUUAAAACAAUCGAGAAGGUGCGUCCCAUAUUUCAUCUAAAUUCAAUAAUGUUUGUGUUGUUAGUCCCUGUUUUGAAUUAAUCUGGUCCUAAAUUUUGAAUCGAUGGUUCUGAAAUCAACUUCUAUUUCUUUUGUGUUCACAUAUCAAUUUUGGUUUCCGGUCAUCUCCCUUUUAUCGAUUGGAACUUCACAAAUUGAACGUUUCAGAAUUCAGGUAGGUUUAAGCCCUCAAAUUUUCUGAUUUCAUGGUUUGUCGAUUUUAAUUUUCGGAUUAAUCACUUAUAUGGUUAUCGACAUACCCUCCUUACUAUGCAAUAUGAUGCUUGAUACAGACCCGGUGAGGAGGAAAGGAAACAAAAGGAUCUUUGUCAGCGACUCCUACUGAUUACGAGAGUUCCUUAUCAGUUUUAAUCAGGUAUAUUAGAUUAGAUUAUUUCUCCAAGUUUGUUUGUUCAUAGGUGACCCCUCUAACAGUUGCCAAAUCAAUAAUACGUGAAUUUGCAUCUGUUCUAUGAAGGUGAUUCAAAUAUCUAAUAAAUUUUAUAUCUACUUCCUAAAUUUUGCCUCUACAUACAUUGUUGUGCUAUUGUUUCUUAUACAUUAAACAAAUAUAUCCAUUUUAGAGUUGAUGAAGAGUUUAUUUGUCGAUCAAAAACUUGAAUCCAAGUAUUCAUUUUCUAAAGUAUGAUUUUGUUCUUAGUUUUGCACUAAAUUAGGUUUUGAGUUGGACUGAUUGGCCUUUGGGCAUGUGAAUUAUUUUAAGGAUCAACAUGAAUGAUUCUACACAUGGCUUUCAGCAGGUAAUAGAAAUAAUAUCACAUAUUCUUAUUAAUCAAAAUAUAUUUAAUAAGAACUCACAAAAGUUCUUACAUGAUUUUUUACUCUUUUGAUUUAAUAGGUGAUGCAGGGAGAUCAAGUCUGGGAGGUCAGGUUUGGAAUCCAUAGAGAUGCUAGCUUGGGAGAGGUGAUAGCAAAGCUUCAAAAUUCGAACAAAAUAGGUUCUUGCAUACUUUCAAUUCUCUUUUCUUUUAGAUUAUAGGGAUAAAUGCAAGAAAUAACAAUGUGGUUUCUUUUGCUAUCACAACGUCCUACUUCUUUUUAUAGAAAAUGUACUUUCAACAUCUUUUUCUGUCAUCAUCCUUUUCUUCUUUAGAUUCCCAUGAUUUCCUUUAACAUUGUCUUUUCCUACAGUGAUCCCAUAUUGAAUUCAUUAAUGAAGCUCUAAACUUUAGGGAGAAAAGAAAAUGCUUGGUGAUGGAGGGGAAUCCCCUUCUAGGUAAGCAUACAAUUCAUUCUUUAUUUCGUAUCCUUUUGUAAAAAUGAUUUAAUUUCUUUAUGCAAAUUUGAUAUCCAAAAUUCUGAUUACUAAAAUUCAUGUUUUUCUUAUAGGUAUCAGUUGUUGAGUAUGGUGAAGAGACAUUCAAAUUUAAUAGGAAAGUUGUAGUAGAUGAGCAAGAUGCUUCAGAUAUUGAAAUGGAUCAAAAGUUUUGGCAUGAUGUCUUAGAUUUAUAUUUCAUUGGUGGAAGGGAUUCAAAAGAACAACAUGAUGGUGAUCUCUUAUUCUUUUUUUAGGAAAAUGGUAUUAUUGCCUUCAUCCUAUACACUUAAAUACAAAAAAUGUUCUUUACUUUUUUUAUGACCGUUUUGCCCUUUAGUUUCAGGGCUUGCAUGGAUAUGGCUUCAAUGAUAAAAUAUUGUUGCAUUUACCUCAAGUAAAAGAUCUAUCAUCCAAAAGCUCAAACUCAAAUUUCAAGAUUCUAGAACCCGAAGAUUUCAAUGACCAUAGUUGGUUCACAACAGCCUCAUUGAGAAGGUCCAUAUCAUAUUUAAUCUUCAUCCUACUUUUCUUCUUCUUCUUCUUUUUCAAUAAAUUAAGAGGUUGUCCACUGCUUGCUUAUCAGAGUGGUUUCAAUUCACCAGAUUCCUGCAAAUUCUUGGUUCAGAAGACAUUCUUACAAUUAGAAAUAAAAUUUCUCAACUAGAAUAAACCAGAAAUUCCAACUUUCUUUGUUUGCAAAGGAUUUCUUAUUUCAUACUAGACUCAUCGACCCCAAUCUUUAAUAUCUUUCUUCAUUUUGUUUCUGUGUUUUUUGGUUUAGGACUGGAAUUUAGUAUUUUUUUUGGUUCAUCGGUUUAUUCCAAAGAAACUGCUUCCAAGAACCCCUUCUCAACUGACAUCUACUCCCCAAGGUUUACCAAUCGAUCUGAUACUAGACUUUAUCCACUUGGAAGUUUUUUUUCGUCCCGAACUUAGAAAAAAAGAUACAUUGCUAAUAUUUUUAUAAAACAUUUAUUGUAGCACCUGGUUCCUGGUACGUAUGACCUAUCUAAGUAAUUUACAUUUUUAGCCUUGGACUCGGCGAGUUGUAGGCCCGACUUGCCGAGUAGAGCCGGGAUAUUUGAGCACGUUUAAGUUGGCGACUCGGCGAGUCCAUAUUAUGGACUCGGCGAGUCCCCGCUGUCUGGAUGAAACCCUAAUUUCAAGGGUUUGCACCCUAUUUAAACCAACCUUAUGCGCCCCAAGCCCGACUCCUUCACCCUCAGAGCUUCCUAUAUCGUCCUAACCCCGUUUCUUGUGAGAUUGAAGUGUUUUGGUGUGAUUUCUUGAAGAUUUUGAGAGAAAAAGGAGGGUAGAUCAAGAGGAGAAGAAGGAGGUCAGAUAUCUUGGUGUUAUUUCAGAGAUUCUUUGAGGUAUAACUCAGUUUCCUUCUGUUUUUAUGCUAAGAGUCCCUUAGAGCACCAUUAGAGUCCUUCUUGAGCCAUUUCCAAGCUUGUUUAUGGAUUAGGGAUGGUAAUGAGUUGAUUAACCUCUAGAUCUAGGCAUGUUUGAGCUCCAGGAGCUCAGAUCCAUGGCCUUUAUGGAAGUAAAUUGCUUGAAUGUCCUAGAUCUACCAUUUUAGCCUUUAUUAAGCCUUAAAUCCCCAUCCUAUGCAUGUAUACACGUAAAGUUGGAAACUUUACGUGUAAAACCUACCCUAAGAGCCCAGAUCUAUGUAUGGCAUGAGUUGGAUUCAAGCAAAAUCGAGUAUGUAGUAACUGCAUGAGAACGACUCGACGAGUCGUUCAUCGGACUCGACGAGUCGAGUCGCGAGUCCCCGAGUUUUCCUCCUUUUCGUGUUUGCUGAGUGGGGUUGUGAGUCAUGGGAGGACUCAGUGAGUCGGAAGCGAGACUCACCCAUGGAGGGACUCGGCGAGUCAAUGCCCUGACUCGGCAAGUCCAAGGUCAUCUUCUUACCUUAAGAACAAACUCGGCGAGUUGUUCAUACAACUCGGCGAGUCUCAGCAUAGAGUGUUCAUCGGAUGAAGAUGAACUCGACGAGUGUUCAUAGAAUAUGAAAUGGUUUGAUUAGACAAUGUUUAUUUGCGAAUGAUUUUACUAAAUAUUGAUUGAAAAAUGAAAUUUUUGGACGUGAAAAAUGGAUCGUUACACUUAUCCAUCUAUGUUUCUUGAUUUUUCAAAUUUUUAUUCCUUAUACUAUUCAGGUUAUUGAUGUCAUCUAGGAAAACACCAAUGAUUUACGACCUUUGAGCUUUGGUUCUUUUCGAAAGAACGACUUGUGGAACUAAGCAAUAUUUCUAAGAGUUUAUUUUUUAUUCAUAUUUUGGUUGUGGAACUAAGCAAAAAAAUAAAGUUUAACGAUGAAUUAUUUUAUCAGAUUGUACAAAUAAAUAAAAAACGGACCACAUCACAUAAAUAGGAGAAACUUUUUGAUGGUAACAACCACCAAUGUUUCUUUUAUGAUGUAUUUUAAUAUGUUUGCUAACGUGUGAAUCUAAAUUAUGUUUGAUUUUGUAUUUUAUACAUAUACUCAUCCUCAGUCUCUUGAUACGCCUACACAGCUAGUGAGAAGGGUACUAUUGUAAUUUGAAUUUUCCAUGACUUUUUUAGUAAGGAUAAAAAAUUAUUACUUUAUAGUUGGUGAUUGGUUUUUGGAAUUAUAAAUAACAUGAUAUAUUUCUUGAAAUUUUACAAAUUCCUUAGUAUCGGUAUGCUUAACGAGACAGAUUUUAUCACUAAAGAUAGUAAUGGGUUUCCAAUUAACAUCAGAUAUUAAACAAAAAUACACUUUUAUUUACAUUUUGUCUUUUAUAUAUAUUGUAGUCAUGCUAAAAGUUUUGAGUUUUCACAUCAUUUCACAUUUGCUCUAAAUCAACUUUCAGAAUAUGAAAAAACAUAUGAAUAAAUAAAGUUUCUAUAUGUAAAAAUAAAGAAUGCUUCUUAUUAGGAUGGAAUGUAACAUUUGAAUAAGAGUAAAUAAGGAUAAAAAAUUAUUACUUUAUAGUUGGUGAUUGGUUUUUGGAAUUAUAAAUAACAUGAUAUAUUUCUUGAAAUUUUACAAAUUCCUUAGUAUCGGUAUGCUUAACGAGACAGAUUUUAUCACUAAAGAUAGUAAUGGGUUUCCAAUUAACAUCAGAUAUUAAACAAAAAUACACUUUUAUUUUCAUUUUGUCUUUUAUAUAUAUUGUAGUCAUGCUAAAAGUUUUGAGUUUUCACAUCAUUUCACAUUUGCUCUAAAUCAACUUUCAGACUAUGAAAAAACAUAUGAAUAAAUAAAGUUUCUAUAUGUAAAAAUAAAGAAUGCUUCUUAUUAGGAUGGAAUGUAACAUUUGAAUAAGAGUAAAUACAUACUUUAACGAAGAAUGUGUGACAAGGCUGCAAUAGUCAAAUGUUGAAGGUCAACUAAAUAAUCUUCUCUUAAGGAUUGGGACUACAAAACCAAUUUAAUAUAACUAAAUAAAAUCUUCCUGUUCUGGCCAUAUCUUUGGCAUAUCCAACCCCGCAAAACGUAGUUCUUCCCUAGUUAAUAAUAAACUUUGAUACUAAAUGUCAAUAAAGAUAAUUUAAAACGAUUAAAGUUGUAUGUUUAUUAUUUAAAAAUAAAUGAGAUUGAUAUUAAAUGUAAUCAUAUGCACAAAAUAAACGAGCAUUAUGUUUGUCUGUUUGCAUUACAAAACAUUUACAACAUUAUUAUUUAAAGGAUAUUUUUUCGCUUAUGGACUUAUUUAAUGUACUUUUGGUAUUAAUUAUUAGGAAACUUGUUUAUUAUUUCGUAGCUUCAAAAUUAUUAGAUUUAUAAUAUAAAAAAUUUGUCUGAGGAAUAUUUUAGUAGGAAUCUUUGUUAAUGUAAACAUGCAGGUAGUGAGCCACGGGCAAUUAUUCUGUAAUAAACUGGUACGGUGGUACCCACAGUUUAAAGGGCAAAAGGCAACAAAUGUGACAUCGUUGAUGACAUUCUAAGGAGGUGGGGGUGUGGUCUCUUUUUCACCGUAUGUAUGUUAUGUAUGUGGUAUUCUUUAACGGCGGUGAACACCGUCUUCUUCCUUCUGUUUUAUCGGCGGUAAACAACUGGUAGUGAAAGUUAACCGGUGGCAAAAAUCAGUUUUGUGUGUGUUUAAUCGUCGGUAACCAAAAAGUCCAUAUCUUAACCUUUUUUAAACGUUGUAGAAAUGGUAAAUGGUCUAGGUGUCUAUCGGUGAAAACUUUAUGACACUGUUUAGCCUAAAAGGAUAAAUUGAUUCUCAGAGCAAUAAUUCUUAUAUAAAAAUAAAAUACUGAUAUUAAAGAUAAACAAUUUGCAACCUAAUGUAAAUCGGCCAUUCUUGUCAAUAAAGGUUAUCAGUGGUAAAUGUUUUAGGUGCUUCUAUAAUCACACAUACAUAAAUAAUGAUUUCAUUCCAACAACUUUUAAAAAUAUGGUUGUUAAAUGCCUUUCAUAUUUUGUCAUUAUAUUUAUAUUUGAUGUUAAAAAAGAACAACACAAAAAUGAUGCAAUAUUUAAAGAUCGGUUAAAAUGGAAAAUGAUUUCUAAAAUAGUGUAUUAGAGAUCCAUAGAGUUAGCUUAAGUGUUAGUAACACUUUUUAAGAUAUAGAAAAAUGCAAAUUGACAAAAAAAUGUUACGUUUCGGAAGGAGAAGAAUGUUUCUGAAAUCAAUGAAUCAUAUAGACUUGUUUGAAGGAUUGUUUGAUUAUUUUUUGAAUAUGAUAUUUUAAUGUAACACAAAAUUCAUAUUAUGGAGAUAAUCUUUUAAGGAACAAUCAACAAUGAAGACACUGAAAUUAGACCAUAAACUAUGGUUUUAUAAAGUUCAGAUUCUUUCUUAUUACCAAAUAUAAUCAUAAAUUAACAUUAAAAUGAUGUAUUAGAGAUCCAUUAGAGUUAGCUUAAGUGUUAGUAACACUUUUUAAGAUAUAGAAAAAUGCAAAUUGACAAAAAAAAUGUUAUGUUUUGGAAGGAGAAGAAUAUUUCUGAAAUCAAUAAAUCAUAUAGACUUGUUUGAAGAAUUGUAUGAUUAUUUUUUGAAUAUGAUAUUUCAAUGUAACACAAAAUUCAUAUUAUGGAGAUAAUCUUUUAAGGAACAGUCUACAAUGAAGACACUGAAAUAAGACCAUGAACUAUGGUUUUAUAAAAUUCAAAUUCUUCUUAUUACAAAAUAUAAUCAUAAAUUAACAUUAAAUGAUCCCCUUGGACCAAGUAGGGGGAGUAGCCCCUUUGACCCUAUCAUUUGUUCUAACUGAGAUCAAACUCGUUUUAUACAAACUCGCAUUCUGGACCUCAUAAUUUGCAAUAAAAAAAAUAAACUCAAUUGAUAAUCUACAAAUUUAUUAGGUUGUACAGUGUGGGAAAGCUUUUACCGUAUGCCUAUGUGGCACAUUUUACCGGCGGUGAACACCGUCCCCUUCCUUUUUGUUUUACCGGCGGCAGGUUAUCGGUGGUAAACAUUAAAUUUUUUGAACAUUGGACUCCUUCUCUUGACAGUUGACUGCCAAUUUUUUUCACUUUAUUACCACUAUAAAUUCAUACAUACAAAUCAAAACAUCUUCACUUACAUUAUAUCAAUCUUUAUAUUUCUUUCCUAUAUUUUUUCAAAAAUCCUUUCAAAAAAAUAGCAAAUCCAUUACAAACAUGCAAGUUGUUGCUAACCGUUAGUAAGACUGUUGCAAAAUCAUGGAAAACGAUUAUACAAACGAUAUAAGAAGAAGAAGAAGUCGAACCUACACAACCUAGUACGCGGAAGAUGUUUCUCAGUGAUCGUUGGGAUGCAAACACCCGUCUAAUGGCACACUACUUCAACGAAUAUUCUGUUUACGAGGAAUACUUGUUCCGAUGUCGAUUUCGAAGAGCAAAACACUUAUUUCUCCAUAUAGUAGGUGACAUUACUAACAUUUAUGAAUAUAUAAGACAAUGUCGGGAUGCAAGAGGUGCAAAUGAGUUUUCAGAAAUAUAGAAAUGUGCAGUUGUUGUUCGUCAAUUAGCUUAUGGUUCCGUUUCUGAUUCAUGGGACAAAUAUUUUCAAAUGUAUUAGCGGGUAGCUAGGGACAACUUGGAUGAGUUUUGCAUAUGCGUUGUCGCUAUUUACGGGCCAAGGUAUUUGCGUAAGCCUACUUUUACUGACGUUCAAUCAUUAUAUGUUCAUCAUACUAGUGUUCAUGGGUUUCUUGGGAUGCUUGGAAGUUUAGAUUGUCUUCAUUAGGCAUAGGGUAGUUGUUCUAAUGCAUGUUAAGGACAAUUUAUAUGGGGUGAUAAGGGUCACCCCACAGUCAUACUUGAAGUUGUUGUGUCACAAGAUCUUUGGAUUUGCCAUGCACUUUUUGGUGCUCCCGGCUCAAACAAUGAUGGUAAAGUUUUAGACAUGUCACCUAUAUUUAAUGGGUUUUGUGAUGGGUCCACACCUAACUGUCCAUUUCAAGUAAAUGGAACGACAUAUGAUUAUAUGUAUUAUCUUGGUGAUGGUAUAUACCUUGAAUUUGCUAUGUUUGUGAAAACGCUAAAAUUUCUAGGUUAUCCAAAAUGCAUAAAGUAGAAAACAUUUCAAGAAAAUGCUAGAAAGGAUGUUGAAUGAAAGUUUGGAGUCCUCAAGAAGCGUUGACGCAUACUACAACAUCCGACACGUCCUCGAAUAGUGGAAAAGCUCGCUCGUAUUAUGUAUGUGUAUAUCAUUUUACAUAAUAUUAUUUUAGAAGAAGGGUGCAGAAUAAUUUAUCAGUAUUAAAAAAAUGAAAAUGCAUCCUCAAGUACGCCAAUAUUGGCUAGUUCCACCUAUGGUGUUCAAGAAGAAGAGCGAUACGUGACAAUCAAAAACAUCACGAGCAUUGCAACGAAUUGGCAGAUCAUAUAUAUCGAGUUAAUGAAAUUGAUUUAAAUGAGCCAAUUGACAAUGAUAUCGUCGACUAUUCGGAGUGGAAGAUGUUAACGUAUCCCACUAGGAAUACGUCAAAUAUAGCAGAACCAUCAGUCCUAUAAACGGUUUGGGCAAAGAGAGCCGUAUGCCUAGCGUCGGGUCCUUGCUCUCGCCCUCGCUCUCACGAUCCCAUAUUUAUUCCUUGGCGCCCAAGCGUCAAAUCCAGUGUGUAGACAAAAUAGUACCGAUCGCCUCUCAGAGUGAUAGGUGUAGCGCUCAGAACGUUGCUCCUGGUAAACCUGCACCAAUGGCAAACAACCACGCACGAAACAUGAUCUACCAAUCAAAGGCCGUCUAUCACUACCAAACCUGAAAAGGUAAAAGAUGUUUUUAGGGAUCUGUUCCCCCAACCACAUGUAUAAAAGGUCCCUUCUCCUCCAAGAGAAGGGAUCGAGAAAUAAAUCCUUAAACCCUUACUUAACACUUUUAACCUUCUCUCUUAGAGUGCAACUAACUUGAUUGUCGGGGCCUCGUUCCAGGAUUACCUCCCGGACAAUGACCAAUGAUCCUGUUUCUUUUGCUGAUUCUCAGGACCUCCAUUCCAUCCUUCAAAGAGACAGAGUUAAGUCAGAUACAUAUCACAACAGUUGGCGCCAUUCGGACAUGCACCCAGUACGACACAACCCAAUAAACAACAAUAUGUAUCUAUAAUGGUAAACACAAGACUUAUAUUGCCACAAAAUGACAGCACCGGCACCACCAGAGAAAUGAUGUUAGCCAGCAAACUUGGCCGACGGGCGCCAAGCGUCGGGCCGACCAACGUUGUCAAGGAAUUUGCAACGACUGAAGGGUGCACGUCGCUUACCUUUCUAGUCAACAAAAAGCUAACAUAAAAAAACAACGGCAAGACGGAGUGUUUACGAUCAAUAGACCAUGUAAGAAACGUGCGCGACAUGAGGCAAGCCUUAACGUCAAAACGCUAACCCAACGAAUCGACAACAUCAAAUUCUCCACGGAAGACCCAAGACCGCAGGAUUGGAAUCCCAGGGACCCGCUUCUCAUAACCACGUGCAUAUGUCAGAAACAAAUCCACCGAGUCUACAUAAAUAAUGGAAGUAGCAUGGAUAUCCUGUACAAACAUUGCUUUCGACAACUACCAGAGUCCUGGAAGGAAGAAUUGAAGCCCCCAACAAAUGGACCUCUAGUCGGUUUCACGGGACACAACCUAUGGCCCCUUGGAACAAUACACCUCCCACUAACAUUAGUCAGUUAGGAUGGGAGAGAAAGCAGGACACGAACAAUCAAAUUCUCCGUGAUACGCCACCAGCAGAAAAAAAACAUAUUAUUAGGGUGUCCGUCGCUCUUCGAGCUGCAAGAAGUGUCGUCAACAAUUCACGGCACAAUAAAAUUUAGCACACGGUCCGGAUCAGCAACCAUUGUCGCCAACAAUCCGCACAGGCACAUGUGCCACCAAAUCAUGGCGGCAUCAGACCUGGUCAGCGCCCCCAAUAAAUUAAAAGAAGACCACACACUAGAAAAUACCUUAUACAUGGUGAACACCCCAAACAAGCAAUAAAGAUCGAAGCUUGCCUAUUAACAGAAACCAAAGUUCAACUAGUCGCACUAUUAACACGUUUCGUCGGGGUAUUUACGUGGCAGCCUGUGGAUAUGACUGGAGUAGACCGAAAGAUUAUCGAACACAGUCUAAAAAUGAUACUGGAUAGCGCUCCGAUAAAGCAAAAAAGGAGGGGGCAGGCAGGUGAUAGAAACAAGGCAAUCAAUGAUGAGGUCUCGAAGCUUGUAGAUGCAGGCUCCUUUUUUGACUUGUUUCUAUCACCUUGGGGAAACAAUGUUCCCUACAUGGAUAGCAAACCCGAUAAUGGUAAAGAAACAUGACGGCUUGUGGUGGAUGUGCAUCAACUAUUCCGACCUGAAUAAUACAUGCCCAAAAGACCAUUACCCCCUCCCGGAAAUAGAACGGAAGGUCGAAUCUCUGGAAGGCUUCCAAAUCAAAUGUUUUUUGGACGCCUAUAAAGGCUAUCACCAAGUACAGAUGCUACUAGAAGACGAGGAAAAGAUGGCCUUCCAUACCGAUUGAGACACGUUAUGCUACCAGAAAAUCCCAUUCAACCUUGAAAACGUCGGUGCAUACCAGCGUUUGAUGGAUAAAGUCUUUGCAGAGCAGAUCGGAAAAAUCUGGAAGUAUAUGCGGACGACGUGGUCAUUAAAGUGGUAGUGAAGCAACAUUGCUCCAAGAUGUCGAUGAGACCCUCCGGACCCUGGUGCAAGCACAGAUGAAACUCAACCAGGGAAAAUGCACUUUCGGGGUAGAAGAGGGCCAGUUCCUGGGAUACCGAAUAACUAAAGAGGAAAUCAAACCAAACCAAUUCGAGGAAAUCAAAACAAACCAAGUCAAGAUCCAGGAAUUCCUCGAUUCCAAGACCGCACACAACAUAAAAGGGGUCCAGGAAAUCAACGGGAGGUUUACUGCCCUGGGCAGGUUCAUAGCCAAAUCGACAGAAAAAAGCCUUACCAAUCUUCCACACUCUGAAAGGGUGUGUCAACAAGAGUCACUUCAAAUGGAAGAAAGAGGCCGAUGCAUCCCUCCAAUGCUUAAAGGAGGCCCUUUGUCAGUUACCAACAAUAACGAGCCUCCACACAGGAGAAACCUUACAUGUAUACCUCGCAAUGGCCGACAAAGCCAUCUCAUUGAUACUAAUAGUAGAGAGAAACAAGAAACCAUCACCAAUCAUUUCGUAAGCAGGGCAUUACAAGGCCCCGAAAUCAACUACCCAGUCUUGGAAAAACUGGUAUUGGACCUAAUUUACACGGCCAGACGCCUACGACGCUACUUUCAAGCACACAAAAUCGAAGUGCUGACCAGCUUCGUAAUAAAACAGGUCCUGCUUAGACCUGAAAAGUCAGGACGAUUGGCGAAGUGGGCAAUACAACUGAGGGAUCAAGACAUAGAUUAUUGCCCGCGGACCAGCAUCAGGGUCCAGGCCUUAGCAGACUUCUUAGUAGAAAUACAAGCCACACUUAGAGGAAUAUCAAGGGUCUUACCAGCAAACCCGCUAGAGCCCGAGGCCAGCAAAGAUAUAUGGGAACUACACACUGAUGACACCGCAAGUAAGGAGGACUCAGGUGUAGACCUAAUUCUCAAAAACCCCAAGGGACAUGAAAUAACAUACACCCUUAGAUUCGACUUUCAGGUUUCGAACAACGAGGUCGAGUACGAAGCACUCCUCAUUGGCCUCCGGUUGGCACAAGAAGUUGGAGUGAAACAUCUCCGGGCUUUCAGUGAUUCAUUACUGAUAAGCAACCAGGUCAAUGGCACUUAUGAAGCCAAAAAUCGAAGGAUGCAAAGAUACCUGGAAAAGACACAACAGUUAGCGCAUUCGUUCAAUAGCUUCGAAAUAAAACAAAUACCCAGGGGGGAUAAUACAAGAGCUAACACUCUUAGCAAGUUAGCCUCGACGUCCUUUGAACACCUAACUUAGAAGGUACUAGUAGAGGUCCUCGGAGAAAAGAGUAUUGACAACAAGCUAGUUGAUGUUGUCGCAGAAUCACCGGACUGGACAAAGCCAUACCUAGAUUACCUGCAUGAUGGGAUCCCCCCGGAUGACCCGGAAGAGGCCAAGAAGAUAAAAAUCAAAGCCUACCAAUUCUCCAUAAAAGGCAUGCAACUAUACAAGAGAGGAUAUCUAGCACCAUGGCUCAGAUGCAUCUUACACGAAGAAGUCCAAGUUCUCCUAGAGGAAAGCCAUACGGGCGAAGUUGGAGCACACGAGGGGGUACGAGGACUCACAGUCAAAAUACUGUGUUUAAGGGUAUAUUGGCCCAACUUGUACAAAGACGUGGCGAGAGUCGCAAAGAAAUGCCUGGAAUGCCAGGCAUUCGCCCCGUUCCAAAACUAGCCAACGACAACCAUAACCAGCAUCAGCAACCCAUGGCCCUUCCGCCAAUGGGGCAUCAAUAUCGCAAGACUAUUCCUGAUUGCCCCAGAGGGAUUGAAUAUCCUACUGGUAGCAGUUGACUACUUCACGAAGUGGAUUGAUGCGGAGCCCUUAGCCAUGGUCACGGGCAGGCAGAUGAUCAGAUUCAUGUGGAAGAACAGCCUAACUUGCUUCGGCACCCCAAGGUCCUAAUAAGCGACAAAGACACCCAGUUCGAGGGAAGUCCAUUCAAAGAAUGGUGCAAGGAGAAGAGGAUCCAUCGUCGCUUUACCUCAGUCGCAAACCCCCAGGCAAACAGCCAAACCGAAGUGAAAGACCCCAAUUUUCGUAUUUAUGAAAGACCCAAACUUUCAUACUAUUCCAACAUUAUUCUUAAGUUACUUCCUCGAAACAUGCUACAUGCAUAUUUAUAAAACAAUAUUUUAUAUAGAUAAAGUGAUUACAAAGGAUUGGAUACAAACCGACUAAGUUUUAUUACAUUUCAUAUCUACCCAGGAAUCUACUAUUCAUAUACAUACAUGAACAUUAAAAUACAUAGAAAUAGUAUUAACUAUUCUAAAUCUUUCAGCAGUAUAAAACUAUAUUGGAUACUCAUCACCUGCAAUUGUUAAAUAUUGAGAGGGAUAAGCGAUAAUGCUUAGUGAAUUCAAUAAAUAGAUACAAUAUAAUCUUAUGCCUUAUAUAUAUCAAUAUGACAGAAACAAAAGGGAACAAGAACAACAAUAGCAUAUGCGUAUCAUAUGUCACGCUUUCAAUAUCAACUCAAGAUUUGAUUCAAAGAUUUACGAUCAAUGAGACAUAACAAUUUCACUACUUGAUAUACAUCAAUAAAGCUUUUGGCCCAAACGGCACAGAAGAUAUACAACUUCGGAUUAACAUUUUGGUAGAUUUCAGGCUUAAAGCCCUGUCUAACCAUUUGCCAAUACCAUAGAAUAGAGUUCAUUCUCUUACGGAGUCAUGCUCUACAUGGUCAGAGGCUACAUACCAGUCCUAUCUAACCUUCUGCCAAUGCCAUAGAAUAGAAGUCAUUCUCUUACGAGACAUGUUCUACAUGGCCAGAGGCUACAUACCAGUACCACCGUGAAUCUAAGUCCUUUUACUGAUCACAUGGUCAAAGGUAUAACUUUGCUAUUAAAAAUAGCGAAUAAAAAUAACCCGGGAAAAUAACCCGGAAUAAUAACACUGAAAAGCACAUAGCACAUAUAACACAUAACAUACAAUUGUUCCUAUAUAUUGAACUCACCUUAAAAUAAUCGGGGGUUAAAAUAGUAAUUUGAGCAGCAUAUCGGCUCCAAAUAUGGCUUUAUUUGUUGAAAACCGGGAGAAUUAGCUAAAAACCGGACUCUAAAAAGGUAGAGCUUCAAAACCGAAAAGAUAAAUUUUUCGGGAUUCUCGGGAGUCUCGGGGCGUGUUUCGGGCUUUAGAAUCAGUACCGGGGCUUCGGGGGAUGUCGGGAUCGUAAAAAUAUUGAAAGAGGGGGUGAAAAUGCCAAAUUUCUAAAACUAGCCGAGAGGGCUCGCACCCCUUAUAUAGGGUUGAGCUUCGGAUCCGAAGCGAAGGGAAGGAGGCGGUGGCUGCGAGGUUCGGACCAGAUGGCAGCUUCGCAGGGCUCCAGCGAGGCUCGGAUGCGAGGAGUCAUCAGCUUCAGGCGCGUCAUCGGCUCGGUCUUCGGCUCGGACAGCAGGUGGCUCGCACGUGGGUCUCGCAUGCGAGGGUGAUCAAGGGGGUGUCUCAUGCGAAGGUGCUCCGGGCUUAGUGGUCCUCGGCUUGGUCCAAUCAGAAGGCAACACGCAAGGCUGCGGUCUAAUCAGAAGCGAACAUCUGUCCGACACGUGGAAGCCUCGCAUACGAGGGUGACGUGGCAUUUCACUAUUCAUACGAAUUUUCUCGAAAAAUGUGCAAAAACUUCUAAAAUCCAUAACUUUCGCAUACGAGCUCCGUUUUUGACGUUCUUUAUAUGCACGCGAAGCUAGAAUUAUGCUCUACAACUUUCGUUUAGACUUCGUCGGCUAAUUUUGAUUUUAAUUUUAAUAUUAUUAUUUUUAACAGACCGGGACAGGAAAAUCCGUUAAAAAUUCAUAACUUCUUCAUCCGACGUCCGUUUUCGUCAGACUUUUUACCGGUGCACUACUAAUGACGAGACCUUCUAUUCUCGUUUAGGUUGUGUCGGCUAAAAAUCACUCGAUCUAAAAUUUGAGUUUUUAGCUGUCUACUGCUAAGCUGAAACUUCGAAAAAUCAUAACUUACUCAUACGAAGUCAGAUUCAAACGGUCUUUAUAUGAAAGUUGAUUAUUUUCACGAGUUCUACAACUUUCAUUUACAUUACUAAGGCUAAAAAUUAGUUUAUCGAAAACUAAAUUUUUACGCGACAAGGUAUUUUCCGGAUUUAUCACGGAUCUUCGUUUGGUCAUAACUUCUUCGUUAUAACUCGGAUUUCGAUGAGGUUUUCGCCUAAAUGUUUCUAACGAGAUUAUCUACAACUUUCAAUAAUAAAAUUUUACUUAUUUCAAAUUUUAUAUUUUCGCUAAAUUUUCAUGAUUUGGCUAUUAAUUGGAAUCUCAUAAGACUUCCAACAUUUUAUGAGUGAUUCUAAACAUAGUUUUACUUCAUUUCUAGUAAAAACUAGCUGUUAGAACUCAACACUCAAUUUUAUUCACUUUUAAUAAUAACAAUACACAAUUUCAGAACGUGUAUGUUACACGAAGUAUCAAACAGGACCAUCGUGAACGGGCUUAAGAAACGCCUGAUAAAGAAAAAAGGGUCCUGGAUGGAAGAACUGCCAAUAGUAAUCUGUUCGUACCGUAAUACCGCGAGGUCAGGGAUGGGAGAGAAGCCCUUCAGCCUGACAUAUGACAUGGAAGUGGUGCUCCCACAUGAGAUUCUGAGUGAAUCAUUACGAGUAAUUGGUUUUGAUGCAGGCUCGAACGAGGUAGAACGAAGGCAAGACCUGGCCAUGCUAGACGAGAAACGUCAAGUUGCUCGACUGCGAAAAGCGGCCUACAAAGCUCGUACAUAAAACUUUUACAACCAACGGGUUUGGGUAAAGAACUUCAAAAUAGGAGAAUGGAUGCCGAGGGAGAACGAGGCUAGGCACUCGGAGCCAUUGGGCAAGCUAAGCGUGAAUGGGAAGGACCAUAGAAAGUAGUGGGGACGCACCGGGACAGAGCAUACACACUGGAAGCACAAGACGGGAGACCGAUACCUCGAACAUGGAAUGCGCGCAUCCUGCGCCACUUUUAUUUAUAAAAUAACUGGCAAAUGGUGUAACCAAAGGAGGGGGCAGUAACGCCUGGACCUCCAGCCUAAGAACUACACCUCGGUCGAAUGUUGACAUGAAGAUCUUUAAGUUGUCUCCAAAGUAACGCAGGGAGUCACCUUAAGCGACUAACACACACGAGUCCAGGGAGUCUCGAGGUGACGAUCUUAGCUCACCUUAAGCGACUACAAAAGAAAGGCAAUUGGCCACCCAGCUAAGGACCAAAAGCAAGGCCUACAAAAUACUAUGUGGGGAGACACCUCCCCAAACAAAAAGAGAAGCUCGCGAAAACGUGAAAACACUAACAAUGAAGACCCCACAAAGUCGAAUAAAUUAACGUUCCAGAAAGUACAUACAAAAAAUGAAAAACAAACAACAAACAUAAAAAAAACACAUAACAAAAAUCAACCUUGGCAAGGUUGAGUCGAGGCAGCGCCCUCAACACCACCGUCUGAGAUGAGUUCCUCCUAUUCAAAGCAUAGUUGGCGAAUAUCAGCAAGGCCGAGCUCGCCCAAACGGAGAUAGGACACGAAGUCCGUAUUGGAAAAAGCCCUGAUGUCAUCAUGCAUUGCAUCGACAGACCACACAGCAGUGCCUGGAUCGGACGAACGUGGACCGCUGCCAGCCGACCACACUCGUUUCACCUGUUUCCCCCUCUCUAUGCCAGCAUCCACACACGCGGACUUCACACGAAGAACCCCAAGCGCGAAUUUGCUACUCUCGUCGACACGGUCUACCACAUGAACCACCCCCUUUUGAUGAAUCGAAGCUAAAUCACCCUCCAAGACCAUCCUCCUCGAGAACUCAAUGGCGAAGUGAUCGUAUCAUAAUGCCAAAUGCUUCGCCAAUACUUCUUUCUCUGAGACCAAAUUCUGAACCUGCUGGGAUAAGAGAGACUAACCUCCCCAUCUAGAAUCACCACGUAAGGUUCUACAACAGUUUUCUCCCCAGAAAGCACGAGGUAGCGUUCGUCAAACUUGCAUCGCUCCUCUUCGAGAAGCCAAACCUUCUCCGCAAGCUUGUCAUGCUCUGAUUUAACAUCAUCCAACUUUGCUAAAAUCGGCCCAUAUGUAACGAAGACGACCAGCAGCCGCCACCAAGUAAGGAGCAAUCUGAACAGUGGCAUACUGAAGAUCAUUCGCCAUAUGAGAAUAAGAAAUAACAUCGAGAGCCUCCAGGGUAGCCGAAGGAAAUGUAUGUCGGCACCACUCAUGAGCGGGACCCUGUUCCAGUAAAAGGGAACCGGGUGUAACGUUCCACCCUAGGAGAUAUACACCAGGAGCACCCAAAUACGAGGGACCCACUGCUGACAGGGCGUCACCUGAAACCAAGGGCGGGACGGGGCGAGUUCCCAUAGUGCUUGGUUCUCCUAGCCGACGUAAACCCACCAUCUCCAUUGUUUGCGGGUCGUCACCAUCAACAAUAUCAAUAACAAUCGGUGACUUAGAGAGCAGAGGAUCGGUGUUGUAUUUCUGACAAAAACACCGACCAAUAGUACUGCCACCAAUAUCCUCCUCAAGGGCAGAAUCUACAGCAGCAGACCAAUGUCGGGAAACGACUUGGCUGCUAGCCACACAUGAUCCCCCAACCCAAGAAGCAGCCCUAACCCCCGCCUCAACAGGAGGGAUGUCGCCCUUAAAACCCCUCUUCUUUUCAGCAAAAGAAACUCAAUACCAAAUAUGUAAAAAAGGAGAAAAGGGGGGGGGGGAGGAAGAUAGCACUUACCAUCAUUGUCCACAUAAAACUGAGGCAUUUUCCCACGCGACCGCCAAGCAGCACUCAUUCUGGCUGCUGCCAAUACACAGUCCGACCAAUCUUCGUCGUUAAAACAAAUCCCCCUUAAUGCACAAGCCACCGAUAAACCGACCCCGACAGUUGGGGCACCCGAUCCGAAGCCAUGUGCACACGAGGAUAGCCAGCCCCAACCAAAUCAUAGUUAACCCACAGCCAACGAUCCUGCCAAUUCUUCUGAGUCACCUUUUGGUUAACUAUACAGGAAUGCGUGUUACGACGCUGAGAAAAUGUGUGAACACUCACAUAGGUAGAUGAAUUGAAGAAAGAUUGGAAUGCUUGAAGAUGGGGAAGCACACCCAACGCUCUACACCCUAACACAAACCCAACUAUCUUGUUCACCGAGUUUGGGGUCAAGUCAUGAAUAGAGAAACCAUAUUCUCGCACAACCUUGUCGAAGAAAUUAGAAACAAGAAGACGAAACCCGACCUCGAAGAUCGCUACUAGAAUACCAACCUUCCCCACUUGUAGUUGAUAAAUUAUAGACCCUUGCAACGAGAAUUGAACCCCAUGCUCAGGCAUGAACCCAAACUGGAAUUGAAGAGACUCGGACUCCUUGGGUGUAGGAGCAAUUCCAAAUCUAACAAAGGCCAUCAAGAAUCGGAGAGGAAAAUAUGGGAGAAAGGAGAAGCGAUAAAAGAGGAUGAUACGGCGGAUUAUGGAUAGAGGAAGGUUAUAACCGUUCCUAAAUAUAGAGGGCCCUUAUAUAAAAAAUAAGAAGAAAAGAAGAAACGAAUCGAAACGACGCUAUCUCGCCAGAAGGACUCUAUUACAUCAGAAGCACGACAAGAACCGUUCCCACCAAACGCAUGCCCAGAUCUAAGCUAGAACUACUCAGCUACCCUAAUCAAACGUUGACCUCUACUAGCCUUGAGGACUUGUUAACGUAUCCCACCUGGAAUACGUCAAAUAUAGCAUAACCAUCAGUCGGAUAGACGGUUUGGGAAAAGAGCGGCGUAUGUCUAGCAUCGGGUCCUCGUUCUUGCCCUCACUCUCGCAAUCCCAUAUUCAUUCCUUGGCGCCUAAGCGUCAAAGCCAGUGUCAAUAAAAAAUAGUAUUGAUCGCUUCUCAGAGUGACAGGUGUAGCGCUCAAAACAUUGCUCUUGGUAAACCUACACCAAUGGCAAACGACCACACGUGGAACACGAUCUACCAAUUGAAGGCCGUCUAUCCUUUCCAAACCUAAAAAUCUAAGAGAUGUUAUCGGGGAUCUAUUCCCCCGACCACAGGGAUCGAGAAAUAAAUUGAUCGUCAUAGUCUCGUUCCUUAAACCCUUAACACAUUUCACCUUCUCUCUUAGAGUCCAACUAACUUGAUCGUCGGAGCCUCGUUCCAGGACUGCCUCUCGGACGACGACUGAUGAUCUUGUUUUCUUUGUUGUGAUUUUAUGGCCCUUCAUUCCAUCCUUCAAAGAGACAAAGUUAAGCCGAAGAUAUAUCACAACAUAAGAUUUUAUAAUAUUUGGAUUAGUGGUUCUACGUUAUUAAGUUAGUUAAUUUAAAUUAUGUUUUAUGUUUAUUAAAUCAAAUGUAAUGUUUUUUAAAAUUUAAUUAUAUUAUUUUAAUUUGUAUUUAUUUUUAUGCGACUUUUAUAUUUUUGAAUUUUUUUAAAAGAAAAAAUUGAAAGGUAAAAAUAGCGGUGUGAACGUGUCGAGACAACGCUUGGACAGGAUCGACUUAGACUCGUUUAAGUUAUGAGGGAAUUUAAUCUUUAUGGUACGGAGCUGAGCUCGAGCUCGUGAAGAAUUAUACAUGCUCGACUCGGGCUCGAGAUCGACUCAUUUUUUGUCUGAUGAGCCUAAAUAAGUUUAAGCUCGGUUCAAGCUCAUUAAGAAGCUCGUUUACUAAUACCUUAUAUCCUUAAUCCCACAAAAAUGUUUUUGUUUUAAUAUAUACAAAUAAUAAUAAUAAUAAUAAUAAUAAUGCAUAUUGUAUAUACGCUCAUUUAGGUCCGUUUAGGCUUGCGAGCUCACUAAUUGAAGCUCAGCUCGAGCUCGUUUAAUAAACGAGCGUCACGUUUAGGCUUGAGCUCGGCUCAUGCCCAUUUAAUUCGAUCUUGAGUGGAGCUUUUAACGAGUCAAUCUUGAGUAGUUCGACUAACUUACACCCCUAUGUAAAAACAUCACCACACCCAACUCAUAGGUAAAUUGUAGCAAAAAUUGUAACAACUUAUGUGGUGCCUAUGUUAAGUAAAAACUUUGCUACACCUUUUAGCCUUAAACUAAAAUAAUAGGGAAAACGACUUAGGAGGGUAACGAACUAUCGUUUUUGUUCACGUUUGUUCAUAUUUUUUUGUAUACUAUUUACUAUUGAACUUGUUUUAGGUCUUCAAAAAAUACCAUUAUGACCGGCUAAUAUAGGUUUAGCUGGUCAAGUUGAAUUUUCCCGUGACUAUAUGCAUUUUCCAGUGAAUGUAUGAAUUUUCCGACGAAUUUGAAAAAACAAGGUGCAUCUCAAAAAUCUUCCAAAUCGUUAUAGGUUGUUCAUCAAUUUUAGUUUUCGAUUUCUAUGGUUUGGGAAAUCACGUCAAGAACACGAAUAGGAACUUAGAACACAUACUUGAACACAAAAAUUUGGAUCCAAACCCAAGGGUUGAAGAUAAAAAGAACUCAAAACCAGAAAGUCAAAACCCCUAAAAUCUAUGGUUCAUUCAUCCGUUCUUGAAGUUUCUACCCGAAAGAUAAGUUCAGAUGUGUUUUCAAGUCUCAAGAACAUAAAAAAACAAACUCAAACCCUUCACCUUCAAGGGUUUUGUUUUUGGGUUUUCAAGAACAAGAAGAAACUCUCGAUCUUUAUAUAGGUUAAAGGGUUUUCGUUUAUGGAACUCCGAAUUCUGGAUUCGCUCGUGGAAAACACGAAGUAGAUGAAAAAAUGUGCUUUGAUUUUUGAUCAUAACGGUUACAAUGUAUGUGUGUGUUCUAGAACAUGAACCCAAAAAAUGAGCACGAAUCAAGAACACGGACAUUAAAAUCGUUUUCAAAGACAAACGAUCAAGAUGAAGACAAACACGAGAAUUGUUUUAGAUCUAAAAAAUUGUUCUUAAAUUUGUUUAUGUAAUCGUUUGGACAGAUGAAGAUGUGGAACACCCAUACAUGUCUGAGCCUCUGAAACAAACCUAGUCCUUCAUCUACAUUUGGUCGGAGACCGGCCAAAAAAGUCAUAUUGGCUGGAAACGUGUCAGAGAAGACGCCCGAAGAUGACAUACUGAUGUGACAUAAGAACAUGGUUUGGCAUGCGGAAUUAAAGAUUGCACAAUGAACAUGGUGAUUUGGGUGUUUAAGAGAUGUAUUGAAUAUGUAUGGUGUUACACAAAAAGGGACAUAGUUCUAGUCUACAUAAAUACCACAAACUUACACACUCACUUUUACACCUCUUAAGCACACCUCUACAAGUGGACUAAACCCACCUUAUAUAGAGGCGUUUACAUGUCUCUCUCUCUCACUCUCGCUAACUCAUUAGUCAUAAGGCUAAUGCACCACAUGCAAGUGGUUCUACAAAAGCCAAACCAUUUACAAAGUCACACAUGAAGAACUUUCACCCUAACAUUUUCCCCCUCAAAGUUAGAAAUGGAUGACCCACUUCAAAUCUUCCAAAAUCGAGCAACUAAGCGGUUCGAGCCUCAAAGGUGACGCAUAUUGAAAUGCACUUCAAUCUUCAAUUCUUCCAUGAUUCUUCAAUUUGGGCUCUAGGAUGUGAGACCAUACAAUCCGAGCAUCAUCGAAUGAUCACGAGCUUCUCAAACUCCAAAUCGAUCACCCUAAAGUUGAGCAUAAAAACACACCCCAAAAUUCUUCAAUAAUACCAAACCCAUCGAAAUGAAAUCACUUCCAAACUUCCAAUUGCAUCAUUUCGUAAGCUUCAAAACUUCAAGAUCACUUCGGUCUUCAAAUCCGCAUAAUAUGAAAAAUUCAAGUUUGAAUUUCCAUAUAAACUUCUCCCCGUUUUUAUAAUCGAAAUUUGAUUAUAAAACCACCAAGGAAAAGAACGUGCUCUAUUCGGAAUUUUUCUUGUCAAAACUCCCCCUUAACAUGUGGCAUAAACUUUGUGCUUCAAUCCGGAAAACCCAAAAAAUAUUCAAUUUGUAGCUUCGUUCACGGAUCGCCUUUGACAAAAUUUCUCAAAAAUGGGUAGAAAUUGUCAAUUUCAAAAUUCUGCAGUGACCCGGUGUGCCCAAAAUAGUAAAAUAUACAAAACUCUCCCCCUUUUUCAAAGUUGGGUAGAAAGCGUUAAUUUGCACAAACUGCAGGGGCCUGGAAUGCAUUUUCUUCAAUUUUCAGAAAAAACAAUCCUUUUUCGAAUUAGGGUAUGAACAGCCAAACAUUCGAAACAUCAGGGACUAUUUUCGACAAUUCUGCCCUUUGUUCUCAAAUCUUAUGAAGAGUCAUCCCAAACAUACGAAGCUUCAAAAAGUUUCGAAUUUGGGUGAAAAGUGUCAAACAUUCGAAACUUGGGUUAACUUUCGAAGUGUCAAAUAUUCGAAGGUACAGAGGCUAUUUUCGAAAAUGUGUCAUUUGACCAAAUCAUACGAAAAAUUGAUCAAUCACAGUAAGGGUAGCUAAUCGUACGAAAUUGUCUCAUGUGACAAACAUUCGAAGCUUCAAGGGCCAUUUUGAAACAUUUGCCUUUUCAUACGAAACUUUUUUUUCCUUCUUUAGUUCAUACAAAUCCACCCUUUAUUUUUCGUACGAAAUCCAAAACACCCGUGCUUACAAAUCCAAAAUACCCCCUUCGUAUAAAUCACAAACAAAUACCCCUUUAAGAGAUGUAUUGAAUAUGUAUGGUGUUACACAAAAAGGGACAUAGAUCUAGUCUACAUAAAUAACACACACUUACACACUCACUUUUACACCUCUCAAGCACACCUCUACAAGUGGACUAAACCCACCUUAUAUAGAGGGGUUUACAUGUCUCUCUCUCUCUCACUCUCACUAACUCAUUAGUCAUAAGGCUAAUGCACCACAUGUAACUGGGUCUACAAAAGUCAAACCAUUUACAAAGUCAUAUAUGAAGAACUUUGCACCCCAACACAGACUCGUCGGAAACCUUCAAUAACCGAUAAUAAUGGUAUUUUUUGAACACCUAACACAAGUUCAAUGGUAAAUGGUGUACAAAAAUGACCAAAUAUAAAAAAAGAGAACAAUAGUUCCUUACCCCCUAAGUCAUUUUCCCAAAAUAAUAUGAUGAAAUGUGCCAUCAAUUUUUGUUAGUUGUACGAUAUUAAAAUUAUUGCCUUAUUGGGAUCUCAACCAAUAAUAGAUUAAUAUUCAAAUUUUACGGGCCAAACCAUAGUUUAACGAAUUAAUCUCAAAACUCAAUUUAAAUGCUUCGAAUUAGGAUUUCUUCGGAAAAUGCUGUUGUGGCACAAAUAACUUUUGGGUUUGGUCCGAUUUGACCAACUAUGCUAUUUUUUUGCACAAUAGAGCACUAAUGUUUUACUGUAGAUGUUAAUUACUGUAACGCCCAUUCCUAAAAGUACUUAUUUAUGAGUCCCCGGGAUUUAAGAGGAAGAGUAUUUUGGUCCUUUUAUAGGAAAGUGGGAAAAGAAGGCCAAAUAUGAAAAUUUGGGACACGCCGAGUACGCCCAACGUAAGUGAGUAAGUGGACGCGGGUGCAAGGUUGAGUACGCCCAGCGUACUAGAGGUACGCCCAGCGUACUCUCAGAGUUCUAAACCCCUAAAAUUAGGGUCAGCCACUAUAUAAGGAACAUGCUCCAUAAGCUCUCUCUUAACCUCAGAAACCCUUGAUAGCCGUUCCACCUCCAUUGUUGGGUGUGUUUGGCCUUGGAAAGCUUAUUUUGGCAAAGGAGAGGCUAGAAGAAGAAAGAGGAAGUUGUCAAAGAAGGAGUUGAGUGGCUGGAGCUUAUAGAUCUGGAAAGAUAUCAUCCUUUGGAGCCUAUCUGAGGUAUAAAGCUUCUUGCUUGACAUUUAUAUUACAUAAAUCUAAGUGUUGUGAAGUUUUGACAUCAUUCUUGUCCCAAAAGUCCUCAUCUUGAUGCAUUUUUUGAGUUGGUCGAGAUUAUCUGUCCUUUCAGACCUUAGGAGAGGUCUUGAGUGAGAAAAAUGAGGUCCCAAGAGUUGUGGUUGUUCCAUGUGUGAGAUAAGUAGGUCUUAAUGGAUUAAGACCUUGGAUUAAGAGCUUUAUGGACGCCCCAAGUGAUAAAGUUUGAGACUUUAUGAAUCUUAGGCAUAUUUGGCCUAAGGAUCUGAAGUUUGGGCUUAAGAGCUUAAGCCAUUAAGAAGUUAUGUGGACUUAAUGAGCAGCGAAGUUACGCCCCACGUAACAGAGGAGUACGCCCCGCAUAGCGGGUCAGUGUCCCGAUCCCCAAUUGCGAAUCAGCGUGUACGCCCAGCGUACUCCCUCUGUUGGGUUUUCAUUUUGGGCCUUAGGGAUUGGGCUGUUAUUGGGCUGCUGGACUUUGGGCCGUGACUGGACAUUAGGGAUGGAGUAAUGUGGACCGAUUAAUUAUUAUGGACCAUGGGUCUAGGCCUAUUUGGUGAGGUGGGCCCAAUUUAGUAAAUUGGGCCAAUAGUGGGCUUUGCUUCAAACUUUUGGUCCUUGUGCCAUCAGUGGGCUUGAGAGCUUAUCCAGUGUUGGGCCGGAUUGAGUUAAGGGUCAAUUGGUCAAUUUACCCUUGGAAGGGUAUUGUGCUUAGCCUAAUGAUUAUUUGUGCUAUGUUGGCUAGUUCGGGAUUUUCGGUGAGUCGGUGAUUCGAGAAUCUGCUUCUUCAGUUCAGAGUUUCGGCAGUGGCAAGGUGAGUUAUCCUCACUAUAUAAACAGGGUCUAAGGCACCAAGGCCGGCGCUUUAUCGGAUUGAGAUCCGAGUAUUUGUUGUUAUGUUAUUGCUUUGAUAUGUUUGCAUCCUGGUAGCUAGGAUGGUAUAUGUUAGAGACUUGGUUAAGGUCGGUAUCCUGUUAUGUAGGAUGAUGCUAUGCUAGCGGCCGGUUAGGUCGGUAUCCUGGUUAGGAUGAUGAUAUGUUAUGUGAUCUACUUGAUCGGCUUGUUGACUGUGAUUUGUUAUAUGAUUGUAUGUUUAUGUGCACAUGGUUGUUUGGACUGGAGUUGGGUUGAGGCGGGUCCUACUUUGCGCUGUAGGCCAAGAUACCCAGGGCGGACCGGUUGUCCCGAAGGCCCAGCGAGCGGUCUGGAUAUGAUGUAGGCUCCAAGAGGGCGGACCAGACGUGCUGAGGCUCAGAGAUUGGACCAGGCCGACUGAAGGCCCGGUGCGGGCGGACCAGUCAUACUGUAGACUCAGAGAGUGGACCAGGUGGAUUGAAGGCCCGGGAGCGGGCGGACCAAUCACACUGCAGACUCGAUGUAUGUGGAUAGACUCAGAGGGUGGACCAGGUGGACUGUAGGCCGGUGCGGCGGACCAGUCACACAGUAGACCCGAAGUGCAUGGCUGUUCUGUGAUCGGAUAUGUUAUGGCAUGUUAUGCGUGUAUGGUAUAUGUGGUUGGUAUUUUGGGGGUAUCUCACUAAGCUUUCGGGCUUACAGUUGUGGUUUAAUGUUUUUCAGGUUCUUCAGGAGACCGUGGCAAGGCGAAGGCGUGAUCGUACCGCUCCUCAUGUUUAUGUUGUGAUGUGAUUCUGGGAAUACUCUAAAUAAAUUGUAUUGAAAACCUUUUUGUAAUAAUUUAAUGAAAUCGGGUUGUUUUUGAAAAGUUUAAAUUGGUUGAAAUUUUUUGGUCGUUACAAGUUGGUAUCAGAGCCUUGGUUUGAGUGAAUUGGAGGAACACUCGUGUGACUCCAGUCUCAAAUCGAGGAGGGUUUUCAAAAGAGAAUUUAAAAUGGUUUUCAAAAUGAGUAAGGGAGGACGCGGAGGUACGAUCAGCCGGAGCCAGUAAGUAACCCCAAAAUACCAUGCAUGUUACUUGUUUUUGAGCUUUGAUAGAACAGCAUGCUAGAGUUAGGCUAGGGAUCUUCAGGAAUUCAUGAUAAUGUUGCCUGAUUUGUGAUGCCUGUAGCCUAGGGUUCCUUAUGGGAGAUUCUCAGUGUUCCUCUAGUGGUGAGGGUUGAGCGUUGUUAUGCAUGUUUCUCUAGGGUGUUGUGGUAGUACUUCAUACAAAUAUGGGUAGGUGUGGAAGGUAGUAUGGGCCCGUACUACUGAAAGCACAGGACCCAUACGCGUAUCAGGGAAACCAUGACCUCUAGGGUUGGGAUGAGAGUUGGUUCCCGGGAUAGUGGGAAGUGUUUGAGAUUUUGUGGUGUUUUUCAGUAUGGUGGUCACGAGGCAUGCUGGGAGCGGAUCCGGGUCAAGAUCAGGAGCCGGAGAGGGCGGUCAGGGUGGGUCGGUACCGCCCGAGGUUGUGGGUCAGAUGAGCACAGGCGAGUUGGAUGCUAGGAUUCGUGAGAUCCUGCAUGAUGAGGUUGUUACGUUGUUCCGGGCCGAGCUGCCAGAACUGUUUGGGUUAAUCAAGACCGCCAUAGUUGAGUAUUUUGAUGCGCGCUAUGCGGCUCUCACUAAGACGGCUGUCGCGACGGCUACAGCGGCUGUAGCAGCGGUAGGGGGAGGAGUCGGUCGAGGUUUUCAGUAUCGGGACUUCGAUAAUACGAAGCCUCCUACCUUUGAUGGAGUUCAGGACCCGAUCGUUGCUAUGAGAUGGUUGUCGGACGUGGAGGGGUGUUUCUUCACGUGUUCAUGCCUUGCUGAGCAGAGGGUGAGGUGUGCUCUGAACCUGUUGAGGCUCGGGGCGAAGGAUUGGUGGAGAUUGACCACAGGGUCAUAUUCGGAUGCGCAGAGGGCUGCGGUUUCAUGGGAUCAGUUCAGAGAGAUGUUCAUCACUCGUUAUGUUCCGCAGGUUGAGAGAGAGAGAUUGGCUCAGGAGUUCCUUGAGCUGAAGCAGGAUUCGGAGUCGGUGACUGAGAUCACCAGGAUGUUCACUGAGAGGGCGAUGUUUUGCCCUGAGUUCGCUUUGGAGCAGGCUCAGAUGUCCCGAUAUCUGAGUAUGCUCAAGAGAGAUAUCAGACAGUUUGUGUCUACGCAGAGGUGCGAGACUUUGUUGGAGUUGCAGGAGGCCGCCAGGCGGCGUGAGUUGGAGAUUGAGUUGCAGUUGCGAGAGCUGAGGCAGGCUCCGGUGCAGUCGCAGCCAGCGCCGAAACGGUCCAAGACCGUUGAUUCUAGGGUGGGAGAUCAGAGCAGCCACGCUUGUGGGAAGUGUGGGAAGGGUCACACCGGAGUUUGUAGGUCCAGUGGUGCAUGCCGCAAGUGCGGAAAGGAGGGGCACUAUGCGAGGGAUUGUCGGCAGUCAGCCCCGGUUCAGGAUUUGAGGAUUUGUUAUCAUUGUCAUCAGGUUGGACACUUGAGGGUCAACUGUCUACAGCUUGCUGCAGGACCGGUGCAAGCUCAAGCACCGACCACUAUGAGGAUCACGGUUGGAAGUCAGGGUGGAGCGGAGCCCCCAAGGGCUCAGGGCCAUGCUUUUCAGCUUUCAGCAGAGGAGGUCAGAGCAGUGCCGGAUGCAGCUGCGGGUAUGUUUCUUUCUUGAUAUCUUGUUAUCUUGUGAUUAUUGUGGACUAUUGUUUAUCUGCUAGUCUCGUUGUGUGGUUUUCGGUAUGGUAUUCGUUGUUCUUUGAGGGUUAUGGUAUGGUUAUGGGUUUAGUAUUGGGAAUUUCGUUGGUUAUCAUUCAUGAGGGUUAUUAGUGGAAAUCUGGCGUUUGGUUUGAAUGUCGGGUAGCAUCUACAUUCUGAGGAGUAGUUAGCUGCAGAUUGAGUUUCUUUCGAGCUCGGGAUGAUCAGUGUUGUUAUGUGAUUUUGUGAAGGUUGCUCGUGCUAGUGGGAAUCAGUUCUCGUAUAAGUGUUUGUGUGGUGUAAGUUUGUUGAGGGAGGUCGAUGAUGGCGACCGGUGAUUGAUAGUCAGUGCUAUAAGUGGGGGAGAAUUGGAAAAUUCUUUGGAAGAUCGAUGAGCAUGUGAGGUUGUUUAGCUGCUUAGAAUUCAACAGUGUCUCUGUCAGCCAAGAGCGUGGGCUGCUAUGAGUAGGUGACAGGCAUGCAGGGCAGGAUACAGACCAAGGGUAUUCGAUUGUGGAGGGCCUGGGAUCAGGCCGGGAUUGAGUAUGUAGGAUGGAGAUAGAGUUCGGAACCCUUAGAGGGCUAGAACAGUAUGCAUGGGGGAGUCUCCCGAAGGGAUAACUCGGAAUGAUGAAUGCUAGUUGAGCGGUCCAGAUAGACUGAAGGCCGGUAGGCAUACCAGUCAGGCCGAAGGCUCGGAGGACGGUCCAGCCAGACUGAAGGCCCUGGAGGGCGGUCCAGAUCUGCUGAAGGUUCUGAGAGUGGUCCAGAUUGGCUGGAGGCCUGGUAAGGCGGUCCAGUCAUGCUGAAGACUCUGCAUGUGUUGAUAAAUUUGUUUGGGGAUAUGGAUUGAGUAUGUCGCGAUGUGUUAGCAUUGGAAGGUCUGGCCCCGGGUAUUGAUCUCGAUUAGUAGAGAUAGUGCAUGGACUCGAGAGUCCUUGCGAUCAGAUUCAGAGCAUGUGUGUUGUAUGGAUAGCGUUUAUGCUAUAAGGGAGUGGUGUAGCAUUGGGCGAGCACCGUGGCACUUGUCGCAGUGACAAGGCGGCCAAGUGGAUUUCCUUGGUAAGGAAAGAGAAAGGAAUGUAGCUCCGAGAGGGAGUAUAAAUUCACGGAAGUGAAAGCGGCAGUGUAGAGUUAUGAUUGGAGUGAUCCAAUUAUGGUCAUUGAGCAGCGUGAUUGCGGCAUUGGUAUGGAAUCACAUCCGGAUUGGAUGACUGUUGAGGUCGCGGAAGGGAUUCCGCGGGUGUAGAGCCAAGAGUCUCGGAAGGCAUGCAGGGAUGGAGUCUUGGAUUCCCAGUUGGAUUCUGAUCAAGGAAUUGUGUAUGUAGUGGUGAUUCAUCCUGGGGGAUGUUUGGAGGUGUCGUCAGUGUGACGGGUUUUCCCAACCCGAGGGUGCUAGAGCUAGUUCAGCAUGUGCAUGCGAUUGCAAGAUGAGAACUCUUGGGAGUUGCUAUGAGGCUGAAGAAUCUGUCAUUAUGUCAGCAUGGAAUGGAUAGAGUUGGACUCGGAUCGGGAACCCGGUGGUGCAGGGUUAUAUCUAGCCCGUAAGAGUCAAGUGAUUGUAGUGGUCAUUAUCAAGAAAAGUGCCAUGGAGUGGUACUCGGUUGAUAAGUGUGGUUAUCAAAGGGUGAAUCCGGUGGCCGGCUUUAGGCGGUGGUCAGAACACCGCAAGAAAAGGGAAAGUUUAGUUUCGGAUUUUGAUGGGUGUGUCUUAAGGAACCUGGUUUGGUUAAUGCCAGGUGGUGCGUUGCGGGAGAAGUUCUGAGUCGAGUUGCCGCAGGCUUUGAGGGCGAAGCCUAAUUUAAGUGGGGGAGAAUUGUAACGCCCCAUUCCUAACAGUACUUAUUUAUGAGUCCCCGGGAUUUAAGAGGAAGAGUAUUUUGGUCCUCUUAUGGGAAAGUGGGAAAAGAAGGCCAACUAUGAAAAUUAGGGACACGCCAAGUACGCCCAUCGUAGGCUGGGUUACGCCCAGCGUAAGUGAGUAAGUGGACGCGGGUGCAAGGUUGAGUACGCCCAGCGUACUCUUAGAGUUCUAAAACCCUAAAAUUAGGGUCAGCCACUAUAUAAGGAACAUGUUGGUUCAUACCCUAGCCUCCAUAAGCUCUCUCUUAACCUCAGAAACCCUAGAUAGCCGUUCCACCUCCAUUGUUGGGUGUGUUUGGCCUUGGAAAGCUUAUUUUGGCAAAGGAGAGGCUAGAAGAAGAAAGAGGAAGUUGUCAAAGAAGGAGUUGAGUGGCUGGAGCUUAUAGAUCUGGAAAGAUAUCAUCCUUUGGAGCCUAUCUGAGGUAUAAAGCUUCUUGCUUGUCAUUUAUAUUGCAUAGAUCUAAGUGUUGUGAAGUUUUGACAUCAUUCUUGUCCCAAAAGUCCUCAUCUUGAUGCAUGUUUUGAGUUGGUCGAGAUUAUCUGUCCUUUCAGACCUUUGGAGAGGUCUUGAGUGAGAAAAAUGAGGUCCCAAGGGCUGUGGUUGUUCCAUGUGUGAGAUAAGUAGGUCUUAAUGGAUUAAGACCUUGGAUUAAGAGCUUUAUGGACGUCCCAAGUGAUAAAGUUUGAGACUUUAUGAAUCUUAGGCAUAUUUGGCCUAAGGAUCUGAAGUUUGGGCUUAAGAGCUUAAGCAUUUAAGAAGUUAUGUGGAUUUAAUGAGCAGCGAAGUUACACCCCAUGUAACAGAGGAGUACGCCCCGCGUAGCGGGUCAAUGUCCCGAUCACCAAAUGUGAAUCAACGUGUACACCCAGCGUACCAAGGAGGGUACGCCCAACGUACUCCCUCUGUUGGGUUUUCAUUUUGGGCCUUAGGGAUUGGGCUGUUAUUGGGCUGCUGGACUUUGGGCCGUGACUGGACAUUAGGGAUGGAGUAUUGUGGACCGAUUAAUUAUUAUGGACCAUGGGUCUAGGCCCAUUUGGUGAGGUGGGCCCAAUUUAGUAAAUUGGGCCAAUAGUGGGCUUUGCUUCGGACUUUUGGUCUUUGGGCCAUUAGUGGGCUUGAGAGCUUAUCCAGUGUUGGGCCGGAAUGAGUUAAGGGUAAAUUGGUCAAUUUAUCCUUGGAAGGGUAUUGUGCUUAGCCUAAUGAUUAUUUGUGCUAUGUUGGCUAGUUCGGGAUUUUCGGUGAGUCGGUGAUUCGAGAAUCUGCUUCUUCAGUUCAGAGUUUCGGCAGUGGCAAGGUGAGUUAUCCUCACUAUAUCAACAGGGUCUAAGGCACCAAGGCCGGCCCUUUAUCGGAUUGAGAUCCGGGUAUUUGUUGUUAUGUUAUUGCUUUGAUAUGUUUGCAUCCUGGUAGCUAGGAUGGUAUAUGUUAGAGACCUGGUUAAGGUCGGUAUCCUGUUAUGUAGGAUGAUGCUAUGCUAGUGACCGGUUAGGUCGGUAUCCUGGUUAGGAUGAUGAUAUGUUAUGUGAUCUGCUAGAUCGGCUUGUUGACUGUGAAUUGUUAUAUGAUUGUAUGUUUAUGUGCACAUGGUUGUUGGACUGGGGUUGGGUUGAGGCGGGUCCUGCUUUGUGCUGUAGGCCAAGAUACCCAGGGCGGACCGGUUGUCCCGAAGGCCCAGCGAGCGGUCCGGAUAGGCUGUAGGCCCCAAGAGGGCGGACCAGACGUGCCGAGGCUCGGAGAGUGGACCAGGCCGACUGAAGGCCCGGUGCGGGCGGACCAGUCAUACUGUAGACUCAGAGAGUGGACCAGGUGGAUUGAAGGCCCGGUGCGGGCGGACCAAUCACACUGCAGACUCGAUGUAUAUGGCUAGACUCGGAGGGUGGACCAGGUGGACUGUUGGCCGGUGCGGCGAACCAGUCACACAGUUGACCCGAAGUGGAUGGCUGUUCUGUGUUCUGAUAUAAUAUGGCAUGCUAUGCGUGUAUGGUAUAAGUGCAACAGGUAUGGACAUACUGCCAGUUACUGUAUGAUCCAGAUCCAACACAUUUCUUCAACCACCAAUGUCCAAACCUCUCAGAUAUGCCAUAUAUGUGGCGUCAUGGGACAUUUCAAGAAGGAUUGUCCAGCAGGGAAGGGCAACGACGAAUCCAGAGGAGUUUGACCUCAGAAUGCAAAGAGGCAGUUAAGGACCCUAAUAUAGUAUAGGUUCCCUCCAAGUCGUUAGUAUUCUAUAUGUUCAAAAACAUGUUUAAAACUAGUGCAACUAGAGUCUUAUCUUUUGCGGGAUCCUGUCGGUAUAGGGAUGCUCGUGCUGCGUAUACUUGUCUUUUGUAGUAUAUCUGAUUCGCAGCAAUAGUCUUGUAGCAAAUCUAAAGUACUGUAACUCUAAUCAUGGUUGCACGGUUGUUUUUGUCUGUAAACGUUUUAUGCUCAAAUCUAAUUUCUUUAAGUUUCUAUAUGAUUCCGACAUUAUCAUACGACUCGAUUCAAUUUGAUCCUCGCAAUACCAGCUUCAUAAGUACACCUCUUUCUCAGUAAAUGUCUUUUAGCGAAGCUGUCAUAUCAGAACACUGAAGUACUCAUACCAGGAGUACCUUAUAGUUCUUUUCCUUUCCGAAGGAAUCCCCACAUUAUUGCUCGUGCAGUACGUCAAGUUCAAUUCCAGGAUUCAUACAGUUGAUCUAUCACUGAAGACUGUAUGCAUGAGAGUGAUAUAUAAUUAAUGUUCUACAGGUUUAGAAUUGAUGAUUCCACUUUAAUUUCUUUUCCCUCGAUGGGAUGUGAGAUUAAGGAAGAAUCAGUUAUUCGACUACCUUUUCAGUCUUAAUUAUAUACGACUCGUAUACACGAAAUUGUGAUCAUUGAAUCACGUAUGAAUUCUAAUAUGAACUUCAGGACGGAGACUGUCCAGGAGUACGAGUAAUUGCAAUGGCAUAGGAACCAACUUAGAACCCAGUAUGACUCUUAUAACCAGAUCGCCUUUAGUCUAAACACCUACGGAAGAUACAAGAACAGUCCGGACCACACAACGAACUACUCAACAAUAGAAUUAGAAGACCAGGCUUCUCACCCUUGAGAGCUCCGGUCUUAUUCUUACCAAAAGUCGUUGGUGUGCAUCAUAUGUACCUCGACGACCGGAGACUUCAUUUAGAUUUCCUUUAGAAAUCGUUAUCUCUGUCUCGCUUAGAAGAGUUGAUUGAGCAAACACAGGGAAAGUGUUACUUUCAGAAAUGGACCUGAGAUCCGAGUAUCACUAGUUCGAGUGUUAGGGAAGGGUGUCCUAAAGACUACCCUCCGAACUCGAUAUGGACACUUCGAGUCCGUAGUGAUACCCCUCGGAUAGGACCAAUACGCCCAUAGUAUUCCUGAGCUAAAUGAGUGGAGUAUGCCUUUCUUACUGGGAUCAGUUCGUCAUUUCUCCAUAUAAUGACUACUUAUCUACCCUCGGAGUAAGAAAGAACCCGUAAAAACAUUACCCUCGGAGAUACUUUUCGCAAAGUUCUCUGAACAAGAGUUUUGGAAUUUAGAGUCAAAUUUCCUGAGACACACUUUUAGUAUUGUGGAUGUUUUUGAGUACUCUGUCAACUUAUCCAAAACCGUUGGGAAUUUGUCGGCACCGUAGUCACCGACGGAAAAUUCACCAAAUUCUAGGCCUUACAGACCUACUAUCAUAGUCCAUUCGGAACUCCCCGCAAACUUCAGGAACCCUUUCGACUUCGACCCAGCUAGGGAUGGCCUUGACUGGGAAGUAAGCGAGAGGAAGAACCUUUGGAAUUCCAAGUGAGAGACCAAAUUCUUUAGGAAACCUCACUCUGGGAACGGCUUAAUACGCUUCGUAAAGCGUGGAAAGUUGAAUCCAAUGUAGUUGGGACCUCCAAGAUUCUUACUAGAAUCGGUCCUGCAUCUCACAAACUAGACCUACUCCGCGAACUCAAUAACGUACAUGUUACCCUUCGCGUCUCGAACUUGAAACAAUAUCUUUCCGUUAGGACUUUCAUAAGCCCUCUCGACGAGAUCGAGGUUUACGAGAUCCUUGCCUUCGUAUUAGAACCGUACUGACCCUCGACCGACUGGUCAAGCGGACGAAGCAACGUCAUCACCCAUUAGUGAAGGUUCGUUGGAAUACCAACCGAGAACCCGAGUUCACUUAGGAGCGCGAGAACCAAUCGAUUAGGAAGUUCGCAUAAUGACUCGAUCAUUCGUACCUACUUCCUUGGCUAAAUUCUAAUUUCGGGACGAAAUUCCCUUUAACAGGGGGAUGCUGUGACAANAUGUGACAACCCGAAAUUUCCAUUCUGUACAAACUAUAUCACUUCAAUAGAAGUUAUAGCAGUCACAGUUAAUUUUCAGACUUUUUCGUGUAAGUUUGAGUAAUUCAGGGUUUACACUUCAGGAGAUAUCAGGAGAGUGGAUGCACUAGGGUUUAGUGCAACUCUAUUAUUCCAUCACUCUAUUAUAUUAGAGGUCAUUUCAGGAAUAAAAAUAUUUUCUGCCAAAAAUAUUUUAGAACUAUAAAUAGAAUUCUGAACCAAAUUCAUUCAUUAUUCACAUUUCUAACUAGAGAAAAGUCAUUUUCUCUCUCACGGAUCUUCGGGUAUUUAUACCAAAACGUGAGUAACUCUUUCUAGUAGUGUUAGAAAGCUUUAAAUGUGUUCAUAACAUAGAUUACAUAGCUAAAUCAUUAGAUUUAGGAGUUUACUCCCCAAGGUGUUCUUGGGCGGUAAACUCCCGAAACAAAGCCGAGACCGACCCUUGUGUUAUGCUACUGCCUUAGAAUCAUUUAUAAGUGUAUUAGGGACAUGAAAACAAGCUAGAAACACCCAAGUUUGAGAGUUUACGGCCCAAGAGUAACUUAGGCCGUGAACUCCAAUUUCAAACUCAAAAUGGUGCUUUUAAGGCACCUAAGGCCUUAGACUUUUACCUAGACUUGUUCCCAAUAAAUCAAGGGCCUUAAACACAUAAGAAUCACCUUGCAAAGUGAGUUUACGGCCAUGACAUGGUUCAUGGGCCGUAAACUCAUUAAAGGGGCACCAAAGUGUGUCAAGGGUCUUCAUAUGCUUGGAAUAAAAGCCUAGAACCUAUACCACUUGUGCAUGAGACUUGAAAACAUCUAAAACACCCAUCCUUAAGAGUUUACGGCCGCAAACUCUAAGGGAAAUGGCCUUAGGGCCGUAAACUCCUCAAAGGAGUGUUUCUAGGUCUUAAACCCUUCCAAGAAUUUAACCACCAAGUUGGAAUAAUUCUAGGAAUCAUUUGGAACUUCAAAACACACAAUACACCCAUGGUUGGGAGUUUACGGCCGUAAACUCAAGAGUUUACAACCGUAAACUCCAUGUGUGAUGGUAUAUGGGGAGUAAACUCAUAUAUGGGGUCCUUUGGAACCCUAAACACAAGUGCCUUGUCCCACAAUAGCUUAGAUGCAAUCCUUAGGGCUUAAAACACUUAUAUAAAGUGUUUAUUAUGUCUAGGAUGUCUUAACAUUAUCAAUUAGUAAUUUGAGACUAAUUGAGUGCAUAUAUGUGUGAUUAUAUGUUCAUUAGGAUCGUAGUGUGUGUACAAGUCCUCGCUUGACACCUAGCAAUCCUAUACCGUUCAGUUCAUCCCAAUCACCAACUACAGGUGAGUUCAUACCCCUAAUCAAUGUUUUAAAUGAUUUUAAAUGCUUUAAUGGGGGGAAUACAAGUAGAAACAAACAUGUUAUUAAAUCAUUGAUAUGUAUUUUAUAACUGUGUUUGUCAUUUAACAGAUUUCACAUACUACAAAAUGUGAUGCAUGAAAUGGUUUUAAAUCUUAAAAAUACUUUGUUAUCAAAUGUUUUACUUUUGAAAUGUUUAUUAAAAUGACAUCAAGUCAUUGUUAAUUAUUGUUCAAAACCCAUAAGAUGUCUUACAAAACCAUUUUACAUUCUUGAACUAAACUAUGCAUAUACACUUAUAUUCUUAUAUAUGUAUUGAUGUUAUAGUUUACAUCUUUCAUUUAGUUUCCCACACCCUUGAGUAGUAAGAGUGUAUAAACCUACAUGAUCAACCAGUUAUAUUACAGUAAAUUAUCAUAGGGAUAAUUUGAAGAUAUCAAACAUUACUUCUAUUACAAGGAAUCACACAAGAGUCAGUUCAUUCAUGAGUCUAUACUAGUACAUUACCUGAUACAUGAGUACAUACAGAUGUUUACCUGAUACAUGAAUAUGUUUACAUAUACUUACCUGUUACAUGAACACACUUACAUGAAUACCAUACAGGAACACUUUUACAUAGGUGCAUUAUCCUGUAUUCACUUACCUGGAUACUUGUACUUAGAACUACGAGGAUGAUUUAUUAGUACUUUCUGUGUAAAUUAUCUUUCCUAUCCCGGUUCAAUGGGAUAUCUCGGCGGGACUUACCAUUCCGAACCCCACUGAUUAGCACCAGUGGUCGAUGACCAUCUACGGAGGUCUAAGGUUACUACUUAUACUAGGUAGAUCGAUAACCGGGGCUAACCCCUCCACCCACCUGCUGCUGCUACAGAGGACAAGUGGACAAUCUUCGAUUGUUCAUAAGGUUAUACCUUUCGCUUAUUGCGAUGUUGUGUUACUCCUAGUACCCAGCGAUGACACUUACAUUAAUACUUUUUCUGGACAAUCUUCGGAUGUUCAUUAGGUUACAUAUUUCGCUUAAUGCGAUGUUGUGUUAGUCCUAGUACCCAGUGACAACACUUACAGUAGUACAUUUUCCUGUUUACUUUAUUUUGUGAUACUUUAACAUAAACGAUGAGUUAGACUAAGUACUUUAGUACUAAACAAUUAAAGGAAAAACUAUCAUUUUACUAACAAAACAUUCGGGUCUUGGUAGAAGACUACAUUAUCAUAACAAAACAUUCGGGUCUUGGUAGAAGACUACAUUAUCAUAACAAAACAUUCGGGUCUUGGUAGAAGACUACAUUAUCAUAACAAAACAUUCGGGUCUUGGUAGAAGACUACAUUAUCAUAACAAAACAUUCGGGUCUUGGUAGAAGACUACAUUAUCAUAACAAAACAUUCGGGUCUUGGUAGAAGACUACAUUAUCAUAACAAAACACUCGGGUCUUGAUAGAAGACUACGUUAUCAUAACCAAACAUUCGGGUCUUGGUAGAAGACUACAUCUCAAACUAAUAGAAAACAAGGGAUUUUCUAGGGUUUUUCAUACAUACAUCAACAUUUUCAUUUAAAGGUUUACAUGGACUUCAUAAUAGAUUUUCAUAAGCAAGACAACGACACUUAAUUACUUAUGAAUUCACCAGCUUUAAAGCUGAUACUCGCUUUCAAAAUAACUUGUAUUCUCAGGUCAUCAGUUAGACAGGUGCAAUGGCCAGGUUGUUGAGAAGAUGGAGCACAGACAAGACUCGCCUUAUUUUGAUUAUUCAUUUUAUUGUUGUACAUUAUGAAAGAACACACAUGUAUUAAAACUCUACUUAUAAUGCAAUGGAUGAUGUUGUUGUUUGUUUAUUAUAUUACACUGUUGUGAUACUGUACAUGAUGUCCUCCACCCCGGAACGUUUCCACCGUUCUUGGUUUUGGGGUGUGACACGAGUCAACCUUGCGACUCGCCGAGUCCAUUCAGUCAUUUUAUCAUGCAGACAACUUUUAAGCCAUGGCAAGGCCCCAAAUUGCAGAUCCAACCUCCUUAGGCCUGCUUGCCACGUAAAGUUGCAAACUUUACGUGCAUGCAAGGCUCCAAUGACUCAAAAAGCCCAAACUAAGCUUGAAAUGGGGUUUUACACAUAGGGAGGGGCUCAAACUUGCCAAAGCUAAGAACUUUAUGGUCCUUCAAUUCAUAGAGAGUUCAGAUCUGAAGUUACAACUUCAGAUCUUGGCCCAUACUCUAGGAAAUGACUUUAUAACCCAACCAAGAACCCUAAUCUCCAACCAAGGAGGUCUAGAACGAAAUAGAGAGGAGGAUAACAGCUUGAUACCUUCCCAAGAGAUGACAACUGGAGUAGAUCCGGAUUUUCCCCAAGCUCCUUGCUUCAAACCACUUGCUUCCCAAGCUCUUUCCCACCAAAAUCCUCUUCCAAGGCUUCAAACACACAAUGGGCACACACACAGGUUUUAGGGUUUGAGGAGGCUCUCAAAGACUGUAAAGGGGCCAAAGGAGGCUAAGGCUCCUUUAAAUAGAGGUGCAAACCCCAGGCUUUAGGGUUUCCACUGCUAGCUCCUACUCGUCGAGUCCCCAUAUGGACUCGUCGAGUAGGUCAUUUAACCUGCGACCCCAUCCCGCUGCUACUCGAUGAGUAGGUCAACCAACUCGCCGAGUAGAGCUUAACCCAACAAAUCUUAUAUAAGCCAUACAUGAGAAUCGGGGCGUUAUAAUUAUAGGGAUCAAAGGUAACGUUUUAGGGAAAAACCUCGUGCCACGAUGUGGUGAAUGGAGCACCACAAUGUGGUAUGCCCUAGCCUCUAUGACUAUUAGAAAGAUUGUUCUCAUAUUUGAAGCUUAUUCCUUGGAUUUUGGUGAAGCUUGAGAAGAAUGAAUUUCACAAGGAAGCAAUGAGCUAGUUUGGAUCUAUCAUUCUCUUUGGUUUUCUAAGCUACUUAGGGUAUAAAGUUCUCAUCUUGACAUAUCUUCUUCUAGAUUUAAGUUUGUGGUCAUUAUGAGUGGUUUUUAUUCUUUCCUUGAAUGAUCUUGGAGUUUGAGGAACUCCCGAGCUUGUUAUGGCUCUUAGAUGGUCCAUAGGUUUUGUUUAGUGAGAAAAAGGCUUUAGUUUGGAUGAUUAUUGGUCCCAUGCACUAGUUUUAGCCCCCAUUAAGGACUUAAUGGACUUAGGGUUGUAAGUCUAGCCUUUGAAUGGAGUCCUAAUAGAUAAAGUUGGAAACAUUAUCCAUUAAGUCAUUGAAAAGAAGUAGAUAUGAAGUUUUGGGCUUAGAUAUGCAAGGACUAAGCACUUAAUGAAGAAUAUGAUAAUAUGCGAGUUCUACGAGGUGCCAAUGGGCUUGCGACAACGUGGUGGUUCCCUGCUUCGUGAGUGUUUUGUCCUGGUAUUCCCACGACGUGGCCAGGAGGUCUCCACGUCGUGGUGAGUGUUGACUUCGUUGAUUGUUGACUUUUGUUGACCGUUGAUCGUUGACUUUUGAGUAGUUUGACUUUGGGUCAAACUUGAAGGAUUUGAGUUAUUGAUUAAGGAUUUAUCUGUAGUAGUGUCAGUCAGUCCGCGAGAGUGAUCAUUGCAAGGAAGUGGGGGUGUUGUACUUCCUUUUGUCUUCGUUUCAAGCGAGUUUCCCCAUUAUACCAUGUAUUGAAGUAUAUCUACUUGUAUGUUUGGAUAUAGGAGUAGUGGUAUGUCGGUUAGUGUAUCAGGGCCGAUGAUCUUCUAGUUAAGUGUCCUAGGGGUUAUAUGUAGUUAUGUAGGAUAACCUGAGAACUCUUGAUCUAGGCUUUCUUGCAUGUUCCUUAUUUGGUUGUGGCUAUAAAGUGGGAUCACCUAUUCGACUGUUUAUCUCACCUCUAAUUACAUAUAGUUAUGCAUUCAUUAUUGAUCUUCCAGUAAUGACGUAGAAUAUUGUAUUAGGCUCAUUAUGCUAUAGUGAGUUGUUAAAUAGGUAGACUAGUGUAGAAAGUUGCUUGUGUUUAUGCUCUUGCUUGAUUGCUUUUUUGGUUUAUAUGUCGACAUAUGUGGUUGGUUGGGUUGAGGUGGUCCUGCUUUGUGUUGUAGGCCAAAAUCCUCGGGUGGUUCAAUGGUGUGUUGUAGGCCAGGUGCAGACCAACUAUAUGAUAUAAGCAUGAGAUGGUGACCAGUCAUGGACUGGAGGCUCAAGGGAGCAGUCCAGCUAUUAUAGGCCUUGCGAGGCGGUCCAAUAGAUUCUAGGCUCUAUAGAGCAGUCCAGGUACCAUGUAGGCCUCACAAGGCAGUCCAAGCAGACUGAAGGCUCAUAUGUGCAAGCAUUGUAUGUGUAUUGUGGUGUGUGGUAUUUUGAGGGAACUCACUAAGCUUUGACUUAUAGUUGUGGAUUAAAUAUUUUUCAAGUACCAAUGAUGAUCGCGGGAAGACAAAAGCGUGAUUGUAAACACUCAGCAGCAACAUUGGAGAUUUCGUAUUUUCUAUAUUACUCUGACUUUUAAACAAAUGUAUUUUGAAACAUAUGGGUUUUUGUAACUUGGGUUAAUGUAAAUGAUGAUUUUAACUUAUUUAAAAAUGAAAAUUUUGUUUGUGAAAAUAGGAAGUUACAUCUAGCAUCAUAUCUUAUUUGAAAAAAUUCAUACUUAAACAUAUAUUUAAUAGGUACAAAAUAUAUUUAUUUUAUCUAAAAGUUGCAUUUAAAGUAUACAAAAAUGGAAAAGAAACGACGCUUGCUUUCCAUAGCGUUGGCUAUAUGUAUAAACACAUUUUUUUGAAAACGAAACCUUCUUUUUGAAUCGUUUAGCUGGUAGACGCAAUUUUUUCCAAAAUAAUCAUGAGCUAGACGUUCGUCUCCUUCUUCACGCUUUCUAUUUCACAUCACACGUCUUAUUAGUAGAUGAGUUGGAUAUGGUUUUAGUAGUAUGUUCCUACAAUACGCAUACAUCGUACUGACACAUCAUCGUCAUCGUUAAAGAAUGUAUCCAUUUUUUUGCGAACUAUUUAAAUUUAAUAAAAUACAGAGAAAGAAAAGAAUUAUGUGAAUGAAUUUGAUAUCGAUGAUAUAUAUUUAUAGGUAAAUAAAAGUCAAUUAAUUAUUUUUUUUUUUUAAAAAAUGGCCGUUAACAGGGUCAAAGUGGGCAAAAUCAAAUUUCCAUAUGUGUUGCAAGCCAUUCUCGUUAACAAGAGGAUCACAUAACGUCACCGGGGGCGGUGUUCAAGCCGUGGUAACGAUAACGUUAAGCCAUGACCACGUCAACCAUAAUGCGUGAUAACAGGAUCGUAUAGUGACUAGUUUAGAAUAAAUAACUAUAUUGUUCACUAAUUUUUCUAUGAACUUUCUAUACAAACUCAAAGAUUUUAUUGGUAGUAUAGCUUCUAAAUUAUUUUUAAUGUAGGUCACAAAAAAAAAAAAAAAAAAANNNNNNNNNNNNNNNNNNNNNNNNNNNNNNNNNNNNNNNNNNNNNNNNNNNNNNNNNNNNNNNNNNNNNNNNNNNNNNNNNNNNNNNNNNNNNNNNNNNNNNNNNNAAAAAAAAAAAAAAAAAAAUAGAUAGGCGUAGGGCCCACCUUGCUUAAACCUAGCAUCGCCCCACUACGUACCCUAGAGUUUUAACGAGAACCGGAGGUAGUGUGUGUUGUGGAGGUGCCACAUAGCCCCCUCCACUUAGUUUUCGACCCACAUGCUUCAGUCUUAAAAAUACAAAUGUGAAGAUUCCAAGUUCAUGCUUUAAUUAAGUCAACACUUUGCAUGUUGAUUUAGAGUUUUGGUCGAUCGUGAAUUUGAUGAUUGGUGAUGCUAAUUAUUUGUGACAGGUUCUCAUGUGCUGCAUGAUAAUGUUUCGUUGGUGAGGCUGUUUACUUUAUUGGCUUCCUUAACUUUAUCAUGUGCAUUGACGGAGCUCAAGGUUUUGACUUCAUUGAUAUCAUCAAAGUUGACAUAGUUAUUUUUAAUAAACUUAUUGUAUAUUUAAAUUUUAAUUAAAAUGUAUAUAAUUAUACUAUUGGUCCAGUUUUUCAAAACAAACAUAAUAAGAUGGUGGGGUGGCAUGAUAAUCUUACCGUCGGUAUGCAAACGUGGCGGGUGUUGCCGGCAGCAAAUACCAACCCUGUCAUAAUUUUGCCGGCCGCAAAUUUUACAGGCGAGUUCUAACUGCACAUUAAAUAACUUAACUUUUAUCCAAAACUAUUUACUAAACCUAUACUAUAUUUCUCAUUGCUCUAGAGUAUUUUUGGAUUAGCUCAUGGUACAACAAGCCACUUGAUAAACAUUUGGCAUGUGUGACUUUUACCCAACAAAUUUAUAUCUAUUUUUUCACAUUCACAUCAUACAACUCUUCAAGCAUGUUUAUUUCAAGAAAAAAUAUCAAUAAUUUAUUCCCAACCAAUAUUUAUUUAAUGAAAUAUUAUGUUAUUUUAAUUAAUACUUAUUUUUUAUUUAGGUUACUAAAUGUUAUAUUUUUUAAUUAGAAAAAAAAAAGAGUUGGUAUGCAAAAAUAUCACCACACCUCAUUUGUAGCCAAAACAUAACAAAAAUGGUAAAAGCUUAUGUGAUGUCUAUGUGGCACCGAAUUUCCAUAGACAAAAUCGUUACGACAUACCAUAAUUUUGAAUUUUAUAUUUUGUACAAUAAAUAUAUCAAAAACCAAUCUAAAAUAUGAGUAUGCAAAAAUAUAACCAUUUAUUUAUUUUAAUAAUUUAUUGGGUUUUGAAUUUGCGUUUAAAAAUAAAUAAAAAAUCAUUUGUUAAAAAUAUGUAAACCCAUUUUUCUUAGAAAGAAAUGGUAAUUCUAGUAUCUAUAACUAUAAGGCAUCUUUAAACAAAAUUGAUACAAACUACUUGUAUCGUUUAAACCUAUAAUAUUUUUUUUAGUAAAUUUUUUAAUGUAAAUUAUAGUUGUCUAACAAUAAGGUUACUGUAUAUUGAAAUUAAACAAUAUAAAUUUCCUAACAUUUUCAUUUCUUAUCAUUAGAGGAUUAAGAAACAGAAGGUUUUCAUAUACUUACAAGUCAAACCUUACUACACAAAUUCUAUUAUACUCUCAUAGUUUAUCACUCUCAACCUAUUCUAAUCAGUUCAACUGAUGUUACAUGCACAAAAUGAACAGAUAACUCAUCUAGAAUAAAACAAGAUGCAAAGACAUUACUGAUUAUCAAAAUACACUCAAGAAUUAAGAGCAAAUCGAGAGAGAAAAACCCUAAUCGUAUGAACCGAAGGAUAGGAGAUAUGAACUGUCUUCACUCUCUCUCUCUCUUCUUUUAUAUGUCAGUCAUCUAAAUAUGAAGCCAACCCGAAGAGACCCAAUCCAAGACUUUGACCCGCGUGUUCUUCCCUGCACUUUCACUUUAACCCAAGAAAAUAUAUUUUGAACACAAUAUGCCCUUUAUCAAAAUAACUUAACACUUUAACCAAUAAAUAUGAGAUUGACUUUAUUCUUAUUUUCAACAUCCCCCCUCAAUCAAAAUAUUUAUCUUUCUUUCUUAAAGAUCAAUAAGACCCAUUUUCUUAGAUAGAAAAUCAUGUUGUUUUAUAUUCAAAGAUUUAGUAAGAAUAUCUGCAUUUUGUUUAGAAGAACCAAUCUUAACUAACUUUAAAAUUCCAUUAGAAAUUUUUUCUCUAACAAAAUGCAAAUCAACUUCAAAAUGUUUUGUUCUUUCAUGAAACACAGGAUUAAGAGCUAACUUAAUUGUUAAAUCAUUACCACAGAAAAUAGAAACUGGAAUAAGUUCUUUGACUUCCAGUUCAAACAAAAUUUUUAAAACUCAAAUUAUUUCACAAGUAAUGGAACCAAGAGCUCUAUACUCAGCUUCAGUAGAAGAUCUAGAAACAAUAGAUUGUUUCUUACUUUUCUAUGAUAUCAAACAGUUAUUAAAAUAAACCAUGUAACCAGAUACAGACUUUCUUGUAGUCAAACACUUAGCCCAGUUUGCAUCAACAUACCCUUUUAAUUCAAAUUUAUCAGAUUUAGUUAUUGUUAUUCCUCUUCCAGGACUGCCCUUUAAAUACCUAAGAAGUCUAAAAACAACUUUCAAAUGAGACUUUCUAGGUUUGUGCAUAAACUGACUAAGUACUUGAACAACAUAAGAUAUAUCAGGUUUAGUAACAGUAAGAUAUAUAAGCUUACCAAUAAGUUUUUGAAACUCAGUUUUAUUCUCUAGUAGAACAUUACCUUUAUCAUUUUCACUUGUAGUUAACAUAAAAUUUGUCUCUAAAGGUGUAUUUACAGGUUUACAACCAAGCAUACCAUAUUCAUGCAACAAUUCUAAACAAUAUUUUCUUUGAUUUAAGCACAGGCCAUUAUCAAAACUUACCACAUCAAUUCCCUAAAAAUAUUUAAGAAUUCCAAGAUCCUUAAUCAAAAACUGAGUUUUCAUAAAAUCCUUGACCUUUUUCAAUUCAGUUUCACAAUUACCAGCCAAUAUAAUAUCAGCCACAUAUACAAGUAAUACAGUUAUUGAAUGUAACAUCCGCAUUUCCAGGUAUAUUAUUUUAUUUAAUUAUUUUGGAGUUUGUGGAGGAAAUCGGCGAGUUGGAGCCAAGACUCGCCGAGUAGGGUCGCAAAUGUUCAUCCGGGUUCACGUCCGGACUCGGCGAAUCCAUUUAUGGACUCGGCGAGUCCACACUGUUUAAUGAAGCCCUAAUCCCCCGGGUUUGGAGCCUAUUUAAGGGCACUUAUAGCCUCCCAUUGUGGCUACCAGUCCCUUGAGAGAACCCUAAGUGAGCCAAAUCGUUGUGAGGAAGAAGAAGUCACUUUUGAUUCUUGUGCCUUUGGUUUAGCAAGAAGGAGGUGACCAAGAGCAAAGAGGAGGCGCGAUUCUAGCAGUUCCAGAGUUCAGAGACUUCAUUUUGAGGUAAUAGUUCGAACCUCCUUCAGUUUUGGUGUUGAUCACUAGGGUUAGGGUUUUCUAACCCCUUUGGAGAGUGAUUAUGUGGAGCAAAUGGUCCCUCUUCGAGUUUGUGCCUUGGAUCUGGACUCAAAGAGGUCUAGAGACCUUAACCCUUGGAGCUUUAUGGAUCAGUUUGGGGUUAUUGGACUUAGGUUGCCAUUUUGGGAACUAAAUCUCCUUUUGAUGCCUUGUUGUUGUUAUACAAGCAUCAAGUUUCGGACUUUACGUGACAUUCAUGCUUGGGGAGGCCAGAUCUAUGGUUUAGGGAAACAGAUCUGACCUCAGGAGGUCAGUAGAGUUUGUGCAUGGCAUGAACUCGCCGAGUUGUUCUUGAGACUCGACGAGUAGGGUUAGGGUUUCACGUAAAUUGCUCAGUGAGUAGACUUGCCGAGUUGGGGGAUGACUCAGUGAGUCAGAAGGGGGUUAGAGGACUGGAGUUCAAGGCGGUACUCGCCGAGUUGUUCUUGAGACUCGGCGAGUUGAGUCGGGGUGGCCCCGCGAUUCAUGCCUGGUAUGACUCGUCGAGCAUAGGGAGGGACUCGGCGUGCCAAGCGGGACAAAGUGUUAGAGAACAUGUGUGAACUCGCCGAGUCACCAGGGUGCACUCGGCGAGUAGGGUCAAAGUGUGACCGUUGACUUUUAUUGACUUGUAGGGUUUGGUCAACAAUGGAGUACUUGUGUCGGGAGGGGGGUAAAAUAGUCUUUAACCCUUCUGAGGGUGCCAAAGGCAGGUUGAGUCUAGUCCUGAGAGUUAUAUUUAUAAGAGUAUUUACUUUAUGUGAAUAGGCAGAGACUAGGCAAUAUUUCUACCGAGUCAGAGAUUUACCGAGACGCCUGAGGUGAGUCUUCUCACUAUACUUUACCUAGUGUGGUAACAGAGUUAUGUGACAAUGUAUUUUAGAGUUAUGUGCGAGUGUAUUUGCAUGUUAUUUAUGUGUGGUGAUUUAUUGUAUGUGAUAUGCACGAUUCAGAGAUUACAGAGUAGGACCAGUGGGUCCAUAGAGUUAGGACCUUCGGGUCCAUAGAGUUAGGGCCAGAGGGCCAACAGAGAGUUGGGGCUGGAGGGCCCCACUGAGACACAUUGACUUGAGGGUCAACAGAGUUAUAGCCUCGAGUGGCUAAUAUAUGUUAGAGUGUUAUUUUGGGGAACUCACUAAGCUUAUACUUACAGUGUUACGUUUUAUGUGUUUCGGGUACCAGUGAUGACCGCGGGAAUGCGUCGGCUUGAUUCGUACACACACAUGGGAUUUUAUGUAUUUCGAUCUUGGGAGGUGUUUUGUGAAACAAAGACAUGAUAUUAUGACAUUUUAUGAAUGAAUGAGUUUGUAAAAAUGUGUUUGGAAAUGCGAAAAACUGUUUUAAAUUUUUACGGUGUUACAAGUUGGUAUCAGAGCCUUAGUUUGAGGGAUUCGGGUGCACCUUCGGGCGUAUCUGAACUCAAAAUGAGGAUUUGAGGAAAUUUCGAUAAUAAAAUAAGUUUUCAAAAGAAGAACUUUCAAGACAAAUAGAGCAGAGUCGAGUGUACGAACAGCCAUCGCCCGAACGGUGAUUUCCCAAAAUACCAUUACAAUAAGUGUUAUGAGAUAUGAUAUAAUAUGUUAUAUGAUGAGCUAUGCUAUGCAUGCUAGAGUAGACUAGGUAUUCUUAUUAGGACUAGAGUGGUCUGAUAUGUGAUGCCUGAGUCUAAGAGUCAUGCUGCUAGGGAUACUUCAGAGUGUUUAGGUAGCAGCGAGGAGAUUGUGAGAGAUCUGCUAGCGAGUAUCAUAUGAUUAGAGAUAGUGGUGUACUUGGGAUUUGGGACUCUGGGAGGAGGACUUGGGGUGAAUGUUGAUGUGGUGUGAACGGUAGUAUUGGGCUCGUACUACUAAAGACACCGGGUCAGUGCACAGCCUGAGUAAGAAUCCUUGGAGUACCAAAGGACAAGUAGGGUGGAGUAUUCGAGUGUGAGCAUACUCGAGCGACUCCCUGAUAUUUAUUUUUGUGUUGUAUUUCAGAGAGAGGGAGAUCAUGGUUGGGACACGCCACACACCGGGGGCAGCGAUACGAGUGAUGAGGAGAUCCGUAGGAUCAUCCAGGAGGAGGUGGCUGCAGCCAUCAGGGCAGAGAUACCAGAGAUGUUCAGGUCUAUCAAGACCACGUUGAUAGAGACAUUUGAUGAGAAGUACGCUGCUCUUUCUGAGGCUGUUGUUACUGCGGCCACUGCAGCUAUGGCUGCGACUAGGCCGCAAGGUGGUUAUGCGUUUCUGUUCCGAGAGUUCAGCAACACAAAACCACUGGAGUUUGACGGGACCCAGGAUCCGAUUACGGCGAUGAGGUGGAUUUCAUACAUAGAUGGAUGUUUCUUUACUUGCUCAUCUUCUGAGCAUUUGAGAAUUCGGUUCGCGCUGAACCAGCUUCGCUUUGGGGCGAAGGAUUGGUGGAAGUUUGUGACGACACACUAUACGCCUGCUGAGCUUGCUGCAGUGACCUAGGAGAGGUUCACCGCUAUGUUCCGAGAUGAUUACGUUCCCCAGGUGGAGAGGGAGCGUUUGGCCCAGGAGUUUCUGACCCUCAAGCAGGGUAUUGAGUCUGUUACGGUGAUUACGAGGAUGUUUCAUGAGCGGGCGAUGUUCUUCCCAGAGCACAUGUCCUCUGAGCAGGCACGUAUGAGCCGAUAUAUGAGCAUUUUGAGGAGGAUAUACGAGNCACGUAUGAGCCGAUAUCUGAGCAUUUUGAGGAGGGAUAUACGAGAGUUCGUGGCGAACUCGACGUACCGGACAUUUGCCGAGCUUCAGGCAAAUGCCCGGAAGAGGGAGAUAAAGCUGGAGACCCAGGCUAGGGAAGAGGCUGAGUCUCAGGGGAAGGAUCGGCGACUGGUACAGUCUCAGCUGGUAGCUAAGCGGGCCAAGCCCGCUAAUUCGAGAUCAGGGAACUAGAGGGGCCGCACUUGUGGCAAGUGCGGAAAGAGCCACGAUAGGGUCUGCAGAGUAGGGUCUUGCUACAAAUGUGGCAAGGAGGGGCAUAUGGCCAAGGAUUACCCCAAAGGGUUUGCAGUAUGUUUUCACUGCAACCAGACCAGACACCGGAAGGCAGAGUGUCCGCAGCUGCGGGGCUCAGCACAGGGAGCAUCUCAGGGAUCUGCCCCUGCUGCUAUCAGAGCUACUAAGAGCCGGCCAGUGAAGGCCGAAGCACCGAAGGCACGAGGGAGAGCCUUUCAGUUAACCGCGGAGGAGGUCCGCGCAGCGCCCGAUGUCGUGGCUGGUAUGUAUUCUUUCGUGUAUUUAUUUUGAUGUUGAUAUAUUGUUCUUAUAUUAUGUUAUGCGUAGGCACUUUUCUUGUGAGUUUUGUACCUGCCUUGGUGUUAUUUGACUCGGGUGCGAGUCGGUCUUUUGUAUCUUUGGCUUUUAGUCAGCACAUCAGUGUUAGUCGUGAGGCGUUGAGUCGACCUCUCAGAUUUUCCAUAGCUGACGAGAGGGCGGUGUAUGCCACAGAGGUGAUCCGAGGGUGUGUACUCGAGAUUUUCGGUGUUGAAUUCCCGAUUGAUUUAGUUCCUAUUGCGAUGGGGGAUGUCUGUGUCAUCGUGGGCAUGGACUGGUUGAGCAGAUUCGGAGCGGUCAUCGACUGCAAGCGACAACUGGUGACCAUACGAGACCCUAGUGGGGGAGUUCUUACGGUGUACGGUGAGGGUACACGUUCUGGGUCAACAUUUUGUUCGGCCGCUAGAGCGAGACAGUGUAUACAGCAGGGUUGUAGGGGCUUUGUAGCGUAUGUGAUGGAUACAAGAGUUGACUCAGAGAGACCGAGGUCAGUUGAUGAGGUUCCAAUAGUGCGUGAGUUCCUGGAUGUAUUCCCGGAGGAGUUGCCGGGUGUGCCUCCCGUGAGGCAGGUGGAGUUCAGCAUCGAUUUGGUUCCGGGGGCCGUGCCUAUCGCCAAGGUGCCCUAUCGCCUUGCACCUCCAGAGAUGCAAGAGUUAUCCUCGCAGCUUCANCCUAUUCUGUUUGUCAAGAAGAAGGAUGGUUCACACCGGAUGUGCAUUGAUUACCGGGAGUUGAACAAGCUGACGGUCAAGAACCGUUACCCGUUGCCGAGGAUCGACGAUUUGUUCGAUCAGUUGCAGGGAGCAUCUUGGUUCUCCAAGAUCGAUUUGAGGUCUGGGUAUCAUCAGGUGAGAGUGUGAGAGGAGGACAUCCAGAAGACAGCGUUCAGGACUCGUUAUGGGCAUUACGAAUUUGUGAUGAUGCCUUUCGGACUCACCAAUGCACCGGCGGUGUUCAGGACUCGUUAUGGGCAUUACGAGUGUGCAGGCCGAUGUUGGAUCGCUCGGUGCUCGUGUUCAUCGAUGAUAUUUUGGUGUAUUCGAGAUCCAGAGAGCAGCAUGAGAAGCAUUUGAGGGAGAUCCUCGGAGUUCUGAGAUCGGAGAGGCUUUAUGCCAAAUUCUCCAAGUGUGAUUUCUGGUUGCGAGAGGUCCAGUUCCUAGGGCACCUCGUUAACCAGAAAGGGAUAUUGGUCGACCCGGCCAAGAUUGAGGCAGUGAUGAGUUGGGAGGUGCCGAGGUCACCCACCGAGAUCAGGAGUUUCNNNNNNNNNNNNNNNNNNNNNNNNNNNNNNNNNNNNNNNNNNNNNNNNNNNNNNNNNNNNNNNNNNNNNNNNNNNNNNNNNNNNNNNNNNNNNNNNNNNNNNNNNNNNNNNNNNNNNNNNNNNNNNNNNNNNNNNNNNNNNNNNNNNNNNNNNNNNNNNNNNNNNNNNNNNNNNNNNNUGGAGGACUUUGUGGUGUAUUGUGACGCGUCGAUCUUGGGGUUGGGAGCGGUGCUGAUGCAGAGAGGGCAUGUGAUAGCAUACGCAUCGAGGCAGCUGAAGCCUCAUGAGACGAGGUAUCCCACCCACGUUCUAGAGUUGGGGGAAGUGGUGUUCGCCCUCAAGAUCUGGCGUCGCUAUCUGUAUGGGCUUCGGUGUACCAUAUACACGGACCACAAGAGCUUAAUGUACUUGAUGGAUCAGCCCAACCUGAAUAUGCGCCAGAGGAGAUGGUUGGAUGUGGUAAAAGAUUACGACUGCGAGAUCCUUUACCACCCGGGUAAGGCUAAUGUUGUAGCCGAUGCACUGAGUCGAAGGACGGAGAGCACCCCGAUGCGAGAUGUUUGUUUGAGAUUGACCGUGAUGGCUCUGGUGUUGGAUACCAUUCGUGGGGCCCAAGUUGAGGUCGUGAGACCAGAAAACCUGAAGAGAAAACGAGUUGUCGGGUUGGUAUCGGAGUUCGUUACCAAUAGCUGGGGGCUUAUGACAUUCCAGGGUCGUAUCUGGGUACCGUUUGUGGGCGGGGCGCGUACCAUUUUGAUGGAAGAGGCUCAUCGAUCGAAGUUCUCGAUCCAUCAUGGGGCCACUAAGAUGUAUUUGGACCUAAAGAGAGAGUAUUGGUGGCCCUGUAUGAAGAGGGAUGUCGCGUGGUUUGUUGAGAGGUGCUUAACCUGUCGUAAGGUUAAGGCCAAGCACCAGAGACCGCAUGGUAAGUUGCAGCCGUUGGAGGUUCCCGAGUGGAAGUGGGAACAGAUUACCAUGGAUUUUAUCACCAAAUUGCCGAGGACUACUAGGGGAGUCGAUGCAAUUUGGGUGAUUGUGGACAGGUUGACGAAGAGCGCCCACUUCCUUGCUAUCAGUGAGAGCUCUUCCGCUGAGAGGUUGGCAGAGUUGUAUGUGAGAGAGGUGGUAUCACGACAUGGAGUACCGAUCUCGAUCAUCUCAGAUCGAGAUGUGCGUUUCACUUCCAGAUUCUGGAAGAAAUUUCAUGAGGAAUUGGGUACGAGGCUACAUUUUAGUACCGCAUACCACCCACAGACUGACGGGCAGAGCGAGCGGACGAUUCAGACGCUCAAGGACAUGCUUCGGGCAUGUGUAUUGGACUUCGGAGGGAGUUGGGACACGUACCUACCUUUGGCUGAAUUUUCAUAUAACAACAGCCAUCAUUCGAGCAUCGGUAUGCCGCCUUUUGAGCUGUUGUAUGGGAGGAGGUGUCGGACUCCCAUUUGCUGGGGAGAGGUAGGGCAACGUGUGAUGGGUAGUACGGAGAUAGUACUUCAGACGACGGAGCAGAUUCAGCAGGUCAGACAUAGGUUGUUGACCGCUCAGAGUCGCCGGAAGAGUUAUGCGGAUAGGCGUCGGUUCGAGCUUGAGUUUCAGGUCGGAGAUUUUAUGCUCCUGAAGGUAUCUCCUUGGAAAGGAGUGAUCCGGUUCAGGAAGAGAGGCAAGCUAGGGCCCGGUAUAUUGGUCCGUUUAGAGUGAUUGCGAGGGUGGGCAGGGUAGCAUAUCGUUUGGAGCUACCUGAGGAGUUGGGGCAGAUUCAUGACACUUUCCACGUGUCACAGUUGUGGAAAUCUAUAGCCGAUGAGUCGGCAGUGGUGCCAUUAGAGGAUAUUUAGGUGGAUGCGAGCCUGAAUUAUGCGGAGAGACCGGUGGCGAUCAGGGAUCAGAAGAUCAAGGUUUUGAGGAACAAGGAAGUGCCUCUGGUUUUGGUUUAGUGGCAACACCAGAAGGGGUCCGAGAUGACUUGGGAGUCAGAGUCGGAUAUGCGUGAGCAGCAUCCGUUGUUGUUUCCAGAAUGAGACUUCGAGGGCNAGUUGGGGCAGAUUCAUGACACUUUCCACGUGUCACAGUUGUGGAAAUCUAUAGCCGAUGAGUCGGCAGUGGUGCCAUUAGAGGAUAUUUAGGUGGAUGCGAGCCUGAAUUAUGCGGAGAGACCGGUGGCGAUCAGGGAUCAGAAGAUCAAGGUUUUGAGGAACAAGGAAGUGCCUCUGGUUUUGGUUUAGUGGCAACACCAGAAGGGGUCCGAGAUGACUUGGGAGUCAGAGUCGGAUAUGCGUGAGCAGCAUCCGUUNGCGAGUCCACGCUGUUUAAUGAAACCCUAAUCCCCCAGGUUUGGAGCCUAUUUAAGGGCACUUAUAGCCUCCCAUUGCGGCUACCAGUCCCUUGAGAGAACCCUAAGUGAGCCAAAUCAUUGUGAGGAAGAAGAAGUCACUUUUGAUUCUUGUGCCUUUGGUUUAGCAAGAAGGAGGUGACCAAGAGCAAAGAAGAGGCACGAUUCUAGCAGUUCCAGAGUUCAGAGACUUCAUUUUGAGGUAAUAGCUCGAACCUCCUUCAGUUUUGGUGCUGAUCACUAGGGCUAGGGUUUUCUAACCCCUUUGGAGAGUGAUUAUGUGGAGCAAAUGGUCCCUCUUCGAGUUUGUGCCUUGGAUCUGGACUCAAAAAGGUCUAGAGACCUUAACCCUUGGAGCUUUAUGGAUCAGUUUGGGGUUAUUGGACUUAGGUUGCCAUUUUUGGGACUAAAUCUCCUUUUGAUGCCUUGUUGUUGUUAUACAAGCAUCAAGUUUCGGACUUUACGUGACAUUCAUGCUUGGGAAGGCCAGAUCUAUGGUUUAGGGAAACAGAUCUGACCUCAGGAGGCCAGGAGAGUUUGUGCAUGGCAUGAACUCGCCGAGUUGUUCUUGGGACUCGGCGAGUAGGGUUAGGGUUUCACGUAAAUUGCUCAGUAAGUAGACUUGCCGAGUUGGGGGAUGACUCAGUGAGUCAGAAGGGGGUUAGAGGACUGGAGUUCAAGGCGGUACUCGCCGAGUUGUUCUUGAGACUCGGCGAGUUGAUUCGGGGUGGCCCCGCGAUUCAUGCCUGGUAUGACUCGUCGAGCAUAGGGAGGGACUCGGCGUGCCAAGCGGGACCAAGUGUUAGAGAACAUGUGUGAACUUGCCGAGUCACCAGGGUACACUCGGAGAGUAGGUUCAAAGUGUGACCGUCGACUUUUACUGACUUUUAGGGUUUGGUCAAUAAUGGAGUACUUGUGUCGGGAGGGGGGUAAAAUAGUCUUUUACCCUGCUGAGGGUGCCAAUGGCAGGUUGAGUCUAGUCCUGAGAGUUAUAUUUAUAAGAGUAUUUACUUUAUGUGAAUAGGCGGACACUAGGCAAUAUUUCUACCGAGUCAGAGAUUUACCGAGACGCCUGAGGUGAGUCUUCUUACUAUACUUUACCUAGUGUGGUAACAGAGUUAUGUGAUAGUGUAUUUUAGAGUUAUGUUCUAGUGGAUUUGCAUGUUAUUUAUGUGUGGUGAUUUAUUGUAUGUGAUAUGCAUGAUUCAGAGAUUACAAAGUAGGACCAGUGGGUCCAUAGAGUUAGGACCUUCGGGUCCAUAGAGUUAGGGCCAGAGGGCCCACAGAGAGUUGGGGCUGGAGGGCCCCAUUGAGACACAUUGACCUGAGGGUCAACAGAGUUAUAGCCUCGAGUGGCUAAUAUAUGUUAGAGUGGUAUUUUAGGGAACUCACUAAGCUUAUGCUUACAGUGUUACGUGUUAUGUGUUUCGGGUACCAGUGAUGACCGCGGGAAGGCGCCGGCUUGAUUCGUACACACACAUGGGAUUUUAUGUAUUUCGAUCUUGGGAGGUGUUUUGUGAAACAAAGACAUGAUAUUAUGACAUUUUAUGAAUGAAUGAGUUUGUAAAAAUGUGUUUGGAAAUGCGAAAAAUCGUUUUAAAUUUUUAUGGUGUUACAUUGAACCUUCAAACUUCCUGACAAAUAACAAAUAAUCACUUAUACUUUGUUGAAAACCAAACAGAAACAAAGAUGCACAAAGUUUCUCAUUCCAUUUUCUAGGAGCUUGUUUUAAACCAUAUAAUGAUUUAGUAAGUUUACAAACUUUAGAAUCAUUAGCAGAAUAAUAUCCAGGAGGAAGGGACAUAUAAACAUCCUUUGUGAGAUCACCAUAGAGGAAAGCAUUGUUUAUAUCUAAUUGAUACAAAGGCCAAGAAUUAUGUACAGAUAAAGAAAUAAUAAUACGCACAGUGACAAUUUUUGCAACUGGAGAAAAAUUUUCUUCAAAAUCUAUUCCCUUUCUUUGAUUAUAUCCUUUAGCAACCAAACGUCCUUAAUACCUUUCUACUUCACCAUUUGAUUUGUAUUUAAUUUUGAAAACCCACUUACAUCCAAUUGGUUUUCUAUUUUUAGGCAAAUUAGUUAUUUCCCAAGUAUGAUUUCGAUGAAGAGCUUUCAUUUCUUCAUUCAUAGCCUUAACCCAAUUUGGAUCAGUCAAAGCUUCUUUAUAAUCUUUAGGUUCAAUAGACUUAUUCAAAUUAGAAAUAAAACACUUUUUGUCAGUAUCAAAAAAAAAAAAAAUUAGCUGACCUUUCUAUACCAUACUUAUAUUUCCCUUCAACAAUAUAAUCAGCAAAUUUAACUGGCAUAUGUGACUCACGCCUAGAUCUAGAAACACCUAAAGACUGCUUAACAGAGGGGAUUAAGGGUGAAUAACUAUUUUCCUCAGACACACCAGAGGAAGAAGGAAUACAAUCAACUGUAGGAGGAAAAACUGCCUCACCACAACGAUUGACAGUCUCAUUAGAGUUAACAUCAUACAGGUGAGUGGCUGCAUCAGCACCAUCCAACUGAGAUUCUACUCUCAGCUCAUCAAGAUUAAUACAAUCAUUUAAGUACUAAUUAGUGUCAAAAACAUCAUAGGAAAAAGGAUCACUAGGACCAAAAUUAUCUAAAGUGUUAUCAACAAUGGUUGAUUUUAACUUGUAAGGAAACACGGACUCAUAAAAUUUCACAUCCCUGGACAUAAAAGAAGUGUUAGUGUCCAGACUAAGAAGUUUAUAAGCCUUUUUAUUAGAAGAGUAUCCUAAUAAAAUACACUUUUCAGCACGUUCAGAAAAUUUAUCAGUUACAUUUUGUUUAACGGCAAAACAAAGACAACCAAAAACUCUUAAAUGAUCAAAACUGAGAGUUCUUUUAAAAACAAGUUCAUAGGGAGAUAAGCCAUUUAAAACAGAUGUAGGCAUCCUAUUUAUCAAAAAAGCAGAGGUUAAAACGCAUCUCCCCAAUACUUAACAGGAACUCCCGACUGAAACAUAAGUGAUCACGCAACAUUAAGAAUGUGUCUGUGUUUCCUUUCCACAACUCCAUUUUGUUGUGGAGUAUAGGGACAAGAUGUCUGAUGAAUGACACCAUGUUCGAUGCAAAAAAAAUUUAUUUGAUUAUUCACAAAUUCAGUACCAUUAUCAGAAUGUAUAGUCUUAACAUUAACACUAAACUGAUUUGACAGAAUAUUCACAAAUGACUUAAAACCCAAGUGGCCCUAGUAAAGUCAUCCACAAUAGCUAAAAAAAAAUACUUAAACCCCUCAACUGAAGCCUCACAAGGAGGAACUAUGUUGAACUAUGUUGACUAAGGGAAAAAGACUCGCUAGUCUGUUUUGCUCUAUGACAAGCCUCACAAGGAGGAAGAGACUCAUUUCCAAGUUUUAGUUUAUCUUUUAAAGUGUUUAAAGCCUGGUCAGCUGGACGACCAAGUCUACUAUGCCAAGUUAACUUUGAAACACAACAUUUAGAGUUAGUUAAACUAGCAGAAUUACCUGAGGGAACAUGAUCAAGAUAAUACAAUCCCCCAUAUUCUCUACCAUUCUCCACCAUCUCCUUUGAUUGUGAAUCCUGAAUUUUACAAUUAUGCUCAGAAAACACUACCUCACACCCACUAUCCUUACAAAGUUUGUGCACAGAAAAAAGAUUAACAUUAAAGUCUGGAACAACAAAUACAUCGAAUAAAGUAAGAUGAGAGGAUAACUGAAUAUUCCCUAUCUUAUUUAUAGGUGCAGAAGAGCCAUUAGGAUGUUUUACAAGAAGAUUAAGUCUAGACACAUCCACUGUAUCUUGUAGUUGUGACUCAAAGGCUAUCAUAUGUUGAUUUGCCCCGGAGUCAACAAUCCAACUUUGAGAGUUAUUCGAAUUUAAAAAAAAAGAAUUACAACAUUUAAACAUAGAUAUACCUGCCAUAUUUGUAGCAGCAGAUACAUCCUCACUAGUAGAGCUCUCACUAAUGAGGCGAAGAAACUUGGAAUAUUGUUCACUUGUAAGAUAGUGAACAUCAUUAUCACGAACAGACUCAGAAGAAACUAAAGUAUUACUAUUAGAACCAACAGAAGAUGAAUUCACAGAAAAAGACUUAUUCUGAUUAUUAUUUUCAUUCUUUUGUUUAAAAUCUUUUGGAUAACCAAUCAAUUUAUAACAUCUUUCUAUUGUAUGACCUUUAAGAUUACAAUGUUUACACUGUAAUCCCUGAUUUCUGAACCUUUUUUGACCUUUUCCUUUUUUAAAAUCAUCAAUCUUACUAUUAAAAACAGAGACUUGUGGUUUUGAAAAGGUAACAGAACUCAAAGAACCAUAUUUUGAAGAGAUUAUUCUCUAGAAAGAAUAGAGAAGGUAGUUUUGACAUUAGGUAAAGGUUCCAUUAAAAGAAUAUGACUUUUAACUUGAUUAUACACAUCAUCAAGACCGCUCAAAAACUGCAUUAGUUUCAUCAACUUAGAAUGACUACUAAGCUUAGUAGCAACCUCACACACACAUUCAGUUAAACUAGUUAAGCCAUCAAGCUCUUUCCAUAAGGAAUCAAGUUUACUGUAGUAAUCAGAAAGAGAAGAGCCAUUUUGUUUUAAGGAGUUAAUUUGUUGAUGUAUAUUAAAAAUUACAGAACCAUCAGCCUUAUUAUAAGUCUCAAACAAUUCAUCCCAAAUAUCUUUAGCUUUAUCAGAGUAAAGAUGACUAGCAUAUAUAGUUUCAGAAAUUGAUCCUAAUAUCCAAUUGCACACAACAGCAUUAACACGUUCCCACUUAGCAUAUUUAGAUUUAUCAGUGUUUUCAAGAGUAAUAGUACCAUCCACAAAACCCAAUUUAUUUAUAGCCUUAAGACCUCAGACAUAGCACUACGCCACAAUCGAUAAUUUUCAUUACCAGUCAACUUAAUUGUUACUAUAGAUGUUACAGCAUUAUCAGAGGGAUGAACAUAUAAAGGAUCAUCAAGAUCAACAGGACUAUCUUUAGGAGUACCACUCCCUUCAGGUAUAUCACUAGUCAUAGGAAAUCAUUGAAAAUACAAAGAAAAAAGAGAUUAACAAACGAACUAAAAACAACAAAAAAUAGACACCAAUGUUGACUUAAAGUCCAGAUGGUCACCACAGUAUGUGGGGGAACAAGACAAUCAACAUAGAGUCAGAAAAUCAAGAAACAAUCUCAAGAUCACAAACAGAUAACUGGUGUACUCAGGACAACCAGGAUCUACCACAUCUAUCGCUAAAGAAAAAGAAAGAAGGGAACAAGAAACCCUCACAGUGCAAUAGGCAAAUGAGCUAAAUUGAAAUCGACUCCCUGAAUCCGUUCCCUACAACAGCAUUAACAUGUUCCCACUUAGCAUAUUUAGAUUUAUCAGUGUUUUCAAGAGUAAUAGUACCAUCCACAAAACCCAAUUUAUUUCUAGCCUUAAGACCUCUAGACAUAACACUACGCCACAAUCGAUAAUUUUCAUUACCAGUCAACUUAAUUAUUAUUAUAGAUGUUACAACAUUAUCAGAGGGAUGAACAUAUAAAGGGUCAUCAAAAUCAACAUGACUAUCUUUAGGAGUACCACUCUCUUUAGGUAUAUCACUAGUCAUAGUAAAUCACAGAAGAUACACAGAAAAAAGAGAUUAACAAACGAACCAAAAACAACAAAAAAACAGACCUCGGUGUUGACUUAAAGUCCAGAUGGUCACCACAGUAUGUCAGGGCCCAAGACAAUCAACACAGAGUCAGAAAAUCAAGAAACAAUCUCAAGAUCACAAACAGAUAACUGGUGUACUCAAGACAACCAGGAUCUACCACAUCUAUCUCUAAAGAAAGAGAAAGAAGGGAACAAGAAACCCUCACAGUGCAAUAGGCAAAUGAGUUAAUUUGAAAUCAACUCCCUGAAUCUGUUCCCUACAAUGGCAUUAACACGUUCCCACUUAGCAGAUUUAGAUUUAUCAGUGUUUUCAAGAGUAAUAGUACCAUCCACAAAACCCAAUUUAUUUCUAGCCUUAAGACCUCUAGACAUAGCACUACGCCACAAUCGAUAAUUUUCAGUACCAGUCAACUUAAUUGUUAUUAUAGAUGUUACAGCAUUAUCAGAGGGAUGAACAUAUAAAGGGUCAUCAAAAUCAACAGGACUGUCUUUAGGAGUACCACUCCCUUCAGGUAUAUCACUAGUCAUAGUAAAUCACUGAAGAUACACAGAAAAAAGAGAUUAACAAACGAACCAAAAACAACAAAAAAGAGACACCAGUGUUGACUUAAAGUCCAGAUGGUCAUCACAGUAUGUCCCAACCCAUGACAAUCAACACGGAGUCAGAAAAUCAAGAAACAAUCUCAAGAUCACAAACAGAUAAUUGUUGUACUCAAGACAACCAGGAUCUACCACACCUAUCGCUAAAGAAAGAGAAAGAAGGGAACAAUAAACCCUCACAGUGCAAUAGGCAAAUGAGUUAAUUUGAAAUCAACUCCCUGAAUCCAUUCCCUACAAGGGUUUAUCGUUGAUGAAAUCCGACCCUAAGAGGAUUAUUUCAGACUAAAGGGAUUAAUCGAUUACUUCCAGAGUUUUAAUCCAAAACCGCAGCAGCAAGAGCUGAGCACGUACGUCAACCUGCAAGAUGAACGAAAACACUCGCAGUACCAGAAUCUCAAAUAACAAUCCAAAAACAAGGGUAAAUAACAAAAAACAAACCCUAAAUCUACUCAGAUUCAAACAGAAAAAUCUUAAGCAUGCAAGAAGACAAACCUUAUGCAGAUCGUUAAACGACGAACAAACACGACUGAAGUGUCAGGAUCAAGAACAACGAGCUUUACUGCUCAGAUACCAUGUUGAAAUUAGACAAGAUAAAUUUCCCAACAUCUUCAUUUCUUAUAUCAUUAGAGGAUUAAGAUACAGAAGGUUUUCGUGUACUUACAACUGAAACCUUACUACACAAAUCCUAUUCUACUCUCACAGUUUAUCACUCUCAACCUAUUCUAAUCAGUUCAACUGAUGUUACAUACACAAAAUGAAUAAACAACUCAUCUAGAAUUAAACAAGAUGCAAAGACAUUACUGAUUAUCAAAAUACACUCAAGAAUUAAGAGCAAAUCGAGAGAGAAAACCCUAAUCGUAUGAACUGGAGGAUAGGAGAUAUGAACUGUCUUCACUCUCUCUCUUCCUUUAUAUGUCAGUCAUCUAAAUAUGGAGCCAACCCGAAGAGACCCGAUCCAAGACUUUGACUCGCGUGUUCUUCCCUGCGCUUUCACUUUAACCCAAGAAAAUAUAUUUUGAACACAAUAUGCCCUUUAUCAAAAUAACUUAACACUUUAACCAAUAAAUAUGAGAUUGACUUUAUUAUUAUUUUCAACAGAGUAAGUACACAUGAGUUUACAUUACGAUGAAUAAAAGGUAAAAAAAACAAGGGGAUUGCAUAAAGCAGAGUGGGUUAGAAAUUUGAAAGUGAUUCAUCAAAUUAACUUCAUUGGAGUACAAGAAAGUGAGUUAGAAGAUGUUUGUGACAUACCGAUUGAUAUUUAUUGGGACAGGUCUGAUGUUGAAUAUGGUAGGGCCUAGGGUGGAUUCGCAUGGAAGGUCUGGGGGUCUUUUCUGUCUUUGGAAUCAACACAUUUUCCAGCAAGUGAAUAUUAAUAAAAAUCCUAACUUCAUAAUUAUUUCUGGGCAUUGGAGUAGGAUGGACGGUAUAACCAAUAUUAUUAAUAUUUAUGCCCAUGUGGAUGAGAUUGCGAGAUCUGACCUAUGGAUUUUGUUAAAGUCGAUUAUCAGUUUAUCUAGUGGAUCUUGGCUUUUAUUUGGUGAUUUUAAUGAGGUUAGAUAUAAGCGUGAAAGAUUUUCAAACCGUGGUUGUUAUUCUUCAAUGGAAGAUUUUAAUGUGUUCAUUAGAGAGGCCAAUCUUUUAGAGUACAAACUAUAGGAGGUCGCAAAUUCACAUGGAUGAGUGAUGAUGGAAGAAGCUUGUGUAAAUUACAUAAAUUUUUGGCUUGUAGGACAUUUAUGAACAAAUAAGGUUUGGUGUCGGCUAUUAUCUUACCAAGGAAUUUUUCUAAUCAUUGUCCAAUCAUAUUGCUAGAUGAUCAAUUUGAUUUUGGGCCGGUUCCAUUUAGAUAUUUCAACUAUUGGUUCUUAUUGGAGGGUCUUGAUGGCGUGGUGCUUGGAACGAGUGUUGUUUGUUGGGUACGUCUCAUAGGAGAUUGACAAAAAAACUUGUGGCUGUGAAAAAUGGAAUUAAAAGGUGGAGGUGUGAUUUGAAAAAGAAAGACUCGAAAGAAUAUCAAAAGCUAAUGAUACAAAUUGAUGAUUUGGAGGUCGAUGCGGAAGAUAGAGCUCUAUCUUCCCCGAAGAGAACUUGUCGUCAAAAUUGGAAAAAAAUUUGGGACAAGAAGAUAUUUGUAGACUAGACUUGAAACAAAAAUGGUAUAUUAGAUGGGAUAUUGAUGGGGACGAAAGUUUUAAAUUCUUUCAUGGGGUUGUGAAUAAUAAGAGGAGGAAGAAUCGGAUUAAUGGGCUCAAUGUGAAUGGUGUGCAGGUGAAUGAUCCCUUUGUUAUUUCUAGUGAGGUGUAGAGUUUUUUUGCAUAUAAAUUUAAUGAACCAAUGUAUAAUCGUCCCAAAUCGGUAAAUCGGUAAGUGAUAAAUUUAAAAAUCUUUCAAAAGAUGAUAGAGCUGCUCUCAAGGAUGCGUUUUCUGAAAUUGAAAUUGAAGUUGUGUGGGGAUGUGGGAAUGAUAAGGCGCCGGAUCCGAUUUACUUUCAAUUUUUUGAAGCAUUAUUCGGAUUUGAUUAAAUAUGAUGUGGUGAGGUUUAUAAAAGACUCUGAAGACUAUGGUAGAUUGGCAAAUGGAUGCAACUCUUCCUUUAUUUCCUUGAUCCCAAAAGUGAAAGAUCCUCUUAUGUUGAAAAACUUUAGACCGGUUAAUCUUGUGGGUUGUCUUUAUAAAAUGCUAUCUACAUUGCUCGCCAAUCGUUUAAAAAAAGUUCUUGAUAAAGUUAUUAGCUCGGAGCAAACAACCUAUGUUGGGGGUAAAAGUAUCUUAGAUAGUCGACUCUUGCUCAUUGAAAUCUUUGCUUGGGUGAAGAAAACAAAGAAAAGAGCAUUGAUUUUUAAGGUAGAUUUUGAUAAGACCUUUGACUCUUUGAGUUGAGAAUUUUUAGACUCAACUAUGGAUCGAAUGGAUUUUGGAUGGAAGUGGAUGAGAUUGAUUAAGGGUUGUCUUUUAUCAAGUAGAGCCUCUGUUUUUGUCAAUGGCUCGCCAACUAAAGAAUUUUACAUCAAAAGAGGUGUGAGGCAAGGUGAUCCUCUGUCCCUGUUUUUAUUCAUAAUUGUCAUGGAAGGUAUUUAUGUUUCCAUGGAGACGACAUGCGAUCAUCAUUAUUACAGGGAUCUCUUUUUACCUCAUAACGAUAUUUCUAUUUCUCAUCUUAUGUAUACCGAUGAUGGGACUUUUAUUGGUGAGUGGUCAGAAAUUAACACUAUUAAUAUCAAUAGACGUCUUAGAUGUUUUUUCCUUGCUUGAGUUUGAAAGUAAAUAUUUAGAUAAGAGUAAUGUUUAUGGUGUGGGGGUGGAUAAUUUUGUGGUUGAGAGACUUACAAGUAUUCUCAAAUGUGAACCGCCCUCGUUUCCAUUUACUUAUCUCGGGGUUCCUGUGGGUGCUAAUAUGAAACUUGUUAAAAAUUGGAACACGAUGGUGGAUAAAUUCAAGAAAAAAUAUUGAUGUGGAAGGCGAGAUCUUUGUCGUCUGGAGGUCGUCUUACCCUUGUGAACUUGAUUCUUAAUAACCUUCCACUUUAUUAUUUUUCAAUGUUUUGUGCUCCCAGAAAGGUUAUCAACAUCAUUUUGAUUCAGAUCUAAAGGUUGGAGACUUGUACUUAAUGGAUUAAGUUGAAAAAGAUGCAUUUGUGGGUCCCUUUGAGACUUAAAGACUAGAUCUUGUUUGUUGGGACCAUUUUAAUGGAUAAAGUUGGAAAGUUUAUCCAUUAUGGAGCUCUUAUGGAACAUAAAAAUAUGAUCUUGGCCUUUCUAUCCCUUUCAUACAAGAAUUGUGAUGUCUUAUUGGGUUAAGAACUUAGGGUCUUGGACAUUAAGCACUCUAUAGCCAAGCAAAGUCAUAAAAUUGGAAACUUUAUGGCUUAGGACAUCAUUUUGGGCUUGGAUCUGAGUUUUGGACGUAAGGGCUUAAUGGAAUAAGCUCUUAAUAAAGUUUUGGGCAAACCUGGUGGUACGCGGCACGUACGCAGUCAGCGGUCCGCUUUUGGUCAACAUCAGAGUACGCUGGGCGUAAUCUCUUGGUAUGCAGGGAAGAAAUAUUGACUUUUGAACCUUAACCAUCGACUUUGACUUUGACUAGGGUUGACCACGUUUGACCUAAGGGCAUUUUGGGUAGUUUGAUUUAUAGUUUGAGAUUAGGUUCUUGUUAAUUGUAUAGGUGACCGGUACAGAUAGCUUUUAAAGCAGUGAUCGGUGCAACUAUUCUUUCAGACUAUGAGGUGAGUUUUCUCACUAUAUCCAUGGGUCAAAAGUACCAAUGUCAGCAUGUUACUUGUUACGUGGAAUGCUAGUUGUCUCUGUGAUGUUUGCAUGAAAGACCAAGAUCUGGCCCCUAGCAAUUAUACGAAAGACCAGGAUCUGGCUCCUAGAAAUUGUAUGAAAGACCAGGAUCUGGCCCCUGGAAAUUGUAUGAAAGACCAGUAUCUGGCCCCUAGCACUUGUGUAAGACCGGGAUUUGGCCCUCGGCAUUGCAAGGAAAGACCACGGUGGUAGCCCAUGAUACUUGUAUGUUUUGGUAUGUGGUAUUUUGGGGAGCUCUCUAAGCUUUGCGCUUAUAGUUUCAUAUUUCUGGUUUUAGGUACAUUAGGUUCGAAAGGGAAGGGUUCGACGUGACUGCAUAGUGCAUAGUGCAUCUUGGUUCUCCAAGAUUGAUUUGCGUUCAGGAUAUCAUCAGAUGAGGAUGCUCAGAAGACGACCUUCAGGACUCGUUAUUGUCAUUAUGAGUUCGUGGUGAUAGCUUUUGGGCUCACCAAUGCACCAGCAGCGUUCAUGGAUCUCAUGAACCGGGUUUGCACACCGAUGCCGGAUCGGUCAGUCAUUGUGUUUAUUGAUGAUAUCUUGGUCUAUUCUAAGACCAAGGAUUAGUAUGAGGAUCAUAUACUAGAGGUUUAGGAGACUCUGAGGAAGGAUAGGCUAUACGCCAAAUUCUCAAAGUGUGAGUUCUGGUUGCGCGAGAUGUAGUUUCUAGGCACCUUGUCAAUUAGAAGGGUAUAUUGGUUGAUCCGGCCAAGAUUGAGUCUGUGAUGUAGUGGAAGGUUCCGAGGUCUCCAUCUGAGAUUCGAAACUUCCUUGGGUUAGAUGGGUAUUAUCGAAGGUUUAUCGAUAAUUUCUCUAGGAUUACAAUUCCGUUGACCAGGUUGACGAAGAAGUCUGUUACUUUCCGUUGGGGGUCUGAGCAGCAGGCGGUGUUCGAGACUUUGAAGCAGAAGUUAUGUGAGGCUCUAGUCUUGACCCUACCAAAAGGGGUGGAUGACCUCGUAGUAUAAUGUGAUGCAUCGAUUUCGGGUUUAGGUGCAAUUUUGAUGCAGAGGGGUCGUGUGGUAGCUUAUGCUUCGAGGCGCGAAUUAUCUCACUCAUGAUUUGGAGCUGGCAGUGGUGUUCUUCCUCAAAAUUUGACGUCAUUACUUGUAUAGGGUUCUUUGUAUCAUCUACAUGGACCCCAAGAUGUGAUGUAAUCAUCUAAAGUUCUUAGAAUUCAGCUCAUAACUAGAUUUACUUCUAAGGUUUUUAUAAAAUUCAACAUUAUCUUCCGCUUACAUAAUUUUUAUAAAACUAAAACUGCACCACACCGAAAAUUUCAAUUUUUGUAAUGCUAAACCGCACCAUCAGUUUUUCGGUUUCGGUUAAUGCAGUUUUUUCGGUUUGCGGUUCGCUUUUUGCUCACACUAAAAGUUGAUGUGGCAUAGAAAAAAAUGAGUGGUAGAGUGUGAGUACAUCCUCCGGUCUUAGAGUUUAGAUCUAUAAUUGAUCAAUGCUUUUUUUCUUGGCAGAUACUGUUCUAGUGUUUGGUAUAGGCUGACAAAAAAUCCGCUGGACCGAAAACAAGCAACAUGCACACACAACGGGAGGGCUUAUACAGUAGUGGACCUGCUAUAGUGCACGAGAUAGCAUGAGUUACUCUUCACACGUUUUUUUUAACUUCUUUUUAAAUAUAGAUGCAAUCCUUUUAAAAAAACAUUGUGCAACGAGUUACUCUUCACAUGUUUUUUUUUUUGUUGUUUUUUUUAAAUAUAGAUGCAAUCCUUUUAAAAAACAUUGUGCAUCGAGUUACUCUUCACAUGUUUUUUUUUUUUUUUUUUUAAUUUCUUUUUACUUAUAGAUGCAAUCCUUAAAAAAAACAUUGUGCAACGUCUAGGGUAUUUUCCACAUCUUUUUCAAGAUCAAAAGCAAGUCCUUAUCUCAUCUUAUUCCAUCUUUCUCAUUUCCGUUUUUAACAUUAAUCUCGGUCCAGUCCAGUUCAUUCCAAUGAAUGCUUAACACAACACAAUAUCGUCAUGAAGGAAAACAAAAACCAAACAUUUCAACAUCAUUGAAAAAUAGUUGUUUAGAAAAUUAAUUCAUAAGAUGAUUAAAUAUUCAGAAAUCUUAGUAGUCCCCACCAAUCGCAAAAACAAAACACAAAACAAAAAUUACAAGACAACAACAUCAUUUACGGUGUCAUCAACACCGUUUUAAUGUAAUUAAGAACCUUUUCCACGUUCACUGUCCACGCAACUGAAACCGGUGAAUAGCCCGUCCACGGAUUAUCUGAAUUCCAUCUGCAUCACACUCACACAUUAACCAAAAAAAACAUGUGGGACCGGUCAACUUGGUCAAAUGCGUGUUAAGAAAUUACCUUUUUAGCCCUUGGUCCAUAAGGGUAUGUCCUACACAAAGCCCUUGUGUCUCAACCCUAACAACCCCCUUUUUGAACACGAAAAGAUCAGGCCGAAUUAACGCCACAAAACAGACAGGGUCAUGAAGGAAAACUCCUGGAGAUAGAUAUUAAGAAAAUAUUUUUUAUUAUUAAAACAAUUGUUCAUUUAUAUUUUAUAUGAAAGAAUUAAUAAAUUUAUACCAUAAACACCAUCUGAUUUCACAUGCCAAUCUCUGUAGAAUUUACUACUGUUGCACAAAAACUGAGCAUGCUUCCCUUUAGACUUUCUCAGUUCAUCAAGAUCAUCAUCUGAAAAUCCAUAAAUCUUGAUUAUUCCAAUUUAUAAAAAAAAAAAAAAAAAAAAAAUGGCAAUUUCUUUUUUUUUUUUUAAAAAAAAAUGGCAAUUUCCUUUUUUUUUUUUAAAUAAAAAGUGCAUAUCAUAUACUGGUCAAACCUGACAUUUUGACUUGUGUUGUGAUGUUUAUGCCAAUAACAUCUAUAUUUGCACCAGAAGUGAAAACAAUAUCUGCUGCUUCAGGGUCCCCGUAUAUCUGUAAUUACAUAUAAUAAUUAACAUCAGGAAGCUUUAAAUUUCUAAUAAAAAAUUUUAAAGAAAAAAAAUAUUUCAAAAUUUUAUUUUUAUACAUUUGCUUCUGCAGCUGGAUUAAUAUUCCCAAGUGCAAAAAAAGCUCCACCGAGUAUGACCACUCUUUUCACCUUAUUUACAAAUGAGGAGUCCCUUUUGAUGGCCUAUAUUAAAAUAACAACCAAUUUGUAUCACAAUUAGUUUUUAUUUUUUUAUUGGUUAUGUGAUUAUAAACAAGAUUUGCAAUUUGAAACUUACCAAAGCCAAAUUUGUAAGUGGACCAAGUGCAAGUAUAGAUACUUCACCAGGGUAUUCAGAAACUUUAUCUACUAAAAAUUCUGAUGCUGAUUUUUCUACUUUUUUUAAUUUGGGGGGAGGUAGAUGUAAGUUUCCUAAUCCAUCUGAUCCAUGGAUGAAAUCUUGAAUCUCUGGCUCUCCUCCCUGUCACAAAAUUAGAGUUUAGUUCAAACAUAAAUACAAUUUUUUUUAAUUAUAAAUGGGAAAGUAAAUUGUACCUUUAGUGGUUCAGAACUACCCUCAGCAACAGGAACAUCCAAACGUCCUGCAAUUUCACACUAUCCUUUUGCACAUGAAAACGGGUGAUUGAUCAUGUACAAGUUUAAAUCUAAAAUAUUUGAAACUUGGAAUUUUCAAGAAAUGAAUUUAAGAGAGAGAGAGAGAGAGAGAGAGAGAGAGAGAGAGAGAGAGAGAAAAAGGAAUACCAAAAGUAAGGCAUUACGAGUGGCAUCUUUUGUGGAAACAUUGCCAAAUGUAGUUGUUAAUCCUAAGAUAUCUAAGUUUGGUGUCUGAAAAGCCAUCAUGAUUGCCAUGCUGUCAUCUGAUUCAAUAUCAAUUCAGGAAUAUUGUUAUAUUUAGGAUCAGUUCAACUUUUUAAUCUAUCAAGACUUGAAUUUGUAUAUCAAGUAUGUCUACAACAGGGGCAUCUUUGUCGUUUUGAUGUACAACUGAAUCUAAAUUCAGAUUUCAGUUUCUUUGUUCGAAUUGAACUAUGUUUAUGUUUGACUUGAUAAGCAAUUGGCUAAAUCUCAACUCAAAGAUUACAAAUCAUACUGGAUAUUAAUGGUUAAAAGAUGAGAAAAGUCAUUCUACAUAAUUUAAAUCUGAGUAUUUGCAGUGGAAUGAUUUACUGAUUACAUAAGGUUUAAUGAUCAUCAAUAAAUUAAAGAUAUAAGAACACGCAUGACAGGUACUAUUUCUAAUCCACAAAUGCGGUGAAUAUUGUUAGUUUAUUAGAUGAUGCAAUUGGUCGCGAUUGCUUGAUUUCAAAAUUAAACACUGCAAAAAUAAGACACAAAUGUGAUUGUUGCGAUUUGUAGUCACAAUAACCAGUUUAGUAUGAUUGACAAAAACAAAUUAUGAUUCUAAUUCUGGGAUUAUUUAGGUCAAAAUAAUCGGCUGUAAGCGAGGAUAAUGGGCAAAAAAUCUGAUUAUCGAGUUGCUUUAAUCAUUUGAUUAUCUGAUCACGAAAGUUGCAAUAAUCACCUAACUUGGACAUAACAAACGAGCACAAGAACCAUACAAACAAAUUUCACAAUCCGAUAAAGUCUAAGUUAGUCUCAAUUAAAUACAAUCAAAAGAGCUUCAAGUUUAGUAUUUAACUUCAUCAAGCAUAGAAAUUAGCUCGAUCAAACAGAUAUUGAAUAAAACAGCGAAUUAAGAGAAUAUACCAAUGCCAGGAUCGGUAUCGAUGAUAAUCUUUUGAGAGAGUCCACCAUUGCAGUACGACACCAACGGAGGGGAAUCCAUGGAUUAGGUCCCCAACUUCUGUCCCACAAAAUACAGAUGAUCAGAAGUGUCAAAAUCUGGAAUAAAAAGGGAUCAAUCGCCCUUCUCUUUACUUUACGGUUUGGUGUGGGGCCGAUAGUCUGAAACUAUGAUCACAAGAAAGCUACAGAAGCGGAAUCUCCCAUCUCUCUCCAAAUAAAAUUAUGAUUUUUUUUUUAGAAUCAGCUUUUCAGUGAAAAAAAAAAUCAAAAUUAAAUGGGUAAUUAAAGGAUGGUUAGAAAAUUGAGGAAAUGACUAAACUAGUCAUUUUUCCUGUUAUCUAUCCAUAAAUAGUCAAAAGAAAAUACAUUAAUAAAAAAUAGCUCAUAAAAAGUAGUUCGGUCAGAGUGACUACGGUUAAAGGCGGAAAUAUACGGUUUUAAGCAAUGAACUACUGUUUUGCCAAAUCGUCUACUGUUUCGGGUUAACUAUAAAAAAAAUCAUUUCGAAAAUCUAAAACCGUAUAUUAUUUUACAACCUACGGUUUUUUUUUUCGACGAUCUAUGGUUUCCCAAACCGUAGUCUAUGAUUCUGGGUAAAAGUCUAUGGUUUUAUUUUUUAUUUUAUUUUAUUUUUAAAUAAAUAGAGAGUAGUUUUACAAAAAAAUUAAAUUAAAUUAAAUUAAAACCGUAGACUUUUUACCCAGAACUGUAGACUACAGUUUGGGAAACCGUAGUUCGUCGAGAGGAAACUGUAGGUUAUAAAAAUAACAUACGAUUUAAUAUUUUCAAAAUAAAAUUUAAAAAAAUAUAUAUAUAGUUCACCCGAAACAGUAGACGAUUUAGCGAAACAGUAGCUCACUCUAAUUACCUCCAGUCUCAUGGACUAUUUUUGGACAAUUAUUAAUUUUUGGUUAUUUUUUUAUAGGUAAUUAGAGAAAAUCACUACAUCNNNNNNAUAUAUAUAUAUAUAUAUAUAUAUAUAUAUAUAUAUAUAUAUACGGAAAAGUUUAAUAGAGAACCAAUAUGGAUCAAAGAACCAAGGAAGCCAUCUUAACCAUCUAUUUUCUUUUAAUCUUGGUCAUUAAUCCUUAAUUAACAAAAAAAAAACACGGAGGGGCAUUUUGGUAAGUUCAGCGUCUCAUUUAAUAUUCAUGUUUGUCUUCGUUAGCACCUUCUGUUACUGUCAUUCAUCUUCUAACACUAAUCGAUCCAAAAUCUCGCCUAUUCUUCGAAAUCUCAACCUUUUUCAUCAAAUUUACUAAUAGUUUCUUCAAAUUUCAGCUAAUAAUCAGAUAUUUUUAACAUAUAUUCAUCUUUUGUUUAUGAUUAUUAGGUCAAUUAUGGACUUUGAUUUUACCGUUUUUCUUCCGAUGCAUUGUUUAUCAAUCUUAUUUUUAUUGUUAUUGUAAUCGUCUGAUUGUCAAAUUCUCUUGAUUUUACCGUUUAAUCUUCAAAUUGUUAUGUUUUUAUUGUUAAUUUGAUAAUUUUAUGUCGUAUGUUGAAUAUUCGUUUGAUGUUACUCUUUUUUUUGGUUUUGCAGUUCAUGAUCAAUCAUCUUCAAAUAUGAAUACUGAUCAUUCAAAUAGCAGUAAUUCUUGUUCAGAUUUGCAUUCAAUUAUUAUAGAACAAUCAUGUAAGUUUUUUUUCUUUAUAUAAAUUACACAUUUUAAAUAUAUUGUAAUAAAGUAUAUGUUUUGUUUGGUUUUGCAGUUCAUGAUCAAUCAUCUUCAAGUAUGAAUAUUGAUCAUUCAAAUAACAAUAAUUCUCGUUAUAGUUUUGAUUCUCGUUAUAGUUUUGAUUCUCGUUAUAGUUUUGAUUUUGAGCUCUACAAUACUGAAACUUUUAAGCUUGUUCCUUAUGAUAAGUUGAUACAUAAGAAGCGUUUCAAAGGAUUGUUGUUUGAUUCGUUGGACAUUGCUCUUGACUUUUACAGGACUUAUGGUCAAGAAUCUGGUUUUGAUGUGAAUUCAAACAGCAAUCAAAACUAGUCAUUUUUCUAAUUACAUUAACCAAAAAUACCCCACAAAAGAGUAGUUUGGCCAGAGUUGACUACGGUCAAAGGGGGAAAUCUACGGUUUCGGGGCAAUGAGCUACUGUUUCGCCAGAUCGUCUACAAUUUCGGGUCAAAGGGGGAAAUCUACGGAUUUUGUGUUCCGCAGAGACGCCUCUGUGGAACCUUAAAAACCUCGAAAUUUUUUGUCUUUUAGUGUUGCCACCUUAUUUCAGCAGAGGUAUGCUAAGAUCCUCAUAAGGUUAAACGGAUCCACAGAGCACUCUCUUCGGAUCUUGUAGUCAUUUUACAAAUUUCGAACUUUUAGUGUUGCCAUCUCAUUUCAGCAGAGGUAUGCUAAGAUCUUCAUAAGGUUAAAUGGAUCCGCAGAGCACUCUCUGCGGAUCUUGUGGUCAUUUUACAAAUUUCGAACUUUUAUGGUUUAAAGGUGAAAACACCCCUUAAAAUAUGGUUAUUUCAUGAAAUUUCUAUAUGAAAUUCGAUAGUUUCGGUUCAUGGAAGAAACAGAUAACAAUAAGGAGUUUAAAUCUUAUACUCGUCGUCUCAUCGUAGGAAAUACCAAUAUUUAAUGUGUUUAUUUUUUUAUGAUUAGCUUUUUAUAUAUAAUAUAAUUAAACCAUGUAAAAUAAGAUAGUUUUGUAAAAUAGAAAAUAAUUUUUUCUUGCAUAUGGUACCAUAAUGUGCAGUGUGCACAUGGAUGUCCCGCAAUAUGUGGAUGGACGUAUAGAAGGUGUUUUAUAUGUGGAAGGAUGUAUAGAAGGUAUUUUAUUUUUUAUAUAUGUUUAAAAUUAACCAAUUCAAAUUAAAUUGAUGAAUCCAUUUAAAAUCGAUCAACCAAAAAAAUCAAUUGUAAUUUAAUUAGCUCAGUUCCAAAAUUUGAUUAUCUAAACUGAAUCAGUUUAACGGCCCAUUUUCAAUAAAAUCCGGUCCAAUCCGAUUACUAUCAAUUAUUACCCAAAAAUCCUAUUAAUAUAUACUAUUUAAUAAAUACUUUAAUGUAUAUUAAAUAUUUAUAAAGCAUACGCGUAUGUGUUGGAAAAUUCAAAAUCCAACUAUUAAUUUGAUUGGAUCAUUAAAAUCGACUAUUCGGAGUUGUGGCUCGGAUCAAGCACCAGCCCUGAUGGUUUCUCUUUUGCUAUGUUAAAGAAACAUUGGGAUGUGGUUGGAAGCGACUUCUACUUUGCACUAAAGUGAAGCUACCGGAUACAUCUACAAAGGCUGCAACUCAUCUUUUAUUUCACUCAUCCCCAAGAUUCAAGACCCGAUUACUAUAAGUGACUCCCGCCCUAUCAGUUUAAUUGGUUGUCUGUAUAAAACAAUCUCUAAGAUGCUGGCUGAAAGACUAAAGAAGGUGGUGCACCUGGUAGUCAGUCUAGUACUGCUUUUAUCAAAAAAAAAAAAACGUUUUAUACUUGACGGUCCGUUGAUACUUAAUGAAGUGAUCGCAUGGAUAAAGAAGAGCAAGAAGAAGGCAUUCACUUUUAAAGUUGAUUUUGAGAAGACAUUUUACAGCCUUAGUUGGGAAUAUUUAGACUCAAUCUUGCAACAGAUAGACUUCGUGAUUAAAUGGCGAACAUGGAUACAUGGGUGUCUAUCGUCAGCAAGGGUGUCAAUUCUCAUCAACGGGUCGGCAUCAACAAACUUUUGUAUGGAGCGCGGGAUCAGACAAGGUGACCCGCUAUCACCCUUCUUAUAUAUUAUAGCCGCAGAAGGAUUACAUAUAGCGAUGGAGAUGGCAUAAGAAAAUGGAAUUUUUGAAGGUAUUCAACUUCCCCAUCAGGCCCGAUCAUCUCACACCUCCAAUACGCAGAUGACACUAUUUUCAUGGGUUUUUGGUCAAUCGAAAAUGCGAAGAACUUGAUUAGAAUCUUAAGAUGCUUCGAAUUAUCAUCAGGCCUUAAGGUGAAUAUGUCCAAAAGCAAACUAUUUGGUUUUGGUACCCAGUCUUGCGAACUAGAUCUAGUGGCUCGGAGUUUCAAUUGUUCGGUUGGUUCUCUUCCGUUCAUAUAUCUUGAAUUACCGGUUGGUGCUUCUAUGGAAAGGACGAUACACUGGACCUAUCAUAGAAAAAUUCCAAGCAAGACUAUCAAAAUGGAAAGCAUCUUCAUUGUCGCUUGGUGGCCGAUUUACGCUUUGUAAAUCAGUAUUGAGCAGUCCGGGUUCUUUUUAUUUUUCAUUGUAUAAAGCUCCCGUCAAGAUUAUAAAAACCCUUGAAAAAAUAAGAAUGCGGUUCUUUUGGGGGGAGACCUAGAAUCGAGGAACAUGCCAUGGAUUGCUUGGGAAAAGGUUCUUGCAGCCAAAGAAAGAGGUGGACUUGGAAUUGGCAGCUUAAAGGCUCAUAAUAUAGCGUUAUUGGGGAAAUGGUGGUGGAGAUUUAAAAGCUAUCCCAAUAGUACCUGGGCAGAGGUGAUAAAAUUCAUAUAUGGCAAGGAUGGUGGAUUCUCCAGACCCUCAGUAGCAAAGAGAAAAAAUGGAUGUUGGGAUAGAAUUGUCAAUCUACCCAAAAUAUUAGGGGAAAAUCAAGUGACUUUUUUAGAACACUUCCAAUUAGCAUCUAGGGACAAUGGAGCAAACAAAUGGGUUUGGUCACUUGAGCCAUCAGGAGUAUACUCAGUUGCUUCUCUCAGAAUCCACAUUGAUACUACAAUCCUUCCUAUAAGUGAGUGCAUAUGGUCUUGGAACUAUCUAAUCCCUGGAAAACUGAAUAUUUUUGCGUGGAGAAUCUGUCAUGGCAAACUUCCAUCCAUGGCCAACCUUUUGAAAUUGGGCAUUAGCUUAUCAAACCUGUGCAAAAUGUGUAAUGGAGCCCUAGAAACUGAGGAGCAUGUGUUUGUGGACUCCCCAGUAGCACAUGAAGUUUGGCAACGGGUCUGUAGAUGGUGGAGAUUGUUGGAAUAUCCUAUAAAUUCGAUUCGAGAUCUAUUAGAUUGCAAAGAAAGGCUCCAGGGUCACGAUAGGCUGAAAAGGAUUCAUGAAGCAAUAAUGAUGGUAUUUCUUUGGGUGAUUCGGAGAUAUAGGAACCUGAAAGCCCAUUCUUCAAACACAAACACGAAACCGUAUUCAGCACUGGCUUACGAGGUACAAUCGUUAUCUCUUCUUUGGAUUAAUGCAAGGAAUCGAAGAGGGCAGAAUCUAAGAUGGUGGGAAUGGAGUUGUGAUCCGAUUUUAGAAUGCUAUUGUAGGCUAUAGUUUUGGCAGAUUUUGUUGUUUUGGUACUUUCUUUCCUUUCCAGUACUAUACUUUUGUACCCCUAGCCACUGGCUAAUUUUGCUUUUUUUUUUUAAUUCCAGCUGCCGUUCAAAAAAAAAAGGAAUCUCGACUACUUUUAUCAACAUCAUCAAUAAUAAUAGUAACCUAAAGUAGUAAAUGUGUAAACGACUUCUCCCACCAUAGGAGAUUUGUUUUUGAUUUAUGAGGCUUACAUACAUGUGUAAUUUUUUCAUGGAUUUUAUAUGCUCUUUCCAAGAUUUACUAUAAAUGAAACUCUUCACUUAACUAAAUUACAAUAAACAAAUUUGUUAUGAACUUGACGUCACGGACUCCCACUCAGGGUUUCGGCACCUUGUUCAUGAACAAGUUGGUACUGUGGAUUCCGAUUCCCGUUUUCAGAUUCCGGCGACGGAUUCGGAAUCGGAUUCUUCUCACUGAGAAAUCAAAUAACGAUUCCGAUUCAUACUUUAACAAGUCUUUUCUAAACUUAUGCAAAUAAACAAAGAUACAUAUCAAAAGAAAUUAGACUCACUUACCUUUUGGAAUAUAUGAAAAGACCAACACCAACAAUUAAGAACGAUACAUAGUAUAACCAAUCCACCUGUAGUAAAAACAUGGGAGGUACUUUCAUGUACUUAACAAAAUAAAAAAAUGCAUAUGAUAUAUAUUAUAUAAUUUAUGUUAUACCUUUUGUUCGUAGAAAAAAAUGCGAAUGAUUACAGCCCACAUAUCAGCUGUGAGUAGGGACAAAUUGAACAAUGUGGACCCACUUGUCUGCGUACAUUUCAUUCGUAUCAAAUUAUCAAUAACCUAAAUAUUAAUAAGAUUGUCUAGGAGAAAAGGAAAAAGUAUAAACCUUUAGUAUAAAAGACGUUAAAGAGUAGAAUAUAAAGAAUCCCACUGUGUAACCAACAAGUGUGAGUAUCUGCAGAAAACUAAAUCAUAAAGCUCUGAAAAAACAAAAGUUUAAAAUUUUAAUAUCUGGCUUACAAGUUCAGUAGACCAUGUCACUGCUUCAAGAUUCUUCCUCUCGAAUAUGGUGCUAAAAUUGUUAUGGAGAAAUGGAUAAAUAUGUAUUUUUGUUGUUUAAAGUUUAAACAAGAAACUAUGUGGAAGAAAAGGAUACAUCUCGAUUAAACUAAAAAACAUUCCAAAUACACCAAGCAUUGCUAAUACUUCAAGUUGACAGUUCUUUUUAACACAAAACUCCUGCAUAGCAGAUAAAUGUAUAUAUAUAUAAUAUGUCUAUAUGCUAUAUGAGGGUAUAAAUGGAAGAAAUAUGACAUAAAUGCCUGACCUCACCAACAUUGCUCAGUGCAAAGAAAAGUGUCCCCCCAAUGACAAGCAUAUCACCCAAAAGUGGAUUUGAACCACCUGAAAUGCAAACACAAAUCAUUUAGGGUUUAGGGUUUAGGGUUUUUUGAUUUUAUAAACAUUUAUGAUUUAAAAAUUAAAUGUUUAAAGAAAAUGAUGACCUCCACCACCAACCCCAGCAUCAGAAAGAAGCACUAAACAAAGGCCUACACCACAAACAGCUGCACCAAGGAACUGCAAUAGAGAAUACUUUGUGCCCAAAAAGAUCCAAGUAAAAAGAAUAACCCAACCAACUGUACAGCUAUCUAAUAAUGCUACACUUGUAAUGGAUGAGAAGUAAUAUGCUGAAUUAACUACACUCAAAAAGUCAAAAAGUCAAUAUCAUCAUAUAGUAAUUUCACCUAAGAUGUUACAUGAAAAGAGAGAAGAGUAAGAGAUGGGAGAAGCAAACCUACAAAGAUAAUUGCCUUGGACAUCAAAGAAUGCUAACAGAGCAUACCAAUACCAAGGAAUCUGCAAAAUUUUCCCAAAUUAUAUUUUGUUGUUUAUACUUAAUUAUCAACUGCAAAGAUAUAACCAAGAAUUAACUCAAGUUUCAAACUAAGAGUAAAGGAAGGUGACACUACAAUGAGUUCAUGGUGCUUAUACAACAAGAUGCUUCCAUAGAUCAAGGUUAAAGCCAGAUAACCUAAAAGUCCUAGAGUUACAGGCGAAUUAGCACCUAUUGCAAAACAAACAAAACAAAGAAAGGAGGUCAAUCGCUCAAUCAAGUUUAAAAAUUAUUGCAAUUUCAUAAGUGCUUGUUGUGCAAUCAUUUAAUUUCUAACUAGAUCAAACUUGGCAAAUGUUCUAGGAUUAGGAACGAGAUUCAAUCAGAUUCUCAUUGUAAUAUUCGUUGACUUAUAUAUAACCAGAUUCAAUAAUACCUCCCCCCACCCCCCAAAUUGCUCCAGUUUAUCUCUCAUUCUGAAUUUCACAAAAUUGACUAUGCGAGUAAGGAAACAAAUUCAUCUAAAAUCGAGAUAGAAUUAUCUUACCAAGAUUGGCGGUUAGAGAUGAAGUGAAGUUCAGAAGAGCCAAUAUAAAAGAGACGCCCUGGCCGAGUAGCAGAACGGACGCCACUUCCCAAAGGUCCGAUUUCCGCCACCAACGGCGGCUGGUGUCGGAGCCCAUUACCGUUUCUCUCAGUUACCUGUCAGAUCCCAGAUGAAUUAUUGAAUAUUACUUUGUGAAGUGAUGGCGGGAGAUACACGAUAUGACGAAAUACAUAUAGCUUGCGGUUGAGUGUAGACUUAUCAAUUGGCCAAAGGUUGAAUUUACAAUCUAGGGCCCAGAGUUCGAGUAACGUUUCCGUUUACACCUUAACUUUUGAUGACCUUUUAUAUUGCUCUCUCUUUUAUAAUUUUUCAGGCUUGUAUAAUUCGAGUUUUUCAUGUUAAAGAAAAUACAUGUUACCUGACCCAAUUUAAUUUCAGGUAAUUCAGGUUUGGAUAAUCUGGAUAGUGGGUUGGAUUUAGAUAAUUCGACUAUUACUCGAUUCUAAUGUGUUUCCAACAACCAACACUUUACUUCUAAUAUGUUUCCAACAGGCAACAUUUUAUUAAUAUCAUCACAAUUCCAUUUUAUGUUCAUAUAUAGCUUCGGGUUUUUAAGUGUACCAAGUUUUGUCCCUUCAUUACAAAUUUGCCAAGAUAUGUCUACAGUUACAUAUUUAACCUAUAAUCACAUAAAUAUUUAACAUAGACAAAAUUGCAAAAUGGUCCCUAUGGUAUGCAUUUUUUUGGGGUUUUAGUCCAAACAGUGACUUUUUUGGAUUGGUGGUUCUUUUAAGGUAGUUUGUAUGUAAAAAUAGUCCCUCCGAAAAUUGAAAUGACUAUAAUACCCUUGGGGUAUUUAUUUUUCAUUAUUCUUUAAUUUUUUUAAAUUAAAUAUUUAUUUAUUUAUUUUAACAAUUAAAAAAUAAUGGAGGACCCACCUCUCUCUCUUCUCUUCUCUCUCUCUCUCUCUCUCUCUCUCUCAAGCAAACACACACACUCCAGAUCAUCGACAUUCAUCAUCUUCCUUUUAGCCACCAUCAUCUUCCUUCUUCAACCACCGAAGCUGCACCACUGAAAACCCCACAACAAAAACAUGCACCAAGGUAAUCAUCCCCUGUCACCAUUGAUCACAAACACCAUGGGGAAGAGAUAAACACACACUGAAUCUUUAUUUGGGUUUGAUUUUGUUUAUGGUGUCGAUUUCGAUUUUGUUUCUCCCUCUAACCACCAGAACCAAAAACCCAUGGAACAACUCUGAUUUGUUUUCAAUCAAGUUUUUAGUUUUAUUUCAUACUUCUAUUUUAAUUCCGUUCAAGUGUAUUUCUUCAAGAACCCAUAUGAAUUCCAGAUUUCUUUUUAAUUCAGGGCACACACGAUGAAACCGUUGAAAUAUGGGUUUGUUUUUAAAUGUCAAACCUUUGAUUUAGUUGCAGGUUCUCUAAGGGUUUUGGAGCAAGAAACCCCAAUCUUUGAUUUUGUUGACGUCAUGUAAUGGUUUUUGAAUAGGGAUGAAGGUUUCAUCUUCAUCAGUUUUUGAGCAAGGAUGAAGGUUUCAUCUUCAUCAGUUUUUUAGCAAGGAUGAAGGUUCCCUAGUCACACCAGAAAUCCAUGUAUGUGUGUGUCUUUUGGUUCCCCCCCCCCCUCAUCUCGCCUCAUCAACUUCCUUUUCCCUCCCACCUAUUCUUCUUCACCAUCGUUAUCUCCCCCUGAACUCAUCCCCAGAUAAAAAUUAAAACUUGUAACCAACACCAAACCAAAAUCAAGAACAACCCAUUAAUCAAUUCCCCCAUCAAAAUUAGAGGAAGGGAGAAGUAUGGAGGGAUAAUAGGUGGAUAAAUCGGCUUUUGGAUGAACAAGAAUGGUGAAAAUAGAACGAAUGUUUUUUCCGAAAAACUUAUCAUUCCAUCCUCGAAGAUCGAAUCGAAUCAGGGGGAAUUGAUGAAUUGAUGAAGUGUAAUCCAAAAAAAUAUAACAAAUAAGGGGAGAAGGGUGGAGAUUGAAAGAAGAGGGAAGGUUCGUUUGUUUGUGUGUGUGUGAUGAAGUGAUAGCUCGGGAUGAGAGAGAGAGAGAGAGAGAGAGAAAAGAGAAGAGAGAGAGAGAGGUGGGUCCUCCAUUAUUUUUUAAUUGUUAAAGUAAAUAAAUAAAUAUUUAAUUUAAAAAAAAUGAAAAAUAAAUACCCCAAGGGUAUUAUAGUCAUUUCAAUUUUCGAAGGGACUAUUUUCACAUACAAACUACCUCAAAAGGACCACCAAUCCAAAAAAGUCACUGUUUGGACUAAAACCCCAAAAAAAUGCAUACCAUAGGGACCAUUUUUGCAAUUUUGUCUUUAACAUAUUAUCAUUAUGGCUAUUGAAGAAUUAUUGAACAGUUAAUGAAUUGAAGAUAACAGUGACAUGUAAUACAAACAAGUUCACUUUCACUUUUGCAGCCAAACUAAACGAAUACAGUAAACAAACAAAUUAUUAGACAUUUUUGGUCCAACAAUUCAACCAUUUCUUUUUAACUAGUUCUUUCUUCUUAAUAAAUUAUAAGGAAAAUGACACAUAUCACCUAUGAAUUUUUUAGGGUUUACCCAUUUAGUCCUUAAAAUAUUUUCGUUGCUUUAUGCGGACAUAAGAUAGGAAGCAACCUGCUUUUUUAGUCACCAUAACUUAUUUUAGCCGGUUUUAUUGUCAAGUCAACUAUUUUUUCCUCACCACCCAUUGGAAAGUCAAUUAUUUUUGUCACAUCAACCUAAAGUAUCUGAACCGUUUAUUGGUGUUUUAGGUGUUCACAUUCAUCAAGCACCACUCAGACCAUCAAUGGAGGUGGACAAAAUCCAGUUUUUAACGAAACCCUUCGGAUUAACGUUCCCAUAAUUGAAUCUUCUCUGAAGUGCGGGAUAUACAUGCUAAGUAGGGUGAGAAAUUAUCUUGAACAUCAAUUGCUUGAUUUUGCUUUAAAGAAGAUAAUGAGGAUGGGUAAUUGGGUUGAUUGCUUAAUUGUUUAAACAUAAUAAUAUUAUUGUGGGUUGAAAACCCUAUGUACUCACCAGGUUUCCCAACCUGACCCACUCAGUUUAUUUAUAUCACAGGUGUUGUUAUGAAGUCACAUUACACUGAGAGAUUAGGGAGAUAAAAAUCACUAGUAAUAAUGAAUGUAAGUUCUGUUUAUGUUUAUGUUUCUUUAUUGACGAUGACAUCCCAAAUGUUUUAAAAUGAAUAAAAAUAUUUUUCUUCGGAAAUGCUUUGAUAACGUAUUUAUCAUGUUUUACUGGGAACAAAUUUCGCAACAUUUUUAUUAAAAGAGGUACUCAGAUUUUUAUAAAGCAUAAACAAAAUCGGUCUUUUCUGGCCGUGAAAAUGGGAAUGUCACAGUUGGUAGGCAUUAGUUUAAGCGAACUAGGAAUUUGUAGAAAAUUUCUAGACUUAAACUUAGAAUGCUAAGCGAUGAUUGUGAGAUGAGUGUCUGCUAUAUUUUAGACACAAGCACUAGUUUAUUUUGGGAAAGAUGUCUAAAAUGUUUUAUGCGCUAAAUGUUUUAUGUUAUAGCUAUAAAGAUGCCUUAUAUGCUAUUAUUUGUUCAGAUCUAUGGUCUGUUGCCGACCAGAUCUGAAAAUUUUAUGUGUUCAGAUUUCUAAACGUUUGAUUACGGUAUUAGAACUAGCAUAUAACUUUUCAGUGUGACAAGGAGCUCUAUACGUCUAUCGUAAAUAAAAUUUUUGCUAUCUUAAAAUUCUCGCCUCGGUACACCGAACGUCUGCUUGGGGGUACAAAACGUCAUGGCGAAGACAGACUAGGAAAUAUCCGAGGAAGAUAACAACCUGAGCCUAAGAAUGUGAUGGGUCAUGCAUCGGUCGUUGCACCUACACCCGAACCUAUCACAAUGGCAGAAGUUCAGGAAGUGAUGCGAACCAUGAUAGACUGAGAAAAUAAAGGAAAUGAGAUGGCUUACGAUAGUGAAUGAUACCUAUUGGAAGAUAUCAUAAGAGAGGUAACUUGCCUUUAGAAUACAUCUGAUAAAGUAGUAGUACGUCUAGAGAAGUGCGGUACAUCUGAAUGUACACAUUUGAUUGGCGGGAUGAUAGAACGGUUGGUCUAACUCCUAAAGUUUUCCUAUCAUCUGGAAUUUCCAUCACCAACCGAGUUGAAGCAUAAUUGAUGAUUGAAGAUACGCAUAUAAGAAGUCCUAGUAGAGUCUAGGGAAAUUUUUAUGAUUAUUUGGACACACUCAUAUGUGUUAAAUUGUUUUGUGAUUUUAGGACUUGGAGACUGCGAGACAAUACUUGGGACGAGUAUGAGUAGGUGUGAAAGGUAGUAGAUGCAUAUACUACCGGAAGCACAGGACUCACGCUUGGAUCAGGGAAAGUCACAAGGUUACCACUAAGCUAGUAAAUGAUACCAUUUUGUUUAAGUAUGUCGUUACCAUCGUUUCGGUAAUGACUAAGAAGAUGAUUGUUAUUCCGACCCUAGUGGUCAUAUCAAAUUGAGUCCGACUACGCUGAGUAUGUUAUGUGGUUCAGAGAAUCAAGUUCGAUGUAACAUCUGACUUAAGACGGAAGAUUGAAAUAAAAAGCGAUCAAUAGAGGUAUUGCGAAAAGUUGCUUGUAGCUAGAAAUGCUACCUUUUAAGAUGUGGUUAGAACAUGAAGGAUGAUAUAGUCUGUUCUGGAAUUUGACUCUAAAAGACCUGAGUCCAAGUGAUGCAUCAUACGAUGAGAGGUCAUUAGAAAAUGACUCAUCAGUCUAUUAUGAUAAUCGAAGGAAGAAACUUAUCUCAAGUUUGUUAAAAAAGGAGUCUCCAAUAAAGAUCGAGAUCGCAACAUGAAGAUCAUGAUUGGAAGUCUAACAUAAGAUAGAGAGCGGGUCUAAGAUCGGGCACCACCUGCAGCCAAGAAGUCUUAGAGUUAGAUACUCAUUCGAAGAAACAUCAAAGUUACAGUUAUUACUUAUGAUGAAAAGAUAACGUAUGGAGCCAUCAUGUGAGUCCUGUUUCGUUGAUGAUUCCGGGACGUAAUCAUCCAAAGGGGGAGAUAAUUGUAAUGCCCGUAGAUCCGGGCUAGUCAAUUUAGAGAUAAUAGGGUCGAAAACGACUUUUUGACAAAAGAUUAUUUAGAAUAAAUAAUCUUAAGCAACUUGUAGAAUAUGUCUCAAGGGUUCCGUACAUAUAAAGAGCGCCGAAAUCCGAGUUAUAACGAAGAAGUUAUGACCCGUCGAAGUUUAGCGACGGAACCGGCACGACACCGCGAAGACGUAAAUAGUGAAUUUAUGAUAGAGCGAAUUUUAGCCUUAGUAAUCUAAAUGAAAGUCAUAGAAUAUGUUAACCUGAGAGCGUCCAUAAAAAGAACGCCCAAAUCUAGCUUCUUAUGAGGAAGUUAUGAUUUUUUGAAGUUUCGGCUUAGUGGUAUACAACCCGAAGUUCGAGUAUUAGAUCGAGCGGUUUUUAGCCGACACAACCUAAAUGAGAAUUGAAGAUCUCGUUAUUAGUAGCGUAACAAUAAAAAGACAGACGAAAAUGGACAUCGGAUGAAGAAGUUAUGAGAUUUUAACAAACCAAUCAUGUCCCGGCCUAUUAAAAAUAUAACUUUAAAAAUAAAGUCAAAAUUAGGCGACGGAGUCUAAACGAAAGUUGUAGAGUACGUCUCCACCUACACGUGGAUAUAAAUAACGUCAAAAACGGAGUUCGUAUGAACGAGUUAAAAAUUAUAAUAACAUAUUUACGUAUUAAAAUAAAGUAUAAAUCAUAUAUACGUACACAUAUAUAUACAUAUGUAUAUAUCAUUAGAAAGGUAUCGACGAUGCGGUCAUUAUAAGACUAAUGUUGAGUUCUUUCGACAUUAGUUUAGUACAAAUAUCAUUAAAUCUAUUUAAAAUAGUAUUAUAAAGGGGUGUUUAGUUGUUUAUAUAACUAUAAGGUCAUUAAGUAAUUAUGGAGGGUAGUUUUUGUAAAUUCAAUUACUAUAAAUAAGAGGCUUGGGCUCUCAUAUUUCUUGCACCAUUCUCUUGAUUCAAGAGUCUUUCUCUCCUUAUCCCCCGAGCAUUUCGGUCCCUCGUGAUUCGACUUCUCUUUCUGUAGUUUUAGUAUAGUAAGGUGAGCGCUGAAGCGCUGCACGAAUCUUUCUUAGAAAGAUUCAGCGACGAAGUUCUGCCCCUACAGAGCCCGACUCCUAGCUAAAAUCCCCUUGUAAGUAAGUUAUGCUUACCCUAUUUUAAAUAUAGUUUAUAUUUAAAAUUAGUAUUGUUAUUAUAAAUUUAUAAUAAAUAUUUGAGCUAUUAUUAUGACUUAUAUAAGUGUCGUUAUAAUAUCUUUUUAACUACUCGCGGUACGGGGAAUCUGGUUUAAAGGGCCGCAUAGGGUUGUUGGAUUUCAGAAGUGCUAUAUGCCAAAAUGGUCCUGCCCUCCGGUGUUUUAUGUCUGGCCCCUGUCUGUACAUAGUGGUUGGAAAGUAUUGUUUAAACGCUAUAAUAAUAAUAAUAAUAAGACUAAUAAUUAGUCACGGUAAAUAUUAGACUAAAAUCUAGUGGUAAUAAUACUAGGUUUCGUCGAAAGAAAUUAUUUUAAAGUAAACGAAGCGCUGUCCGAGUACCGAGUCACCACCUUAUCAAGUGAGUACAUAGUUACUUUCAUCUUACACGUAGAUAUGAAGUAUUUUGUAUAAAUUACGUGCUAUGUGUGCAUAUUAUCUGAGUAAUUGUUGUCUGUGCUGGAUGGACGAUUUUAUACAUGUUUUAAAUGAUUAAACUGUAUAUGUAUUUUAUAUCGACGAUAAUGUUGGGGUAAAACGUAGGUAGAUGUAAUAGAUGGAAUAUAAGUUGGAUGAUGAGUUGAGAGGUGUUAUAAACCACGAGGUGAGGGUGAGAGGUGGACGAUGUGAGAAGUCUUUUCCCAAACGAUGGCCCCGUCAUUCAGCAGAGUAUGGAUGACAACCACGGACUAUUCUAGACAGUCCAGUGGAACACUAGCAGGCUCACAACAUGUAAGUGUUAUGAACAAUAUGUUCACCCGGUGUACUCUAAACCUUGGUGAUCAUGCAGACUUGAUGCCUAAACCCUGGUGAUCAUGCAGACUUGAUGCCUAAACCUUGGUGAUCAUGCAGACUUGAUGCCUAAAUCCUGGCGACUAUGCAGACUUAGUGCCUGUUGUGUAAACCGUGGCAACGAUGGACUUCGUGCCAAUUCCUUAGGAUAAUCCUUAGGAAUGAGUGAACGAGAAAUAGCUGGUUCUUAGGGUAGACCCUUAAGAAUAAAGAAGAUAAUAGGGAUGGGUAAUUGGGUUGAUUGCUUAAUUGUUUAAACAUAAUAAUAUUAUUGUGGGAUGAAAAUCCUAUGUAUUCACCAGGUUUCCCAACCUGACCCACUCAGUUUAUUUAUAUCACAAGUGUUGUUAUGAAGUCACAUUACACUGAGAGAUUAAGGAGAUAUAAAUCACUAGUGAUAGUGAAUGUAAGUUCUGUUUAUGCUUAUGUUUCUGUAUUGACGAUGACAUCCCAAAUGUUUUAAAAUGAAUAAAAAUAAUUUUCUUCGGAAAUGCUUUGAUAAUGUAUUUAUCAUGUUUUACUGGGAACAAAUUCCGCAACAUUUUUAUUAAAAGAGGUACUCUGAUUUUUAUAAAACAUAAACAAAAUCGGUCUUUUCUAACCGUGAAAAUGGGGAUGUCACAAGUGUUUACCAAUUCUAGAAUCUCCCAUAGAGGGGACGAUUUCUAGAGGGUUUCUAGAGGUAUUCUUGGGCUCUAAGGAAGCUUGGAAUGUCUUAGAGAGAAAACAAUGAGGUAAGAGUUAUUUAAAAGGAACCUGCCUUACAUACAAACUUCCUAACGCCUAUAUGAACCCCUAAGGGUUUAGAAUUUCGAAAUUAAUCUCAUUCUAAGAGCUUAAUUUCGAAAUUCUUCCUUCUUCUCCUCUCUCCUCUUUAGCUUCCAAUUUAGAAGGUUCGAGUGUGAGUCAUUAGAGGCACGAGACUUCGCGUGCUUGCUUUCCAAAGACCAAUCAAGGAGGAAUAUUUGUUUAUUUUCUAUAAUAAACAAAAUGUAUGUUUUUCCAUAACCCUCUCAUAAUUUCGAAAAUAGCAAUGUAUUUUAGGGUUCCUGAUAUUCAAUUAUUUGUUGCAAAUCAUAGUGAGACAUAGAUCCUUUAGGUUGCAUGUGAACUUAGGGCUUAAGUUUUUCUGCCAAAGUAAGAUUUUUGUAACCUAUAAAAGCCAUCAAUGUCACACAUAGUAUUAUAAAACUAAUUGAGGAAACGGUCAACAUGUUAUAACACCCACUAAUUUCCAUGUCAUCAUUUUUUUAUUUUUUCGAUUUAUUUUUUAAUAUUUAUAAAAACAAAUGUAAUUUAAUGAAAAAUGUUAUUUAAAUAAAAUGUAACUUUUUAAUUAAACAUAACAUUUAAAAAUUAAAAAAGCAUUACAAAACAAAUAUAUANNNNNNNNNNNNNNNNNNNNNNNNNNNNNNNNNNNNNNNNNNNNNNNNUAAAUUCACUAUUCUUUAUCUUCAUUACCAUCAUACAUAUAAUUGUUGGCUUAGUGUCUAAGUCCAUAACUAUUUUAGUAUGUACUUGACCCGAUUAUGAGCAUGGUCCUUUUGGGGUGCCUUCACCAUAGCAAUAUAUAUGAUGAAUUAAGGAGAGAAAGGUUUAAUUAUGAUUUAUUAAUAUAUUAUGAGAAUAAUAUAUUAAAGUAGAAAUCAUAUUUAAUUAAUAUUAGUCAAGAAUCAAUAAAGAAUUAAUUUUGUGGCUAAAAGAGAUUAAUUAAAGUUAGGGGACUAGAAUUGUAAUUAUAAGAUAACUGCAAUUGGGCUAUGGAUCACCUUGGAAUAAUAGGUUGGACGAAUUCUAUGGGGAAGCCCAUUAGAAAUCAUCCAAGGCAUGUUCCAGAAAGGGUCCAUGGGCUGUUAGGGCUUAAGCAGUCAAAUUAGGGUUUCCUUGUUAGAUAACCCUAAUUGCCUACCUAUUUAAAGGCCCCUUGAGACCCAAAAACGUGGCUAAGUGUUCCUUUAGGGUUUCCAAUUGUUUUUGGUGCCUCCUCUCUCCUCUCUCUUCAUCCAAGUUGCUUAGUGUGUUUGUGACUCCAUUAGAGGUGCAACACUUGAGGCACUAAGAUUUCUAAAGCCAAGGGUUGAUUGUUAUUGCUAUAUAACAAUCAAAGGUGAGAUCUAAACCCUAAUUUAAGUUAUUGUUUAUUAGAUCUAGGGUUUAUGGCUUUGGAUUAUCAAUUGCAUGUUCAUUAGACAAACUAGAUCCAAAGCUAUUAGGGUUUGCAUAUACACCACAGGAUUGAUGUAUUGCUCAAAACCCAUCAAUAAUUUGUCAAGUCUUAUCGAAGUUGUAUGUGUUUUCAUGCAUCUUGAAUAUCAACAACUCUAUGUAAAUUUUAUGUUGUCCCCGGUUGAAAUUGCAUGUGUCUGGGUUCCGUAGGAAUAUACUCUGUAUUAUUUCAGUAUUUAUCUUCAAUCAACAUGUUAUGUAUUAUGAUACAUACAUACAUGAUAUCUUGUAGAGUUCCGGACUGAUAUAGUCGUGAUGCAUGUUCAACUAUGUGUCACUUCAGCUUUAGAACUCCAAACACACGUUCCACAUUCUUACGUGCUCCUUCUUGUCUCCUCUUGAAAAAAUUGUAUUUUGGUUCUAGUAGGUUUCGAAAUGCCUUCAUGAAUGUGGAAUAUGUAGGAUAUAUUCCAUCUGUAAAGUAAUACCCAAACUUAUAUUUAUUUCUAUUUACUGUAAAAGGAGAUUUCAAUGCCUUUCUGACAAAAGACCGUCGAAUAUUGCGACUGAUCAAGAACGUUGAAGUCGUUGUUAGAACUGCAACCCUGAAAAAAGCAUGGCAAAUCCAUAAAUCUUGGGAAACAACAACCUCUAAUACCAACAAAGGCGCUUCAUGAUGACCACUUGCAUACUGGCCUUUUCACGCAUGGGAAAAAUUCUCUAUUUCUAGUGUGUGCAAUCAAUACUUCUAAGCAUACCCGAAAAAACCUGUCUUUCUUCAUGUGCCGCAUAUAGUUGUUGCAUAUCAUUCAACGAGGCUUCCACAAAGAAACGUCACCGAAGGUUUCAACAACACCUCUUGCCAAUCUAUACACCUUUCUCUUGUGGUUUUCUCAAACGUUAUCAUAUAAUCAUCAAUAGAAUCGGGGGACUCCCCUGUAUCCAUCAACUUAGUUGCCACAACACAUUUUUGAAACCUUGUGAACCCUCGCUUACCACUAGCAUCAUAUCUCAUUUAAAAACUCAUACCUAAAUAUAUAUUUAAUAGGUUACAUUUAUAAAUUACAAAACAUGAAAUAAAACGAUACUUGCUUUCCACGACAUUGACUAUCUGUACAAACACACUGUUUCGCAAACGAAACAUUCUUUUAAAAUCGUUUGCUUCGUAGAAACAAUUAUCCGCAAAAUAAUCGUGAACUAGACGUUGGUGUCAUUCUUCGCGAUUUUUGUUUAACAUCGCAUGUGUUGUUGGUAAGAGGAGUUAAAUCUGGUUGUAGUAGCACGUUCAUGCAAUAAUCGUACAUCAUAGAGACGAAUAUAUCAUCAUCAUCAGCAUCAUCGUUAGACAGGUCGAACAGAUCCAUUUUUUUUUCAAGAAGUAUUGAAAUUUUAUAUUAUAAAGAAAGAGAAGAAUGAUGUGAAUAAGUUUGAGGUAGAAGGUAUGUAUUUAUGGGUAAUAUUUUUUUUUGAAAAUAGGACUACUAAUAAUGUCAAAGGGGGACGAAAUCAAAUUGUCGUAUGCGUUGCAAGUUGUUGUCAUUACAACGAGAGAUCACAUAAUGAGUGGGAGUGUUCCUCCCAUUACCACGCCGUUAAGGCUACUCAAUGUAGGCAAUAACGUGCUCAUACCUGAUAGUCUAAAAAGAAGAAAAAGAGUAGUAAUAUGAAUUUUGAAAACUUGCUUGUAAAACCCCGUUUAUUUAUUAAAUAAAUAAAUUAAUAAAUGAAUGGCUUGUAAAGAAAUAAUUAUAUAUAAUCGGCGAAGAGCUAAUUGUCAUAAUUUUAGAAGUUGGGGGUUAAAAGUGUUAGUUCUGAAUUAAUUUUCUAAAUUUUAUGAAGGCGGGGACUAAAUGGUAACUUCGGGGACUUCAUUUGAAGAGAUUUUGGGGGCUAAGGGGCUAUUUGUUAAAUUAGGGAUCGGAUUUGAGUGCAAAUAUGGAAGCAAGGGUAUAAUUGGUAAAUAUUGUACCUAAGAUGAAAGGAUUUUAUGAAAUCAGGGGCUGUUUUGUAAAAUUCGGACUUAUUUAGUAAAGGUUUUCAGGAGCAGGGUUUAAUUGGUAAGUUUCGGACCUUAGUUGAAAAGUUUCGCAUGGGCAAGGACCAAACUUGUAAAGUGGGCAAAGGUUUGAUUUGGAGCGGGAUUUAAACCCGACGCCUUCUUUCUUCCUGUUACAUUUCCUUACCCUAAACCUAAUUGAACAAGAGCAGCCGCCACUUCCUUCUUCUACUGUCGGCGUCGCACCAUCAGUCUCACUCACCCUCCAUCCACUCCUCCAGCCACCAUGUUACCACCGUGCAAUCACUCCUUUGAAGACGAGGACUGCUUCUGUACAUUGGGGCAAUGAGCAAGUGAAGGAAUGCGACGUACUGCUGUUGUUGUUCGCCAGCUGAGGUCGCGACCCGCCACAAUUGCAUCUUCUCCCCACCACUAUCCUUCUUCGCUAAUUCCGUUGGCCGUCGUAAUUGUCGCGAGUAACCGUGACUGCUGCCCAUUUCCCUUGACGACAAGCCGCUUCCGGGUCUCAGACGAUGAUUGCGUGUGUGUUACCUUGCUGUCACCGAGGAUGAGCUUGUGAAGACCGCCCUUCGCUAUGUGCCCUGCUUGCCGCCGUCAUCAGCGUCUCUGCCGCCACCGUAUGUCGCUUGGUGGGUGGCUGGGUUCUUUCUACCAUUAAAACAUGUAUGGGUGUAUUUCUGUCGAGUAGGUGUGGUGUGGGGCUGUUUGGCCGGAAACUACAAGAAUAGCCACCACCACCACCGUGAGGUGGGGGCUGCCACCAUACACCGCCAUGUAUGUGUGUGUUUAGUGGGUGUGUACGUUUUUUUAGUUGAGAUUUACCAUUGUAAAGUGCACUACAAAUUAAAAUAAUGAAAAGAAAACUGAAAACCACCACCGUAGGGUGGUGGCUGCCGNGUAGGGUGGUGCCUGCCGCCACCGGUCGCCGUGUCGGGUGGCGGUGUGUUUUCCUUGUGAGUUUGAUUCGUUUGGGGGUGCUUGAAACCCUAAUGGGCCAAAGUAGCUCAAAUGGGCCUAAUAAAGCUUAACGGACCCUAAUAAAACCCUAAUGGGCUCAAUGAUAUUCUAGUGGGCCUAACAAGCCCAAUAAAGCCCUAAUUGUCAUAAAAGGCCAAUAAAUUGAUAAAUGAGCUAAUAUUUGGAUUGGAAAACCCUAAUGCCAAUAAAACCUUAAUUUGAGAAAUUAAUCGGGACACUCGGGAAUUAUUAAUAACUUGAAAUAUUAAAUAAUGAGCAUUGACAAGAUUAAUCUAAGCGAUAUUGGACUUAAUGGAUUAAGUCCUUAUUGGGUUAAGUAGGAAACCUAACCCUAAUUGUCAUUUUAUGUGAAACCCUAAUUUCACUUGGGUAUAUUAUUGGGCCUUUAUAUUGAGAUAAUAAUGGACCAUCCAAGAGCAAGCAAUUGAACUAGAAUUAUUUAAUGGGCCUAGGGUAAGGCCCAUGUAAAGGGUUUAGGCCUAAUUUGGAAAAUUGGGCCAUUGUUUGGGCCUUAAUGAUUAUAUGAUGUUGGGCCUUAGAAUGAGGCCAUGUAUAGGCCUAGGCCCAAUUUGGAAAAUUGGGCAAUGUGUUGGGCUUUGAUUCCUAAUUGACUUUGGGCCUAUGGAUUGGGCCUUGGGCUUAAAUAAGCCAAGCCUGGGGUAAUGUAGUAAUUAUCCAAGUAUGUAUUAUGGUUAUGAGUUGGGACACAAUUAUUAAUUGGGUGUUGUUUUGGUGUUGACAGUUCGGGAAUAUGUCAUUCAGUAGCUGGGGUUGAGCCUGCGAGACUUUAACAGUGUGGGAUUGUGUCUACGGGACUUCAGCAGUGUGAGGUGAGUUACCUUCCAGUAGCGGUGGGUCUACGGCCACAAUGCCGGCCCACCAGUAGGAGUUGUUAUUAGAUGAUUGUCUUUAUGAUAAUUAUCUAUGUUUGCUACUACCUGAUAUGUUAUAUGCUAGCAUGAUAUGUUGUAUGUGAUAGUAGUCGAGUUCGGUUGUUAGGACCGAAGGGUAGUCAGACACCCCAGAUACGUCUGACAGUAUGUGAUGAUGUGUUUGCAUGCUGGCUUGUUAUGUUAUAUGUGAUAGAGGUAGUAUGAGGGGACCAGUCCCCGUGUUCGGUUGUUAGGACCGAAGGGUAGUUCAGGCACCCCAGAUAUGUCUGAUAGUAUGUUUAUGUUAUUAUAUAUGUGAUAGUAGCAGUAGGGGGUGGAAUAGUCCCCAAGGGUCGGUUGUUAGGACCGAAGGGUAGGUCAGCACCCCAGAAUGGCUUGACACGGGUAGGUCAGCACCCCAGAAUGGCUUGACAUGGGUAGGUCAGCACCCCAGAAUGGCUUGACACGGGUAGGUCGGGCACCCUAGAAUUGCCCGACAGUAUGUAUGAUACGUGAUUGUAUGGUAUGUGGUAUGAUGGGGGAACUCACUAAGCUUCGUGCUAACGGUUUUCAGUUUUGGUUUCAGGUACCUCGUGUUUAAAGGAAAGGAGCCGGCUUGAUCGCAGCGCAUCACACUAUGGUUUUCCGCACAUGAGAUCUUUGGGAUUACACUCUGAUAUUAUUUUAUGAUAACACAUUUGAUUAUUUCUACUUUGGUUUUGACAUGACAUGAUAUUACAGAUGUUUUAUUACACUGUUGGUUUAUAAUGACGUAUUUAAAAAUGAAAUUUUUGGCCUGUAUUUUUGGGAUGUUACAUUGCUUCUCGUUUGUCAAUUGCUGCCUUUACCAGCCUCUGUUUUGUAAUUUGAAAACUCGAAACGUAGGAUUCUCACACAUGUAAAUUAAUAUGGAAUUAAAUGCAACUACCAUGAAAUUAAAUGCAACAAAAGGGUACAACUGUCAUUUGAUUUAAUAAACUUAACUGUAAUUAAUGUUUCCUUAAUUUGUGUGUUUUUUUGUGGACAAUAAUUCUUCUUUCUUCUCUUUUUCCUCUUUAGCUUUCAAGUGCUAGGGUUUGGAUGUGAGUCAUUAGAGACACGAGACUUCUGGUGCUUGCUUUCAAAGACAAAUCAGGGAGGAAUAUUGUUUAUUUGUUAUAAUAAACAAAAGGUAUGUUUUUCCAUAACCCUUUCAUAAUUUCGAAAAUAGGAAUUUACUUUUAGGAUUCCUGAUAUUCAAUUGUACGUUGCAAAUCGUAGUGAGAACAUAGAUCCUUUAGGUUGCAUGUGAACUUAGGUUUUAAGUUUUUCUGCCAAAAUAAGAUUUUUGUAACCUAUAAAAUCCAUCAAGUCACCCAUAGUGUUAUAAAACUAAUUGAGUGAUCAGUAACAUAUAUGAAACAGGAAACACCAAACAAUAAGUCUUUGCAAGGCACCAAAUCGGUCAUGAAACAUUUUUACAGUUGAUCUAUGGUGCAUAUAUGAAACACGAAACACCAAGCAAUAAGUCUUUGAACCAUGUGUCAUUUUGGACAUCAUUUCUCCUUAUGAACACUACAGUAAGGACCUCUACCUAGACAUAAAAAUCCGCUUAUAAAUACAUCGGCUAUCUCUCAUAUGUCCUAUCAUUGUAUAAUAUAAACUCGAGUCUUACGUUUUUCUCUCAGUUACCAUGUCUCUUUCACUCGAUAUAUCACUAACUCAACCAUCAAAUAUAGAUGAUUCUUGAGAACCUAUCAAAGCUUUUAUUAAUUGUUCGUUGUCUUGUUACUAUAUAUUUCGGAGUUUGUUUGUAGACUAGCCGAACUCCUAGAAUCCACUAAAAAUGUUUUUCAUAUAAGUUGUGUUAAACUUUUAUAUGUACGAGUUUUACUUGGAUUUAAGUAUAUGUUUUAGAUUAUUUCUCAAUCGAUAAAAACUAAAAAGAUGUAUCAUAUUAAAACGCAUAUGUUAUUGAAAUAGAGUGCGUUCGACAACAAGAUUUUAAGAGCUUUUAGGAGCAUUUAAUAUACCUUUUAAGAAAAAUUCAAAUAUAAGAAAAAAAAAUUGUUUGGAGAGUGCGAGAUUAAAGUUUUUGUUUUAAACAAAAAUCAUCCCUAAUAAAUGAAAAUAAUUUUGUCACAUGUCAAUCUCUCAUUAACUUAGACACGUGUCAUUUUUUGGUAUUUUUGAUUAAAUAUUUUAUCCAUUUGUCAUUUUCUUAUUUUUUUUAUCUUUUUUUAAUUAACACAUCAUAUUUACACCUCAAUUAAUAAUUACCUUAAUUGAAAAUAAUCAAUAAAUUAUAAUAUUAAUACUUAUAUAGUAUUUAAUAUGUUUCCUUUUAAAUUUUAAAUUUUAAAUUUUAAAUUUCAAAUCUAAAAUUUCAAAUUUAAAUAAAAUUUGUUUACAUUUUUAUAUUUCAUUUUUGUUUUAUCAAACUCGUAUAACAUACGAGUCUCACACCUAGUCUUUCAAUAUAAAAGCUACUUAAAGUAAAGUUUAAGAGAAAGUUCUCGCAUGAUAUAAUAAUUUCAUUACGUUACCGUUAAAAUUAUUAAUUAUAUAUUUAUUUUUUUAAACAAAUAUUAUUUUAUGUAAUUUUAUGCAUUUCAAAAGUUUCAAACUAUUUUUGUCAAACAUUUAUAUACAAAUAGGAGUUAUAAUCAUUUAUCACUGUAUGGCUUCCAACUAUCAACUAAGUAUUGUUAAACAUGUUAUUGAGUAUGGCUACGCAUUGAGUACAGCUAAACGCAUCCCACUAUGGCCUUGAGUCUAAGAGUAUUCACAAUACAGGUAGUAUAAGAGGUGAAUAAGAUGAUGAGUAAGAUUGAAUAGGAGUUGAAUGAAGUGUGGGUGAUAACAUGAAGUAUAGUUGAAUGGAAUGGUUGAAUGGUUCAUUAGAAAGAAUAAAAUGGUAAUUAUAAUUGAAUAUGUAUUUAAUGGGUUGUGAGUGAUAUUAUAUACAUAUUUAAUGGAUUAAUGGUCGUGACAAUUUAUUAAAAUCUAUAAAGUUUGAUGGACUGUGAAUGUGCUAAAUGUUAGCACCUAGAGGUUGCACAAACAAAACAACCACCAAAACUGCCUCAUAGGUCAUACCUUAUAAGAUUAUGAUAUUAUCCAUCGUUUCCCGUUACACCUCAUUCCAUCAACAGCUGUCGUCAACGACAUACACUGAUCCAAACGAAAAAAACAAAAUCGAACUCAACAAGUGAAUGCAUGUUUCACUGUGUGAGAGAGAAACAGAAGAUUGGCAUAAGUGUUUUGGUCAAAACUUUCGUCUGUGAUUGAUCAAUUCAAUGAUAUCAAUUCAAUCAUAUAUCUCUUUAGUUUAUGAUGUUUUCGUCAAAACUUGAUUUUGUUUUGUAGCUCUAAUUUCUAAAUAAUACCUAUCGACAUUCAACAACUACGAUUUAAAGGUCCAUUGCUCAUCUAUCGUCAACUUUCCCUCUCUCUUCUCGUUCCGACAUGAGCUUCCCGGAGUUCAGGUUGCUGGCGAUGGUGGCCAUCGUCUUCGCCGGAGCCAUGGAAAUUUCUCACGCAUAUGACCGGCCUCCGCCGCGGGAGGAUCUCUUCGUAUCACUCGCCGAAGAUGCUGAUUCGACCACUCCACAACAAGUACUAAAUUACUACUUCUAUCAUUUCCCUAAUUUCAUCAUCGAAAGAGAAUAUUAUAAUAAACGCCGUAAUAACAGAUUCAUGUGUCGUUGGUUGGUGAAGACAGAAUGAGAAUUUCAUGGAUUACCGAUGAACAUACUCCAGCCAUGGUAAACUACGGUACAUCUCCGGGGAAAUACGAACGUUCUGCUAACGGGACCAUUUCGUCCUACGAGUAUAUAAAUUACACCUCCGGUGAAAUACACGACGUCGUAAUAGGUCCAUUGGAUCCAAACACCAUGUAUUAUUACUCUUUUGCCCCUGGUUCAACCCCUGAAUACUCUUUCAAGACUCCUCCGGCUCAAUUUCCGAUCAAAUUUGCUAUUUCAGGUUACACAAUUCUUACAUCUUGUUUCGUCCUUCUGCAACUUGUGUUGUUUUGGGAAUUAAUUGAAAGUUUAAACGCAUGCAGGUGAUCUUGGACAAACCGAAUGGACGAAAACGACGCUUGAACACAUCUCACAAGCAAACUACGACGUGUUUCUGCUACCCGGAGAUUUAUGUUACGCGGAUAUGGUGCAACCCAUCUGGGACUCAUUCGGCCGGCUGGUGGAGCCGCUAGCGAGCAAACGGCCAUGGAUGGUGACACAAGGCAACCACGAGAUGGAGAUAAUUCCGGCCACUCACCCAACUCCGUUCACUUCCUACAACGCCAGGUGGCAUAUGCCGUUCGAGGAGAGCGGGUCCACGUCGAAUUUGUAUUACUCUUUUGAGGUCUCCGGUGUCCACGUCAUCAUGUUGGGUUCCUACACCGAUUUUGGACCUGGGUCGAACCAAUAUCGAUGGUUAGAGUCUGAUUUGAAGAAGGUUGACCGGAGCAAAACACCAUGGCUCAUCGUGAUUAUUCAUGCUCCAUGGUAUAACUCAAAUGUUGAUCAUCAAGGGGAGAAACAGUCGGUCGAUAUGAAGGAAUCUAUGGAGGGAUUGCUUUAUGAAGCUCGUGUUGAUGUCGUUUUUGCAGGACAUGUUCAUGCUUAUGAGCGCUUUGUAAGCCAACUAGAUCUAAACCCUGAAAUUAUCGUUUUCUAUCGAUAAACAAACUGAUCAUGUAUGUCACUUGUUAUAAAUACUUGCAGAUUAGGGUUUACAAUCAAAAUAGUGAUGAUUGUGCCCCGGUUCAUAUCACAAUCGGGGAUGGAGGCAACCGUGGACGCUCUGCUGGGAAGUGAGUUGACUCAAGUAAAAAUGUCGUCUUUUUUUCAACACACGUGUUUAAAUAUUGACAAUUUAUGAAACAUGUUUUGUAGGUACGAAGAACCACAACCAACGAUAUCGGUAUUUAGGGAAGUCAGUUUUGGGCAUGGGCGACUUGAGAUAGUGAAUUCCAGUUAUGCCAAGUGGUCGUGGCAUAGAAAUGACGACGAUAUAUCAGUUCAAUCCGAUUCAAUCUGGUUAAAAAACCUUGCUUCUGAUCCAGCUUGUAAUAAGUUGGAAAUAUAAUAUCUUUAUGUUUUCAUACCCAAAAUGGAUACUAAAUAAAAUAAACUACUAUAUUCUAAUAGAAGAAUAUGAUCGUAUAUCCUUUUAUUUGACAUUCGUUAUGAGCAUUUUGGUUUCAAUACAUUCUAAAAAGGAUAAAACUAUAAAUUAGAUGUUAACAUAAAAACUUCUAUGAAAUAAAAAUGAUAAUAAAUUUCAUACGUAAUUCAUUGGAUAAUAAGUUCAUCAUAAAGCGACUCCACUUCUAGGUCAUUGUUAGACCAGACUUUGAUCCUUAAUCGUCUUUCCCAGUAAGUUGCUUCAUGUUGACAUGUAGUUUAGCCUAUAAUAGAUGAUUGUUCAAUAAAAUAUAUUAAUAAAGUGUUUAAUACUAAUAAUAAUAAUAAUAAUAAUAAUAAUAAUAAUAAUAAUUGAUACAAGCAUAUAUCUUAAUUAACAUGUAAUAUGAUUUGAGUUCACUUUUCAAACUAACAAAUUUUAAGCUUUGACUAUUUGAUUAAUAUGUGAAGAUAACAAUGUUUUAGGUGUAGAAUAUUAUUUUAUAAACUAAAAACACUUCUCCAUAAAAUGUCCUCUUUGGGGAAUUUUCAAUCUACAUCUUGAGUUAUUGGAACACAUCGAAAUGGUUGUAUAUCACUACAAGAAAUACAGCUAUUAGCGGCGACACUAAUAUCGGUGAUAUGGACAUUUAGCGGCGACCAAGAUCCAUGUCGCCGCUAAAGGGCCAUGACACGGAUCCGCCCUUUCACGUUCUAGUAAAUUAAAAAUGUUCGAUCAUGUUUCUAAUCCAACGGUUGAGGUACUCGUGGAACGCACAAAGGCAAUACCGGCGACACAAGUCGUCGCUAAAUGUCGAAUAAAUUGCGCGACAAUAAUUCCCUCCGAAGUGUCGCCGCUAUUGAUAGAGGUCACCGUUAAAACCCCAAUUGUCGCCGGUAAAAGUGUCAUCGCUAAAGGUCGACGAAGUUAACCCAAAAAAAUUGACGCCUUUUCCUUUUCUCUUAUGUUCGCUUCUAUCGUUGCUGCUGCGUUUUUUCUUUGCAUCUUCUUCGUCAAUUCACAAGCAUCGUUGUUAGGCAAAACCGAGAUUAAGGAAUUUCGGCCACAUAGAAGAAGAUAUUGGCGGGCAAGUAGAGAUAGAUCGGUGAGGACGAAUUUCCGGCGACAAUAGGUAUUUCCAGCUUAGUUUCCUUUUCCUUUUCUCUUGUAACAUCAAUUUUUAGCAUAUUUUAGUGAUUAAUUGCAAAAAAUUGUCAAUUUUAGUUUUUGAUUGAGUUUCCCGGCCACCAUCGGCAACUACCACCACUACUACACUAUUUCUUUGAUUUCCGCCACAACAUGUUCUAUUUACUUCUAUUUAUUGUGAAAUUUGAGUUUCAUUGCAAAAUAUGUGUAGUUGUAUAAAUUAGGUGAAAAUUGGCAUAUGUAUGUGUAACGCUUGGUUCCCGGUACGUAUUUAAUUUAUAAUUUAUUCAUUUUCACAUAGCAAAUCGACGAGUUGGAAGCCACAAACUCUUCGAGUAGAGAUUGUCAGAACUACGUGAUUUAAGUGACCUACUCGAAGAGUUGAAAGGCCUCAACUCGACGAGUAAAUCGGCUGGGAUGAAACCUUAAUUUACAGGGUUUUGCACCCUAUUUAAAGGACUUAACCUUUUCCCUCAGCCUCUCAUCAGCCUUCCUGAAACCCUAAAUCACAUUGUGAGCUCCUUGGUGAUAAACUUGAAGUUUUGAGUGGAUUUGUGUGUGUUUUUGUGCUUGGUAAAGGAGUUGGAAGAACUAGAAGUCAUCGAGUUGGAGGAGAAGCAUUCGAUCUGGGAUUUCGUCCGUCUUUGGCAGCUUUCUGAGGUAAAAAGUCCUUAACUUAAUGAUUCGUAGCUUAGAUGCCUUUUCGUUUUGCUUUAUGGGUCUUUUUGGCCCUAUUGUGGGAAACAUGGUAACCUUCAUAGAUCAUAUACUAAGGAUUCCCAUUUCCAUUGAUAUUUGGACCUUAGAAUCAUGAAAAGGGUCUUAAACUCAUUCUUGUCCAAGAAAAGACCGUGUCCAUGGAAGUAGGUUGCUAUAUCUCGAGUUUGGGUCCGUUUGAGGCAUGUAAAGCCAUCAAGUUGUCAACUUUACAGAAAUAGGUUAUGGGAACAAUAUGGAUCUGUAUUCUGGAACCUUAGAUCUGAGGAAAUGGCUGAAUAGACUAGAAAUGCAAGGGACUCGGGGAGUUCAUAGAGGAACUCGACGAGUUUGGUCGAACAUUCCCGAUUUUGUUCAUGGAACUCGGUAAGUCCACAAGGGAACUUGAUGAGUUGUACUAGGAAGUCCCGUUUCUAUUGAGAAGGAGUAAUUCGGCGAGUUAGAGGAAAACUCGACGAGUUAGAUCGCGAUUUCAUGAUUCUGAUUCAUGAGAACUCAACGAGUUGAGUCAACUCGGAGCGUUGACUUUGACUUUGAAUUGACCAGAGUUGACCUUAAGGGUUAUGAGUAUGGAAUGGUAUCUAAGGGGUUCUUUUGGUUCAAGGAGUGAGUAGAGCUGAUUUCGGGCAUAGACGUUUCAGCUAUCAUCCGACAGUAAGGGGAGUUUCCUCCUGGUUUGAACGAGGCGAAGGCACCAAGGCCGACCCGUACAUGUUAUAUGUAUUGAUUAGUAGCUAAGUGUGGGCAGGGCCCGUAUCUCAUAAAUAGCUUAGUGUGAGUGUGACAACCCGAAACUCUUUCCGUUUCCAUUACGCGAUUUCCGUUAAUAAAAUUUCGAAUUAGUUAACUUUUCCGUCAAACUUUUUGGUUUGGAAAAUAAUAUAGUUAUAUUUAAUUAAAUUAUUUGCAUGUCGGAAACAAAAAUUGCAUGGAAACCCGAAUAUCUCGAAAAGUCAAACAUUUCCGGUCUAAGUGAGAUUACGACCGUAAACGUGUUUAUGGCCGUAAACUCGUUUACGACCGUAAACCUGUUUACGGUUAGUAAAGAGUGUACCCCCACCUCACCCCUAUAAAUACGAUACCUCCACCUUCAUUAGAACUUUUCUGGCCAAAAACUCUCUCCUUCUCUCUCUAAGAACCUUGACCGUAAACACCUCAAAACGCCUUCAAACUUUAGAAAUCAUCGAGAAACCACGUUUGGAGUCACUUUGGAACGUCUGGAAAUGAUUAUCUCUUCGAAAUUAGCACUAGUGUUCUUGAGUUUACGGUCAGCCUUCAGAAACCGUAAACUCUGUUCUUGAGUUUACGGUCAGCCUUCAGAAACCAUAAACUCUGUUCUUUGGUUUACGGUCAACCUUUAGAAACUGUAAACUCACCGAGCCUUCAGAAACCGUAAACUCACCAAGCCUUCAGAAACCGUAAACACCUUUUAAGUGGUGCUUUUGGCUGAAAACCCACUUUCAUCGAUUCGAUCGAGUCCCGGUAACAUUCCUCAACCGAAUACAAGUGUUAUUAUGACACUCUAUUUAUCGAAAUCGCUAAUUUAGAUAUAUAAACGUAUUUAUUUGAUAAUAGGAUUUCGUUAAGUGCCACGUGCAACAACUCGGGAGUCUUCAUUUCAGUCAACAACUCCACGCAACAACUGUGAGUUCAUACCCCUACAUUUUUCCGCAUUUUUAAUGUUAUCAGGGGGGGGGGAUACAAGCUAAGCAUAAACAUUUUCUUGAAUAUACAUAAAACUUAUGCAAAUCUCAUACUUUAAAUCCCUUUUGUACUAUGCUGAGCAUAAGGGACAUUUUCACAAAAAAAUGCAUAGUUUUUCCGGACACGCUAUUCGCUACGUUAUACAUGCAAACUAUAAUCGGUGUAGUUUGGGAUUUCUCUAAAACUUAUCAGGCAUAGAAACUUUCACUACUAAACAUAUGCAUUGGAACAGAAACCGUUUAUAGUUUACAUCACUGCUUCAUCAUGAUUUUCAUAACUGUAAUUAUCACUAUAUAUGCUAUACAUAUGGAUUUUCACUACGGUAGAACGCUACUGCACUACAUGUAAACUAGAUUGUACGAUACUGUGAGGCGCUACUUCACUACUGUACCCUUAGGUGUACAUGGAUAAAUCCUACCACUGUAUAACCAGAGUCUCGUGGAUGGAGAACGUGAGAUUUUUUAAUAGAUCUAUUCAGGACUGACAAUCCCACAUCUGGACUGCUAGCUACAGUUGGGCGGGCACACCUGAGAUGUACAAAUGUCAUUUCACUCAACGCCUGAAGAACGUUGGAAAGGUCACUAGUCAUAUCAAGCAUGGUUAUACGACUCGCAUUACGUAUAAAUCACCUUUAGUUUACCAACCCGACUUUCUUCAGCAGUUUUAUUUAUACCAAAUAGAACUAAACACACUAUGCAUACUGGCCGAGCCAGGCUCUUCAAAACAGAAUCAUUUAUGCUACGGUUUUACAUAUUAAAUACUUAUGCUUCAUGAUUAGCUUUAGCUAGUCACAUGAGGUAGUAUUUUCGCAUAUCACUACGGUUUUUCAGAAACGAACAUGCAUGGUUGUAUACGAAAUCGAUAACGCUACGUUUUUUACUAAAGAAAAUAUCGGAUUUUCUGGAAAUUACACAAACAUUUCGGGUCGUUCAUCAACAAGUUUUCAUUACAAAUUACUGCUUAUGAACUCACCAACUUUAUGCUGAUAUUUUUGAAACUGCUUGUAUUCUCAGGAAAUCAGUAGACAGGUACUUGCUGGAUUUCGAGGAACUGAAGCAUUAAGAGUUUUUAAGUUUUUACUAUGCGAAACUAUUGGAUGUAAUUCAAACUAAAUUUCAAACAAAUGUAAACGUUUUAUUUACUAAAGUAUUCAAUGUAAUGGUUGUGUUGCUAUGAUUGUUGUUAUUCAUUGGUUGUGAUGCUAUACAUGACGUCCUCCGCCCCGAAACGUUUCCGCCAUCGGUUUCGGGGUGUGACAGAUUGGUAUCAGAGCCCAUGUUUAUAGUGAACUAGUAUACCGAACCUUACGUGGUAUACAACUAUAAACAAUAAGGGGCCAAAGUGCUCUACACUAAAAGUAUACUUUCAAAAUAUAAGUAUUUUUUUAUAAGAUGUAUACGGGCAUGCAUACAUAAUAGGAUUCGUAUAACUAGUAGAGCAGAACAAAAGUAUUUGGAUGUUGGAACGCUACGGUUAAACAUGGGCAGUUAUGUAAUCAUGUCUAGGGUGAAUAUAGCCUGAUCAACUAUAUUCAGUUGAGACAUGACCAACAUGUGUUUGGGAGUGACUGUGAGGCUAUAGCAGGCCUAAAACUUACUAGAAUCAUCUCACAUAAAAUACUAUAGGAGUAUUUUCGCUAGAGCCAGACUUAGUACGCAGAUUCACUCUAAGUAUUGCUACCUUUCCUUCCUUAAAGUGAUAACUUACUUGUGUUAGUAACCUUUCUAUGAUUAUCGCUCGGUAGAAUACUUUCAUUAUCAGGAUGAUAUAUAUUUUAUUCUUGUAUAUAUCUCGAGGACUUACCAUCAUCUUCUUCCUGAUUGUUUCUAGAACAAGACGCCUCCCCGACCAAGACCCAUCAAAAGGAACAACGACACUCGGUCACCAUCACCACCUCCUCAGUUUGACCCUGUCAUGUUCCAGGCAGCAGUUACCGCCGCCGUGACAACAACAAUGGCACAAGUGAACGCUGGUGGGGCUGGAGGUGGAACUGAACCACAAAGACAAGAUGGAAGUCAGGGACAUCAAAAAGAGUGUUCCUACAAGGACUUCAUGACUGCGAAACCCAAGUUCUUCGAUGGAAAUGGAGGUGUCAUCACCCUGACGCGGUGGUUCGAGAAGAUUGAAUCCAUCUUCGAAAUUUGCGUAUGUUCUGAAGCCAACAAGGUGAAGUUCGCCGCCUGCACCUUCACUGACAGAGCCUUGACCUGGUGGAAUGGUCAAGUCAAAACCCUAACCCUGCCAGUGGCUAAUGCCAUGGUUUGGGAAAGACUGAAGGAGAUCAUGCUUGCAGAGUACUGCCUGAGGCGCGAAGUGAAAAAGUUGGAACACGAACUCUGGAACUUGAAGAUGAAAUGAUCCCACUGCUAUUCCAACCACCCAAUCUCCUACGGUUGGUUAUGCUGGAAAGCUACCCCUGUGCAACAAGUGUAACUUCGAUCAUCACGGGCCCUACCAUGAGUUGAUCUGCAAUAAUUGUGGGAAAAAAGGACACACAGUUCGAUACUGCAAGACACUGACUCAACCAACCAAACAGGCUCCGGGAGCGAGCGCUGGUCAAACUUGUUAUGGAUGUGGAGAGACUGGACACUUCAGGAGAAACUGUCCCAAGGCAACAACUGGUGGCAACACAAGGAGAGUUCUGGUGAUGGGCCAGGAAGAAGCAGUUGUUGAUCCUACUGUUGUUACGGGUACAUUCCUCCUUGUCAACUCUUAUGCAUGCAUUCUCUUCGAUUCUGGUGCGGAGAGGAGUUUUGUUAGUCAUUCAUUUAAACAUCUAAUCAAGUGUAAAUCCCAACCUUUUACCGAGACAUUUACCAUCGAGAUGGCUAACGGAAAGAAGGAGAGCACUAAUGACGUAUUCAUAGGCUGCACUCUUACUCUAGACAAUUAUUCGUUUCCCAUCGACCUUAUGCCUGUGUCCAUCAAGAGCUUCGACGUCAUUUUCGGACUGGUUAAGCUCCAAUCAUGCUGAUAUUCUUUGCUUCGAGAAAGCUAUCCGCCUCAAUCUUCCUUCUGGCGAAACCCUUAUGAUUUAUGGUGAUAAGCUCAGUUCGAACCCCCGUAUCAUUUCGUGCAUCAAAGCUCAUAAAUAUCUGCGGAAGGAGUGCCUUGCAUUCCUAGCUCAUGUUGUCGACGAAAUGCGAAAAGUUAGAGACCUCGAGAGCAUCCCCGAAGUCUGUAACUUUCCUGAUGUCUUCCCUGAAGAUCUCCCAGGAAUCCUUUCCGAGCGUCAAGUGGAGUUCCGUAUCAACUUGAUCCCCGGAGCUACUCCUGUAGCUAAAUCUCCAUACCGUUUAGCGCCAGCGGAUAGAGCGAUUUUAAUAGUUAUGGUUAUUUUAAGAUACUUUGAAUUGAUACUAUGACUUAUGUUUUUGUUUGGAGUGAUUUUAAUAGUUAUGGUUAUUUUAAUAAAUAAAAAUGAAAAUUCUGGUCAUGAUUUUUGGGAUGUUGUUGUGUGUAUAUUUGAUAUAUGUAAGUGAAUCUAUAUAAGUUUUGUGUAAAUAUGUCAAUGUAUGUGUGUUUGGUGUAUAUGUGGUAUAUGAAUGUGAAAUAUGUGUAUUUGGUAUAAGUAGGAUGUUAGUAUAUUUGUAUGUGAAAGUAUGUGUAUUUGGUACAAGUAGGAUGUUAUUAUGUAUGUAUGUGAAUGUAUGUGUGUUUGGUGUAUAUAUGGUAUAUGAAUGCGAAAUUUGUGUAUUUGGUAUAAGUAGCAUGUUAUUAUCUAUAUUUGUGAAAGUAUGUGUAUUUGGUAUAAGUAGGAUGUUAUUAUGUGUGUAUGUGUAUUUGGUGUAUAUGUGAUAUAUGUAUGUGAAAGUAUGUGUAUUUGAUGCUCUUAUGUAUUAUGUGAAAGUAUGUGGUUUUGGUAUAAGUAGGAUGCUAUAAUUGAAAAAAAACCAAAAAUAAAAUGUUAUAAAAUUGUUUUUUCUUAAAAACGUUUUUUUUUUUCAAUAUUUACCAAUUUGAUUUUGAUUUUAGGUCAAUUGUUUUUAAUAUAAUAAUAAAUUAUUCUAAAAUGCAACUAAUAAGCUAUGUUAACAAAAAAUUUCUUUAACGAGUAUAUAUAAAAUAAACAAANNNNNNNNNNNNNNNNNNNNNNNNNNNNNNNNNNNNNNNNNNNNNNNNNNNNNNNNNNNNNNNNNNNNNNNNNNNNNNNNNNNNNNNNNNNNNNNUAUAUAUAUAUAUAUAUUGUUUAAAGUAUAAUGUUAUAACUGAAAAAAAAAAAAACAAAAAAAAAUAUAAAAAGGUACAAUAGUAAGUUGCAUGUCUUCGAAAACAUAAAGUAAAUCACUACAAUAGAAAACAAUAAUAUAAUAUAAUUGUUUAAAUUACAAUGCUAUAAUUGAAAAAAAAUAUUAUAAAUAAAAAAAUAUAAAACGGUACAAUAGUAAGAUGCAUGCCUUAAAAAAUAUAAAGUAAACCACUACAAUAGAAUACAACAACAUAAUAUAAUUGUUUAAAGUACAACGCUAUAAUUGGAAGAAAAAACAAAAAAAUGGUAUAAAUAAAAAAAUAUAAAAAUAUACANAAAAAUGUACAAUAGUAAGAUGCAUGUCUUCGAAAACAUAAAGUAAAAUACUACAAUAGAAUACAACAACAUAAUAUAAUUAUUUAAAGUACAAUGUUAUAAUUGGAAANUAUAUAUAUAUAUAUAUAUAUAUAAAGGUACAAUAGUAAGAUGUUAUAAAAGUAUAAUGUUACAAAUAAAGUAGGAUGUUAAUUUUUGUAAAAAAACCAAAAAAAAAAACAAUGUGGAUUGUAAGAAAAAAAAACAAUGCUAAUUCCGUACGCUAAACUCUAAACCCGAAAUUAUGUUUCGGCAACAUCAUAUCAAUUGAUAAAAGUUGGACUAGUAAUCCACAUCGAAACUAUCCCGAGUUCCAAGUAGGACUCAAAGCUUUUAACGAGAAGUCCAAGUCACGCAUUGAUGGUAAUGGUAAAAUCGUAUGCGCGUGUCAAAAAUGUGAUAAUCGUUACUUCAAGAACCCGACAGCAGUGGAACGUCAUAUAUUUAUAAAUGGUUUCAGUAAGUCGUACACAACUUGGAUCUAUGAUGGUGAAUCUUUAAUUCCUCCGGUCGUCUUGCAAAGUAACGAAAUGGCCGAUUUAAUCGACAAUGUGAUGUGUAAGUCGAUAGAAAAUGAUACCAACCUCGAUGAAGAAACCUCGAAUACAAGGGGUAGUGGUGUGAAUGAUGAUUUUGCAUAGUUGUUAGAAGAAGUGGAAACUAAAUUGUAUCAUGGUUGCACCUUUUCUUCCCCUGAGUUUCUAGCAAAGUUAAUGCAUAUCAAGGUGAACAACAAAUGGACCGAUAGUUCAUUUGAUCAACUCCUUGAGUUGUUGCAACCAAAUUUCCCAAAGGCAAAAAGGUUCCCCUUUCACAUUAUCUAGCCAAAAAGAAACUGAAAUCAAUUGGUGGUCUGGGGUAUAAGUCGAUACAUGUGUGCAAAAAUGAUUGUUUUCUCUUUUGGAAAGAACACGAUUCAUUCCAAGUUUGUCCUGUUUGUAAAGAGAGUCGAUGGAUCGAUAAAAACACCAAGGGUAAGAAAGCAGCUCAUAAGGUGUUACAGUACUUUCCUGUGACCCCUAGACUACGACGUUUAUAUUGUUCGAGGCACACUACCAAAAAUAAGAUUUGGCAUAGUACCGGAUGAUCAGAAGAUGUUGUGUUGCAUCAUCCUGUUGAUGGGGAACAUUGACGAGAUUUUGAUAAAAAAUACCCUGACUUCUCGAGUUAACCUCGUAACGUACGCCUAGGUCUUUCAGCUGGCGGUUUUUAUCCAUUUGAAAACAUGUGUAAUCCAUAUAGCACAUGGUCGGUCAUGCUAACUGCAUACAAUCUGCCACCCUGGCUUUGUAUGAAAGAGUCAUCAUUCAUGUUGACUUUGUUGAUUCCCGACCCAAAAGCUCAUGGUAAGGACAUGGAUGUUUUCCUUAGGCUGUUGGUGGAAAAGCUUAAAUAUUUGUGGAAAUCAGGUGUACGUUUUAAACAUGCGGCGACAAAAACAUUCUUCACGAUGAGAGCUAUGUUGUUGUGCACAAUAAACGACUGGCCAACUCAUAGUAGUCUAUCAAGUUCGAGUGGGCAAUGAAGACACUCUUUCGUAUCAUGCAACAAAUAAGUCAUAUAUAUAUCGGUCAUCGUCGUUUCCUAGAUGCUAAUGAUCCGUUAACGGGAUGGAAGAGACAAGACCCGCUCUGAGACACUUUAGUAAUGACGACAUACAAGAGAAACUAGGUCGUCUACUAACUUGUAAACCGGGUAAGCAUCAUGAGCAUGGAGGUGGGGAGCCAAAGCGGAAGAUGGCGAGUUGAACUGGUCGAAACGAAGCAUUUUCUUCGAACUCGAGUAUUGAUCUUCUCUAAAGCUGAAACACAACAUAGAUUUCAUGCAUGUUAAGAAAAAUGUGGACAAGAGCUUGUUAGGUGUAACAUCCCGAAAAUCAUAGGGGAAAAUUUUCAUUUUGUUUAUAAUCAAAACACUCAUAUAACUUUUAUUCAAACAUUUAAAAGCAUUUCAAAAUAAAACAAUUAUCAGAGUUCAUUCCCAAAAUCACGUAUUGCGAAAAACACAUGUGUAUGCGCUGAGAUCAAGCCAGGCCCUUCCCUUUCGAACCAGAAGUACCUGAAACCAUAACUCACAAACUGUAAGCACAAAUAAUAGUGAGUUCCCUAAAUACCACAUACCAUACAUAUCAAACGAGUCAUGCAUAUCAUGCAUAUCCAACAAUCAAUAAAAGUGUUAUGUGCCAACCAUAGUCUUGCCAUUAUGCUACCAGUCGUAUCAUGGUCUUCCUUGCCAGGCCAGGGGCCAAAACUCUAAGACUUACAGACAAGUGUUAGGAGCCACCUUCUGGUCUUCCAUGCAAGCAUCACAAAGACAACUAGCAUGCAAUUUACACUACUUAACUAAUUAACUGCCAGAGUUCACAGUCUCGUCCUGCAUACAAUUUUCCAGGAGCUGCCUCCUGGUCUACCAUACAAAAUGCCAAGGGUCACCCCUGGGUCUUCCUAUGAUACAUAAACCAAAUGGACCGACAUUGGUGUCUUCGACCCAUACAACAUUGAGGAGACUCACCUCGAAUGCUGAAGCUCACUGAAAGAAAUCCCUAGCUUGUAACACCCAUAGAAAUAAAGCUAAUUUAAAACUUUUUAAAUCAUUCAAAUCCAAUAAUUAUUACAAAUUUGUUUUCAAAAUGUUUUCGAGUCAGAGUAUCCCAUAAUCAAAUCAUAAAAAUAUAAGGAGGUGCACGAUCACGCCUUCGCCUUCCCCCAAUCAUCAGAAGUACCUGAAACAAAAUCAACAAUUGUAAGCCCUAAGCUUAAUGAUUUUACCCCAAAAUACCAACGACAUACAAUCAAAACCAUAUCAUAGAAAAUAAAAAACAUGCAUAAUGAGCCAUCAACCUGACUGGACCGCCUCGCAGGGCCAUCAAUAUAUCUGGAGCGCUCUCUGAGCCAUCAUCACGUCUGGAUCGCCUCGCAUGGCUUUCAGCCUAUAUGGACCGCUCGCCAGGCCUUCGUCCUAACUAGUAUGCCCUAACCAGGUCUGCAGUCUAUCCGGUCCGCCCUGAGUAUGUUGGCGCAAGCACAAAGCAUGACCGCCACAACCUAACCCCCAAUCAAACAAUCAUGUGCACAUAAAUAUCAUACGCUAACUAGUAUGUACAGAUAGUCAUACAGAUCUAACAGAUCACUAACACAGUAUCAUCCUAUAACCACGAUAUCGAACUAACCGGUUACUAACAUAGCAUCAUCCUAUAUACUAGGAUACCGAACUAAUAGGUCACUAAGCAUAUCAUCAUGCAGUAAACUCAGAUACAAAUCUGAAAAGGGCUGACAUUAGUGCCUUCGACCCUGUUAGUAUUGUGAGGACAACUCACCUAACAAGUAGCUCAGGAUGAUAAUAUCAAACUCCCCCAAAUACAGCUCCAACUCAAAGACCUACAUCCACCAAUGAUCCACUUCCAUAAAUUUCCAAAUUACUAAAAUAUCCCCAAACAUCAAACUGGUCAACCCUUAGUCAAAGUCAACGAUCAAGGUCAACAGUCCAUGUUGACCCAACUCGUCGAGUGUAUCCCACUGACUCGUCGAGUUCUUUCAAAACUCGAGAAACCAUGAAAACCCUAGUUGACUCGCUGAGUUUCCAUACAACUCGUCGAGUCCAUGUGGUGUCCAAAUGUCGGGAAAAACCCUAACUAACUCGUCGAGUCAUCUUACUGACUUGCCGAGUCCAUGCAGAAACAAAAAACGACCAAUCUUCAUCCGACUCGUCGAGUUGACCUUGCAACUCGUCGAGUUCUUUCAGUCCAUUUCUCAUUCAGAUGCUUUCACGUGAAACCAAAGCUUUAAACUGUAGAUCUAGGCUCCUAGGGUGUUGUUAUCAUGUAAAGUUGCUAACUUUACAUGCAUGCAAGGCUCCAAGAAGCUAAAACCCUCAUAACUAGCAUUAUAAGAAUGUUUUGGACAUGAAGGAGGGCCAAAGCUUCAUAAAGCUUGAGGCUUUAUGUCCAUAAGGGCCUAGAGGAGUCCAGAUCUGGAACUAUGCCCUUGUGACAAGCUCAAAUCUGAAAGCGACUCCAUUUUUACACCAAAAUGCUCAUAUUCUCACAUAAGAAGAGAUCUGACCAAUGGAAGGCCAAGGUAAAGGCUUUUAACCUUCAAAUGCAAGCCAAAACAAUGUAUAUACUGGAUCUAAAAGCUUCUUCUCAUGCCAAGCUUCUUCCCAAAUGCACCAAAAACACACUUUAGCUUCUCACACACUCAAGAAUAGUGUUUAGAUCGAUUAUGGUUUCUUCUGGCCGUCAAAAGGUGGUAAGGGGCUAGAGGAAAGGACUUAAGGUCCUUUAAAUAGGGUGUAAACCCUAAAAAUUAGGGUUUUCAUGCAUAGCCUCUACUCGUCGAGUCAGGGUCCUCCAACUCGUCGAGUAGAACACGCGGGCUGACUAUGUUCGACACGACGAGUUGGGACCUCCAACUCGUCGAGUUCCCCCAAUAAAAUGAAUAUAAAGUUUCUAAAAUUAUACCUGGGAGUCAGGUUGUUACAUAGUUGCUGCCUUGACGACUCCCAGAGCUUAAAUGAGUUGGAAAUGAAGCCAAGAGUCUGGAUCUAUAAGUCUUCCUUUAAACCACGAGCUAGCACCAAGCACCCUGUUAGGUGCAUUUUGUGCACCUUUUGCACAUCUUUUAACCCCUUUUAUGCAUCUAUUUAGCGCAAUUGUUCUUCAUUUGUCUUGCAUUUCAUCAUAUUCAUGUUAGUCUCUAGAACAACCUUAUUUACACAUUUUCAUGUCUUUUUCAGGUAAACUGGAGCUUGGAAUGCACUUUGGGAAGUGUCGGGAAGCAUUGGUAAAGAUUUUGGGAUGAUCGAGCGAAGAAUGAAAAAGUUGAAAAAAUCAAGUUUGGAUUUGGAGUCAGAUAAGUACACGACCCGUGUUGGAUUUACACUGCAUAAUGGACACGAGCCGUGUUGACCAAAAUGAGAGUUGUUGACUUCACUGAACACGACCCGUGUCAGUUUAGGCUAUUUCGAAAUGGGUCAUGUUGGCCCAACUGAGCAAAUUUGAGCAUCGAACUUAAGGGUUGGAAUCGAGGAUUGAAGACCAAAUUUCACUCAACACGACCCGUUUUGAUUUUUUCUAUUUUGACACGAGCCGUGUUCGACCCAAAAGCUGCCUUUUGGUAGUUUUUCCUAUUUUUCAUAUCUCGGGAUUAGGGUCAUUUGGACAGGGGGACAACAUAUCAAAGCACAUUUUGAGAGGGGAUUUCGAAGGUUUUUUGCAAGGGUUGAUCAGUAAUCAUUUGGAAACAUUAUUUCUAGUAUUUGUAAGUUGUAAUUGCACAUUAUUUCCAUCUUUUAUUCUUGUGAUCUAGUUCUAGCCAUGUGUGGCUAGAACCCUAGUUUCUCCAAUUUCAUGUUUUGACUUCUUGGUAGUGACUUUAAUCAUAUAACAUGAUGUUUGUUCUUAAUUUCUAUCUAGUGAAUUUGAUUUAGCUUUAAUCGAAUGUUUGAUUCUAAUUGUGAUUCUUAUUGGCCAUUUAAAUUAGGGUUAGGUCAUUCAAGUUAUCUCUUUUACAAAAUCCGUAAUUGUUUUGUGAAAUUGAACAAGUAACAAGCAUUAAAUUGAUCUCUAUUGAAUGAAUUUAGUGUAAAUCUUAUUCAUACACUUUUACACUCUCGAGCUUGUGAGGAGUAUUGGGUGUUGUUGAGAACAUUUACAUAAAGCUUCAUGCAAUCUUUUAAUCUAACUCUAAGAGCUUGUGUAGAUUAGGUUAGUAAGGUUAGGGUUAAUCAAAGAGCUUGUUUUGGUUAAUUAAUGUGGUGAAUGGGAAGUGUUAGAGCUUGAUAACACUUUCAAGUACCAACUUAGAUAGAACUGAACAAAUAUUGUGUCAUCUUUGAAUCACAUUGUUAAGUUGUCAUACAUGAAGUUGGAGUCCUUACAAAAUCUGAAUUUAAUUCACUCAUUUAGCUGAUUACGUAUGUUUUUAAUUUGUUUGUUUAGUCAUUGCAUUAUAAACCCCCUCUUUACUGUUGGUGACCAUAGUACCUUGCGCAAAGAGGCAUAAACUAAUUAUCUCGUGUCUCUGUGGAUCAAACCUACUUGCCUUGUACUACCUUUUAGUGCAAUAUAGUGGGAUUCUUUUAGAGUAUAUCGUACUCCUUUAUUUGUUGGGUUUGACACACCUAACAAAUUGACGUCGUUUCCGGGGACGCGGUGUUACUAAUUGUUUAUGCCUAGAUCUUUUCGUACAGGUACACCACUUCGAAUUGAUUCGGAGAUAGAGAAAAUUGCAAAGAAGUUAAGGAAGCAAGCUAAGCUUCGUAAGAAGCAACCGGGUUUCGGGACUUCUUCAUCUUCUAAUCCUCCAGUAAUCAACAUAUAGGAGGAUAUACCCCUCUCAAGUGUGUUCGCAUCCAAAACAGAAAGCCUAUCACUCUCAUCUCAACCAUCCUCACCCAAAAAUACCACUCCACCAUCUUCACCUACUCAUAACAUCCCAAAUUCUACACCCACAGAAACUUCAACCACUACUCACACCAUGGGAGAUAACCAUGGAGGGAAUCCACCUCCAAAUCAACUAGUUGAGCAAAAUCUCCGACAAUGGUUGAGGCAAGAGGUUACUCAACAACCUCUGUGCAUCACUUACCCAGUAGCCAUCAACCUAGAACUAAAAUCCGAGCUCAUCCACUUACUCCCAACCUUUAGAGGCUUGGAAAAUGAAGAUCCUCACAAGUUCCUCACUGAGUUCCAUGCUGUGUGUGUGGGCAUGAAACCACACAAUGUCACAGAGGAUCAAAUCAAGCUUAGGGCAUUCCCCUUCGCGGUGCAAGAUGCAGCAAAAGAUUGGCUUUAUGACCUCCCACCGAGGACGGUUACUACUUGGGUAGAUCUUGCAUGAUUAUUUUUGGAUAAAUAUUUCCCUGAGAUGAAACCUUCAGCCCUACAGAGGGAAAUCAUUGGAAUUAAGCAACAUAAGAGAGAAACUUUCCACACAUAUUGGGAGAGAUUCAAGAAACUUUGUGCCCGCUGUCCUAAGCACGAAAUUACUGAGUACCAACUUCUCCAAUAUUUCAUUAAAGGAAUGACUCCAAUGGAAAAAAGGCUUCAUAAUGCUUCAAGUGGCAGAUCUUUACUCGACAAGACUCCAACCGAAAUCCGCAACCUAAUCAAGAACAUGGCUGGAGAUUCUUAACAUUCAAGCCAUGAUGAAGAAUGGUACACGGAUGCACCCCAAGGUGUAAAAGAGGUCCAAACUCCUCAAUUUAAAGCUCAAUUGUCCGAGCUUAUGAAAGUGGUUAUGAUGCUAGCCAAAGACAAAGGUGUGCAGCCCACACCCCGCCCGUGCGAUAUUUGCACUCAAGUGGGGCAUCCAACCGAUAUGUGCCCACAACUUCAAGACAAGGAUUAUACGGGAGCAAAUGCUUUAGGAGGAUAUUCUGGGUCAAACCAAAGGGGAUUUGAGCACCCACGAAAUGACCAAAGAUGGAACAACAAUCAAGGUUGGGGAGGAAAUCAAUAGGGAAAUUAUCAACCAAAUCAACCACAUCAAUACUAACAAAGACCCAUUUCCUCAAAAUCAAUAAAGACCACCUUUUCAACCUCAAAAUUUCCAACCAAGGCAUCCACCACAACCACCUCCACAAGCGGGUUCAUCAAGCAUGUCACUAGAAGAUAUAGUCAAAAUCCUUACCACUAGCACUUAAAGCUUCCAACAAGAAAUGAAAGCAAGCCUUAAAAGCUUGGAGCAACAAGUUACACAACUUGAUCAGUCCGUGAGUAAGAUGGAAUCACAAGGCAAGCUACCAUCUCAAACCAAGAAGAACCCGAAACACAAUGCAUGUGCCAUUACCUUAAGAGGUGGGAAAAGCUAUGAAGGUCCAAGGAUGCCGGAUGAAGAAGAGGAAGAGAAAGAAAUUGUGGUGGAAGAAGCCGUCAAAUAAGAGGAAAGGAAAAAUACUUCAAAGUCAAAGAAGCCAAUAGAGACCGAAGUGAAAGUCACACCAACUCCAUUUCCUUCAAGGCUAACAAGUACAAAGAGAGAACGGGAAGAUGACGAAAUCAUGGCAAUGUUCCGAAAGGUUGAAAUCAAUAUCGAUUGGAGUUAGAGGGUUGUUAGACAAAGACACUUAUACACCUAUUUUAGACCUUUGUAUGUUUUUCAAGCAACCUUGUUCCAGAACACUGAAGGUGGAGGAUAUCAAGAAAGCAAAAGUAGACAUUAUUGCAAUCUUGUGCAAGUUAGAAUUGAUUUAUCCUCCAAUGUUUUUUGACAUUAUGGUUCAUUUACUUUUGCAUUUAUCUGAUGAAGCGAUUGUCUUAGGCCCGAUAUGUAUGAGAUGGAUGUAUCCCUUUGAAAGGUAUAUGAAAAAACUAAAAAAACUAUGUUAGAAACAAGGCGAGGCUGGAAGGUUCUAUAGUUGAGGGUUACAUUGUUGAAGAAGCUUUAUCAUUGUGUUCGAUAUACCUUGGAAAUGUAUAGAUUCAAUUCAGUCGUCCUAAAAGAAAUGAAGAUGUUCUCAUUGAAAAAACACAGUUUUGGAUGUUUGAGUCUAAAUGUCGACUGGCCAGCACAACUCAAAUCAAAACUCUUAAUUUAACAAAAAUGUGUAACAUGGAAUGGUUUGUAUUGAAUAGCUGUGAAAAAGUCAGGCAGUAUAUCAAGUAACUAUUCUUACCUCUAACUAUAUUCCUUAAAUUUCUUUUAUCUUUUUACAUCUAUAUCUUUUUGUCAUCAACGUAGUAAAUUCAAAUCUGAACAUCCCCAAAGUGAUGAAAAGAGAGAAUUUCCUAAUUGGUUUUGUGAAAAGGUAACACAAAUUAAGAAACAAAUUUGUUUCAUUGAUCUAAAGAAUAUAUAAUACAUAUUACUUUAUAUUUGCUAGGCUCAUCAAAUGAAAAUAGAAAACUCUCCAUAAUUCCACAAAGAGUUGUCGGCUCUUGCAAUAGGUCCGCAAAUGAAUGCUUAUACUUACACUGUAUUCAUAGUCAACGGUGUUAGGUUUAUGGUACUUAGUCGUGACGCACAACGCAUAACACAAAACUCUGGGGUUUUAGCGGUGGGUGAGAAAUGCGAGAAAUAUUAUGGCCAGUUAGAAGAGAUUAUAGAGUUGCGGUAUACACAUGAUUAUUCAACAAUACUAUUUAGUUUCAAGUGGUUUUGAUACUCGAACAUGAGUUAUUUCUAGUGAUAAUUUCACCAUUAUCGACACACGACGCGAAGCAUACUAAGAUGAUCAACUCAUAUAUGCUUCACAACCUAAACAAGUGUUCUACAUCAGAGAGCCUUCUCGAACAAACCAAAACAAUAACCAUCACUGUGUUGUCAAGCAUGUUAAUCAUCAAAGUAUUUGGGAUCUACCAUCGAACGACGAUCGUGUCCAACUUGUUUACAAUGACUCUAUUCAAAAUGUUGCAACGACUCAUACGAAAAUGUUGACAAGGUCGACGUAGUUCAAAAUAUCUCUUCAUCCAAUGCUCCACUUUUUAUCGAUUUCAGCAUGUACUUUCAAAACAUUCCUAGAGUCGUUGUUGAUGUAGAAAGUGCAACUGAAGUUCCUCCACCAACUGGUAUAGUCAAUGAUGUUUUUGAUUGCGAGACUGAUUACGAUGCGACCGAUUCUGAUUAUGAUUCCGAAGCAGACACUGAAGGAUAUGAGGAAGAUUCUGAUUAGAAUAAUUCUUAUGUAAUGCUUAUUUGUAAUAUGAACUUUAUUUGGAUUCCUAGUUUAAAUAGAAAUUUUUAUUCCAAUGUAAAUUUUUAUUCCUAUGUAAUGUGUAUUUGUAAUAAAAAUUGUAUAUGUAUAUCUUAUAAUUUUUCAGAAAAUAAUGUCGAUAUGGCUUUUGUUUGUGUACACCAUGGCUGUUGUUAUGGGUCGUGGACACGAGGGCGAUGGAGUUGAGGACCCACCUUUCCUAGUUGGUAGAGGUGUUGGUCAUCAUAAGCAGGACAGUAAGUCCUAUUAUGAAUUUUUAAUAACUAUUUUUAUCCGGUUAUUAUAAAUUAAACAUCGUUUCUAAUAAUUUUUAAUUAUAUUUGUAGUUGAGCAACGUAGGAAAGUCCAAGGCAAAGCCAAAAAUAUUAAGCUAGAAAGAGCGCUCUUACAAAAUAAGGGCAAACCAAUUAACAUGGAUUAUGAUAGGGAUAUGACAUACGAUCCCGUAGGAUAGCCGAAAGACAUGUUUGCACGAGAAGUUGGAAAAAUAACGUGGCAGAUGGUCCCUUUUGAUAAACGGACUUGGAAAAAAGUUUCCCUUGCAAUAAAGUAUACAGUAAUGCAACAUUUAAGGGUAAAUUAUUUAUAUAAAAAUAUUUUAUAUGGUUAAUUAUGACUGAUUUUUACUUGGUUAACAUUUUUUGUAGACAAAGUUUGGUUUGGAUCAGAUGUACCGGGAUCCAGACGCUCGUAUGUUGACAUAGAGUUUUCAAGCAGCUUUGUUAAAAGGUUACCGAGAGCGUAAAGCUGAUGCAAAAGAAUAUUUUUUUAGAAGUCGGAGUGUAUGAGGAUAUCCCGAGAGCAUUAGUCAACCCUCCAGAUGAUAUGGAUGUUGAUAAUUGAAAGAAAAAAAUUGAGUAUUUCCAAACAGAUGAACACAAAAUUGCUUUAGAAAGGAACAAAAAAGUCAGUCAAAUGCAAACAACCGUGAAUCAUGGGGGUCGAUCUUGUAUAACAGUACUUGAUAUAAGAAGGUAACGUACGAUAUAUGUAAUUAUUUAUUUAAAAUAUAAUCUAAUUUUUAAUGUUAAACAGAACCUUAAGAGAGUAGAAACAUUUUGCAAGGCUCAUACCGAGAGGGAUGGUGUAUUUGUUACUGUCGAGGCGGAACAACAAUAUGUAAGUAUUUAAUUAUAAUUUUAUCAUAUAAAUAAGUGUUUAUUUAUAGGUAAUUGUUACCCACUCUUUGGAAAUACAAAAUCGGUUAGUGGAAGCGCUCUUAGAACAAACGCAUGGGCCAGAAGGUGAAAGAGAGUUAACACCCGCUCAAGAAAGAGUUGCUUUCGAGAAAUUAUUAGGAGAACGACGUGGCCAUAUCAGAGGCAUCGGCCAGAAACCUUCUACUAUCCCACCGAUUUCACAGCCAUCGCAACCACCACCACAACCAUCACAGCCAUCACAGGUAAAACAAGAUUAUUUAAUUUCAAUAAAUACAUGUUUGAUUUGGUAAUUUUUGUUUGUGGUGAUUAUUUUCUAAAAGCUUUGGUAAUUGGUUUUUUGUCCCAAGUGCAACAAAUAGCAAUGUACUUUUGUUUUUUUGUCUUAGUUUAAAAAUAACGAUGUACUUUGGAAUCACUAAAUGCAUGUUGAUUUGGUAAUUGUGCUUUUGUCCCAAGUGCAAGAAAUAACAAUGUACUUUGCUUUUUUUAUCUCUAGUUUAAAAAUAGAAAUGUACUUUGACAUCAUAAAAUGCAUGUUGAUUUGGUAAUUUGGUUUGUGGUGAUUAUUUGCUAAAAGCUUUGUUAAUUGGGUUUUUGUCCUAAGUACAAGAAAUAGCAAUGUACUUUGGUUUUUUGUCUCUAGUUUAAAAAUAGCAUUGUUAUUUAGCAUCAUAAAAUGCAUGUUGAUUUGGUAAUUUUGGUUUGUGGUGAUUAUUUGCUAAAAGCUUUGUUAAUUGGGUUUUUGUCCCGGGUGCAAGAAAUAGCAAUGUACUUUGGUUUUUUGUCUUAGUUUAAAAAUAACAAUGUACUUUGGCAUUGAUAAAUGCGUGUUGAUUUGGUAAUUGUUUUUUUGUCCAAAGUGCAAGAAGUAGCAAUGUACUUUUGGUAUAUCUUGUAUGUAAGUGCAAAAAAUAGGAAUGUACUUUGGUAGUUUUUGUUUAUGUUUGAUAAUUUAACUUAUAAAUUUAUAUAUGUUGUUAUUUAUUAUGUAGUUAGAAAAUCUUCGGGCUAUGCUCAACGACCUGACAUGUAGAGAGAAGUUUUAUGCGUUUUUUCAAUCGGGAAAUAAUCAAUGAGGAAACGAUGGGAACGAAGAUGGUGGUUUGUCGGAUAAUUAAUUUGUGUGUUGUACAUUAGACUUGUCGUCACACUUUGCUACUUGUUAUAAUUGUAAAACAUUGAUUGUUUAUUUUGGUAUGAAAUUUAUUAUAACAGUAUUUUGUAUUCAAUCGGAUGUUGUUAUGUAAUUUUUUUUCUGUAUUUAAUGUUGUUAUGUAUCAAUUUUUUUAUAACCAAAAUCGUUGAUUAAAAAAAUUAAAAAAUGAAAAAUGUUAUUACUGUACAUCAUCAUUAGCGGCGACAGAGACAUUGUCGGCGACACAAAGUAUUGCCGGCGACAAGAGAAUUAGCGGCGAUAAUUAUCUUUACCGACGACGUUUUGAUCAAUAGCGACAUAGCAGUAGCGGCGACUUAUUACCAACGAUGUGUCGCGUCACUGCUAUUACCAUUACCGAUGACUUGGUUACUCUUUACCGGUGACUUUUGUCGCCACUAUCUGUCUUUUUUCUUGUAGUGGUAGUAUAUAGUUAAAAUACAAAAGAACAAACUCUAAAAAGAUUAAAUGAAUUAGAUGCGGUGAUGAUAUGUACCUAUAAUUAUUUUCACCCAUCUCUUAGAUAUUGGAUCAACCCAUGCUAUCUAUUUCAUCAUCGUUUGAGUUGGUUAAACAUCGGCAACACUUCCACUUGCAUCGAUAAUAUAUCGAAGAUGGUAGGAUUUUAUAGGAAGAUCUUGAUUGUUGGUAUCAUUCCAAAAUUAUAGGUUUUAUUUUUGGUUUAUUAUUGUGAAUUAGUAAAUUAAUUCAUUUGAAAUUACCAAACUACCCUUAUUUAUUUAUUUAUUUAUUUAAUAGUUUAAUAUAUUUUGAAUUUUUAUUAGUCUAUACAUCCACACAACAUUUGUUAAGAAUAUGAAUCAACUCGAUCCUCCUAUAUAUACUAUACAAAAAAUAUCCUUCUUAAAUUCUAAAACUAUACAAAACUAUACAAGAGAAAAACUUGGAUACUUUCCUAAAAAGACCCCUUAUUUAAACUAGACAAAACAAACUCCUAAAAUAUGAAAAGUGAUUAAUCCAACACGGUGGAGGAUCUCUCGAGCUUAGGUCAUGACGACAUGCGGACCAAGGUUUUGAAAACCGGAGACCGAAUCGGUCGUCUUCCUGAUUUGAUGGUUCAACUGAUCGGACCAGUCUUAAAAACGGAAAAACCAAAUGAUGUCAUAAUUAUAUUAUUAUUAAUUUUAAUUAAAUAAAAAAUACAAAAAAUGAAAAAAAAAUUGACCGGUUUUACUGGUUCAACUAGACCGGUUUUUACCGGUUCACAUGACGAACGGUUUUUUGACCUCUAAGAAUCAGAUAUGGACCGGUUCAUGGUUGAACUGGUCGGUUCGGUCUGAUUUUCAAAGAAUGGCUACCAACCAUCUAUAGUGGAAGUCAAUAUUACCUCAAGGACGUUUUGUUGGUUAUUCUCAUGAUAAAAGCAUAAACGCAGAAGUUUAAACUUUAAAUCUUUAAUCUCAAAUCUGAUUAAAAGAAACUUAAACAAGAAAAGAUGAUUACAUACCUGAUUCAUUAUGAUUUUCAGAUCUGGAGACUAGGAUUGGUUUUUCAGUUGAUCUCUAGAACUCUCUCUAAAAUCGUCAAGAUAGAGACCCACGAAUUUCAGUUGAUCUCAAGAACUCUUUCUUCAUUAUAUGUAUAUAUAGAUGGAGAUAUACCCUAAUGUGAGAUAUAGAAGGGUUAUACAUGAUCUUGAGUCAAAUCAGGAACUCAACUAUAACAUCCCAGGUUUCAGGUAUUUUCGAAUCUUUCUCUUGGUAUUUUAAUAAGUCAAUUUUGGCCCGUGAUGUUGGAUGGAUUUAUCCCUAGUGGCAAAUUGGUAAUUCAUGGAAGUUUUAGUUGUACGUUGGGCGUACAUAUGGGUACGCUUUGCAUACUAGGGCACGCCUUAGUACGUUGGGCGUACACAUAUGUACGCAGGGCGUACGCAUGUCAAGACGAAACCCUAAUUUUUGGGUUUGUGGGGUAUUUAAGUACCAUUGUGGGUCAUUUUGACUCACUCUUUCAGCCUCCAAGUCCCUUAGACGUUUUGAGAGAACUCUAACCCCCAUGGUGAGCAUCUUGAGCUUAUAGUGUGAUUUUUGUGUGCAAAUAGGAGAAGAUAGUGCAUCAAAGGAGCUAAGGAAAGAAGCCAACUUGUAGAUAUGGGAUUAUCAUCUUCUUGGGAAGCUUCUAAACGUAUAAAGCUUCUACAUUUAUGCUUGGGUUGUUUAAAUCUUGUUUUGGUUGCUUUUUGGUAUCCUUCUUGUCCCAAAAGUCGUAAUAUUGUGCAUGCUUUAUUUUGGUUGAGUUGGGUUGUCCUUUCAGACCCUAGUGUCUGUUGGAUUAGUGUCUAAGUCCAUAACUAUUUUGGUAUGUACUUGACCCGAUGGUGCAUGGUCCUUUUAGGUUGCCUUCACCAAAGCAACUUGAUAGGAUGAAUUAUGGAGAAAGAAGAUUAAUUAUGAUUUAUUAAUAUAUUAUGAGAAUAAUAUAUUAAAGGAGAAAUCAUAUUGUUUAAUAUUAGUCAAGAAUUAAUUGAUAAUUAAUUUUGUGGCUAAAAGAGAUUAAUUAAACUUAAGGGACUGGAACUGUAAUUAUAAGAUAAUUGCAUUUGGGCUAUGGAUUACCUUGGAAUAAUAGGUUGGACGAAUUCUAUGGGGAAACCCAUUAGAAAUCGUCCAAGGGAUAUUCUAAAAGAGUACAUGGGCUGCUUAGGGCUUAAGUAGUGAGAUUAGGGUUUUCUAGUUGAAAACCCUAAUAGCCUACAUGUAUAUAUAGUACCCUUAAGCUCCAAAAACGUGGCUAAGAGUUCCAGUAGGGUUUCUGGACGUUUUGGGCAGCCUCCUCUCUCCUUAUUCUUCAUCCUCUUGCUCUUGGUGUUUGUGAGCCAUUAGAGGAGUGACACUUGUGACUCUAAGCUUUCUAAAGCCAUUACAAGGAGGAUUUGAGAUUGUUAUUGCUACAUAGCAAUCAAAGGUAAUUCUCUAAACCCUAAUUUCAGUUUAUAAUAUGUUAGAUCUAAGAUUGUAAGUCUUGGAUACAUUGUAUGUACAAUAGAGAAACCUAGAUCCAAGCAUUAGGGUUUGCAUCAGCACAUAGGAUGUUCUUAUGGCCAAAACCCAUCAGUGCCAUGGGUUGAUAUCUCGUGACAAUGUUGAACAAGAAGACAAAGACCAUGCCACUGGAAUUGCUUGCCAUUGGGUUCAAAGGGGGGGGGGGGGUCCUAGCCCAAUGGACGUUGUUAUGCUAGUUGUUGUUGUCUAGCCGAGUCGCUGAAGUGAGUGACAUUGAGGGGGGUCGUAGCUUUCUAGCUAUACAAUUGGUCGGGGGCUAGUGUCGCUUCCCUGAUGAGCCCAUGGCAUGGCGAAACCAUUUAGCGUGUCUAACAUGGUAGGGCUGGUAUCGGGGUUUUAUGGGGGACCUCGAUACGCCGCAAGGGCAAGGAUUAAUGAUGAACUUGUGUCCGUGACAAGUGGUAUCAGAGCCAAACGACGAAGGUACAUGCCAAUACGAUCUUUCAUAUUCAUGAUGUCCGUAGAAGUAUGGACUUGCUGGUGGGUUGCUGUGAAGGUACAUGCCAAUACGAUCGUGACAAGUGGUAUCAAAGCCAAACUUGGUAAGUAUGAAAAGCAUGCUUCUAAUCACCCUUCCACUACUCCCCUGACCCUCCCUUUGUUUGGGAGCAUUAGAACCAUGGGAAUUUUUCACAGAUGACAAACCACUGCUUAUCUGAAUAUGGUAGUUAUUACUUAAUUACUUAUUAUUAUUAUUUUUUCUUUUUAAAUUAAUAAAAGAGUUAGCCAUAACUUACAAGGGGUAUUUCCUUUUCUUUUCCCUUCAACAACAAAAUCUUUUUUUUCCCAAUAUCAGGAGUUCUAGAAGAACCUUCACAAAUUUAUAAAUAUGUUAACAAAUUAAUUUGGAGAAAAAAGGAGUGAUGAGUAAUAAUAUAUAAUAUACCCCGUCCUUCCUCCAGUACAACACUUCCAGAAACAUGCUAUUGAUCAUCACGUUUAUGGACCUGAACAUAUGUUGACUUUUCUUUACCACUUCUACCCUUCUCACCAGUAUCCCUUGGGACAUACUGUUUUAAUAACAUUAAUACCCAUUAAAACAUGUUAAAUUUUUAAUCUUUAUUAUGUAAAAAGAUUCAGAUACCAUGAUGAUGAUGUACCACUAACCCUUUUCAUUAACUUCCCAUUAGGCAAUAACCUCUGGAAUUUAUUAAAAUAUAAAUUGAGAAUAUAUAUUUUAUUCUGAAGGAGUAUAAAUAUAAUAUAUCCUACCUGAGAUUCACCCUCUGCUGCUCUUUUCUGGCGAAUAAAAUCCAUUAAAGGAGUAACAAUAGGCGCCUCCUUUAGCAUUACCUUGUAAACCAAAGUUUAACUCAAAUUAAAUGUUAAUUUAGAUCUUAUUAUUAUUAUUGUAUUUAUUAUUUCAAGAUUUAAAACUAACCAACUCUUUCGGCUUCCUUUCUUUCCAAUUGUAUCUCUGCACUAGGAAGAUUCUACGAAUAUCCCUGGAAAUAUGUCUAAAAUAACGAUAAUACCCCUGGAAAUAUGUCUAAAAUGAGGUUCAAGGCAUACCAAUUGCGACAAGUUGACAGUCUCACCUGGAAAUAUGUCUAAGAUAUGUCUAAAAUGAGGUUCAGGGGCAUAACAGUCAAAAUGACGAUAAUACCCUCUUUUUGGAAGAUAUGCAAGGUGCUUAUUUAUCAGAUCAUUCAGGGGCAGUCACUAAGUUUAGGCACUAUCUUAUAUUUUAAUUUUUUCUUUUCGUUUAGUGAUUUUAAAAUAAGAGUCUAUUUUCCUUCUCAUAUUGUCUUUGAGAUGAGUUGAAUAUCUUCAUGUAUUUUUAUAAAUAUUUUUUUAUCAACAAUGUUAUAAAAAUAUGGGAUUUUUCGUUGUCAUUUGGUGAUUUAUUUUGUUUAAAAUAAAUGGUGAAAAAAAAUCAUUUCCAAACACAUCCAACAAGGGGUGUUUGACACUCAUGCUAACUAUCACUCUAAUAAUAAUAAUAAUAAUAAUAAUAAUAAUAAUAAUAAUAAUAACAAUAACAAUAGCAAUAAAAAUAAUAAGAGUAAUAAGAAUAAAUUUUAUAGCAUGGAUAAAAAGGGGGAGAGAGAGAUACUUGCAACUGGCUCUGAAUAACAUCUAGCUUCAAUUCCUGAAACAGAUUACAACAAUAAACACAAUCAUGUACAACAAUUGUAAUAAUCACAAUGAGUUUUUUAAUUUUAACAUUCUACUUUACAAAUUUUAGGUUGUAGGUUUUAGGUUUUCAGUUUUGAAUUUUGAUAUGAGUUUUUUAAUUUUAGGUUGUAAUAACCUUUGAUUUUUUAACUUAACAGUCUCUUCUGUAAAUACAAGUCUUAUUUACCAAAUGUAAGUAAGUUGUUCAACAUAUGAUAGGUUAUAAAUCAACAGUGGGAUUUCAAAUGUGCAAAAGAUGUAAACGCCCUCAUCAAGCACUGUUUUAAAUUCUAUAGCAACUUAUCAUGUAACGCAUGCAUAGCAGUCAUUAUCUUUUCUAGGAUAUCCCCCACUGCCAAUUUCUGCAAGAUUUCAUUCAUUUUAUUUUACCAAUAUUAUUAAAUACUCAUAUCAAAUCAAGCCAAACAGAUGUUACAAUACAUAUCUAUAUAUAUACAAGGAAGCUAAAGCCAAGUAAAAUGGUUAAAAGUAUCUCUCACUCUAAAUAUUAUGGACAUGAAUCCUCAAACAUACAUAUAUGCCUUCACAAGAUCAUGAUUCGAUAGUAUAAAAGAUGACAAACAAGUAGCAUAAUUAUGUUCUUAAAACAUUUAUAGUACUUAUACAGCAAGAGCAGAUAGGAUUUCAUCAGUUUCAUUGAAUGAGUCAAUCCUUGAGACUACUUAUCAUACAGAAAAACUCCUUUGUCAAUCCCUACUACUUCAAAGAAAUGAACAACCCCUAAGCUUAUUGAAACUCAUAGAUUACCCCCUAACCUUAAUGAAUUUGAUAAUUUAUCCAAACAAAGCUCAUGAAAAAUGCAUAUUCCAGCAGGAUUUCAGGUGUUUGGUUUGCCGGAUUCUAUGGGAUUUGACUGGAUUUGGAAUUCAACUCCAUUCCAAUCCUGCAUUUGGUUGCAAAUGAGUGCGGAAUUGAAUUCCAACCUCCUUCGCCCAUCAAUUUCAACAUCUCAUCUUAAAAAUCAUGACAUGUAUAUUUCUAUUCUUGUUGAUGUGGAAGAACCAUAACUUAAAGACUGCCAAUUUGGUAGAAAGGUCUCUUGGUGAAAUAAUGACUUAUUUUUCUAGAAUUAUAUUGAUUAUUUCUAACUUUCAAAUUUUAGUUCAAGUACUGUUUGGCUUUAAUGUACAGUGCUCUAUUUUUUAAUUUUCCUUUACUAACGUCUGUUAAUAUAUCUUUAUGUAAAAGUUCAUAAAAUUUUAAAACAAACACAUAAAAAUAUUCAAACAAGCUCAGAUUCAAAAAUUUAAUAGUAUAAACAAAAGACUAAACUACCCCUAACAACAAGCUGAAAAAGUAAUAUGAACAACAUGCAAUCCUAAAAUACAACAAAAAGAAAACAGUGAUUUAUACUAAUAACAUGCUGAAAAAGUAAUUUACUAAAUAAAUAAAUAAAUAAAAAUACCUGGAUGCUGAAAAAGUACAAUUUUUUUGUAAAGGAUUGGCCCCUGAACAUGUAUUUGACAUCUAAUUGGCCCCUAAACAGUUUUCUUUGUCAAGAUUGGCCCAUGUACAAUUUUUUUGUCCCAGUAAAGUUUUGGCCCCUGUAAAGUUUUUUUGUCCCUAUACAGUUUUGGCCACUGUAAAAGGCUAUUUUUCUAGUAGUGCCUAUAGACGAACGUUGGCAGUUAUGGAUUUAGUGCCCUAUAGAUGAGCAUUGGCAGUUAUGGACAUAGUGCCUAAUAGAUAACAUUGGCAGUUAUGGAUUUAAUACCUGUUAGAUAAACCCUAGUAGUGAUGGACUCCGUGCAUUUCCUUACGAAAAUCCUUAGGAAUUAAUGAAUGAAGAAUAUAUGAUUCUUAGGGAAGAUUCUUAAGAUUAAGGAAGAUAACAGGGAUUGGAAAUUGGGUUAAUUGUUUGAUGAUUAAACAUAAUAAAUAUAUUAUUGUGGGUUGAAACCCUAUGUACUUACCAGGUUUCCCAACAUGACCCACUCAGUUUAUUGUAUCACAUGUAUCGAUGUGAAGAUACAUUACACUAAGAGAUUAAAGGAGAUAUAAAUCAUUAGUGUAAAUGAAUGUAAGGUCUGUUUAUGCUUAUGUUUCUAUAUUGACCAUGACAUCUCAAUGUUUUAAUAUAAAUAAAAUACAUUUCUUCGGAAAUGCUUUGAUAAUAUCUUUAUCAUGUUUUCUGGGAACAAAUUCCGCAAUACUAUUCUUUAAAAAGGGAUACUCUGAUUUUAAAAUAAGCAUAAAUAAAAUUUUUAAAAAUAAUCGUGAAUUUGGGGAUAUCACACGCCCUCUCCAACAAAAGCACCUGAUGCUACUGGUGUCUCUGCUCCAAAUCCUGACUAUGUUGCAUGGCUUGAGUCAGAUCAAAAGGCCUUUCUUAUUAUUCAAGCUUCCUUAACUGAAGUCGCCGUGGUUGAAACACUAGGCCUUACUACUGCUCAUGAGUUAUGGAAUUCUCUCCAAGAAGCUUAUCGUCAAGAUUAUAAAGAAAUAAUGAAAACACUCAGGGACACACUUAUACAAAUUCAAAAAGUUUCGUCUACUAUCUCUGAGUUUGGUGCUAAGUUUAAGGGACUUUGUGAUCAACUUUCAGCAAUUGGUCAUCCUAUGAACGAAAUUGACAUAUGUCAUUGGUUUCUCUAUGGACAUGGAGCAUCGUUUGAAACAUUUUCCACCACUUAUCUAGAAAUCAAACCUACUCCUACGUUUCAUGACCUGAUCUCACAGGCAGAAUCACAAAAAUUGUUUCUCACCUCAAUUCAUGGCCUUUCCACUCCUGUUGUCGCCUUCACUACAAAUCGACAGUCAUCAUCAGGAUCUCACUCUCAUGGAAACACCUAUGUUGGUCCUUCCUAUGGUCGUGUAUAUGGUUCUCAAAAUGGUGAUUGAGGUCGCGGACUUCAUCCUCCACACUGUCAACUUUGCAGGACCAAUGGUCAUUACACAAUCUCCUGUCCAAAAUUGGCUUCAUAUUCUCGCCAAGGUGCCACUGCAAAUACAACUUUGGCUCAAGCUUCUUAAACCCAGUGUCAUGUCACUAAUGAAUCACCUGACUAGUAUGUUGAUUCAGGUGCAACAACCCACAUGACUUCAUCUCCAAAUAUUUGGACUUAACCACAUCUUAUGUUGGACAUGAUUAGGUUGUGUUUGGAAAUGGUAAUUCUUCUCUUAUUUCACAUAUUGGUAAUAAAUCAUUUUCUCAAGACCUUAAACUAUCAGAAUCUCUUGUUGUCCCUAAUAUUAUCAAGAAUCUUAUCUCCAUUAGCAAAUUAACUAGUGAUUCUCCAGUUGAUGUUUUGUUUUCUAAACCAUUCUUUUUCCAUUUAUAAUCAGGCAACAAAGGAAAUCAUAGCAAGGGGAAAAUUUGAGAACGAACUGUACGUACUCAAGCAAGGACAUCAAGUUUUUCUUUCUAGUUUAAAGUCUUCUACAUUACGUUCCUCUUAUGAGUUAUGGCAUAAUAGAUUAGGAUAUGUUGCAUUUGAUACUACUCAAUUAUUAAAUAAAUUGGGUGCUUUAUCUAUUACAUCUUUAUUACCAAAACCACAAGUUUGCUCUUCAUGUCAGAUAUCCAAAAGCAAACAAUUGCCUUUUCAACUUAAUACUUAAAGAUCCUUACACGUACUUGAUUUAAUUCAUUGUGAUCUUUGGGGACCAAUACAUGUUCCUUCUAAAGAAGGAUACCGAUAUUAUUGUAUAUUUGUUGAUUAUAUUUCGCAUUUUACAUGGUUUUAUCCAUUAAAGUUGAAGUCAGAAUUUAUCACCGUUCUUAUUGCCUUUCUAGCAUUUGUUUAAACACAAUUUUCUUGCAAAAUGAAGUUUUUUCAAAGUGAUAGGGGAACAAAGUUCGUUAAUCAACAUGUUAGAACUCUUUUGAUCGAAAAUGGCACACAUCAUCGCUUAUCAUAUGCUCACACCACACAACAGAAUGGCCAGGCGGAACGGAAACAUAGACUUAUCGCUAAAAUAGGACUUACUAUGCUUUUUAAUACAAGUUCACAUGAUUCACUCUGGUUCGAUACCUUCAGCUCAGCCACCUACAUCAUCAACCAUCGUCCUUCCAAGAUUCUUUAUUACAAGAGUCCACUUGAGCUACUUUAUCAUUCCAUACAAAACUAUAAUGCUUUCAAGGCGCUUAGAUGUCUAGUUUUCCUUAUUUAUGUAACUACUUUACCAACAAGUUGGCACGAUGAAGAAUCUCAUGCAUUUUAAUCGUAUAUAGCUCUCAAUAGAAGGGAUAUCGUUGCUUGGAUUAUUCAUGAGGUCGUAUCUACACAACUCAACAUGCUUUUUUUUUAUGAACGAACUUUUCCUUUCAGUAACAUUACAUUUAAAUUUGAUCGAGCAAUAAUGCUUUUCUUGAAAUUUGAAGACUUUGCUUCAUCAUCUCUCCCACAUAAAAUAUUAGAUGCUUCACCAACUCCUUCCACAUCAGUAUCUAUCUCUCCGUUUUAUUUAUGUCACACACCUGAAGUUUCCAUUCAUGUUUAUGUUGUCCAAUCAUCGCCAUCAGCUGCUACUGAACAAUCAUAACCAAUAGAUUUUGUUGAACAACCUUCAUAAACAGCUCUACAGUCUCUAGUUUCUCCUAUUUCCACCUGUAUUCACAGCUACGUCCACUCAGCCCUCUUCUUCGAUUCAUCAUAUGCUCGCUCGGUCCAAAGCAGUCAUUUUUAAACCACAACAUCUGUUGGAUCUUGCUUUUCUUGAAAAAUUUCCCUUACAUCAAGUCUUAUUUGCUUCUAAAGAACCAUGUGGGUUUAAGUCUGUUGCAAAGAGUAUAGGUUGAUUGUCUGCCAUGGAAGACAAAAUGAAUGCUUUACGUUCCAAUAAUACUUGGGAUUUGGUCCCUUGACCAACUAACUCCAAUAUUGUUGGUUUUAAAUGGGUAUACCACACAAAAUACAACUCUGGCGGAAUAGUACAACGCCUUAAUUAUCGUGUGGUAGCACAAGGUUUCAGUCAACUUCCCGGGAUAAGCUAUACUCACACUUUCAACCUUGUAGUCAAAGCUGCUACUGUUCGUAUUGUCCUCUCUUUAGUUGUGAUUCAUAAAUGGCCCUUACAUCAGUUAGAUGUAAAUAAUGUUUUAUUAAAUGGAAAGCUAUCUAAUACAAACUAUAUGGAACAACCUCCAGGUUUUGUUGAUCCACACUUUCCUAAUCAUUUUUGUUAACUCAAGAAAGCUCUAUACGGUCUCAAAUAGGUGUCUCGUGCAUGGAUUUAACGACUAAGCUCGUUUCUUACAAUCUUGGGUUUAUGUGUAAUAGAACUGAUACAUCUCUUUUUGUGUUUAAAUGUGGUUCUCAUAUUUUAUAUUUACUAUUUAUGUUGAUUACAUCAUUCUCACAAGGAAUCACUAUUCUCUUAUUUCCAAAUUCAUAUCCAAAAUCCAUGUUGAAUUUGCUGUCAAAGACCUUGGGAAAUUAAACUAUUUUUUAGGACUUGAGGUUUCCUAUACAAAUAAUGGUUUGUUUCUCACUCAAGCUAAAUAUGCCCAUGAUAUUCUUAUCUGUGCUAGUCUUCUAGAAUCCAAACAUCCAUCCACUCCCUUAUCCACCACAAAUUCUUUCGUCUUCAUCGGUUCUCCAUGUUUGGAUCCUUCAAUAUAUCGUUCUCUUGUGGGUGCAUUGCACUAUUUGACCAUUACUCGCCUGGACUUGUCCUAUGUUGUAAAUCAAGUCAGACAAUUUCUUCAUGCACCUACAACCGAUCACUUUCAGGCAGUUAAACACAUUUUACGCUAUGUCAAGGGCACUCUAUCUUAUGGCUUACAUUUUACUUGUCCACACUCAUCCUCGUUCAUUGGUUACUCUGAUGCGGAUCUGGCAAGGUGCAUUGAGACUCGUCGUUCCACCUAUAGUUAUUCUGUAUUUAUUGGUGGUAAUUUAGUUUCCUGGAAUGCCAAAAAGCAACCCAUUGUGUCAAGAUCAAGUUUAUGAUUCAGAAUAUAGAGCCGUGGCUAACACAUUAGCUGAACUUGUGUGGAUAACUCAUCUCUUGUGUGAACUUUAUGCUUUACCUCCGGAUUAUGCAACACUAUUAUGUGACAACAAAAAUGCUUUUUUCUCAGUCAAAAUCCUAUCUCACACAAAAGGGCGAAACACAUCGAUAUUGAUUACCAUUUUGUUCGUGAAUUAGUGGUCUCUGGGUGAUUAUACACAUGUUUAGUUCCCACAUCAUUACAACUUGCUGACAUCUUCAACAAAAGUCUCCCGCAUCCUUUAUUUGAAACAUUUAAAGACAAUCUACGUGUUGGGCCACCACCUCUACGUUUGAAAGGGAGUAUUAAAGAUAUUAGAGAUAAUAAGGGGUAAAUGUUAAGNNNNNUAUAUAUACACACACACACACACACACACGAGAUCUUCAAGGUGAGUUUUCUAAAUCCUUAUAGAUAUGCAUGUUUUAAGAUUUUCACAUAAUAACGAAGUCUAAAAGAAUAGUUAAAAAGCUGAAAAAUUCCAACUUUGAUAUCAACUUCGGGAGAUUGUAAGUCAUUGAAUAUAAAACCAAAAACAAUUAAAUUAUAGUCUAAAAACUCUAAACUAUACGCUGAAAAAAAAAACCCACAUGCCAAUAAGGGGAUAAUGUCAUAAAAAGCCUUAAGUUUGGCAGAAAAUGUCGGUUUACCCUUCAGCAGAUUUUUGGUUCAUUUAUACCGCAAACUUGUCAAUUUUUUAUUGGUUUUGCCCUUUUACCUGCAAUAGCAGGUUGCCAUAAAUUAUUUUUUGCGAAAAAACCCUUAAGUUUACAAAUAUUUUGCAAAAAAAACCUUUAAGAUUAUAAACAUAUAAAAUAUAAAUAUAUAUAUAUAUAUUCAAAAGUUUAUAAAACUAAAUAUUUUUCUACUGAAACAUAUUUUUAGCUUUAUGUACUGUAAAUUUUAUAUUGGUUCGAUAUAAAGUUUUUAUACUGAAAUUUUUAAAAAGUUACCUAGUUUUAUUAAAAUUUGAAUAUAUUUAUUAAUUAAUACUUAAACUUUUCAAAUCAACAAUAAAAAACGUCUGAUAGCUAAUAACUAACUAUGCUAAAAUAGUUAAGCAUACGAAUAAUAUGACAUUAGUUACAUUCAAUUAAUAUUUUUUAAAGGAAAAUAAAAAUAUUUUAUAUGUUUAAAAGGUUUGUAUUUCAGAAAUAAUAAACUAUCAUAUUUUUUAUAAAAAUAAAUAUAUUUAUAUAAUAAAUUAGACAAAUAUAUUUAUAUUUUAUAUGUUUAAAAUGUUUAUAUUUAUUUUUGAUGUUUAAAAUUUUUAUGAUAUAUUUUUUUAAAAAUAUGAUAAUAUUAUUAUGUAUUUAAACAUAUAAAAAAUAUGAUACGUUAUUAUUUCUAAUAUACAAACCUUUUAAACAUAUAAAAUAUUUUUAUUUACCUUUUAAAAAAAUUAAUUGAAGGUAAUUGAUGCCAUAUUAUUGAUAUGUUUAACUAUUUUAGCAUAAUUAAUUAUUAACUAAUAGUUAUUUUUUAAUUUUGUUUUGAAAAGUUGAUGCAUUAAUUAAGAAAUAUAUUCAAAUUUUGAUCAAACUAAGUAAAUUUUUUAAAAUUUAAAUACAAAAAGUUUAUAUCAAACCAAUAUAAAAAUUACUGUAUGUAAAGUUAAAAAUAUAUUUCAUUUUUGGUUUCAUAAUAUAAGUUCAAUAAAACUUAUAUUAAUUUGAUAUNUUUAUAUAUUAUAUGUUUAUAAUCUUAAGAGUUUUUUGCCAAAUAUUUGUAAAGUUAAGGAUUGUUUUGCAAAAAUUAAUUCAUGGUAACCUGAAAACCUGUUAUUGCAGGUAAAAAGGGCAAAACCAACAAAAAAAAUGAUAAGUUUGCGGUAUAAACAAACCAAAAAUCUGCCGAAGGGUAAAACCGACAUUUUCUGUCAAACUUAAGGCUUUUUUGACAUUAGAAAAUAUUUGUUUUUUUUUUCAAAUCCGGUCCAAGCUGAGGAACAAACUGGACUUGACCCCGGUUUUGUACUCGGAACCAUUUUGCUUAAUUCAUAGAACCGAGAAUCGGCCGGAUUCUAGAAAGAGGUCUAGAUUCAAGUCGGGUCUACUCCAUAUGUACAAAUACUCACCAAGUGCAUGUGAUCUAUGAUGUUAUUAAGAUUUAUACAUGUUAGGCCCCCCCCCCCCUGAUUUNNNNACUUUAAUUUUAUAUAUAUUAGGUCCAAAAAUAUAAAAAUUUGACUAUGGCCCCCCUGUUUACCAAUUUUUAUACAAAUUAUAUUUUCGGCCCCCAAAUGAAAGAUCGAAGCUCCGUCACUGGAGCUUUCGGUAUUGAGUUUAAUAACACCCAUAAUGAUCAUUUAUUUGUUUCUUGUUAUUUAGACUAUACCGAUAUGUCUUAUUUUUAUAAAUGGGCCAUAAAUACGUUUUGGCCAUUCAUAUUUUUAUUCAGGACGCCUCAUUUGCUAUCUAUCGAGUGAUCAAAAUUUGAGUAUGCUGUUUGUGGUCAUUUUAGUGAUUAACCUUUUAUUAUAUUCUAAUACAACAAAUUACAAAUUAUCAUAAUUUAUUAAAUACUUUUUCAAUCCAUUCUUCUAAUACAAACCUAACAUGUAAUACAAUCUUUUAUUUUAAACAGACAUGCACGUCACUGUCUUAGAGAAAGAAAAUUCCAGCUGUUACGGAAAAUGAUGGUAAUGAACAUUAAUGUUUGGACUAUGAAACACCAUGUUCCCAUGGGGUGUGUGUGAGAACAAACACGACGACUCCCAAUUACCAAAGCAUAUUCCAUCUACGAUACUUUCCCAAGAAUCAAGAGUUUUGUACGAUGAUGAUGAUGAAGAUGUCGAUAAAAAAUAGUAGUAUUUAAAAAAGUACAAGAUAUUCUAGUUUAAGCAUUUCAAUACUAUUAUUCGUACAUGUUAUCGUUGGAUUUUGCUAAUAUAGAGAAUUAAAUCUCAAAAACAAUCAAAAUAUUGAUUGAGUUGUAUACAAAUCUUAUGGGGUUAAUUUAUACUAUUUAUUUUAUUUAAUUCGAAUUGUUUUUAGAUUUAUUUUGAUAAAACUCUAUAAGAUUUUUAAUAUCAUAACUUAUCGAUGUCUCAUAAACAAAAUUAAUGGAUAAUGCAUGAAUAGUUACAUUAUAGUGUAAGCCAUGUCUAUAAUUUAAAGGGUAGGAUUUUUAUUUGGUUCAUACAAGUAAGUAUUACAGAUUUUUUUUUAAUCGGUAAAAAAGUUUAUUUAAUUAAUACUUUACUAUACUACGAUAAUAUGAUAUAAAUAUUAAGACAAAAUGAAGACUCUAAACAACUUAAGUAUAAAAAUUGUUAUAAACAUGUCCCGAUAUAAUAGUGGGAAAUGUAAUUAUAUGAUAGAGGUUUAUGGGGUUUAAAACACAUGCAAAUAACAAUGCCUGUUGGUAUUAUACAAUUUUCCCCUCACACUGAUAGGAUAUGACUGUGUGGUGUUGGAUCGUUGGCUAUGGUUACACCCAUCUUUUAACUAAACCCAUCCCACGUUAGAGUUCUAUUUAUAACGAGGUAAAAAUCUAUAAAAGGGGUCUCAGUGUUCAGCUCGAACAUCAAAAAAAAAAAAAAAAAGGUAAACUGCAUUACCUAAGUGGCCACACAAAUUCGUCUAUUGCCCAGCAACAGGAGGUUAAUCAUAGAGUACUAUUAAUAUUUUAGGUAUGUCAAUUUUUAACUAUAGAUCUAAUUUUUAUAAUUUCGCACAUUAACCACUCGGCUUCCAUUAAUUUAGGGGCGGAUCCAAGGGUUAUCCCGGAAUACCUUUCAAAAAAAUUUCGGCAGUGUAAUUUUUUUAGAAAAUUUUCGUUUUAUGUAGUGUAUACAACGCAUCCCUUCACUUAUAAAUACAAACAAACAACUAGUCUACUGGUUAGGGUGUUGGCUUAUUGAAACAAAGGUCAAGGAUUGAUUUUUGCUCCUUACAAAUCUUUUAUUUACAUUUCUUUUAUUUUCUCAGCUAUUCUAUUCUUUUAUUUUCCUAGCUAAUCUAUCUCGCAUCGUCAAACAUAUGUAAACUCAAUUAUUUUUUAUCUAUUAUAUAAACUUGUUAUCCUUAUAGUUCAUUUGAUAUUUAUUUUGAGCCCCACAUCGAUUUAAGUAUCAAAAGAUACUUCAACUUAAUGUUUAUAUAACAAGACUUGAAGUUAGCUAAGGAUUCAAUUAAGGUUUGAGUUUAAAACCAAAACCAAACUGGGAAACCCAAGUACAAACUGAAAACUGAAACACCGAAUUGAUGAGUUUGGGUUUGGUUUGAUUUUAAAAGUUUCAAAACCGAGGCUGUCGGUUUUAGGUCAAAACUAACCCGCCCCGCCCCAUGCUCAGCCGUUGCGAUGAUACCUCGGAAAAACAAAAUUGGGAUACUCAUUUACUUUGAGCAUGGCUCCGCUACUGCAUUAAUGGAUAUUUUGAUGUACCUCUCAUGUUAGUCGUGAGACCGAUGAGCAGGAGGAAGAUGGCAUGUACCCCUUUGUCGUAAACAUGUUAAUUUAUGUUUACUUAAUCAAAUAUGAACUCAAUAUAAUUGGAAGUUUCAACAUUUGAAUUCAAAAUCCAGAGAUGUUAAAAUUCGGUAUCUAAGAUCAUAAGGUUUUAUAACUAGAAAAAUAAGUUUAUCCACUAUUUUGAAUAAAAAUGGGAAUCCAAAUUGUGUAUCCAUCGUAUACAAACAAAUAUAUUUCUACCAAAUAUAUACCUAAUUUAGUAUGUUUUACAUAAUUUUUAUUUUAGGCUUAGAGCAUCCACAUCGUCAUCUUUCAAAUCCUUUUGCAAUGCCAAAUAAUCAAUUUUACAUGUUAUAUAUACACUUUUCUUUCGACUGUUGUAAAUCUUUCAAACAAUACAGGUGGCUCAUCCUAUUACAUUAUUACUUUUUGAUUAAUAUAUAUAUAUAUUAAUUGCAGAUGGACUUUCAAUAUAUUUAAAGUGGAAUAAGAAAUAUCAAUGACACAAUCCAUAUCAUUUGCAAUAUGUAAUCGAAAGACAUAAUCCAUCCACCGGUGUGGAUGCUCUUAAUGUCAUUCUCACCCAAACAUCGAUCCUUUUUGCUUUAAAAGAUCCAAUAUGUUUUUUAGCCUACGUGCUCAAACUUGCAAUUUACGGGUUAAAAUGCCAUUCCACUAAAAAUGAAGGAUGGUAUCAUUAUGAGGGUAAAAGAGUCGAUCCAUCUACGGUUUUGGAAAGCUUAUUAAAUAAGAGCAUCUCCGUAAGAGAUUUUGUAUAGCUUAUUAUUGUAGAUUUUUUUUAUUCAUAGCCUUUAUAUAUAACCCAUUUUUAUUUUAACCAUAUUUCAUUUUACCCUUCUAAUUAUAGUUUAGUCUUAUAUGUUUUUUCUUUUUUUUUUCUUUUUUACUAACUAACUAUUGCUAUUAAAUAUUUAAUGACAUCUCCUUUAUAAAAUAUAAAUUUAUGAGGAUAAUACAAUAUUUUAAUGUUUUUAUUUUAUUUUGUAACUAUAAUAUAAUAAUUAUUUAUAUUUUUUAUAUAUGAAUAUUUAACCAAUAUAUUUGUAUUAAUAUGUGUAACAAUUGGUAAAAAUAGGUUAUAUGUUUUUAGAUACAAGGGAAGUUACUCAUAAUUGCACAUGAGUUACUUCAAAUUACUUGAAAAAUAAAGGAUCGUUAACAAAUAGACAAAAAAAUUCACAAAAUAAAUAUUAUUAAUGCCCUAAAAAAUAAAAUUUUUGCAUCAAGUAUACUUGCCUAAAACAGCCCUACGCGCCGUCAUGGCCGGUUUUUUCCAGCGAUUGCUCCGAUGCUCCGAUUUUCAUGUAAAAGGAUUUUCCGAGUUCCUGUUGUGUUGAUCGACAACCAUGUGUGCUCAAAUUGUCUAAAAUGUGUCCUGGUUGAAAAUAAAAAAAGACACAAAAACGACCCAAUCUUUUAACAGACUUACUAUACGCUUUGAGAGUGUGUUUCUACGGCCCCUCUUUUAUAUUUUUACGAUUUCGGGGGAAAAUACUUGAAAUCAUGUUUUGUUUCCAUAAACUGGUUUUAUUAACUUAAAGUUUACAUGAUUAAUGUCUUGCAUAAAAUGUUAAAACUGACAAAUCGUCAUAAGAUUUUCUAUAAAUGAGUUCNUAUAUAUAUAUAUAUAUAUAUAUACACACACACACACACAUAUAUUCUAACACAUGUAUCUUGCGGUACUUUAUAUCUUGCAAUUAUUUGGCAUUUUAAGGUUUGCCACGACGUGAUGGGAAGCACCAUGAUGUGGCGAGUUGAGAUCAGGCUAUGUAUUUCAUUUAAGUAGCCACAGCAUGGCCGUAUAGGCCACGACGUGACAACUGGCAAGUGGCAAACCUUAUUUUUCAGGGUUUUGCUCCCUAUUUAAAGGAAUGAGGAUGCUAGGGUUUGCUCACCUCAACCUCCAUCAGCCUCCUUAAGACCUGAGAAACCCUAAAUCCUUCCUUCUCUUAUUUUGAGCCAUUUUGGUGUUCUUUGAAGCUUUAGAAGGAAGAAAAAAGAAGAAGUGAGCUAAGAUUCAGCAAGCUAGUAUGCAUCCUUAUUUUUUGCAUUCUUCUAGACCUUUGUAAGUGUCCAAGACUAGAUUUUUAUCAUGGUAGAUUGCUAGAUCUUAUGUUUUGUCCCUAAAUCUUUAUGUCUUUGUGAGUUGGAGUGAUGGGAUCUGAUAACGUUUGCAACUUUAUGAAUCUAUGGGAUUAGAUUUGCAUAGAAAAACCCUUAAUUUGAAUCAUUAUGGCUUCAAGACAUGCAUUGGACAUGCAUGUCUACAAAGCACCAACUAUUAUAUUGGUUUUGAUAUUAGAAAUUGAUCUUAAGUAAAUGAGCUAUGGACUUUUUGGAAUAAGUGCUUAAUGGGGAAAGUCAUGUCUUAUUUAGCCCAUUUGGAACCUAGGGUUAGAGGUUUUGACCUUUUGGGUGGUCUUAACGGAUAAAGUUGGAAACUUUAUCCUUCUAGACCGAGUUUUGGACCAGAGUUGAGCUUUGGAGCUCUUAUGAUUGAAGGAACGAUUUAAUCCAUUAAGCUACUGAAAACCUAGUGCCCACGGCGUGACAUUAGGUUGCCACGACAUGGCGAUGGGGAAAACCGUAAUUGGCUACUUGUUAGAGGACCACGGCGUAGCCAUAGGUGGCGACGACAUGACGGUUAACUAAAUUCAAUGUUAACUAUUGACUCUGGCCAUUGACUUUUUACUUGAGUUGACUUUUGGUCAAGCAUAUAGUUUGGAGGAAGAGAUCCAAGUUUAUUUGGUUUAAUUGAAUAGAUGGUGCGUAGCAGUGGUAUUCUAUUGGUGAGGGCAGUAGCAAUUGAGCAUUUUCUGUUAAGUGAAUCUUCUCACUACAUUGGUGGGUUGAAGGCACCAAUGUCGACCCACUGAUUUUAAUGUGUAGGAUGUAUGUGAUUACGUGACUAUUACUUAUAUAAUUGUACGUUAUAUACAUGGAGCUAAUUUAGGCUUGAAGUCCUUAUGGACUCAGGGUUGAUACGGACCUAUGGAUUGAUAUGGACCCGACACAGCUAUGUGUUGUUACAUGGAUUGAUACUGAUCCGGGGGUUGAUACGGACAUGACACAUCCACAUACUGUUAUUAUUUGUUCAUGUAUUUGAUGUAUGGGGUAGUUUGGGAAACUCACAAAGCUUCGUGCUUACAAUUAUGUUUAUGGUUUUAGGUACUUCCAGUACAAAAGGGAAGGGUACGGAGUGAUGGCAUAGCAUCUUCCCCCUCCAUGUUUCCGCAUUUAUGAUUUUUGUUACUCUGAUGUUUUGGAUCAUUUGUAUCGUGGUUGUUUCUGAGACAUAUGAUGUAAUGAAUUAAUGAUUUUUAAAAAAAGAAAAAUUUUAUCAGUGUUUUGGAAUGUUACAAGUUGUUAUCAAAGCCUUGGUUUGAGGGAUUUGGGCACACCUUUGGGUGUGUCAGAACUCAUAUUGAAAUGAUAAUCUUUUCAAAAGAAUAAUGAAUUUCUAAAAGAUUUUUACAAAAUGGAAAGGGGUGCAAUGUGUCAAUCAGCCAAGCUCAAGUAAGUGAUUCCCAAAAUACUCAUACUUAUGUGUUAUGAUUAGUAUUCCUGAUAUAUGAAUUUCAUGCUAGAGUAGGGCUAAGGAUAUCUUCAAGAACCGUAUGAUAGAAUUGCCUGAUUUGUGUGAUGCCUUAUAGCCUAAGAGAAUUGGAUGUUAUGUGUUACUAGAGAUUGAUAUCGGCUCAGUUAAUUGCUAAGUUUAUGCUUUAAAAGUUGUAUACAAUUAGGAUCAUAUAGCCCCAGAAUGAUCGAUUUAGCCUCAUUUCUUAUUCCUUGUUUGGUUGCGGACUUAGGGUAGAAUCAUUAUUUGACAGUCUAUGUGAUCCCAUUUUGUGCACAACUUGCAUGCAUAAGGCAACCAUCAGUGUUGUAUGAGAUUCUUAGUAUUGUAGAGGCGAUCGAAAUUCCUAGGAUAUCCUAGGAGAUGCCAUAGUUAGAUUUAUAUGUAGUUUAGCAUAGGACUGGUUUAUGGAUUAGUGUGGUAACUUAUAGGAUUCAAGAUGGUUCUUGAGGAAAGUACAAAUAUGUGUGGAAGGUAGUAUUUGUCCCGUACUACUAAAAGCACAUGAUCUAUACUCGAGGCAAGGACGGUCUUGGAGAUUCUAAGGAGGCCUAUAGAUUGGAAGUUCCCUCGAGUUUAUGUUGAUCAUUUAUAUGUCUGUAUUUCAGUUUAGUAUGGUGACCACUCAAGGAGGAGCUUCUGGAUCCGGUUUUGGCGUUGGUGUUGAAUCGUUGGAGGAGCGAUUACACGAGUUUAUCAUAUCAUAGAUUACCCACAACUCGUAAUUACGCGUCGUUGUAAUGAUCAUGCCCUAUUAAAGGCCUUGAAACUAGGGCCAACGGUUACUUUAAACCCUUCGCAAUCUCAGCUGCCAAAAAGCGAACCCUUCGUUUUUUAGGUUAGUCUCUUUCAUUUAUGGGAUUUUAAACAAAGUCAUAUGCCAGAAUUGUGAAAUCGUCAGCCUAAGUUGGUAAUACUUAGAACCUCAAGGAUUUCGUGAGUGCAUGUGAUUCAAACGAAUGAGAUAAGAAGCAAUUAAAAAAAAAUUGAGAUUCUGUGAUGUCAAAUUUUAUUGAAAUGAAGCAAUGAAACCCCGGGCAAAGGUUACUUCGUUAAAUACUUUCAGAAUUUUUCAUGAUGCAUUCCUAUUUUUCCCAGAUUUUUGUAUUUAUAAUGGACUAAAAACAGGAAAAAUAGUUUUACUCAUCCAAAAAUUAUGAAAAUUUACCAGAACACCUUGUAGUACAUUAGGAGGCUACAUAAAAUUUUUGAUGAUUUUUCUCUUCUGUAUACUAUUUUUCUCCUAUUUUCUAAGAUUAAAUACACUUAAAUACACAAAAGCGGAUUUCGGUAUAUAAAAACCACAUUUGAUAUUUUUCCGGAUUAUUUAUUCUGUGAAUGAAGUGUACAAAAUUUUUGGUAAUUUACUUUAACUUUUUAAUAAUUAUUAUUUAAUUAAUGAUUAUGGAUGAGCGACUCGGGGCCAUUCGGCCAGAGGUCGUUGCGGGAAAGAUUAGAGCACGGACUCCAUUAUUUCGGGAGUUCAAGGCCUGUGGAGUUCAAGAGUUAUUUGGGGAUAAGGACCCCAUCAGUAGCCGCCGCUGGAUUGGUGACAUGGAGAAUGCUCAGCUGACGAGUUUUUGCCCCGAGGGGGCAAAAGUAGGGUUUACAUCCUGCCUUCUGAGAGACCGAACAUGCAACUUGUAGGAUGGGGUCGGUCAAGCUGUGGGAACUACAGGGGUGGUGACCAUGACCUGGGAGGAGUUUGUUAAGAGAUUCUAAAAGGAGCUUGCACCAGCAAUCGAUGUGCAACAACUAGCGAGGGAGUUUCAGGACCUUCGCCAGACUACUGAGACUAUGACGGAGAUCACCGCCAAGUUCUGUAAGAGGGAUUUUUUUUGGUUCCGCAGUAUGUUGUGGAUAAGGAGAUGAACAAGACGAGAUAUCAUGACAUGUUGAGGGAUGACAUCAAAGAUUCAAACUUUAUACCUCCGGAAGAAAGAUCAAGUUGAACAAGUUCUAGAUCUACAAGCUCUAAUGCAACCAACGCUUCUUCAAUGAGUUCCUUCUUCUCCGUGGUGCACCAAGAACACUCCAAAGUACUUAAAAACACCUUCUUUUUUCUCAUAAUACUCAAACUAGGGUUAAGGUUUCAAGAGAGGAUGUUGGAGAGGUGGAGGCUGAGAAUAAAGUGGGUUUGGGGAAGUUAAUGAGCUUAAAUAGGUUUCAAACCACGAAAAUAGGGUUUGGUCACUAAUCGCAUAUGUCCAACAUACUCAGGAUACCCUAGUACGCCCAACAUACGUGACUAACCCAAAAAUUGUCAUAACUUCAAAUCAUCAUAACUUCUUCGUUCCAACUAUGUUUUCAACGUUCUUUAUAUCCACGAAAAUGUGUUGAAGAGCUCUACAAUAUUAUCUAAAUAUCUUGGGCUAAAACUUCUCGAAAAAAAUCUAUAUUUCAUGCAAGAACCCGACCUAUGACUUUUUCCCUUUUUACCCUUCGGCCCAAAAAAAAAACAAUUCAAGGAUUAGGUCUCUCAACCAUCAUUACCUCCUUCCACAAGGUCCAAUAUUUACCUCCUUAAGGCCUAAAUAUUUUACACAACCGACUUCUGGCCCACGACCCUGAAAGAAGAAAUUACGGGAAACAGGAUGUUACGUUUUUUCUUAAAAAAACCACUUCUGGCCACUUCUUGUUGCACCGCAUAGCACACACGCAACAUUUGACAUUUCGCAACUGUUUGCUUUUUAAAAGACUUAUGACUUAAAAGCUGUUGAGCGUGUACUAUGCAGUGCAACAUUUGACCCACAUAUUCAAACAUCUUCUCGCCUUACUUAAAGUUAUAUUAUUCAACAUAGAUUUAUUUUUUUAACAUGUUUAUUAUUUCAAUAAUAUUAUGAAGGAUAUUAUAAACAAUUCAUGUAUAUAUUAUAUAAUUUCAAAACCAUUCGAUAAAUUUCAUAUAAAUACUUUUCUGUGUUACAUUGUCUAUAACAAAAAAAUUAAAAAAUUAUAAAGUUAAUCAUUAAAAUUACCAAAUCUAUUGAAGCUAAACGAAAAAAUAACAAUCGUCUAGGAAAAUUUAACAAAAUGAACAUGUUGUUUGCUAAAUUCACAAUUUUGUUUAUUGUUAUUUAGCAAUUAUUAUGUUUAAUUAUUUUAUAUAAACGUCUUUAAAUAAUGUUAGUAAAGUUAUUUGAAUCAGUUUUAUUCGAUGCGAUGUAUAUAAAUAGUGUUGGUAAAAUGACUUCUACAUUCGCUUUAAAUACAUGACACAUCAUAUAUGUUAAACAACAAUUCGGUUGAGGAAAAUAUAGUAUUGCAAUGGACUGUGAAUAUAUGACUCAGUUAUGGGAAGAAAUUGUUGAACAUUUUAUGCAAAAUAUGGAAUGAAUUAUUUUAAAUGAAAUUGUUAUUGAAAGACAAAAAUUGUUAUUGUAAGACUAAUUUGGUUGUAUGAAUUUUAUUUCAAUGUUAUAAGACUAUAAUUAUUAAAAUUUUGGUAUUUGAAAAACUAUUUUAAGUUUGUAAAAUCUAUUUAUUUAAAGUUCAGUUUAUUGCAGCAGUCUGUAGACGUUAAAAAACAAACAAACUUCUUAUUACAUGUUGUAUUCGUUUAGUCCACCUCUUCUGUUGUAAAAGGAUAUAAAUGUAGUCCGAAGACUUCAAACGUUUUCGAAAAAAACAAACAACACCUAAAAAUCAAUCCCAUAGCCAAAAUUGAUUUAGCAAUUAAAUAUAUUUAUUUAAAUUUUAGUUUAUUGCAUCAACAUUUAAACAUUAAAAAACAAACAAACUUUUAUUAAAUGUUACAACAUUUAAACAUUAAAAGCAAACAAACUUUUAUUAAAUGUUAUAGUUUACAUCUUCUGAUGUAGGUAUACAAAACCUAAAGAUCAAUCCAGUCAAAAUUGAUUUAGCAAGGGGUUUUCUAAAAAUACCCCCAUUUUUUUUUCCAAUUUCACCCCUUUUAAUUUGAUUUUUUGUCUUUUGUUGUUGUUUUUUUUUCUAUUUUGCUUUUUGUUGUUUUUAAUUUUUUUAAUUUAUUAUUAUUAUUAUUAUUAUUAUUAUUAUUAUUUAUCAUUAUUUAUUAUUGUUAUUAUUGUAUUUUAAUAAUAUUAUUAUUAAAAUAUAAAAAAUAUAUUUAAAAAACUGNCGAAAUUUAUAACAACAACAACAACAAUAAUAAUAAUAAUAAUAAUAAUAAUAAUAAUAAUAUAAAUUUAAAUUUAAAAAAAUUAAAAAUAACAAAAUUGAAAAACAAAAAAACAUCAAAAGACAAAAAUAAAUAUCAAAUCAAAUGUCAAAAUUUUGAUUUGAUUUAUUUUAGGGAGUAAAAAUGGUUAAAAGGUACUUAUAGCACAACCCUUUAGCAAUCAGCACUAGUAUGAUAUGUAAAAAGUAAAAGUAUAGUAAUUUUUUGACAUAUUCCCUCAUUUUGAUAUUUCUGUUUUGCAAUUUUCUCAUAGAAAUAAAAGGUUCAUAAAAUAAAAUUAAUAAAACAAAUAAAAAGUUUGACUCGUCUGUUAAAUCCUUUACCAUCAUAAAUUUGGACAAGGUAGUUGUCAUCAAUAUCGUAUGAAUCGGAAAGAAAUUUCAAACAACUGAACGAGAUAUACAAAACCAUACCACCUGAUCAUCACUAUUAGUUUUGUUUUGUAGCUCCAACUAAUAACACCUAUCGGCAUUCAUCCACUACAUUUAAAAGCUCCACUUCCUCAAUCCUCCAUUUCUCAUCUAUCUUCAACUUUCUAUUUUUUGAUAUGAGGUUGCCGGAGUUUUGGUUGCUGAUGAUUCUGGCCGGAGUCUUCGCCGGAGCCAUGGAAAUUGCUCAUGCAUAUGACCGGCCUCCGCCAAGGCAGGACUUUGCUGUAUCAGUCGCCGCGUAUGCUGAUCCGACCACUCCACAACAAGUAAUCAAUUACUCUUCUUUCAUUACCCUAAAUUCCUCAUGGAUUAACAAUGGCGAUUGUAUAAAGCAUUUUAGAUCAAUCUCGCAUUUGACUUACGAAAACACUCAACAUGGAUCUUAAUGUGUUACUCCAGUUUCUUUUUUCUUUUUUUCUUUUUUGGUGAGAAAAAAAAGGGUGUUCUACAGAUUAUUUUUUUUUGGAGGAAAGAGCAUGGAAGAUUUUUUAUUUUUUAUUUUUCUUUUUUUCAAAUCCAUUUCAAUUUUGGAAAGUAAUAGGAUUAGGAAAAGUUAUAACGACAGAUAUUCCUUCAUAUGUGAUCUUGAUAUAAAUAUUAAAUAUUUACACAAUAUUGUCAACUUUCCAAUCAUGAUUUUUCAAUCCAGAACAAAAAAAAAAGAACUUUUUUAACUUGAAAAUUAUGAAUAAUAAUUGUUUUGUUCUUUUCUGUCCUUUUUUUUCUAUAAAAAACUAGAGUAAAUAGUGAUAUUUUAUUUAAAAGAUCAUAAACAUAUAAUAAUCUUACUUAUUUUGCAAUGUUUAUUGUCCUUGUUUCUAUCACCAUUGUUGACAUACUACUCGAUAAUAUCAAUGUUACAUAUGAUAGUUUUGCUCACCAAAGUUUGAAUAUAUAAGAUGUCAUUCCUUUAUUAUUAUUAUUAUAUCAUAUACACAAGUUAUAAUCACUAUUUCAUGACAUUUUACUACGAAAUAAAAACUAUAUUUGAUAAAUUUUCUUUCUCAAAACACCAUGUUUUGUUUUUCAGUUAUUAGAAAAUACUUUGUUUUUCCAAAAAAAAAAAUCUCCGGAAAAUCACCUUUCUUUUGACAAUCAAUUUUUAGAAGUCGGAUUUUCACACACUGACAUAUGUAUACCCAAAAAGUUAUUGUUGAUGAUAGAAUUAAAUUCGCAUAUUAAAUGCCAUCAAGGCAAAGUUAUACUUGGACUAGAAGUCUUCCAAGUGCUUCAAAUGUAUAGGUCAAUAUGAAGAUUUUGUUUCUUAUUAUCAACACAAUUAAAAAAAAAAAAAGAUAUUACUACUACAAAAAAGUGAUAUAUAAUUAUAUAUUAUAAUAAAUUGUGAUUUUUUUUUAACAGGUUCAUGUAUCUUUAGCUGGUGAAAAUAAAAUGAGAAUUUCAUGGAUUACAGACAAACAUACUCCACCCAUCGUAAACUACGGUACAUCUUCAGGGAAAUACGAACACUCAGCUACCGGGGUAAUUUCGUCUUACGAGUAUGUAACUUACAUUUCUGGUGAAAUACACGACGUCGUAAUUGGCCCAUUGAACCCAAACACAGUCUAUUAUUACUCUUUUGCCACUGGUUCAUCUUCAACCCCUGAAUACUCUUUCAAAACUCCUCCGGCGCAAUUUCCGAUCAAAUUUGCUGUUUCAGGUUACAAAUUUCAAGCAUCUUUUUGUUAGUGUAUGAUCUGAAGAAGUGGGGAUUAUUAUUUAUUAUUUAUUAUUUGAAUUUUAAAACACAUGCAGGUGAUCUUGGACAAACUGGAUGGACGAAAUCGACACUCGAACACAUCUCGCAAUCAAAUUACGAUGUGUUUCUGCUUCCCGGAGAUUUGGCUUACGCCGAUAGGAUUCAGCCGUUGUGGGACUCAUUCGGCCGCCUGGUGGAACCGCUAGCGAGCCAACGGCCGUGGAUGGUGACACAAGGCAACCACGAGGUUGAGAAAAUUCCGGCCAUCCACCACACUCCGUUCACCGCCUACAACGCCAGGUGGCAUAUGCCGUUUGAAGAGAGCGGAUCCACGUCUAAUUUAUACUACUCGUUUGAGGUCUCAGGCGUCCACGUCGUCAUGUUGGGUUCCUACGCCGAUUUUGGAUAUGGAUCUGACCAAAUUCGAUGGUUGGAGUCUGAUUUGAAGAAGGUUGAUCGGAGGAAAACGCCAUGGCUGGUUGUGAUUGUUCAUGCUCCAUGGUAUAACUCUAACUACGCUCAUCAAGGGGAGAAAGAGUCGGUCGAUAUGAGGGUAAUGAUGGAGGGAUUGCUUUACAAAGCUCGUGUAGAUCUCGUUUUUGCAGGACAUGUUCACGCUUACGAGCGAUUUGUAAGCCACACCUUCAUAGCUCCAGAACUGAAAUCAUUUCCUUUUUUUGUAAAUCAACAAAUAGAUUGAUGAUCAUCUGACUUCUUGUUCUUGCAGAAUCGUGUUUACAAUCAAGAAACUGAUAACUGCGGGCCGAUGUAUAUCACAAUUGGGGAUGGAGGAAACCGAGAAGGUCUUGCUUCCAAGUGAGUUGACUGAAUUGAAAUUAAGAAUUUUGUGUAUGUUUGCAGCUUUGAUUGUUGAAUAAUUUUGGAAACUUUGUUUUUGUAAAUUGUAGGUAUAAAGAACCACAGCCAACGAUAUCGGUAUUUAGGGAAGCGAGUUUUGGGCAUGGUGAACUUGAGAUUGUUAAUGGAAGUUAUGCAAAGUGGUCGUGGCAUAGAAAUGAUGACGAUGAAUCAUUUGAAUCUGAUUCUGUUUGGUUAAAAAGCUUUGCUUCUGAUACAACUUGUAAAGCAAAUAAAAAAUGAUGUCUUCAUCAUUAUAAAAAUUAUAAAACUUAACGUUCCAAAAGAAAUACAAAAGGUUUAUAAUGUUACUUCAUGACAAAACCGAGGUUAAAGUGUUCCAAAAUUAUGACAACGACAAGGAAAACUUGAUAAUUAAGGGGUUUGAUAACGAGUAAAAGGUUUAUAAUGUUACUUCACUAAUUGCCAUGUAAAGCCUAUAGGAUGGACCCUGAGCUAACUUUAUAAAUGAAGGUUAGGUGGCAAUAUCGGUGUUGUAAUUUAGCGAUAUCUUGGUUACUACUUCCAUCAACACUAUCGGAUUUAUCUGUUCUUAUUCUGUUAUUCAUCAACAUUGACAUCUUCAGGAAUUGUUUGAUCUAGCAUAUCUUCAACAUCUUUACAAUAUCAAAUACUCGAAGUCUCAAACUCAAAGCAUGCAAAAAGAAAAAUGUUAUUCAACAUACAUAUAAACCUUAUGGUGUCGAAGUCUAAGACUUACAUAACUAGAACCACAUAAGAGCAAAUUUAGAACAAAAAAAUGACGACACUAAAUUAAUAACAAAGCACCCAUUUUAGACCAUUCAAAGCAAAGAACUAAUUUAAACCAUUCAUAAUUCAUAAAUAUUACCGUUGGAACAUAUACUUCACGAUUGAUAAGUCCACCAAUUCAUAGAUGUAUAUCUAGCUUUAUUUCUUGUGUUGUAAUUUUAUGUUUUAAGUUAUCAAACUAGUUUCCAUUUUCCAAUGUCUCUAGAUCAUCAAUCUUGAUUAUUUUUUUGUUUUGUCUUACCUUCUUGUUUGUUUAGAAGCGAUAUUUUUUGAUCAAUUCUAUUGGACAUUCUUUUUUCUCAAGUUGAAUUACAAUAUUACUAGUCGUAUGCCUUGAAAUUGCAAGAGUAAGAAAUUUGGGUUACGGCAGACCGCAGAGUCUGAUGUAGUAGAUUUAAAAAAAAAAAAUCAGGCUGUUUUUUACCCAUCAAAUUAAACACAGUUUUCAUGUCAUGUGAGGUCUUUAUCAUAGUAGAAAACAACAAAUUACAGACAAUACAAACUACACACAGUGCUGGUUUUCCUUCUCUCUCUUGUCUUCUUUUUUUUUUCUUUUUUUUUUCUUGAGAUUCAGUAAAAAAGAGCAACGCAAAAUUCUAGUACACUUCAAAAGAAAACAUACAUGCAUUUCUAUGUUAUUUUUUUUAGGGAAAAUGACUCUUGAGGGUAAUUAACUUUUACGUUUGUACUCAUUUGGUCUCUUUCCUUUUUUUUGUACUCAAUAUACAAUCGAACUUGUUGUUUGUGUUCACCAUAACCCUUUGACCGGCUAUCACAAGUCAAAAGCCGGUCAAAAGGGCUAUGGUAAACACCAACAACAAGUUCGAUGGUAUAUUGAAUACAAAAAAAUAAAUAAAAGUACAAAUGCAAAAGUUAAUUAGCUUGAGAAUCAUUUUCCUUAUUUUUUAUUUUUUAUUUAUAAUUAAUAUUAAAGAUGUGAAUUGUAAGAAUUGAGACUGUCUCAAGUCUUCACCAGAGGGACGUAACUAGAUUUCACAUGGUUGGUUGAAAAAGUUCAAAGCUUUAUCAGUACACAAAAUUCAGAAAACAUGUAUCCAUACGUACAGCAUGUUUUUUAGUAAUUAUUUUGUGAUUGAUGAUAAAAAUAUGGUAGUGGAUGCUAAAUACUAUUCAAACAUAGUUAUUUUUGUGAAUUGCUAAUAUGUUACUAUGUGGAUUAUUGUUUUAGAUGAACUCAAAAGAUAUGAAUACGCUCAGGAUUCUGAGUACAACUUAACUCUUCCAAGUGAAUGAAACCAUCUUCUCCGCCAUUGAAGAUCGAAACACCAACGAGGCAACGAUAUGGAAGCCAAAUCUGAUUCUUCCUCUUCUUUCCUUCCAGGUGCUCUAUUUGACGCAUGCAUCGUGGAUUUAUUUGUGUUUUUAAUUUACUGAGUAAAGUUCAUCAAGAUCGGAGUGGAUUUUGUUCCAAUUCUGAUUCCAAGCCAUGAACUUUAUCGAGUUCCCAAACAUGAUGAUCAUUAACCCCAAGUUAUCGACUUUGAAUUUCUCUCAUAUUUCUCCUACAGUUCUGAUUUUAUGACUCUACUUAAAAAUAUUUCAGGUAUUAUAAAGAAAUCACUACUCGUCAUCUUCGUUAACGGUUUUCUGGCAUGGGCUUAUCAAGCAGCUUGUCCACCCCCACCCAAAAAAACCGGAUCUCCAGACGGACCUCCCAUUACAAACCCUAGAAUCAAGCUUCGUGACGGAAGACAUUUGUCCUACAGAGAAUAUGGUGUACCCAAAGAAGUCGCCAAAUACAAGAUAAUUUAUGUCCAUGGCUUCGAUUCUAACAAGCAUUUUGCUGUUAUUGCCACGUCAGCCUCCUCGGUAUCGUUUUUUGUUUCUCAUUUAUUAGUUUCGUUACUCGGUUUCUUGAUUGAUUGGUUGAUUUUAACAGGCCCUAAUUGAAGAAUUGGGGAUACAUAUUGUUUCAUAUGAUCGACCCGGUUAUGGAGAGAGUGAUCCAAACCCUAACCAAACUUUAAAGAGUUCGGCUUUGGAUAUCGAGGAGCUUGCUGAUCAAUUAGGACUUGGAUCAAAAUUCUAUGUUGUUGGUUUUUCAAUGGGUGGUCAAGUCGCUUGGACUUGUUUGAAUUACAUUCCCCACAGGUUUUUCAUGGCAAAUUCCGUUUGAAUUUUAUGAAACCCAGAAGGUUGUGAUCUGAUGAUAAUAUGUGAUCAUGGAAAUAGGCUAGCAGGAGCGACUCUUAUUGCUCCUGUGGUUAAUUACUGGUGGCCACGUUUGCCAUUGAAGUUAUCACAAGAAGCGUAUUCGAAGCAGUUUGUGGAAGAUCAAUGGAGCCUACGUGUUGCUCAUUACCUUCCAUGGCUGACAUACUGGUGGAACACUCAGAGAUUCUUUCCUUCUUCCACUCUCAUUGCUAAUAGCCCUGAUAUUCUUUCUCCUCAAGAUAUACAACUUUUGCCCAAAUUUACAGCUGGAAGGGCACCAUUACUUGAGGUACCUGCAAUUUCUUCACCAUCUUAGUUGAUUAAACCCAGAUAGAUGAUAUGAUAUGAUGUAAGUCUUUUUUGUGUGCUGAAAAGGGACAAAUAAGACAGCAAGGAGAAUACGAGUCCCUCCAUCGUGACUUGAAUAUUGGAUUCGGUACCUGGGAAUUCGACCCGAUGGAUAUUGAGAACCCGUUUCCAAACAAUGAAGGAUCCGUUGAUAUUUGGAUGGGUGAUGAUGAUAAAAUUGUGCCUGUGACACUGCAACGUUAUAUUGCUAAACAGCUUCCAUGGAUAAACUAUCACGAGCUCAAGGGUGCUGGUCACUUGUUCCCUUAUGCUGAUGGGAUCAGCGAUGCUAUCCUAAAAGCGCUUCUCCUUGGUAAAAGUUAGCUUUUUGGGCUCGUUUUUUUCGCUAUAUUUAAGUGUUCGGGGUUUGGAAGAUAAUAUUAUUACUUAAUGUUUGUAAGCAAGAUUAUGAGUGUUUGAUCAAAAAAUCGAUGGCUAAGGUUAAUGACAAUCACCAAGAGGUUAUUGAUGGUUAUAAAAGUCAUUGCUCUCUAUCUAUCAAUCACGAUCAUUGUAUGAAUUUCGUCAAUGGUCAAAAUUGAGUUUGGUGGUUUGCUCAUAUAAUUUGGUUUUUACCGAACCAAACAGAAUAUUUAAAAUUGUUUAAAUAAUUUAAGAAAUCAUAAAAGACAACCUCGGGGUACGUUGGUCAUUUUAAAUAUAUUUGAAUUUAAUCAACAUGUUUUAUGUAUAUGCGGUAUAUCCGUGAAUUUCCUUGUGGGAUUUUCAUCAAACCAUAACCACCGUAUCUGUAAUUUACUCAGAAUAUAUUGUUAUAUUACGAAAAUAAAAUAAAAAGAAUAUUGUGAUUUAUAGCAUUUAAGUGUAAAAUUAAUAAGAUUGAAAACAAAAAUAAACUUUAAUGUUUGACAUAAAUGUAAAGUCCUAAAUUCAUGCAAUCUUUAAGGUAUAUAACACGUGGGUAUAAAACCAGUGUAAUUUGGAGCGCCCUCCUGCACCCUUGUGCCUCUGUGUAGUUCCGAUAUGAACUUCCGUAACUUNNNNNNNNNNNNNNNNNNNNNNNNNNNNNNNNNNNNNNNNNNNNNNNNNNNNNNNNNNNNNNNNNNNNNNNNNNNNNNNNNNNNNNNNNNNNNNNNNNNNNNNNNNNNNNNNNNNNNNNNNNNNNNNNNNNNNNNNNNNNNNNNNNNNNNNNNNNNNNNNNNNNNNNNNNNNNNNNNNNNNNNNNNNNNNNNNNNNNNNNNNNNNNNNNNNNNNNNNNNNNNNNNNNNNNNNNNNNNNNNNNNNNNNNNNNNNNNNNNNNNNNNNNNNNNNNNNNNNNNNNNNNNNNNNCCGCCGUCCUCGACGGUGUGGUGCAAGUUGCCCAUUCUUAUAACCGGCCUCCGCCGCGGGAAUCACUCGUCGUGUCGCCGGCAAAAAAUGCUGAUCCUACCACUCCACAACAAGUAAUCAAUUACUACUUCUCUCAUUAUCAAUUAUUUUUGUGUAAAUUACUUAAUUUCUCUUUUUUAACAGGUUCAUAUAUCUUUGGUUGGUGAAGAUAGAAUGCGAAUUUCAUGGAUUACAGAUAUGGAUACUCCGGCCACCGUAUACUAUGGUACAUCUUCCGGGAACUACCAAAAUUCAGCAAACGGCACCGUUUCUUCUUACGAAAUUUUCCAUUACAAGUCUGGUAAAAUACAUGAUGUAGUAAUAGGUCCAUUGGACCAUAGCACUGUGUAUUAUUACUGUUUUACCCCUGGUUCAACGUCGGAGUUCUCUUUCAAGACUCCUCCAAAGCGAUUUCCGAUCAAAUUUGCCGUCUCCGGUGAUCUUGGACAAACAGAAUGGACCAAAUCGACCCUUGAACACAUCUCACAAUCAAACUAUGAUCUGUUGCUUUUACCCGGAGAUCUGUCUUAUGCCGACGCAUUGCAGCCGUUGUGGGACUCAUUCGGCCGGCUGGUGGAGCCGCUAGCGAGCCGACGGCCAUGGAUGGUGGCACAAGGCGACCAUGACAUUGAAAUACUCCCGGACUUCCACCAGAUUCCGUUCACUUCCUAUAAUGCAAGGUGGCGAAUGCCAUAUGAGGAGAGUGGGUCCACGUCUAACCUGUAUUACUCGUUUGAGGUCUCAAAGGUUCACAUCAUCAUGUUGAACUCCUACAUCGAGUUUGACCAUGGUUCGAUACAAUACCGAUGGUUAGAAUCUGAUCUGAAGAAGGUUAACCGGAGCAAAACACCAUGGCUGAUUGUGGUUGUUCAUGCUCCAUGGUUAUAAUUCUUACACUGCUCAUCAUGAUGAGCCGGAGUCAGUCUACAUGAGGAAAUCCAUGGAAGAAUUACUUUUCCAUCAUCGUGUAGAUAUCGUUUUUGCAGGGCAUGUCCAUGUUUAUGAGCGUUUUGUAAGUAUUAUUGUUACUACAAAGUUCAAUCUAAACGAUAAUCAAAUUGAUUAUAUAUAUAAUUUGUAAGGUUAUUUUGCAGAAUCGCGUUUACCAGGAAAAAAUUACGAUUUGUUCCCCGCUGCAUAUCACAAUCGGGGAUGGAGGCAAUAAGGAUUUGCUUGGUGGCAUGUGAGUUGACUCAAAUGUUUUUAUUUUUUUUUCUCUAUUGUAUUAAUUCAGGGAAAACAAGUUUGAGUAUUGAAACAUAAGAAAAUUACCAUUGAUUUGUAAUAGGUUCGUAGAUCCGCCAUCAGAGAUAUCGGCAUUUAGGGAAACGAGUUUUGGGCAUGGAGAAUUUCAUGUGGCAAGUGAAAGUUAUGCAAUGUGGUCGUGGCAUAGAAACGAUAAUGAUGAAUCGGUUCAAUCUGAUUCGCUAUUCAUCCAAAGUCUUGCUACUGAUCCACUUUGUAACAAGGUGCUCGAAAUUUGAAUUUCUUGUUACAUGUUUAAUAUAUCAUUCUUAGCCCUUGAAGGGGUAUUAUUAAGAGUAUGUUUGUUACGUAAUCUAUUAAUUUUUUCGAAUGCUUUUAGAUUGUUUUAUUUUACAAAUCAAAAGUAGUGUACCAAGUAGUUUUUAAAAUGCUAUUUCCACUAACAUUUAAGUAAGUUUAUUGAGUUUUUUUAAUUCACCUAAAUCCACCAUUAUAUUAAUAUUAAAAAAAAUUACAAAUUUAGCCUUUUUUUUGCUAAUUACUUUGCAGAUAAUAGCCAAAAAACCUAAAGUUACAAAAAUAACCACUAAAAUCGCAGAUGAAUUAUGCGAUCUGCGAUUUGACCUUCCAAUUUGCGAAGGUACAAGCUGCUAAAGCAUAGUUGUACAUCAGGGACUUUUACGUUCGCAAAUGGACGCAAAUGGAUUAGUCCAUAUGCUGCCACUUAUAAUUUUGUCUAAAUUUUUUUGGAACAUUCAUUUUUGUUGAUUUUUGUAAGGGAAAACUCUCUCUGCGGGAGCUAUGAAUGAUUUUAACUUUUGAAAUUAUUACUAUUAUUAUGUUUAAAGAUAAAUUGUAUCGAUCUAUAUUUAAAAUUAAUUUUUCUAUUCAAACGCUUGAAUUUAUAAAUCAAACAUUUAGUUAGAUACAUAUCACAUGCAACUACAUAAAACCAACAUAAUCAAUAUGUUUUCGGGAGAGGACAUAGAAUCGUCUAUGGCUCCCUAAGAGAGUUUUCUCCAACAAAAAUAAGAAAAAUGAGUGUUCGAAUUUUUUUUUAGGUAUUUAUACCCUGAAAAAGGCAAAAUCGCAGGUGGUAGCUGCUGGACUAAUCCAUCUGCAAACGUACAAGUCCCUGAUGCACAACCAUGCUUUAGCAAUUUGUACGUUCUUAGAUAGGAAGGUUAAAUCGCAGAUAUGCUUAAUCCAUCUGUGAUUUUAGAGGCUAUUUUUGUAACUUUUUUUUUGCUACUAUCUGCAAUAAAUUUGCAAUUUUCUCCAAAAAAAUCUUAAUCUUCUAAAUGUCUUUUAUAUCAUUUUAUAUAUUUCAGUUAGCUUAUCAACUACAUCAUUUUUUAAAGCUAAAAAUUAAUUUUUGUCAUUAAAUUAGUAGCUAGUUUUUCAGUUAGUCUGUCAAACGUAACCUAAUUACAACAAUUUUAUCAUGUAAAUGACUUUUAUCUUUUGACUUUUGAUCAGGAUUUUAAUCAUUGUUCAUUGAAGCAUCAAACACCCGGUUCAUCAAUUUAGAUCCUCCAACGUUGUCUUCACCCCAACAGUCAUAUUCUUCAUCUAAUCAUCUUUUUUCAAAAGAGAACCCGUAAAACUCUUCCAAUUAUCUACCAAAACCCAAAUUGCACGGGUAAGGCAAGAGAGGUAUGAUGAAAAUAGUGGUAAAAGAUGUAUGAGCUUGAGGUGUUCAAGAUCAUAGCAGAAUAUACAAGAUCAUUGCAACAAGGCCAUCAUCAUUGUUUAAGAUCAUGGAAACUAAUGGAAACUCAGAUUUAGACCUAAAAAUAGAUCGUGCCACCACCAUGUUUUUAUAUUGGUAUUAGUGGAGAUUUGAGAUGUUCUCUCCCAUUAAAGAGGUCAUUGAAAGAGAUAUGUGAAUGGCGAGAUGAGGAUUGUUCUACAAAGGUUAGUAGAAGGCAGUGAGGAUCCUGACCUACAACACAUACCAGUGUUCAUGAUUUUUUCAAAAUGCAUCGACACUCUCAUAUUCAAAUACUACGAAAGAAACUAAUCUUUGAUUCUAUAACCAGGUUCCUUAUUAUCUACCAACAUUUAACAUACUACCCUAUUAUGUGUGUAGCUAGAUUCAACCUAUUUGCUCAAUCUUUCGUGUUGCUUUUAUCAAAUACAAAGGUACCCAAUAUAGGUAGGUCACGAGCUUCUUCUAGUGUUUUGGAUAUAGUACUUUGCCUGUUUGUUGCUUACCCAACUGGAGUGAAAGGGUGAUGUUCGUGGUAGCAAGCUUUUCGGUCAUUAGGAUUCAACAUGUUCAGUUUACUUUAAACCAUUUCUCUUCUAUUGUUCACGUGAACCAAGCGGAAACGAUUGUUUUGAAAAGCAAACAAAUGGCACACUCAACAUCACUUGUUCUUCACUAAUGGACUGGUUUCAAGACGGGCUUUAGUUUUAGAUCGAGCAUCAUCUUUUCCAAGAUUGAUAAGAUGUCACUACAGAAAAAUCUCUUUGAUUGUUAAGGAUUUAUGUAAGAAACAUGGGUUGCCUUAUGAGAGAUGGAAACUUCAAAAUAAGACGACGAUGUAGAAGAAGAAGACCACAAGUGUUACAGGUGGUGGAAGGGGUGAAUCUGGUCAUGGGUUUAUAGGAGAAACGAGAGAUGGGUCAUGUCAAAAGAGGUGUGGCUUUUUCAAAGUCAAAGUCUAUGUGACAAAUGGGUAACCGGGUUACCCCUUCCGUUUGUUCAAAGUGGCCAAAUAGACCCCACAAAAACAAGUUUAUUCAUUCAUAAAGUACGAAAAUAAGUUAAGGGAAAAAAGAACAAAUGUGCAGUACAUUGUAGGUCUAAUGUGUCAUUCUCCCUAAUAAAAAUUCAACCAAUCCAAUCCCAUUACUAUCCAAUUUGACCUAUCCCAAUUAUAAUCCAAUUAGUAUCCAGUUUCAAUUAUCAAAAACGAUUAAUACAGAUAUUUAAUAUACUUAUAAAUUUGAUGAAAUUUGGAUGGAUCCAAUCCGAUGGAAAUUAGAUGAAACUUUGAUAUAUUGGAUGUCCAAUAUUAAAUAUCCAACGAAUAAAACCAAUCCAAUUUAAUUUUUAAUUAUAUAGGUUCGAUUCAGUUGUACAAUUGUAUUAGAUCGGUUGUAUAAAAAAUAUGAGGAUUUCCAAUGGUGAACAACCCUACUUUAUAUAUUUGACAUGAAAAUCAUUAAAUGCACUAUAUUGUCACGAUACAUAAUAGUGGCUUUAGGAGGCGGGGAGUGAAGCUCUCUAAGGAAAUUAAGUAAUCUUCAACAACAUUGACGAACCAACGAUAUUUGGCUUCUGGACCAGGAGAUGGCACUCCUUCUCUUAGAGGACCGGUCUAUAAGAUUUUGCAAAGAACACAAUAUCCUAGAAGUAGAUUGUUUUAUUGUUGGAUAUAUUCUCAUAUGUCGUAUUAGAGUACGAUAUUCAUAGAAGUAGAAGUGAGUAUCUAGAGCCAGAGGUUAAUAGUUCCAAUACAUAUUGUAAAAUGUGCUUAAGAACGCCAACACGGGCCUCAAGAAAAAUCAUUCAUAAAGAGACAUCUAUGAACAUAAGUAAGAUCUAGUCUGGUAAAGGUAAAGGUACUAAAGUUUGUUGUGAUGAGGACAUUGUACAGAACACAACAGUUUCAUCAUGUUCUCAAAAACUUAAAUAGCUAGUAACAAACCCCCAAAAAAGCAUAUUUUAAUCUAAUUUUUACCAAUAAGUAGUUCUUUUAAGAUCUCGUCACUGAUCCCAUCAGCAUAAGGAAACAUAUGACCAGCACCCGUGAUCUCAUGGUAUUUUAUCCAUGGAAGUUGUUGGGCAAUGUAACGUUGCAGUGUCACAGGCACAAGUAUAUCUUCAUCACCCAUCCAAAUAUGAACGGAUCCUUCAUUAUCCGGAAACGGGUUCUCAAUCUCCAUCGGGUCAAAUUCCCAAGUACCAAAUCCAAUAUUCAAGUCACGGUGGACAGAUUCAUAUUCUCCUUGCUGCCUCACUUGUCCCUUUUCAACACACAAAAAAAACAGUAACAUUAGAUUCAUAUUCUCCUUCCAUGGCAUAAAAGAAUCAAGUAAUUGUAAUUGAAAGUACCUCAACUGCUGCUCUGCCAGCUGUAAACUUUGGCACGAGUUCUUUAUCCUGUCUGGAAAGAAUAUAAGGGCUAUGAGCAAUAACAGUUAGAGAAGGAAACAGCUUCUGAGUGUUCCACCAGUAUGUUAAUGAUGGAAGGUGAUGAGCAACACGCAGACUCCAUUGAUCCUGAAUGAAUUGUUUUGAAUACGCUUCUUGUGAUAACUUCAAUGGCAAACGUGGCCACCAGUAAUUGACUACUGGAGCUAUAAGAGUUGCUCCUGCUAACCUGUGAGGAAUGUAUUUCAAACACGACCAGAUCACUUGACCUCCCAUUGAAAAACCAACCACAUAGAAUUUUGAUCCGAGUCCCAAUUGAUCACCAAGUUCUUCGAUAUCCAAAGCCAAACUCUUCAAAGUUCGUUUAGGAUCUGGAUCGCUCUCUCCAUACCCGGGUCGAUCGAAUGAAACAAUAUAUACUCCUAAAUCUUGAAUUAGAUCCUGUGAAGUCAACGAAUUGAUCAAGAAACACAAUAGCGAAACUAAUGAAUGUGUAACAGAAAACGAAGAAAUCAUACUGGAGAGGCCGAUGUGGCAAUAACAGCGUAAUGCUUGACAGAAUCGAAUCCAUGGACAUAGAUGAUUUUGUAUUUUGCGACCUCUUUUGGUACUCCAUAUUCUUUAUAGGACAAAUGUCUACCAUCGCGAAGCUUGAUUCUUGGGGUUGUAAUGGGAAGUCCGUCUGGAGAUCCGAGUUUGAUGGGUUCGGGUGGACAAGCUGAUUGAUAAGCCCAUGCUAGAAACCCGAUAAUGAAGACUAAUAGUAUGAAAAACCCUGAAAAAUUCAGCAAUUGAUGCGAGUUUGAAUAAGUAGAAAGAGAAUUAGAUUAUUAAUUGAUUGAAACUGGAGUAGGUAGCUACUUGUGUGUAUAUCUUAAUUACUAGUUCAAUCCUUAUUUGAUUUUAGUUGCUCAAAACAUAUGCUAUGAGUGUAAAUGGUAUAUUAUCCGAAUACCUAACCUAAAUUGCAGAUAAAAAAAUUAACUGAUUUGACCAAAAAAAGUCAGAAAUCAAAUCUAUAUUAAUGCAUAAUGAACCCAUCUGCUAGAAAUUGAAUUCAAGCAAAAUCAGAAUUACAGUUCGGAAUUAAAAGCUUCGAUUCCAAAGGGUAAUUAAAGUCUGUAAGUUUUGAUAACGAGAAGUAGAUGGGAAUAGAGCACCUGAAGGGAAGGAAGAGGAAGAAUUGGAUUUGGAAUUCCUGGUAUGGGACCUAGCUGAUGCUGCUGAAAUCUUCCUCUUUACCUCCGCUGCCAUUGUUGUUGUUUCUUCGAUGGCUGAAUAGGAUUGAGAAAGAGAAGAUGCUUUGAUUCACAUCAUCACAUGGAAGCGCUGUAGUCAAACUCAUUGACAACAAAUGUGGCGGAAAACGAUUGAAAUUAGGUAGCAUUGUAAAUUUAAUUUGGGAUUCUUUUAUGAAAGUUAAAUUAAUCUGUCCUCAUGCAUGGUAAUAAAAUAUUGAUUUUGUAUAUACUUUUAGUUAUUAUUAUUUUUUUCUUUUGUAUGAUUUUUAUGAGAAAAUUAUAAAUUUAGUCAUUUUCCUUGAUUAAUUUGCGAAAAAUAACAAAAAAAAAAUCAAAAUUAUAAAAUUAGCUACCAAAAUCGUAAAUGGAUUAGAGUCAUCUACGAUUUCAGCAUUUGAUCUACGAAUGUACAAGUGUUUAAAGUGUGGGCGUGCAUGUUAGUUGUACGUUCAUAGAUGGAUUUUGUUAAUUGAUCUACGAAUGUACAAGUGUUUAAAGUUUGAGCUUUCAUUUUGCAAAGUUUUUAUCGGGAGAACUCUCUCUGGAGGCGAAAAUCGAUAGCUAUGGAACAUUUCAUGUAAAAUCGUAGUCAAACCCUAUCAUUUUCAUAAUCAAAAUUAUUUAAAAAUAAUAAUAAAAUUACAUAAAAUCGCAGAUGAAACAUCAGAGGAAAUCAUAGAUGAACUAAGUUCACCUGCGAUUUCCUCUAAUGUUCCAUCUGCAAACAUACAACUGCUAAUACACGCCCACACUUUAAACAUUUGUAUAUUCACAUAACAUAUGCCAAAAUCUUAGAUGACUCUAAUCCAUUUACGAUUGUGGUGACUAAUUUUGUAUUUUGGUUUUUUUAGCUAUUUUUUACAAAAUAAUUAAGAAAAAUUGUUAAAUUUAUAAUUUUCUCUACGUUUAUUGUUUAAAACAUUAUUUUUAUAUGAUAUUGUAAUUCUAGUGGUUUAUCUAUUUAAAAGAAACACCAUUUGUUGUUGGAUAAACAUUAUUAAACUCAAAUUUUUGUACAUUGUUUCCUAAUAAAUUGUCUUUUAUACAUAUUUUUAUCUUUUCCAAAACAUCAUCAUUUUUCGGUCAUAUUCUUCCGCUAAUAGAAUUUCAAAAAAGCAGAAAAUACUUUUUUAGGUGUCCAUUAAAAAAAAACAUCACAAAGUGAAAGUGCACAAUCUCCUCGUUCUCCUAUCUGGUGCUAAGUGUGUAGGCGAUAAGUCAAUUUCCUUUUUUGUGUGUCCGACAUUCUAAAUCACCUCCAUAAUACUUCCUAUGGUUUCUUACUUUCUUUGGUUCCUUACAUAACCAUUAGUUUUCACACAUCAUUAUCAUUAUCAUACAUACUUAUAAAGCUAACAUUUUUUCUUGAAUUUCAUGCAUUUGAAACCCCCUUUUUUAACUUUCUCAAACCACAUUCAUUUGAAACCCCCUUUUUUAAGUAAUGCAACUCAAAAGUUUUCUUAAUUAAUAUAACACUCAAAAGUUGUAUAACUUAUAUUAUGUUUAAUUAACAUUUAGUGAAAAGUUUACUAUAAAAAGACAAAUCUUUUGUGUUAUAUAAAAUCUUACAUGUAAGAAGGAUUUGAAGAUGUUGUGAUUCAAAAGUUUUCAUAUAGUUGAAACAUUUAUGAUCCAAAUAUGAUGAUUUGAAGAAAUGAGUUAUGUCACAUCGAUGGUAAUUGUAUUAUGAUUUUUUCUUUUCAACCAAAACAAAUGAAACUUUUCUAUUCUUUCUUUAUAUUCAGUUUCUCAUUUAAUCUUUAUAUGUGAUUUGUGUGUAUUACUCAAUCUUGAAUGUGACUCUCCAAACAUCAAUGUUUUGCUUGGAAUAUCUUUCUGAUUCUUCUUUUUCAAGAAAAAUAUUUUGAAUGCAGGUUAGUGAAGAAUUAUCAUCAAGUUUCUAUGGUUGAAUGGUGUUAAAUGAAGAAAAAAGAUUCAUAAAAUGGAUAUAAGUUUUUUUGUUUGAGCAAAGUUGAUGAAUGUUAGUUUUUUCUUUUGAUUUAAAUGUAUGUUUAUGUAAUAUUUUUAUUUAUAUAUUCAACCACCCAAUGCUCUUAUUUAUUUGAUUGUAGUUUUUCUAUUUUGAUUAUGUUUAUUUUAUAUUAUUUUUUUGUUGGCUUACACAACAUAUUUAAAAGACAAAAUAAUUUUGAAUAUUUGAUAUGUAAUUACGAUAGACUUAUCAUGAUAUGUUCUUCAUAUGAAAGUAAUUUAUCAAUAUUACUACCACAAGAAUUACAUAUGAUAUUUAUGAAAAUAUAUAUAUAUUAUAUGUGAUUUGUUUAACAUGUAUAUGCACCCUAUGUAUGUUAUAAAUUUAUAAUUAAAUAUCUUUAUGUUUGAUAAUUGAAGGGAUUAAAAUGAUGCAUCAAAAUCAAUUAUCUAGACGAAAAUAAUAAUAAUAAUAAUAAUAAUAAUAAUAAUAAUAAUAAUAAUAAUAAUAAUAAUAAUAAAUAUACAUUUAUAAGUACCGCAUUCAUUUGAAACUCACACUACAACUCAAGAGUUUUCUAAUUUAUGUAUAUUUAUUAGUUAAAACUCAAGAGUUUUUAACUUAUAAUUAUUAAUUAGUAAUCACUAAUAACUAUUUAUUUCCUUUCUUUUAUAAGGUUGUAAAGUUUUGCUCAUUAAAAACAUUAUUGUAUUUGAAAAGAUUUAUGAUUUAAAUAUUAAGAGUUAAUAUAAAUGUUAUAAUAUAUGUUUUAGUGUUUUUAUGUUAUUAAAACUUAUAGUGUUUAUUUUUCAUAUUUUUUAUUAUUCGUUGUUUAUAUAUCUUUUUUAAUACAAAUGUUAUAAUAUAUGUUUUUCUAUUUUUAUAUUACUAACAGUUGCAGUUCAUAUUUUUGUUCAUACGUUUUGUUACCCGUUAUAUUAUCAUUCAUUUCAUAUAUAAUUGACACAAUUUUAAAUGGUUUAUAAAAUUAUCAAAUAAUUGUAUAUAUCAAAAUGACUUAAAAGGUAAACUAUAAUGUUUAAUAAAACUAAUAUGUUAACUGUAUGUUUGCUUUACUACUAACAUUUUGUUUCAAAGUAGAAAUAUUAAAUAAUAAUUUGGUAAAAGUUAUUAUUUUAACUAUAUAAUUUUAUUCUCGCGCAACGCACGCGGAUUCGUUUAGUAUACUUAUAAAGAAAACAUUUUUCCUUUUACCACAUUCAUUUGAAACUUCCAUUCAUUUUUCUUUCACCACAUUCUUUUGAAACUCCCAUGACUUUUCAAUUUCUUUCUAAUAAUGAUUAUAAGUUGGUUAAUAAGGUUAAAUAAAUAUAAAACUUAAAGUGUAAUCAUAUAUAAACUAAAUUGCAAUAUAAAUAGAAUAUAUUUUUCUACUUAUAAAUUAUGUUUUUAAUUUUUAACAUAUUAUACUUAAUUUAUUAGGUCUAAUGUGACAUCCCCAAUUUCACGGCCAGAAAAGACCGAUUUGUUUAUGCUUUGUUUUAUAAAAUCAGAGUAAUCUUUUAAAGAAAACAGUUGCAGAAUUUGUUCCCAAAACAAAAUAUGAUAAAAAUUAUCAAAGCAUUUCUUUAAAGAAAUGUAUUUUCAUUAUAUAACAAAAUCUCGGGAUGUCAUGUUCAAUACAGACCAAAAGCAUAAACAGAACAAAAUAGACCUUACAACAGUUAUUCAUAACUACUGGCCUAUAAUCCAAAAUCUCUCGUCAAGUCCACCAACUUAUACUCUCGUGCCAAUACUUGUAAUGCAAAGAAAACUGAGUGGGUCAGGCUUGGGAGCCUGGUGAGCAUAUAAGGUUUUCAACCCACAAUAAUAUAAUUAUUAUUUUUAAUUAUCAAACAAUCAGUUCAAAUAUCCACCCCCAUUAUCUCCAUUUAUGUCUUAAAGAUUUAUCCUAAGAACCGAUUACCCCUCUCCCAUUCAUUCCUAAGGAUUACCCUAAGGAACUGGCACAAAGUCUAGUGCUGCCAAGGUUCUUAGAUUACCUCUGGUGAACACGCAAUUCACAAUAAUUAAUGAACACCUAGUUCAAGAACACCUAAUGAACAUUUAGUUCCAAUAUUACCCAAUGAACACCUAGUUCACAAACACUUAAUGUAUACUUAGUCAAAUAUCCCUGAUGAACACUAAGUUCAAAUAUCUAAUGAACACUUAGUUCGAAUAUCCCUGGUGACCCCAAUCACCUAAGGAACAGAGAGAAUGAAAGCUCUUAGUUCAUACAAUAUUAUAAUAAAGUAUAUCUCGAUCCUGCGAAACCACUAAUGUUAUAAACAUAUAUAAAUUAUAUUUCUAAAACAAUAUAUCCCCUCUCGCCGAUCCCCACAUACUGACCCUAUACGAUGAUCUUACGAGAUCUAGCCUAAGGAAUUGAUAUGAACCACAAACUGACGAAGUUGCUUCGGAAAUUCCCUGGCAGCAAACGAGGAUCAAUAAAGACAUCAAAUAAGGGGAAUGGAAUAAGUUUCACCACGAACCUUCGUUCGUAAAAGAAAGAACCACAAGACAUUUUAAGUCAGGGGUAGUUAUCUAGAUAAUAAUGCCUAGGCGUGGUCCGACUAUCAUGAGGUAUUAUACCCCCAGACUCUACCUAUCCCAACAUCGAACUUUGCCUAACAGUGGCCUGAAUACAUGAGGUAUUUCACCCCCAGACGCACCUAGGCCUGUCAAAUCGGGCCGUCGUGUCGUGUUUUUGUCUGACACGACACGACACAACAAUGUUUUUUGUAACACGAACACGACACGACACGAUGUCGUGUUUUUUUCACCAACACGAAAACAAACCAAUUAAAAAACGACAACACGACACGACACGACAAAGAUAAUAUUACAUAACUGUUAUUUUAUUUAAUUCAUAUUUAAUCAUAUAUACCACGAUAAAAACGAAAAACACGAAAAACAUGACAAACACAUGCUCAAUUGUGUCAAUUUCGUGUGGAUUUGUAAACACGAACAUGACACGACACGAAAACGAAUUCGAAUUUUGAUUUCGUCCCAAUUUCNCCAGCAUCGAACUUUGCCUAGCAGUGGCCUGAAUACAUGAGGUAUUUCACCCCCAGACGCACCCUAUCCAGCAAUAUAACACCAGACAUACCUAUCAGUGGUCUAUUACCGACACACUUUAUUAGGCAGUCUACGAAGUUCCCUUAAUUACUUCGUGAAAGAAAACGCUGACAUAUGAAGCUCGGUCGAUCACUUCAUAAAAGAAACGCUGACUCCAAAGCUCUCUCAAAAUAAAAGUAUGGGGAAAUACUACUAGAGUACUCUCGUACGCUCCCGUAGCCGACACACAAAAUUGUCAAAAAGACUUUGUACAUGAUAGUACUUCUGGCACAUUAUAGUACUCUGGUAUGCGAAAGAAUCGUACCCGAGAACAUAAUAGUACCCUGGCACAAGCAGCACCCAAGACACAAAGCUUUGAAAAAGACUUCGUACAUAAAAUGUACUUCUAUACGUAGGACGUACUCCACCGAUUAUCAAUCUCACAACACACGUACUCUUAAUAAGAGGCUACCCAAUGUCCAAACUUAAUUGAACUAAACAUCUCAAUUUAAGUCUUAACCCAUCACUAGGCAAGCCUACAAUGCUUGUAAUCAAUUUUCGAUAUUAACUCCGUUUAGGCAAUGCUAACUAGUGUAUACUUAACACAGAGUUUUAAGUAAUAAUAUCAUAUAUUCACAUCUUAACACAUAUUGAACCAUAACUGAUUCGCACGGUGUAUAUCAUCAAAUAUAUCUAACCCGUAUUUCGGACAAUAACAAAUACUUUACAUACAUAUGUAUAUUUCAUACUUUAAUCAAUACACGUAUAAAAUUCACGUUCCUAAAAGGGAUUAUACGCAUGAUACCUUAUCGUAUGAACAUAUAAUUCAAAAAUACAUAAUCCGUACUCUCGGAUCUAAAAUUUACCUCCUUACCUAAUCCAUAUUCCCAGAUCUAAAACUAACCUCUUGAUUUGAUCCAUACUCUCAGAUCUAAAACUAACCUCCUGACCUGAUCCAUACAUCCAAAUCUAAAACAAGUUUAUCUCUUUACCCUUUUAUCUCCUGGUCCAACCCAUCUUUUAUCACCUACCAACAACCUCAUCUACUCAUGUUCUACCCAACAUAUUUUUAGAUACAAAAUACAUAUAUAGUUUAACUCAUUAAAACUUAUAUAAUUUAUCCAUUCCACAAUCAUCUCGAAUAAACAACGAUAUAUUAUACACAUAGCACGUAUAUCAUAGCAAAUACUUAAUAUUUAUGUGUAAGAAGAAAGUGACUAUACACUCACUUGAUUAGAAGAUGAUCGGACCGCACUACGACUUGUAGAAGUAGUAUUCUUCGGUAGAUCUGGAAGAUCUUCACAAAAACCGGGCUUCUCGCAGGCAAAGCUUCGGCUCGGAAAUCUCACUUCUCGGGAUCUUCGGGACUUCAGAACUUGCUUCGGGGCUCGGGAAUGAUAUCGGGGCUUCGGGAUAUAAUUGGCACGCAAAACGAUGCAAAACAUAUAGAGAAAGGAAGAAAAAUGGCAUAGCAAAUGGCUGAUCUCGGUUUCUAUUUAUAGGCUGCUGGGUCUGGGAUUACGCUGGGCGUAAUUUUGAAGUACGUUGGGCGUAAUCUUCGGAUAAGCUUUGGUAUGCGUGCCACGAUCUUCAAAAAUUCAUAACUUUCGCAUACGAGCUCCGUUUUCGACGUUCUUUAUAUCCCCGCAUAGGUGAGAUUAUGCUCUACAACUUUCAUUUAGACUCCGUUGGCUAAUUUUGACUUUAUUUUUAUUAUAUUAUUUUUAGUAGGCCGGGACAGGAAAACUCCGUUAUAAAUUCAUAACUUCUUCAUCCGACGUCCGUUUUCACCUAUCUUUUUAUCGUUUCACUACAAUUGACGAGAUCUUCGAUUCUCAUUUAGAUUGUUUCGGAUAAAAACCGCUCGAUCUCAAAUCGAGUAUUCGGGCUGCAUACUGCUAAGCUGAAACUUAGAAAAAUCAUAACUUCUUCAUACGAAGUCAGAUUUGGAUGUUCUUUUUAUACACGCUCACGCUUUAACGAACUCUACGACUUUCGCUUAGAUCUCUAAGGCUAAAUAUCGCUCUAACGUAAAUUCACCAUUUACGUCGCGUUGUGUCGUGCCGGUUCUGUCGCAACACUUCGACAGGUCAUAACUUCUUCGUUAUAACUUGGAUUUCGGCGUUCUUUAUAUGUACAGAAACCUUGUAACAUAUACUAUAACUUAGUUAAGAUUAUUCAUUCUAAAUAAUCUUUCAUUAAAAAUCCAUUUUUUGACGCCUAUCCUCUCUAAAUUGACAAGCCCGGAUCUACGGGUGUUACAUCUAAUAUGUUGUUGUAUGUAACCAUUGUCAUUUCAAAGCUACAAAUUUUGAACAAUUUGUAUAAAAUACUUAAAUAGUUAAUUUAAAUAUAACCUUACAGAAUCAACUUAAAUAUAAGUUUUAGUUCAACUUAAAUAACCUAAAGAAUAUUUUAUAAAUAGUUAAUAGUGAUAAUUUGUAUUGUCUUUCUAAUAAUGAUUAUAAUUUGGUUAAUAAAGUUAAAUAAGUAUCAAACCUAAAGUGUAAUCAUAAAUAAACUAAAUUUCAAUAUUAAAAUAAAAUUUUUACUUCUACUUAUAAAGUUACGUCUUUAACUUUUAACAUAUUAUACUUAAUUUAUUAGAGUUAAUAUGUUGUUGUCUAUAAACCAUUAUUAGUUUCAAGCUACAACUUUUGAACAAUUUAGACAAAUUACUUAAAUUGUUAAUUUAAAUAUAACAUUAUAGGGUCAACUUCAAUAUAAAUUUCAGUUCCACUUAAAAAAAACACAAAGAAUAUUUUGUGAAUAGUUAAAAGUGAUAAACUGUAUUGCCAAAAUGUAAAAACUAAAUUGUAAUAUCAAUUUAACUAAAUUGUAAUAUCAAUUUAACUAAAAUAUUUUCUAAAGAUAUUUUUAUAAUCGUUAAAAGUUUGCAAAUAAAUAGCUUAAAAUAACUUACAAUAACUAUAGUUAAAAAUAACUAUAUAUAAAUGAUUAUAUUGUUACCUUUAAAAUCAAAAAAAUUGUUUGAUGUUUUAAAUAAUUACAAUGAUAGAAAUUAAAACUUUAAGCAAAUAAAUUUUAAAAAAUUAAUUAAAAAUAACAAAAACUAGAAAUAACAUUAAACCAUAUAUUAUAUUUAAUUUUAUUCAUUUGUAACCCGCGGGUAGAGGUCAUUCAAAAGAUUAAGAUUAUAUAGUUUUAAUAGAUUUAUAUAUUAUCAUAUAAUCAAAAUAAUUAGUAUAUUAUAUCUACUUAGUAUACAAAUUAUUAUAUAAAAUUUAACAACAACAUUAUUGUUAUAUUUAAAAAAAAACAUAUGUUUGGAAGAUUUUAGCUAUAUAAAUGCUUCUGCGUAACGCACGGGCAUUCACCUAGUUUUAUUAUUAUAAGACCAUACAAUAUACUCAUCACACGUUAUGUGUAUGUGGUGCUGACUUUGCAUGCUUGGCCAUGUAGAUACACCACCCCCUACCGGUGUGGUGAUGAUAUGGAGGCUUGUUGGCAUGGAAGGUUGUGGCCUCAACCAUUCNNNNNNNNNNNNNNNCUCUCUCUCUCUCUCUCUCUCUCUCUCUCUCUCUCUCUCUCUCUCUCUCUCUCUCUCUCGUGAUGGAGAGAUUUGUGUUGAAGGUGGUAUAGUGUGGUGAGUAUACCUCAUCGCCUAACACUUAAGCAUUAUGCUUUUAUUGUAAACUCUUAAGUGUUUGAUUCAUGAACCCAUAAGCUACUGCUCGAUGAGUCCUAGAUCUUUUUGUGAUGGUUGUCACCAAAGUGGGAAAGAUUAAUACAAAAUGAUAUUUACUCUAAAUGAUUAUAGAUGUUAUUAACUAAAAAGAUAUUCAUAGCAAAUUUUUAAUUUAAUUAUACUCAAGAUUCGAUAAUCAAUAUAUGACUUCAACAAUAAAAUUCAAACCAAAAAAACUGAAAAUGAACAGUUAAAAAUCCCAAACCCGAUAGAUAAAACCCAAAUACAAACCAAAAAAUGACCGUCCAAAAUAGGUCUGGUCAGAUGGGAUCGGUCUUCAUAAAGACAGGAAAAAAAAAAGGUCGUUUAGAGUGCGUUUGGUUUUUUAAAAGAAAUUUAGUUUUCCAUGAAAAUUUUCAAAUGAAAAUGAAAUUUUCAAAAUGUUUGGUUGAUUCAAUUUUAAAUUUUUUUCCAAGAAAACAAAACUUUUCUGUUUUUCAAAUUGUAUGUAAAUUAAAAAAGUGAUUUUUAAAGUUUUCUAAAUAUUUAAGAUGGAAAAUGGAAACUCCAUCCAUCACAACAAACACGUUUUCUAAAAAUUUAUUUGAAAACUGAAAAUAAAAACUCUGUUUUCUGAAAACAUUUUCUUAGACAAUGAAAACAGUUUUCCACAACCAAACGCAUCUUAGAGACUGAAUUUGUGCACCUCUAGGGUAGACGAACAGGUUCAAUCUGAUCUACUCCGGAGUAUGGAUCCAAAGCCUCCCCUCUGAUCCAAUAUUAAAUAAGCUUGAUAUAUAUAAAAAUGAACUACCAACAAUAUAUUUCAUCAAUCACUCUCAACCCCAAAAUUAAAUGUGGUUAUAAAUUUAUAAUAUCAAAUACAACAGUUUAAUUUACACAAAGGACAUCAAAAUACCCAAAGAAUAAAAACUUCAAAUCAAAUUUUUACUCUUACAAAAAUACCCAAAUUUUUACUCGUACAAAAAAUAUUUGAAUCUAAAUUUUACCAAGAAGAAGUUCUUUUAGGAUCUCAUCACUGAUCCCAUCAGCAUAAGGAAACAUAUGACCAGCACCCUUGAGCUCAUGAUACCUUAUCCAUGGAAGCUGUUGGGCAAUAUAACGUUGCAGUGUCACAGGCACAAUCUUAUCAUCAUCACCCAUCCAUAUAUCAACGGAUCCUUCAUUUUCCAGAAAUGGGUUCUCAAUAUCCAUCGGGUCGAAUUCCCAAGUACCAAAUCCAAUAUUCAAGUCACGAUGUAUAGAUUCAUAUUCUCCUUGCUGUCUUACUUGUCCCUUUUCAACACACACAAAAAAAGUAACAUUAGAUUCAUAUUCUCCUUCUUAAAAUGGUCAAGUAAUUAGAUGUUUGGAUGUGUGAUUACUUAAAUGAGUACCUACCUCAAUGGGUCCCCUGCCAGCUGUAAACUUGGGAAUGAGUUCCAUGUCUUGCUGAGAAAGAAUAUCAGGGCUAUGAGCGAUAGCUUUGUAAGAAGGAAACAGCUUCUGAGUGUUCCACCAGUAUGUUAAUGAUGGAAGGUGAUGAGCAACACGUAGACUCCAUUGAUCCUGAAUGAAUUGUUUUGAAUACGCUUCUUGAGAUAGCUUCAAUGGCAAACGUGGCCACCAGUAAUUAACUACUGGAGCUAUAAGACUUGCUCCUGCUAGCCUGUGAGGAAUGUAUUUCAAACAAGACCAGAUCGCUUGACCUCCCAUUGAAAAACCGACUACAUAGAACUUUGAUCCGAGAUCUAACUGAUCAGCAAGCUCCUCGAUAUCCAAAGCCGAACUCUGUAAAGUUUGGUUAGGGUUCGGAUCACUCUCUCCAUAACCAGGUCGAUCGAAUGAGACAAUAUGUAUCCCCAAUUCUUCAAUUAGGGCCUGUUAAAAUCACAACCAAGUAAUCAAGAAACGGAAUAACGAAACUAAUGAAUUAGGAACAAAACACGAUACCUACCGGGGAGGCUGAUGUAGCAAUAACAGCAUAAUACUUGAUAGAAUCGAAUCCAUGAACAUAAAUAAUCUUGUAUUUGGCGACCUCUUUUGGUACACCGUAUUCUUUGUAGGACAAAUGUCUUCCAUCACGAAGCUUGAUUCUAGGUGUUGUAAUGGGAAGUCCGUCUGGAGAUCCGAGCUUCUUGGGUUGGGGUGGACAAGCUGAUUGAUAAGCCCAUGCCAGAAACCCGAUAAUGAAGACUAAUAGUAUGAAAAACCCUGAAAAAAAUUUGGUGUUUGGAUUAGUUCUUAUGAUUCAUAAUUGACAAUUUGACAUGAUGAUUAUUUGAUUUGAUGGAAACAUUGCUGUGAUUAAAUUGCAUUUCAGAAAUCAAAUUAGAAUUAAUGCUCGACGGACCCAUCUCUUGAUUUCAAUCAAAAUCAAUAUUACAGUUCGGAUGUUAAAAGGUUCAAUUCCGAUCGGGAAGUUCAUGAUUUUACGGUUUUCUAAACUUCUACCUACAUAUGUGAUAUCUUUUAGGAUCUUAAUUGAAGGAAAUCCAAGUUGACAAUAUUCAUUCAUUGGCACACAAACACUUCGAUUCGGUAAAAUCGCCAACGAAUCUAUAACGAAUGUAUCAAAUAGUGAAGUCUGUAAGCUUGAAAAAAAAAUGGUGACAAGUAUAUGAGAAUAGAGCACCUGACGGGAAAGAUGAGGAAGAUUUGGAUUUGGAUUUCCUGGUAUGCGACCUUGCUGAUGAUGCUGAAAUCUUCCUCUUGACUUCCCCUGCCAUUGUUGUUAUUCAAUGGCGGAAGAGGAGGAAAAAGAAGAAGAUGCUUUGAUUAACUUGGAAUUUGGAAAGAGUUGUAUACAAAGUCUUUGACAAAAUGUGGACGAUUUUCGUGGGACAUAGUUGACUCUCGGACUUUUCUUGGGCCUAUAUAGCAACAGAUGGAUCGGUUUUUAACCGAUCACAAACAAAGACCGAUACAUUCCUAGUUUAAAAUGAGAUCGGAUCGUAAAACCAAUCUCAAAAAUUAUGGAUUGAUCUAAGACCAAUCUCACAAAAUUCACAUUUGUUAAUCACGCAUUCCCUAUUUUUUAAUUAAAUUUUAAUGUAUCAUUUUAGUAAAUCUUAAUAUAUCAUUUUGGCGUUAAUGAAACAGUGGAAAAACCUGAAAUCGAAAACGGAUCGAAAACCUCCAAAAUUGAACCGAAAUAGAUCCAAAAAAAUAUUAUCAUGAAAACAUCUAGGACCUAUCAGGAAAAACCUAAAUUGUAAGAUCACUACUAAGGCUAAGGGGAGUGAUAACACUUCUAGCACUUUAACAUGUAAGAUUUUUUAUCGCUACAUAGGUUUUUAUAUUGCCAAGUAAGCUUAGCAUGUAUAGGUUAAAAAGAGUAAGGAGUAGUAGUGAGAGGAAUUUAAUUGGUUUUGUUUUGAAAAAAAAAUUAAAAGAAAAUAAUCUCAACCAAUCACAGCCCAUUUUUUCUUCUCUCUCUUUUCACUACUAUAGUAGCGUUUCUUAUUUAACGAGUAUCUUAGUGACUUAUAAGGGAUGGUUUAAAGAUUGAUAACAUGUGUUUUGGCGAGGGGGUGAUGAGGCCACUCCCUCAAGCCUAAAAAUAUAGGAUCGUUCUGAGAAGGCUCCUGGACUGUUAAUGUGUAGGUUUAUUCUUAGCUAGUAUUUUUGAGAAUCAAAAAAACCAUGAAAACUUAUCGGUUAUUCUUUUGAGAAAAUUAUAAAAAAUGAUCGUUGUGAUUUGCAAUUGAUUGUGGCUAAACUCCAAAAAAAACUCUUAACUUGCAAAAAUAGUCAUUCUGGUUUGGCUGUAGAAGACUAACAUUAAUAUCCAUUUGUUUUAAGACCAAUAAAUAAAAAUUACUAUUUUGUUUUUAUUUUUAAUCUUAUUGAAUUAUUAAUCGUUAAUUAACAUUGUUUCUAUUUUAAUACCUCCUAUAUUUCCUCUCAUGUCCUCCUACUUAUUGUUUUAAUCUUGCUACAAGUUUGGUCCUUAUAUACAAGUAGAUUUGGAAUUAUGUUUUCUUUGGGGAUGAUUUGUCUCACGGUAAUGGAAUUCAAUGUGAAUUUAAUUAUAGGUUGACUUUUUGAACAUUUGACAUGAUUAUUGUUCUUAAAGCAUAUUUUGAAGAUGGUUUUGGAUUAAGUUGGUAUUGGUGUUCUUUACUAAUGAACUGAGUGAUGGAAUCCUGUGGUUUAUGUGAAUUUAGUUAUCUAGGUUUUUUUGCUUUAACUUUUUGGUCCUUAUCAUUCAUUUUGUAACUUUACAACUUGUGGGGAACCUUCUAUGGGUUUAUCUUAGGUUGAGAAUUGAGGUUUGUUGGUAUUUUUGUAGCAAUUGUAGAUGAUGUUCAAUGGGUAUUUGGUCGGAAUCUCGAUGGGAAAAAUAAGGUCGUCGUAGGAAAGUGGUGACAGGAGGAACUAAGAGAGAAUAAGGAGCGGUGACUAGACGAAAGGAGAUAGAUGGUAUGGGUGAGUUGAUGGGUUAAUGACUUAAGGAACGAGGUCCACUUGUAAUUCAGUUAUAAUAAUAAACAUAUUAAAAAAUAAUUAAAGAUCUAAAAGGAGGAUAUAUUUAUUAAAAUCGGUGAUGAAAUCCACAAUCAAACACUAUAGUUAAAAGAUUUUUGGACCUUAACUUGCUUUGGUGAUAGCUCUCAAGCCACUUAGUAAGAAUUAGGUGCAGAUUUAAAGAGUUAAAAAAAACCAUAUAUGUGUGCAUGUGUAUACAUGUAUGUGUAGGGUGUGCAUGGACAUGUAGGCAUAAGCAUGAACAUGUAUGUUUAUAUGGGUGUGGCUAUGAUUGUGGGGGUGAGGGUAAGAGUAAGGUGGGUGGGUGUAUAUAUAUGGGUGUAUGUAUGUGGUUAUUGGUAUAGGUAGGGGUCUAAAUGUUCGUGUUAGUAUGGGUAUAUGAUGUGUAUGGGUGGAAUGUAGGUAUGGAGGUGGUUGCAUGGGGUGAGGGUGGGUGUUUGGCGUUGGGCUUAUGGACAUGACAUAAGUGUGGAAACGCAUAUAUGUAUAUUUAUAUGAGUAUAAGGCAUGUAGUGUAUGUAUGUAAUGGUGUGGGGGUAUGAUGGACAUGAUGAAUAUGUAGUUGUAUGUACGGGGUGUCUGUAGGGUAUGUGUGGAGUUGGAUGCAUGAAAGAGUUUGAUAAAUAAUUGUUAAAAUAAAAAAAAAUGACUGGGAGGAAAUUUUUAUAUUUUUAAUAAAUUUGUAACACUCUAAAAAUUUCAACCAAUUUAAACUUUUCAAAAACAACCCAGUUUCAUAAAAUUAUUACAAAAAGGUUUUCAAUACAAUUAUUAUCAGAGUCUUCCCAGAACCACAUCAUAAAACAUAACCAUGAGAAGCGGGACGAUCACGCCUUUGCCUUGCCACGGUCUCCUGAAGAACCUGAAAAACAUUAAACCACAACUGUAAGCCCGAAAGCUUAGUGAGAUACCCCCAAAAUACCAACGACAUAUACCAUACACGCACAACAGGCCAUAUCAUAACAGAACACAGAACAGCCAUGCACUUCGGGCCUACUGUGUGACUGGUCCGUCGCACUGGCCUUCAGUCCGCCUGGUCCACCCUUCGAGUCUAGUCAUAUACAUCGAGUCUACAGUGUGAUUGGUCCGCCCACACCAGACCUUCAAUCCACCGGGUCCACUCUCUGAGUCUACAGUAUGAAUGGUCCGCCCGCACUAGGCCUUCAGUCGGCCUGGUCCACUCUCCGAGCCUCAGCACGUCAGGUCCGCCNNNNNNNNNNNNNNNNNNNNNNNNNNNNNNNNNNNNNNNNNNNNNNNNNNNNNNNNNNNNNNNNNNNNNNNNNNNNNNNNNNNNNNNNNNNNNNNNNNNNNNNNNNNNNNNNNNNNNNNNNNNNNNNNNNNNNNNNNNNNNNNNNNNNNNNNNNNNNNNNNNNNNNNNNNNNNNNNNNNNNNNNNNNNNNNNNNNNNNNNNNNNNNNNNNNNNNNNNNNNNNNNNNNNNNNNNNNNNNNNNNNNNNNNNNNNNNNNNNNNNNNNNNNNNNNNNNNNNNNNNNNNNNNNNNNNNNNNNNNNNNNNNNNNNNNNNNNNNNNNNNNNNNNNNNNNNNNNNNNNNNNNNNNNNNNNNNNNNNNNNNNNNNNNNNNNNNNNNNNNNNNNNNNNNNNNNNNNNNNNNNNNNNNNNNNNNNNNNNNNNNNNNNNNNNNNNNNNNNNNNNNNNNNNNNNNNNNNNNNNNNNNNNNNNNNNNNNNNNNNNNNNNNNNNNNNNNNNNNNNNNNNNNNNNNNNNNNNNNNNNNNNNNNNNNNNNNNNNNNNNNNNNNNNNNNNNNNNNNNNNNNNNNNNNNNNNNNNNNNNNNNNNNNNAACUUCCCCAAACCGCGACUCAACUCGCCGAGUCACCCCGAGACUCGCCGAGUCCCACAACUCUGAGUCCCCUCGCACUCAACUCACCGAGUCCUCCCUUGACUCACCGAUUCACGGCUCAACCAGAAGAAGGUUAGGACCUCACGACCAGACUCGCCGACUCCAAGAACAGACUCGCCGAGUCCAAGGCUAUCUUCAACCAACUCGCCGAGUUAUUCUUCCAACUCGUCGAGUUCCUGCCCACCUUCAUGCAACUCGCCGAGUACACCCUUGUGACUCGCCGAGUAACCCUUAGAUCUUAAUCCAUACAGAAGUUUUCCAGGCCAUGCAGAUGAUCUAAACCAUAGAUCUACCCUUCUAUAACCCAUCCAUCACGUAAAGUGGCAAACUUUACGUGAAUCCAAGGAGAUCUAAGCAUAUAACACUCUAGGGUUAGGGUUUGGGACAAGAUGGCUUCACCAAUCACUCAAGAACAGGGACUUUAAUGCACUCUAGACCUUCUCCAUUCCAGAUCUGAGGUAGCAACCUCAGAUCUAACCUCCAAACUCAAAAAUAUCACAAGCUAUUCUUUCCAAAUACUCCAAAAUGAUAAAUCUAGAUGAAUAACAGCCCCAACAACAAAAUAAUACCUCAAAAGGAAGCUCCAACAGAAGAGAAAUCUAAUCCUUGCANUUGCUCCAAGCCUCUUAACUCUCCAAGAUCUCUUCCAAAAUCUCUUCUCCAAGGUUCAAAUGCUCUCAAAUCACUUCACAAACGCGCAUAGGGUUUUCUGGACUUCAAGAGAGGGUAAAGAGGCUGGGGAGAGGGUAUAAUGUCCUUUAUAUAGGGCUCAUCCUCCAAAAUUAGGGUUUUCUCCACCCAGCACCAACUCGCCGAGUCCAGUCGCCGACUCGCUGAGUUGGCCACUUAACACGCGACCAGAAUCGCGACCCUACUCGCCGAGUCCACCCAUGGACUCGCCGAGUUGCUCUUUCACAUUUACACUUUGAACCCUAAACUUGCACUCCUGAACUCGGGAUGUUACAAUUGACCCCCACUUAAAUUAGGCUUCGUCCUCGAAUCCUGCAACAACACAACUCCAGAACUACUCUCGCAAUGCACCACCUGGCAUUAACCAGACCAGGUUCCUCAAAACACAACCACCGAAACCCAAAACCCAAUGAAAGACCCUAACUUUCGUAUUUAUGAAAGACCUAAACUUUCAUACUCGACAAUAUAGUUACUCCAAAACAUGCUACUUGCAUAUUCAUAAAAACAAUAUUUUACAUUGAUAAAGAGAUUACAAACUACUGGAUACAAACCGACUAUUUUAAAGUGUUAUAUAUUACAUAACUUCCCAGGAUUCUAUAGUUUUAUACAUAUGGGAGUGCAAAAUACAAUAGUUUCAAACUAUUCAUAAGCUUCUAUCGAUACAAUAGUUUCAAACUAUUCAAAAAUCUUCUACCAGUAUAUAACUAUACUGGAUGUUUAUCUCCUGCAAUUUGUUAAACAUCGAGAGGGUAAGCGGUGACGCUUAGUGAGUUCAAUAAUAGAUACAAUAUAACGUUAUGCCAUAUAUAUACUUUAAUAGGGCAGAAGCAAAGAGGAACAAGGAACAACAAGGGCAUAUGUGAAUCAUGUGACAAACAUUCCAUAUCAAUCAUUGAUUUGAUUUAAAGAUAUACAAUCAAUGAGACAUAACAAUUUCCAUGCUUGAUAUACAUCAAUAAAGCUUUGGCCCAAACGGCACAGAAGAUAUACAACUUCGGAUUAACAUUUCGGUAGAUUUCAGGCUUAUAGCCCUGUCUAACCUUCUGCCACUACCAUAGAAUAGAAUUCAUUCUCUUACGGAGACAUGUUCCACAUGGCCAGAGGCUACAUACCAGUACCAACGUGAAUCUAAGUCCUUUCACUGAUCACAUGGUCAAAGGUAUUUCUUUGCUAUUAAAAAUAGCAAUUAAAAAUAACCCGGGAAAAUAACCCGGAAUAAUAACACUGAAAAGCACGUAGCACAUAUAACACAUAACAUACAAUUAUUUCUAUAUAUUAAACUCACCGUGAAAUAACCGGGGGCUAAAAUAUUAAUUUGGGCAGUACUUCGGCUCUAAAUAUGACUUUCGUCGUUGAAAACCGGGAGUUUUCUUGAAAACCGGGCUCUGCGAAGGCAGAGCUUCGAAACCGAAAAGAUAAAUUUUUCGGGCUUCUCGGGAGUCUCAGGGCGUGUUUCGGGCUUUGGAAUCAGUAUCGGGGCUUCGGGGAAUGUCGGGAUAGUAAAAAUAUUGAAAAAGGGGGUGAAAGUGGAAAUUUUCUAAAAUUAGCCAAGAGGGCUCGCACCCCUUAUAUAGGGCCGAGCUUCGGAUCCGAAGCGAAGGGAAGAAGGCACGCGUUUGCGAGGUUCGGACCAGGUGGCAGCAGGGCGAGGCUUUGGGUGCGAGGGUCGGAACAGCUGGCUCGCAGAUGGUAGCUUCGGAUUGGACCCAACUUCGGUCUAAUGGGAGGAUGACACGAGGGUGCGAGGGUGAUUAAGGGGGUGUCUCCUGCGAAGGUGUUCUGAGCUUAGUGGUCCUCGGGCUUGGUCCAAUCAGAAGGCAACACGCAAGGCUGCGGUCCAAUCAGCAGCGAAUACCUGUCCGACACGUGGAAGCCUCGCAUACAAGGGUGACGUGGCAGAACUAUUCAUGCAAAUUUUCUCGAAAAAUGUGCCAAAUCUUGUAAAAUCCAUAACUUUCGCAUACGAGCUCCGUUUUUGACGUUCUUUAUAUGCACGCGGAGCUAAAAUUAUGCUCUACAACUUUCGUUUAGACUUCGUCAGCUAAUUUUGACUUUAAUUUUAAUAUUAUUAUUUUUAACAGACCAAGACAGGAAAAUCCGUUAAAAAUUCAUAACUUCUUCAUCCGACGUCCGCUUUAGUCAGACUUUUUACCGUUGCACUACUAAUGACGAGAGCUUCAAUUCUCGUUUAGGUUGUGUCGGUUAAAAAUCACUUGAUCUAAAAUUCGAGUUUUUGGCUGUCUACUGCUAAGCUGAAACUUCGAAAAAUCAUAACUUCCUCAUACGAAGUCAGAUUCAAACGGUCUUUAUAUGAAAGUUGAUUAUUUUCACGAGUUCUACAACUUUCAUUUACAUCACUAAAGCUAAAAUUUAGUUUAUCGAAAACUAAAUUUUUACGCGACAAGGUAUUUUUCGGAUUUAUCACGGAUUUUCGUUUGGUCAUAACUUCUUCGUUAUAACUCGGAUUUCGAUGAGGUUUUCGCCUAAAUGUUUCUAACGAGAUUAUCUACAAAUUUCAAUAAUAAAAUUUUACUUAGUCCAAAUUUUAUAUUUUCGCUAUAUUUUACUAUUUGGUUUUUAAUUGGAAUCUCAUAAGACUUCCAACAUUUUAUUAGUGAUUCUAAACAUAGUUUUACUUCAUUUCUAGUAAAAACUAUCUGUUAGAACUCAACAUUCAAAUUCACUUAAUAUUUCAUAAUAUUAUUUACUUAAAACACGAUUUCAAAACGUGUAUGUUACACCCAACUUUCCCCUUGCGGUGUCCUGACCACCGCUUCAAGACGGCCACCUGCCUCAUCCUCUGAUAACCACACUUAUCAACCGAGUACCACUCCAUGAUACUUUGAUCGCUCCAAAUCACAACAAUCACUUGACUCAUACGAGCUAGAAAUAACCCUGAACCACCGGAAUCCCGAUCUGAGUCCAACUUUAUCCACUCCAUGCUGACAGGAUGACACAUCCUUCAAUCUCAGAGCAACUGCCAUGAGUUCUCCUUCGCAAUCUCAUACCCAUGUUGAACUGGCUCUAGCAUCCUCGGGUUGGGAAAACCCGAUACACUGUCGACACCUCCAAACAUCCCCCAGGAUGAAUUUCCGCCUCAUACAUAAUUCCUUGAUCAAAAUCAAACUAGAAAUCCAAGAUUCCAUUCAUGUAUCCCUUCCGAGCCUCUUGGCUCUACACCCGCGGAAUUCCCUCCGCGACCUCAGCAGACAUCCAACCCGGAUGUGAUUCCGUACCACCUCGCACACACUGCGCAAUAACCAUAAUUGGAACACCCCAAUCAUAACUUCACACUACUACUUUCACUUCCGUGAACUUACACUCCCUCUCAGAGCUACAUUCCUUUCCCUUUCCUUACCAAGGAAAUCCACUUGGCUGCCUUGACACUACCACAAGUGCCACAGUGCUCACCCAAUACUACAUCAUUCCCUUAUAGCAUAACCGCUAUCUAAUGCACCACACAUGCUCUGAAUCCGCUCACAGGGACUCUCGAGUCCAUGCACUACCUUCCACUAAUCACGAUUAAUACCCAGGGCCAGACCUUAUGAUGCUAUCACAUCACGACAAACUCAUUCCAUUUCCUCAUACAUAUCUAUCAACACAUGCAGAGUCUUCAGCAUGACUAGACCGCCUUACCAGGCCUUCAGCCCAUCUGGACCACUCUCUGAACCUUCAGCAGGUCUGGACCACCCUCCAGGGACUUCAGCCUGUCUGGACCGUUCUCCGAGCCUUCGGCCUAACUGGUACGCCCACCGGCCUUUAGUCUAUCCGGACCGCUCAACUAGCAUUCAUCAUCCCGCGUUAUCCCUCCACGAAAACUCUCCCAUGCAUACUGUUCUAUCCCUCUAGGGGUUCCGAACUCUAUCUCCAUUCUACAUACUCAAUCCCAGCCCGUUCCCAGGCCUUCCACAAUCAAUCACCCUUGGUCUGCAUCCCGCCCCGUCUGUCUGACACUUGCUCAUACCAGCCUACGCUCGGUUGACAGAACCACUGUUGAAUCCCAACAGCUAAACAACCUCUCAUGCUUAUCGAUCUUCCGGAGAAUUUUCCAAUUCUCCCCCACUUAGAGCACUGACUAUCAACCACCGGUCGCCAUCACCGACCUCCCUCGACAACCCUACACAAAACAAACCCUUACUCGCGAACUGAUUCCCACUAGAACGAGCAAUCUUCACAAAAUUACAUAACAACACUGAUCAUCCCGGGCUCGAAAGAAACCCGACCUUCAGCUAACCACUCCUCAGACUGCAGAUGCUACCCGACAUUCAGACUAAAAGCCAGAUUUCCCACUAAUAAUCCUCAUGAAUGAUAACCAAUGAAAUUCCUAACACCAAACCCAUAACCAUACCAUAACCCUCAAGGAACAACGAAUACAAUACCAAAAAUCACACAACAAGACUAACAGAUAUACAAUACUCCAUAAUAAUCACAAGAUAACAAGACAUCAAGAAAGAAACAUACCCGCAGCUGCAUCCGACACUGACCUGACCUCCUCUGCUAUAAGCUGAAAAGCACGACCCGGAGCCCUUGGGGGUUCCGCUCCACCCUGACCUCUACCCGUAAUCCUCAAAGUGUCCGGUGCUGGAGCCUGCACCGGUCCUGCAACAAUCUGUGGACAUUUGACCCUCAAGUGUCCAACCUGAUGACAAUGAUAACAAAUCCUCAAAUCCCGAACCGGGGCUGUCUGCCGACAAUCCCUCGCAUAAUGCCCCUCCUUUCCGCACUUGCGGCAUGCACCACCGGACCUACAAACUCCGGUGUGACCCUUCCCACACUUCCCACAAGUGUGGCUGCUAUGAUCUCUCAAUCUAGAAUCAACGGUCUUGGAACGUUUCGGCGCCGGCUACGACUGCACCGGAGCCUGCCUCUGCUCUCGCAAAUGCAACUCAAUCUCCAACUCACGCCGCCUGGCGGCCUCCUGCAACUCUAACAAGGUCUCGCACCUCUGCGUAGACACAAACUGCCUGAUAUUCCUCUUGAGCAUACUCAGAUAUCGGGACAUCUGAGCCUGCUCCGAAGCGAACUCAAGGCAAAACAUCGCCCUCUUAGUGAACAUCCUGGUGAUCUCCGUCACCGACUCCGAAUCUUGCUUCAGCUCCAGGAACUCCUGAGCCAACCUUUCUCUCUCAACCCGCGGAACAUAACGAGUGAUAAACAUCUCCCGGAACUGGUCCCAAUAAACCGCAGCCCUCUGCGCAUCCGAAUAUGACCCCGUGGUCAAUCUCCACCAAUCUUUCGCCCCGAGCCUCUAUAGGUUCAGAUCACACCUCACCCUCUGAUCAGCAUGGCAUGAACACGUGAAGAAACACCCCUCCACGUCCGACAACCAUCUCAUAGCAACAAUCGGGUCCUGAACUCCAUCGAACGUAGGGGGCUUCGUAUUAUCGAAGUCCCGAUACUGGAAACCUCUACCGGCUCCUCCCCCUGCCGCUGCUACAGCCGUUGUNNNNNNNNNNNNNNNNNNNNNNNNNNNNNNNNNNNNNNNNNNNNNNNNNNNNNNNNNNNNNNNNNNNNNNNNNNNNNNNNNNNNNNNNNNNNNNNNNNNNNNNNNNNNNNNNNNNNNNNNNNNNNNNNNNNNNNNNNNNNNNNNNNNNNNNNNNNNNNNNNNNNNNNNNNNNNNNNNNNNNNNNNNNNNNNNNNNNNNNNNNNNNNNNNNNNNNNNNNNNNNNNNNNNNNNNNNNNNNNNNNNNNNNNNNNNNNNNNNNNNNNNNNNNNNNNNNNNNNNNNNNNNNNNNNNNNNNNNNNNNNNNNNNNNNNNNNNNNNNNNNNNNNNNNNNNNNNNNNNNNNNNNNNNNNNNNNNNNNNNNNNNNNNNNNNNNNNNNNNNNNNNNNNNNNNNNNNNNNNNNNNNNNNNNNNNNNNNNNNNNNNNNNNNNNNNNNNNNNNNNNNNNNNNNNNNNNNNNNNNNNNNNNNNNNNNNNNNNNNNNNNNNNNNNNNNNNNNNNNNNNNNNNNNNNNNNNNNNNNNNNNNNNNNNNNNNNNNNNNNNNNNNNNNNNNNNNNNNNNNNNNNNNNNNNNNNNNNNNNNNNNNNNNNNNNNNNNNNNNNNNNNNNNNNNNNNNNNNNNNNNNNNNNNNNNNNNNNNNNNNNNNNNNNNNNNNNNNNNNNNNNNNNNNNNNNNNNNNNNNNNNNNNNNNNNNNNNNNNNNNNNNNNNNNNNNNNNNNNNNNNNNNNNNNNNNNNNNNNNNNNNNNNNNNNNNNNNNNNNNNNNNNNNNNNNNNNNNNNNNNNNNNNNNNNNNNNNNNNNNNNNNNNNNNNNNNNNNNNNNNNNNNNNNNNNNNNNNNNNNNNNNNNNNNNNNNNNNNNNNNNNNNNNNNNNNNNNNNNNNNNNNNNNNNNNNNNNNNNNNNNNNNNNNNNNNNNNNNNNNNNNNNNNNNNNNNNNNNNNNNNNNNNNNNNNNNUUCAAACGUAGGUACUGCUCAGCCCAAAAUCUGCUCGAGCUAGAAAACCAAUUCCUUACCUUGAAGAAAGGAAGCAUGUCUAUUGAUGAAUACACCAACAACUUCACAGAGAAGAUGGAGUUCGCCUUACGUCUUGUUCUGGAUGAGCUGAAAAAAAUCGACAAGUAUGCAAAAGGACUCCCAUGGGAGUACGCGGUGCCAGUGCAUCAGACACCUACUUUGGAGGCAGCUAUCUGGGCUGCCAAGUCGGUUGAGGAGAUGAUCAAGGGAAGAGCUGCCAACAAGACCGAGGUUGGCGAAAAGAGGAAGUUUGAGGGGUCUGCGAAGCCCUAUGAGAGAAGAAAGUCCAGUACAAGGAAGUUUAGAGGAGGAGGGAGUGAAGAAAGAUGGUGCGAGAAGUGCAAAAAGAAACACUCUGGAAAAUGCGGUGAGGAGGUGACUUGUUUCAAGUGUGGGAAGCAUGGGCAUUAUGCCAACGAGUGUAAAUUCAACAAAAGGGUGUGUUACGAAUGUAAUGAGGAAGGGUACUUCAAGCAAGAUUGCCCAAAGAGAGAAGGGGCAACAAAACCAAAUGUGCCGCCAAAGCCAAAGGCGAGAGCAUUUCAAAUGAUCAUUGACGAAGCAGAUGACAAUGCAAGGAUUCAGGAGUGAAGGCUUGACAUCCAAAGGUCGAGUUAUGAAGUAGCCAUAGAAUCAUAUGAUGUAGCCUAUUAGAGGCACAGUCUAGGGUGAACUUGAACACCUGUGUAAUAGUUUCAAGGAAUAAUAAACCUUCGUUUUGAUAUUUGAUGUAAUAAGCUGUUAUGUGAUUUUCUUCUAUGGUGACUUGGAAAAAAAACUGCGGGACAAUACUUGGGACGAGUACGAGUAGGUGUGAAAGGUAGUAGAUGCAUAUACUACCGAAAGCACAGGACUCACGCUUGGAUCAGGGAAAGUCACAAGGUUACCAAGAAGCUAGUAAAUGAUUUCGUUUUAUUCAAGCAUGUUGUUACCAUCGUUUCGGUAAUGACUAAGAGGAUGAUUGUUAUUCCGAACCUAGUGGUCAUAUCGAAUUGAGUCCGAUUAUGAUAAGUAUGUUACGUGGUUCGGAGAACCAAGUUUGAUGUAGCGUCCGACUUAAACCAAACAAUUGAAAUCAAAGCGAUCAAUAGAAGUAUCGCGCUCAUUGUUAAAUAAUCUUAACCAUUUUGUAGAAUACGUCACAAGGUUUUCGUACAUAUAAAGAACGCCGAAAUCCGAGUUAUAACGAAGAAGUUAUAGCCCGUCGAAGUUUCGCGACGGAACCGACACGGCACCGGGAAGCGUAAAUAGUGAAUUUACGAUGGAGGACUUUUUAGCCUUAGUGAUCUAAACGAAAGUCGUAGAAUAUGUUAAACCGAGAAAAUCCAUAAAAAGAACGCCCAAAUCUGACUUCGUAUGAAGAAGUCAUGAUUUUUCUAAGAUUCGGCUUAGCAGUGCACAGCCCGAAACUCGAAUUUUAGUUCGAGCGGUUUUUGGCUUAUGCGAACUAAAUGAGAGUUGAAUAUCUCAUUAAUAGGAACUCAACGGUUUUUGGCUUAGUCGAAUUUUAGUUCGAGCGGUUUUUAGCAGAUCACAUAACAUAACAUCAUCCUAACCAGGAUACCGACAUUAACCAGGUCUCUAACAUAUACCAUCCUAACUACCAGGAUGCAAACAUAGCAAAACAAUAACAUAACAACGAUGCCCGGAUCACAAUCCGAUAAAGGGCCGGCCUUGGUGCCGUAGACCCUGUUGAUAUAGUGAGGAUAACUCACCUCGCAACUGCCGACUGAAAAGAUAAGACCGAGCUGCUCCGACCACUGACACGAUCUCCACCACUAGCCAACACCAACACUGAACUCAAAACAAAUGCCAACAAUUACCAAAAUGCCCCUGGAAGUCAACUGGUCAACCCUUGGUCAAAGUCAAAGUCAAAGUCAACCUCCUGACUGACUCUACUCGCCGAGUCAACCCGAUGACUCGUCGAGUCCCCAUGCUCAGAACUUCCCCAAUCCGCGACUCAACUCGCCGAGUCACCCCGAGACUCGCCGAGUCCCACAACUCUGAGUCCCCUCGCACUCAACUCACCGAGUCCUCCCUUGACUCACCGAUUCACGGCUCAACCAGAAGAAGGUUAGGACCUCACGACCAGACUCGCCGAGUCCAAGAACAGACUCGCCGAGUCCAAGGCUAUCUUCAACCAACUCGCCGAGUUAUUCUUCCAACUCGUCGAGUUCCUGCCCACCUUCAUGCAACUCGCCGAGUACACCCUUGUGACUCGCCGAGUACCCCCAUAUCUUAAUCCAUACAGAAGUUUCCCAGGCCAUGCAGAUGAUCUAAACCAUAGAUCUACCCUUCUAUAACCCAUCCAUCACGUAAAGUGGCAAACUUUACGUGAAUCCAAGGAGAUCUAAGCAUAUAACACUCUAGGGUUAGGGUUUGGGUCAAGAUGGCUUCACCAAUCACUCAAGAACAAGGACUUUAAUGCACUCUAGACCUUCUCCAUUCCAGAUCUGAGGUAGCAACCUCAGAUCUAACCUCCAAACUCAAAAAUAUCACAAGCUAUUUUUUCCAAAUACUCCAAAAUGAUGAAUCUAGAUGAAUAACAGCCCAAGCAACGAAAUAAUACCUCAAAAGGAAGCUCCAACAGAAGAGAAAUCUGAAUCCUUGCAAAGCCCCUUGCUCCAAGCCUCUUAACUCUCUAAGAUCUCUUCCAAAAUCUCUUCUCCAAGGUUCAAAUGCUCUCAAAUCACUUCACAAACGUGCAUAGGGUUUUCUGGACUUCAAGAGAGGGUAAAGAGGCUGGGGAGAGGGGAUAAUGUCCUUUAUAUAGGGCUCAUCCUCCGAAAUUAGGGUUUUCUCCACCCAACACCAACUCGCCGAGUCCAGCCGCCGACUCGCCGAGUUGGACACUUAACACGCGACCAGAAUCGCGACCCUACUCGCCGAGUCCACCCAUGGACUCGCCGAGUUGCUCUUUCACAUUUACACUUUGAACCCUAAACUUGCACUUCUGAACUCGGGAUGUUACAAAAUUAUAAGUUGAAUAUAAAAUAUUUGUUAUUAGUAAAAAAAAUACCAAUUCAUUCAAAUUCAUAUGUUAAUAGAAUUUAAAAUUUUACAAUUUAUUUGAUUUUUUACUAAACACAAUUGUUUUUAUCAUGAAUUUACAUUUCAACCCCUCUAAAUACUUUGAAAUUCAAUUCGUGAACCAAACACGUUCUUACUUUCUUACUAUUGGACUCCACUUCCAGUAGUCGAUUUCAGAACUCCUUUCUUCAUUCCACAGCGUCAGACUCACAAGGGUAUGUGUCUUUGUUUUAGUACUUUUUACACCCUAAAUCCUAAUCUGAUAAUGAUAAUUAUGAUUUCAAUUUUCACCUUCCCAUCGACGUUGAUUCACGAUUUCAAUUUUCAUCCACGCCUCCAUCACUGUCAGUGGACUACUAUUGCAGCGACGAUGGCUGUUUAUGUGAAUUGCAGCCUGAUUUUGAAUUUGAAACUCAUAUUUUGAAACUGAAGUACAACUCUUAUAUGUUAAUUGCUAAAACUCAGAUUUUGGUUAAAUUAUGCCAGGAGUUCACAAUUGUAGAUGUUGGUCUUCCUAGUAACAAUAACCUAACUACAUUUGAAGGGGCUAGAUAGUUAACCAUCAACUAAUAAAUUUCCAAUAGUUCCACAUGUUGUUUUGAAUUUGAUUUGCCUACAUACAUGUUUUAGUUACAUAAAAAGGGUCAGGGAAGGGAGGAUGAAUUUUGCAACCUCAUUGUGUAUGAGAUUAAUUGUUAGCAACUUGGUUACUAGAAUCCCUGUUUACACCUCUGCAAGUGGUAUAACUCUUACAUAAAAUCCUUUCUAUUUUGCAUUUAUCUUGUGGUAACAUAACAUUUAUUUGAAACUGAAUCGUGCAUAGAUGUAUCUGGAGAUAGAUUAAGCAUGAUAUUCAGACGCUAGGCCACCAAAGAAACAACAUGCUCCACAAAAAAUGGACGCGACUCAAAACCCAAGAUGCUUGGUGUCAAGAAGUUCGGUGGUGAGGUUAGUAUCUAAAUUUGUAUUGUAUUAAAUUUUAUUUCUUUUUUCUAUUUUGUUAAUAUUUGGGAAAUUUAUACAAAGUGUGAUACCUGGGAAUAUCAUUGUAAGACAAAGAGGCACUCGAUUCCACCCAGGUGAUUAUGUUGGAAUGGGAAAAGAUCAUACGCUUUAUGCUUUGAAAGAAGGGUGUGUCAAAUUUGAACGUCAUACGCUGAGUGGACGUAAGUGGGUGAAUGUUGAACCCAAAGAACGCCAUGCACUACACCCACUUUACUUGAAAGCUGCACCAAAACCAGAUUCAAAUACCACAUCUUACGUCUCUCUUUAAAUUAGUUAAGUUAGUUUUUCCUUUGUUUUUGGAAUUUUUGUUGAAUAAUUUAUUGUGAAGUUGUCAAUUACUUGCAACUUGGCAAGUGUAUUGGAAUUGAAGACUACAUGAUAUCUUGGAAAAUACACCAUAAAAUGUAAUGCUAAGCUAAAUUUGUUUAUCAAAGAAAAAUCAAGAGUAAUUUUAUUUUAGUUUUUAAUUUUAUUAAUUACAAAUAAAUAUGAACCAUAAAUAAGCUUUGUGCAAAAACUUUAAUAUAGUGGAGAUAAAUUUAUUGAUGUGUUGAGUUGCAAUAAUGUGACAUGAAAAAAUUUGAUGAAAAAUUUGUGAUUACUUUAUUAGAAUUAAUAGAAUGUUAACACGAUAUUAAAUAAACUAGUUUAUAACCCGUGAGAACCACUUUAUAAAAUUAAUUAAACUUUCAUAUUAAAACUUAAAAUUAUUAAUAAGUUAUUUUAAAUAAAUUAUUAAUUAAAAGAUAUAUUUUUAGUUAUAUAAAAUUAUAAUAAUUGAUGCAAAAUAAAUCUAUAAAAUUAUAUCACCUUAUAAUAGUACUAAUUUAUUAUAUUCUAAUGUUAUUUAAUUUAAUGUAAAUAAAAUAGGAAAUUUAAAAUUUCAAAUUUGAAAUGGAAAAUCAAUAGGUUGAAAACAUUAAUUAGGAGGUCUAAUAUGAUGACACAUGACAAAAAAAAUCUACUUUUUUAUUUGUAUAACAAGAUUACAUGUUUUCUCAUACUUGCUUAUUGUCAUUAAUCAUAAUUUAUGCAAUAUCCAACAUUAAACACAUGAAUGGAAAUUUUGUGUAAUACACAUUUUUACAAGAAAAGCCCAAUUUGUUAUUGUAUUCCCUAGAAAAUUUUGUAUAAAACACAUGUAAUUAUCAUUAGUGCAGUAGAAAAACUCAAUUUGUUAUAUCUUAAUUCUUAAAAAAACCCAUUAUGUUAUUUAAUUUUUUGGGUUUGUUAAAACUAAAUAAUUUUAUGUUUAUGCUGAAAUUUAUAUUUUAUGAUGGGUAAUACUGUAACGCCCGCGUUUCUAGGUUAGGCAUUUUUGUUGAUGUAAUAGUCUAGGUUAACCUUUGUAACCCGUUUUGAAAUAAUAAAAGUGUAUUAUUUGAGUAUUAUGUGUUUUGUGCUUAAUUGCUUAAUUAUGUGGUUUGAUUAAUUAAGAAUAAAAAUAAGCGUCAAAAUUUAAGUGUAAAAUAAACUUAAUAUCUUUGAAUAAUGUUGUAGUAGUUGAAACGAGGUUUCCGAAUGUAUAUAGAACGCCCAAAUCUGACUUCGUACGAGGAAGUUAUGAUUUAUCGAAGUUUCGGCUUAGCGGUGUGCAGCCCGAAAUACUCGAUUUGAGAUCGAGCAGUUUUUAGCCGAAACAAUCUAAAUGAGAAUCGAAGAUCUCGUUGUUAGUAGCGAAACGAUGAAAAGAUAGGCGAGAACGGACGUCGGACGAAGAAGUUAUGAUUUUAUAACGAAGUUUUCCUGUCCGAGCCUCCUAAAAAUAAUUAAUAAAAAUAAAAGUCAAAAUGAGCCGACGGAGUCUAAACGAAAGUUGUAGAGCGUAGUUUCACCUUCGCGUGGAUAUAAAGAACGUCGAAAACGGAGUUCGUAUGAAAGAGAUAUGAAUUUUUGAAGUUUAAUAAAUAUUUAAUAUUUAUUUUUAUUUAUCCUCCGAUAUUAUCCGAAGAAGGGUUAGGCGGUCUAUCCGAAGUACGCGCCGCGUACUGCUGUACGCCCCGCGUACAGCGAAUGGCACUCGAGUAUUCCGAAGUCGUAUACAAUGACGUAUGAGGGCCGAUGACGUAAGCGCUGACGACCCCCGAGGCGUACGCCCCACGUAGCCUCGUACGCCCCGCGUACGUGCGAGGGUCCAGCACUAUAAAAGGGGAUCCGAAGGCAGCUCAUUUCUCAUUCAAAAUUUCUUCCUUCUCUCUAGUCCUUUGCCUCGUUUUGCGUGCCGAUUGUACCCCGAAUCCCGAAGAGCGUUAUUCCCGAGCCGAAGCCCUGCCCGCGAGGAGCCCGGUUUUUGUGAAGAUCUUCCAGAUCUACGGAGAGACGCUGCUUCUAUAAGCCGUAGUGCUGUCGGAUCAUCUUCUGAUCAAGUGAGUGUGUAGUUACCUUCUUCCAACACAUUAUUAUAAAGUAUUUUAUAUAAAAUACGUGCUAUGUGUAUAUAUUUUGUUGUUAUAUGUGUGAAUGUAUAUUCACUCUCUUCUAUCUCAUAGAUCUGAGUUAUUCUCUAUGAAAUAUGUGUUAUGUGUGUGUGUGCCUCAUCUGUUAUGUGAAUUAUGUGUUGAUUAAAGCAUGCUAUACAGGUUUUUAAAACUAUGUAUAAAAAUGUAUAUUUUAUCUACUAAUAUGUUGGGUAGAACAUGGGUAGACAGUUGGUGUGUAAUAAACAGAUGAGAGGCCUCGUUGUUGUUUGAUUUAGUCAUCUAGCGGAGUUUAGAUGACGACCACUGGCUAUUCUAGACCAGUCUUGUGGAAACAUUAGCAGUUUGCCACCUGUAGGUGUUAAUGAACUUGAGUGUUCAUUCGCUGUACUCCAUCCCCCUCAUGGUUGCCUUAUUUGACUUAUAUUGCUGAGGUACCCCCGAAGCAUGUGUUGUCACCCCGAUGAAAUAUUCUUAGACUAGGUCCCUUGUGUUAGUUGUUUUAGGGACAUAAAGUGAGAAUAACGGGAAUGGGUAAUUGGGUUAUUGUUGGUUGGUGAAAAUUAAAUAUGAUUAUUUAUUGUGGGUUGAAAACCCUAUAUGCUCACCAGGCUCCCAAGCCUGACCCACUCAGUUUUAAUUGUAUUACAGGAAGUGGCGCAAGGGCAUGAGAUGGAUGAACCAUCAGUUGUUUUGAUUACAAGUCUGUAUAUGUAUAUAUUUGUUGAAUGACUUGUAAUGUAUUCGUUUAUGCUUAUUGGUCUGUAUCGGAACAUGACACCCCGAGUUUUGAUUAUAUAAUGAAAAAUACAUUUCUUUUAUGAAAUGCUUUGGUAAACAUUGUUUUAUCGUGUUUUGUUUUUGGGAACAAAUUCCGCAACUCUUUCAAAUCGAAAGGAUUUACUCUGAAAAUAUUUUUAAAGCAUAAAUGAAAAAUGGUCUUUUCUGGUCGAGAUUUUGGGGAUGUCACAAAUACUAAUUGGUAAACCUACAUGAAACAUUUAUAAUCUUUUGGGUUUAAACCCGUUAUAUAAGAAAAUUCCACAAAAACACAAUAUAUUAUAUGUAAAAGAGAAAAAUCAAACUACUUGGGUUGUGUCGACUUGAUAAGGCAUGCGAAAGAUAUAGUGAAUAACCUAUUGAACAAUGUUCAAAUCCGGACACUAAUCAACCUUUGUGUUCAUGGAGGUUCGUCUGAAUGACUCUAUGACAUGAGACAAAGCCUCAUGUUUGUAGUAGGGGAUUAGUCGGUGUGUUAAAGCUGGCCGAAAACCCUCGUUAGGAAAGUUCCCUUCCCAAAAAAAAAAAAGAGAAAAACCAUUUCAUUUCUUUCGUGUGUAUUUUAGACCCUUACAUUAUUAUCUUCUGGCUAGUUUUAUUUUAUUUUUAAGAAAAAUAUCAAAGUGACUUUAAAAAUCCGACAUGGCUUUAAUAAUGUAAUCUAGAAACUCCUCCCACGCUAAUUGGUCUAAUACAUGCUUCUUCGGUGUCUGUUUCAAGUUGAUCCACCACUACAUGUGUUGAAGGUCAUCUCUAAUCACAUUUAUCUAAGUGUGUAACACAAUCAAAUCCCUAAUGAAGUCCUUUUAGGUGCAACUCUUCCUUACCACCUCCUCUUCAUAGUUCUGAGGUUUAGUCGUUGGCCCGUUCACCUAGAGUUGUAUGGAAUAUCGUAUUUCCUAUCACCAACAUCAUUCACAUCUUGGAUAUGGUUUCCACCGGGCACCAACCAACUUCUUCAUCUCCUCUUUAUGUUUUUCGUCAUGCCUUUUCAACAUGUCUUGAAAAAGUAGUCAUCAUUUGCUUUUUUCCCUUCUUCAAUGUUUCUUCGUUUCUUCUUACAUUGAUCAGAAGUUAUUGGGAAGUUAUUUAGAAGAGUCAGUUUCGAGUUUCGAUUCAAUUGAGUAUCCUCAUUGUCCCUCCAACAAGCUUUUCUACAUAUGGCGAACGGUUAUUGAGAGUGUUCACCAUUUUGAAGAAAUCCACGUGUUAGCUCUUAAAUAUAGUAAAACAUUGAACACUAAAAGAAUGUAGGAUCCUACAUUGUAUUCUAGGCACAUAAUAGGGCCAUACCAUCGUCUUUCUAUUCGUCUUUAUUCACUAUGGUUUAAGACUAACACCUUGUUCUUGAAUUCAACUUAACGAAGGAAAAAAAAGAGAAAUUGAUGGAAGUGAAAGGAAAGUAAAAUCAAUUGGUGUUUACAAGUUUCAUUAAGAAAAUAAACGAAAAAAAGGAAAUGGAAUAAUUACUUGCCCUCUUAACUUUCUUUCAAAUUUGGAAGGAUUUUGAGAGAAAGAAACAUUUUUUUUUAACUUUUCUUACAUUUCUCCCUAACUCGGGAACUAAACACGAGCACUAUAUUAACAUUUAAGCAUAUUCUCUGACACAUAUUUGAAACACUUGUCAUAUGAGUCGAACGUUUUGACCCUUUAAAAACAUUAUUUCAAACCAAAGCAUAAUUUGUGGAAAAAUAGGUCUUCACGUCCUAAAACCAAGGGUUAUGUAAAACUUUCAAAAAUAUAUGAAGGUGCAACAACUUAAACAUCAUAACAUAAAUUGAAGUAAAACCACCACAAUCAACGCAGCCUUAUAAAUAUUUAUGACUUCAGCUAGCGUGUUCAUUCUAUAGUUUUGACUUGAAUUAUACAUGUUAAAAUACGUAUUUUAGGCUUGGUAAGCCAAACUGGUAAUAUCGAAAUUCAACAUCUUAGAGUCCAAGAACUUACACUUUCCUUAAGCCAAGAAAGUGGAUCAAAUACACGUAUUUUAGACAGACUAGUGGUUAUUUUUGUUAUAAAAAUCUUAAUUACUCUAGGAAAGGUCGUUAUUUUGAUGAUUUUCUCUUUUAUUUAAAAAAAAAAAAGUUUUAACAUUUUUUUCACCCAAAUAAAAAAGAAGACGAAUCAUACCUAAGGAUGUGGGCUAGUCUUCUGUAGGUCAACAGUUCGACGAAGAAAUUGAACCCCCAAUCUGGAGAAACACAUUCAGUCUUCAAUUCCAUCAGAAAUGGAGGUAGACGGCGGCGCCGGCGAUGGCGUUUCAGUAUCAGUAGCAGUCGUGGCGUGUACCGCUAUGACUAUUUUCUACGUUGCCAUUCUUUACUCUCCCACAUUGAUCCUCCGUCUCCCACCUCCCACAUCCUUCAAGAGCUACAUGACUCGACGGUUCAUUUGCGCUGGUAUUUCUACCUUCGUCUCGCUUCUUGUCUGCGCUUUUAUCCUUCCUGUAAGUUGAAACUUCCAUUAUCCCCUUUCUAGUGCAAAUUUCGAUAGUUGCAAUGGUCAUUGACAAAAUCAGCGAUGAGUAUUAGAGCAAUGGACUUUUCGAACUAGUAAUUGCUUUCUGUCGUGACAAUUACAAAAUUUAAGAAAAAAAAAAUUCAAUUACAAGCUAUAUUGCGAUUUUGUGCUUUUUGGCUUUGCAUACUGCUAGGUUGUAAAAGACAAAUCGGAUCUCUUACAAAAUCGAUCAUCCGUUGGUAUUAUUUGUUUUAGGAGAUAAUUUUGCACAAAACUAGGUUUUAAGUUCAAAUGCUAUUGACGAAUAAACCAUAUUCAGCUUAAAAUUUGCCAAAUUAAAUAGAUGAUUCAUAAUUAAACAUCGGAAGUUUCAUUCAGCUCAAAAGCUACCAAUUUUUAGAUGUUACAGUCCCAUUUUAGGCCCUACUUCAUUCUUUUAGUAGAGUUUAUUUUUCUCCAACCAGUUUUAGGGUUUAAACAACUGUUCAUAGAGAAGUGAUUCCUUUUCAACUUACUGAUGUUACCAAAUUCCUCCCUAAUUGUUCCAGAUAAAGAGCUGGGAAACACCGUACUUGUUUAGUGCUUAUGGUAUCCAUCCACACCACACUGUAAGUAGUCCUUAUGUUUGUACACAGGUGCAUCAAACAUGAAUAAAGUCAUAAACACUUGUUUUUAUCAAUUUAUGUAUCUUUCAUGAUUUGCAGAUUGUAAAUUGCUGAAAUGGACUUUUAUGUAUGAAACAGUGGGAAGCUGUACUCCUUCCUCUUUUCCUCACAUCUCUCAUGUACACCGGAUCAUUUCUCCUCAAGUUCUUCUCACUCUGGACCUCGUUGACCGAGCAAAGUGGUCAACAAAUAGAUCUAUCACUUCAUGGCAUAAAGACUGUUCUUCAAAACUUCAUCAACUGGAUCCAUUCACAUUUAUGCAAUAUUUCAUCAUGGAGACUCUAUAUUGUGGUGAGUUUCUUAUGUCUCUUGUUUUCAAAGUUCUAUCUAAACAUUUAGUUUAUAAAGUGAGAAUUUAUCAAAUUUACAGGCUCCACUUACAGAAGAGUUGGUUUUUAGAGCUUGUAUGAUACCUUUGCUUCUAUGUGGAGGAUUUAAACCUUAUACAGUAAUUCUUCUCUCUCCAGUUUUCUUUAGCCUAGGUGAGUCCAACAGUUUUUUAUUUUCACCAUCUUUUAUUCCACAUAUUCAUGUCAAACAGCUUUUCUUACACCAUAUAUUUUGCAGCUCACUUAAAUCAUUUACUGGAGUUCUACAUGCAUCAAGAUUCCAGUUUUCUGAAAGCUUGCAUGGUUGUAGGUAUUUGCUACUUUUUCACUUGCCCUUUAACAUUUUCUUUAUACUGAAGGAUUUUUUUUUAUUAUAUUCACCAAAUAUUUCUUUCCUAUUUUUUAGGUUUUCAGCUUGGGUACACUGUGAUCUUUGGGUCAUAUGCAUCAUUUCUUUUUGUCCGAACUGGUGAGUGAUGAUUAAAAAUUAAUGAUGUUAAAUGUUUUAUUAAUUGCUAGUGAUUUAUCUAAAUAAUAAUAUUUGUUGUUAAUUGCAGGACAUAUAGCAGCACCACUUGUGUCGCACAUGUUUUGUAAUUUCAUGGGCCUUCCUGCAUUCUUUUCUCCAAGGACAAGUAACAAAACACAUUUUCAUCAUUUCAAUUAACUAUUUAUAUUAUUAUGGAUCAAUUACAUAGUCAUAAUUUUUCAAAUCUGAAAAAUUUCAGGAAUGGUGAGUGUGGGAUUUGUGGCAGGGGUAGUUGGAUUUGUGUAUCUUUUAUUUCCACUCACUUCCCCUGAGUUGUACAAUGAUAGAAUUGACAAUUGUAAAUGCUGGCAUAGAUACUGUGAAUGGAGGAGCUAGAGAGUAUGCAGUUGCUUAUUAAUACCAAAAAUGUAAACUCAACAACUGUGAAAAUUCGCUUAUUUUAGUUUAUUAUAUCUGAUCUUACAAUUGUUUUAAGGAGCAUUUAUAUCCUAUAAUACAAGUUCCUCUAUUCCAUUUAGCUUCUAUAUAGUAGUAGGCAUAAUUUACUUGAUGAUCAUUGAUCCACCUGUGUCCUCCAUCAUUUAAUUGAUUCUUGAUUCAAUUACUCAUAGAAUGUAUGCAUAUACAUCACUUAGCAAGGAGCAUUAGAACUAUCAUCAAGUUCCAUCUUUUCAACAUUUUGGUACUUGUACUUCCACGAACAUACCAAGUAAUACCCAAAGUUAAUCAACCCAAUACCAGUUAACACCCAAUACAAGUUAUCCAUCCUCCCAUCAUUAAUCCCAUCAGGCAACCAUCCUGUGGUCUUCCUCACAAGAUCAACCACUGCAGUCCCCAAAUAAAAGGCUACUCCAAUAUACAUGGCCACCAUUGCAGUAGCUGUGCUCUUCAUCGACUUGGGAAACUCUUGGUAAUAAAACGACACAUGACCUGGUAAAUGAAACGCUUCACCAACACCAAUAACCACAAGCUGUGGAACCAUCCAAAACACUGACAUUGGCACGACUGAAUUCCCUUUUAGGUCAUGUGAUCGAGCUAUAGCAAGCCGUUUUGACUCAACCAGUGCUGAAAUGGCCAUGCCUAACGCGUUCAGAACAUGGCCCACCCCUAUGCGUUGUAGGGGUGUGAGGGAGGUGUUUGUAAGUUUUUGGUAUGUGGGAAGAAGGAAACGGUCGAUGAGGGCGAUAAAGAUGGAUGAUGAAAGCAUAACGAAGACAAUCAUGGUUCCUGCUGAGAUUUGGAAGGUGGUGUGUGUUGGUCCGAGGUGACGAUCCAUGGCUAAAGCUUGGAGGACCAUUAGGCUCAUUUGGAUGGCUAAAGGGGUGGACAUAAUGACACCGGUUGACCAAAGUGGGGAGAUUCUGAUUAGGGUUUUGAGGUCUUCGACUUGUUGUAUUGUGCAGAGGUUCCAUGGUUUUUUGAUGGAGUAUUUGUCUGAAGUGGUGUCCAAUUGAGUUGUUAUUAGAGCUGCAUGGUUUAGGAACCUGUAUCAUUUUUAAUCAUUAGUUAUAGUGGCUUGAGCUAUAUAUUCGCUACAAUAUCAUUAUUUCGAAGCUUAAUAUAUAAUCAUUGGUGGCUUGAGCUAUAUAUUUAAUAAGAUAAUGUUUAUUUUUCCAUAGGUGAAAUAUUUGCACUUUGUAAACCACAUAUGCAAAGAUAAAAAGGCAGACUAAAAAACAAAGAUUAUAUAUAUAUUCUAUCCUACCUUUCCUCUCAUUUUGGGAGGAUUUGUAGAGAAAGUAAUAUGAGGCUAUCAUUUACCUAUUUUACCUUUCAGUCUAAUAUAAAAAAAUCAUUAGUCUACAUAAUCUUGAUUUUCUUCAACUUCAUUUUUCUCCACCAUCGGAUGACUAUGAUUUCGAUUCCAUAUACAACAAACUUUCUUCGCAACGUCAAAGUGGUGCCAAUGAUUUCGAUGUGUUUAGAACCACGAGGGAGGAAUAUCACGUGCAAAUGGGUCACGUAUUGAUUACGAAAAAGUAUGGGAGAUAGUGAGGAAAGAUCCAAAAUGGAUAAAAACACCAACAUCAUUGGAACAACAAUCAAAUAGGUCUCGUGGUUCGGGUUCGGUUGACGUUUCCGACGGACACACGAACAUCAACCUCAAUGCGGACACCGAUGAGAUCCCGAACGAGUUUGACGACAUCGAGGAAAUCUCUCCGCCACGACGACCGAUGGGGCGCGACAAAGCGAAGCGCGCUCAACGACAUGCGGAGGAGAAUGGAAGUCGGUUUUGAGAGCACGAGGAAAUGAAAAAAAAAUUCGACGCCCACACGGAAAUUGCAAAUAAAAUAUAUGAAUUGCAACGGGAGCAUUUGGAUUUCCUUCGUCAAGAAGUUGAACAAGAUCGCAUAUCGAAAGAUUUAGCAACUCUUACGACAACCGAAGAAAAUUUGCCACUUAGAUGAGCUGAAAUGAUACGGAGAAUGAAGGCAAAGAUCGAGAGCAAAUAAUUGGACGAAGAAUAGUUUGUCGGUGUUUUUUUUUUUAAUUAUUAGGACUAUUGUGUGUUUUUUGUUCAAUUUUUUUUUUGUUUUGUAAUGUUUUUUUAAGUUUGUAUGGUAUUUUUAAUUUACUAUUUAAUGGAAUUAUGUUUUAUUAAUUUAUAUGUUUUUAAUAGAUAUAUGAAAAAAAUAAAAAAAUAAAACAAAUUAGAAUAAUAGAAAUUAAAAACAUCCAAAAAAAAGAAAUAGAAGAUAGUAUGUGUUAUCUCAUGUUAUUUGGUGUUGUCCAUUUCUACAUUUGGUGUUAUAACACCAAAUUUUGACUAGGAUGAUGAUGUGGACACUUUGGAUGUGAUAACAUGUAAUAACAUGUUGACCACACCUAGUAGUCUUAAUCCAGGAAUGUAACACCUGUCGACACCUCCUGCUUCAUUGUAUGCAUCUCCAAUUACCUCCACUUCUACUGAAACUAAACCAUUUACAUUAGGUGUUGAAGGUCUCGCUUCGGAUGCACCACCAUCAACAACCAGAGAAUUGAUGGUUUGGAGAAAAUAUUUAUUUGGUUGUGCUUUGACUACUCCAAAAAUUUGUUCAAGAAAACUCAUCAUACACGCCCACACCAUCAACUUAAACGCAUGAGAGAUUUUUGUUUAUUUGUUGUGUUAAUGGAAAAUACAUCAUGGGUUUCAUUCCUAUAGUUCCUCAUCUUGGUUAAAGGAAGAUAUUUCCAUCUAUAUCCAUUUUUCGAUCUGGGUUUUAUUCCCCUAGUUGAAUUUCCAAGAGGGUAUCUUGCGAUAGUAUUGCUAAAGGUGUUGAUAACCUUUCCCCUAAUAGGGUAUCUUGCGAUAGUAUUGCUAAAGGUGUUGAUAACCUUUCCCCUAAUAGGGUAUCUUGCGAUAGUAUUGCUAAAGGUGUUGAUAACCUUUCCCCUUCUGAAUCUCAGUUCCAUAGGUACUCAUUUUCAUCUGAUUCAAUUAGUUUUAGGAUAUUCUAUAUCUAUCAAAUAUCAAUGCCUCUUAAUCUCUUAUACUUGUAUUUGUAAGUUUUGUGGAUUUUUGUUUAUUUGUUGUGUGUCUUUGUGUGUUGUGUAUUCUACGGGUUUUUCUUUUCCGUAGAUUUUGAAUGUUGAAUCACUAAAGAUAUAUGCUAUUAUGUUGGUUGAUAAGGGGAUUAUAUGUAUAUGGUGUGUAAAAUACGUAAGUAUGUUUCUUUAACGUUUUAUACACUAAUCAGGAUUGCUGAAAGAAUAGUCUUUUUUUUCCACAAAAGAAUAGCAUAAGUUUGUGGUGCUUGCUUUUGCAUCAUGAUUAGUGUAUAAAAGGGUGAUCUGAAUGCAUUAAAGGGUGACCUUAGCCGGUAAAAAAAGCAUAACAAAAUUUGGUAUAUAUAUAUAUAUAUAUAUAUAUAUAUAUAUAUAUAUAUAGAGAGAGAGAGAGAGAGAGAGAAAGAGAGAGNUAUAUAUAUAUAUAUAUAUAUAUGGAUUUUACAUCAACAAUGUGUUGUUUUUCAGAAUCAUUUAUUGAAACGAGUAAUCAAGAGUUAAAAAAAAAGGAUAGACCAUUGCUAAAUAAGAAAAAUCAAUCUUAAAAAUUGAAAAAAAAAACCCAUUAAAGAGAAGUCAUAUAGCAAUACAUCCUUGAAAUGUUAAAUAGCUAAGCUUGACAUAAGUUAUUAAAAAUGGUCCUUAGAUGGUAGUAAACAAGUCAAAAAACUCAUACAAGGGCUCAUGAAUUGGAUAAGCAAAUUUUCAAAAGAUCAUUUGAUUUUCACUAUUUAAACGCCAUUUAAAAUGAGAUUUAUUUCUUAUAUGUAGGUUCAAAAUGUGUAUGCACAAUUUAGGGAGGAAUAACAUGUUGUAGUGCUCUCUGAGAUCUGACUCGAAGGUUUUUUAUGGGUAUAGAAAUUGAAUUUGACUUUGAUUUUGGAAAAAGAUUGAGAAACAUCGGGUGCAUUUUUCAAAUGGAUAUCCGAUAGUGAUGGGUGAAUGCCACUCUGCUAAUAUGACAACCCCACAAAUGUAAGUGUUUAUGUUCUCUCGCUUUGGAUGUAAAAUCAAAGAUUGAGGGCAUUUUGUUUUUUUAAUGGAAAAGAAAGAGAGGAAUCGAAAUACACAAAUGCGAUAUUAUAACAUGGUAUUUAAGUACAACAAACUAAUUAGAAAAUAAUUAAAAUCUUUGUUUCUUAUUAGGACAAAUUACUUUUAAAAGCAGUAAAUUGGAAUUAUGUGUUUAUGUGACAAUUUGCAUUUCCCUUUCUAAUAUGUAUUGAACAUAGCAAUCAAUCAGGAUCAAAGUUUGGAACAUGAUUUUAAAGAUUUUUUAGAUGAUUAUGGUGAAGGUGAAAUUCAAAUUACUGAGUUGCUUGAUAAAGUGACAAGAAACAUUAUAAAAGAUGACAUGAGCAUGCUUCCUGAGUUUAUACCCAUGUGAACGUGACAUCAACAUUCAACACCACAUAUGCACCUUGACCGCCCAAAAAAACCUCAAAUUUUGACUGAAAGUAAGUUGCCAUUUCAAAACCUUAACCCUUUUCUAUUUGAUUAUGAAUGUCGAUGAUAUGCAAACAGACUAUGGAACACAAACUACCUCUAAAUUGGUUGUUAAAGCAAGUGGUGAAGCAUUCUUUUAUGAAAGGCAUGGAAAGAGCACACAAAUGUUAGUUUAGGCCUGGACUCACCCUUUUAACACCAAUCAAAACAACAAUUUCUGUAUAUAUUACCUUCGAAAGAGACUGAUUACACACACAAAAAAGACUACAGACUCAGCUAUAUAAACAUGAAAGAAUACGUAAUAACCCUAACAAGUGUAGGUGCAUGUGCUCCUAUUAAAGUGGCUACUAAGCCACGUUAUUUUCCUCUAGACUCGGUCCUCCAAAGACCAACUAAACCUAACUUAUUCUAGUAUUUAGUGGCCCACUAACCUAUAACCAAAAUCCCGACUUGAUCCAUCAAGAUUACCCAACAACGGAAACGUACAUGAUUGAGAAAAUGAAGUGAGGGUGCAUGCACGAAGAAAUACAAGUAUGUUGCUAUUAUGGGUAAACAUAUGUAAGUAUGUUGUUGUUAUAAGUAAAAACAAAGUACAUUGCUUAUAUUGGUAAAAAAGGAGGUAACAUGUGUUGCUAUUUCCUGCAACUUGUCUUGUUUUUUAUUUAAUAUUAUUUGGUAUAUUUAUUUUUUGUAAGAAAUAUUGGAUUUUGAGGAGAUUGUAUUAUGUACUUCAUCAAAUUUAUACUUAGGUUGGUAUAUGGUUAUCUAUAAGAAAGAUGUAUGUUAUUUCGGCCCAUCAUGAAGCAUGGGAUACCCUAGCUAUUGUUAUUUCAACUAUUAUUCAAUAUAUGGAUAAUUUUAUUUUAUUAUUAAACUAUUUGAUAUUCUCUUACCACUUAUUAAUUUUUUAUUUAUUACAUAUAAUUAUCUCAUCUUAAUAAUACUUUUAUUUUAUUCUUUUUAAUUAUAUUUUAUAUUUAUACUUUUUAACUAAUUAACUAAUAUAUUGAUAUACAAAAUAAAAUCAACAAUUAUAUGAAACAAAGGAUUUAAAUUGAUUAAAAUGGUAUAAAUGAUAAAUAUUAAAAUACUAUAACAACUAUUAUAUUAUUUUUAUGGUUUUUUCUUUUUUGUUAUAAACUAAUGUUUGAAAAAAUAUCUCAAGUGCAUGAAAAUGAUGUUUAACUAUUAGAAUAAAAAGAAACUUUAAAAAAAGCUUAAAAAAAAGUUAAAAAUAAAAUUUUAUUGAUAUUACAAAUCAAAUAGAGCUUUAGAUAAUUAUUUAUUUAUUGUUUACUCAAUAAAAGUUACAACAUUAAGUUGGCUUAUUCAAAAAUGUUCAUAUCACCAAAUUAUUACCAUCCAUUAUGACGAAAAAGAAAAAUACUUUUAAAGUAUAAGUAAAGAAUAUGUGUAUCUAAUUAAUUCUAGUAUUUGAAUAUUUAAAAAGCUAAAAUAUACAAUUUAAGUGCUCAAUUGCGUGUAUUUAAAGCUUUACGAAACAAUAUAUGACAGUAAAUUUUUAUCAUCUUUUUACUGAUAUAACGUAACAAUGUAUAAAUAUCAUACCAAUUUAUUAUGAGACUUUUUUUUUUAUUUUAGUUAUAUCAACUUUUCUGAUUAACAAAAAUUAUUAUUAAGAGAAUCACAAAUCUUAAUAUGUCUUCAUCUCUCUCUCUCUCUCUCUCUCUCUCUCUCUCUCUCUCUCUAUAUAUAUAUAUAUAUAUUCCACCCUAAAAUAAAUAUAUAAAAACUUGUAGAUACUUACUUGAAGCUAUUUGUUGGAGUUGUUCUAACCAAUUUUGUUCCUUCAUAUGACUCUUGACAAUAAUCCUCACUCUUCGUUGACAACAAAACUUUUCUUUUCCGGAAAGCCGCUACCACAACACAAGCCAAUCGAGUAAACGGACUCUCUUGUGGUUUCAGUAGCCGAUAUCUACUCUUUCCUACCGCAAAAAUCACUAAACCAAUCAAAUUAGCAGCAACACAUAAACCGUAACCCAAUCCCCAACUCAUAUUGUCUUCAACAUAAAUAAUCCCCACAACACUAACAAGUAACCCGACAUACAAGGUAAAAAAGUGCCAAUUAAAGAAAACCCCUUGAUCCUCAGGGUUGUCGAAUUGAUCUGCUCCCAUUGUUGCUAACGUGAACCGUGUACCUGCGAGCCCCAUGCUCGAAAGAGCCAUGCUCAUGUACAAGAUUGCGAGUUGACUUUUUGAUGGGCCCACACAAAGGUCCGACCCAUUUUCGCAUGGUGCGGGCUUUAACGAGUCGAGUGUUGCGGUUAGGGUUAGGAGGAGUAUGCCCGCCAAAGAUAUAAAAGAUGAAACCAAAAUUAUUGUAAACGAUCCAAAACACGAGUCAGCGAGUAUGGCUCCUAGGAUUGGAAGCAAGGUGGUGCAACCGUUGACUAUGUUUGCUAUUUGAGCAGCAUCGAUGCUUUUGAUAUUAAAUUCAUUGAUUAGGUAUACGAUAAUAUUAUUUGUCCAUCCUCCUGCGGCUAGUGUCAAACCAGCCAUCGUUGCUAUAUUUAGAUAGAAAAAUGGUUUUGUGUUAUGAUUUGAAAGAGAUUUGGAUUCUAAAACUAAAAGUUAAACAAAAGAAGAACAUAUACAUACCUAUGAGAAAAGGGAAGGUGAUCCAACCUCCUUUGGUGGGUGUACCAGAUGGUUUUGUAUCCAUGGCUGCGAAAUUUGUAUGUAACUGAAUGUGUAAAUUUAUUUUCGGGUACAUAUAUAUAGAAAAAGGGACAAUGGACCCCAUAAACGUAGGGUCAUACCAUAUGUAUAUAAUGUCAAGUCAUCGUACCUAUGGACAUCAAAAGUAACUUAUUAAAGGGGUGUAUGUUAUCCAAAUUUAGACUAUUCUAACUUGAAUUAAUUUUAGAAAAAAAAUUGUUUUCAAUUUUUUGAUGGUAAGGUCCCACAAAGUUUUAACUUUGAUAAUUUUGUCCAGUUGACAUAGAUUAAUUUUGAUUGUGGUUUUGAUUCUUUAAAAAAAAAAACGUGUGGUUUUGAUCCCUAUAUUUGUUUAUACCGGAGAAAUGGUUCAUGUGGUUUGUAUUUUUCUAGCUAAGGUCCAAAAUAAUUUCAACUUGUAAAAAUGAUUCUUUUUGGCAGUUUAAUUGUGGUUUUGGUCUUUUAAUUUUAACAUUCGUUAUAUUUGUUGUGUUAAGUUUGAUGAAUGACCAUUUUGCUCUCCAUUUUUAUACUUUUAGAGUAAAUUACACGAAUCUUCCCUACUGCAAGUGUCAAAUUACAUGUUUAAUCCUUAUUUUUAAAAAUUAUAUCGGACCCUUCCAUUGUCUGGUUUAACUUAUACGUUUCAUCUCUGCCUAACCUGUAAUGAAAAUUACGUCCUUCUCCAUUUCUUUUUUGAUUUCUUUUUAGUUUUUUUUUUAUUAUUAUUUCAUUUGAUUUUUUUUUUUUGGUUUAAAAGUUCUUUUCUUACACCAUACAGUUUUUAAAACUUUAUUUGCAGCUCACUUAAAUCAUUUACUGGAGUUCUACAUGCAUCAAGAUUCCAGUUUUCUGAAAGCUUGCAUGGUUGUAGGUAUUUGCUACUUUUUCACAUGCUCUUUAACAUUUUCUUUGAAGGAUUUUUUUUUAAUUAUAUGCACCAAAUAUCUCUUUCCUAUUUUUUAGGUUUUCAGCUUGGGUACACUGUGAUCUUUGGGUUAUAUGCAUCAUUUCUUUUUGUCCGAACUGGUGAGUGAUGAUUAAAAAUUAAUGAUGUUAAAUGUUUUAUUAAUUGCUAGUGAUUUAUCUAAAUAAUAAUAUUUGUUGUUAAUUGCAGGACAUAUAGCAGCACCACUUGUGUCGCACGUGUUUUGUAAUUUCAUGGGCCUUCCUGCAUUCUUUUCUCCAAGGACAAGUAACAAAACAUAUUAUCGUUUCAAAUAUCUUUUUUUUUUAUAUAUUAUUAUGGAUCAAUUAAUCAUAAAUUUUCAAAUCUGAAAAAUUUCAGGAAUGGUGAGUGUGGGAUUUGUUGCAGGGGUAGUUGGAUUUGUAUAUCUUUUGUUUCCACUCACUUCCCCUGAGUUGUACAAUCAUAAAAUUGUUUGAUUUUGACAUGGUUAUAUGAUCACUCAGGUGGCUAAGAGUAUUGUACUUUUUAAGCUGAUUAAGGAUAUGAAAGUUGUCUCAAAAAGGUAACAUUUUUUGGUUGUUAAAGUUUUUGUGUAGUAUCUAGAUUGGUUAUUUCAUACUGUCUUAGCAUGUAUGGACAUUUUAGUUUAACAAAAAAUCUUUUGUGUAGUAUCAAGAUGGUUAUUGAAUAACUACUCCGUAUCAAUGUUUUAUUAUAAAUUUCGUAGCAGUUUUAUCAAUUUUCAUUAUAAAUUCCUUAAACAGUUAACUACAUAAACAUAUAAAGCAUAAUAAAUUCCGUGAACAUUAAACUUAUGCAAACUUAUUCUAAGGAGCAUUUAUAUUCUAUAAUACAAGAUCCUCUAUAUUCCAUUUAGCUUCUAUAUAUUAGUAGACAUAAUUUAUAGAUUUGAUAAGAGUUGACAAUAUGAUAAUCGAUCCACCUGUUUCCUCUAUCAAUCGUCAUUUACUUGAUUCUUGAUUCAAUUAUUCAUAGCAUGUAUGCAGAUACAUCACUUAGCAAGGAGCAUUAGAACUAUCAUCAAGUUCCAUCUUUUCGACAUUUUGGUACUCAUACAUCCACGAACAUACCAAGUAAUAUCCAAAGUUGGUCAACCCAAUACCAGUCAACACCCAAUACAAGUUAUCCAUCCUCCCAUCAUUAAUCCCAUCAGGCAACCACCCCGUCGUCUUCCUCACAAGAUCAACCAACGCAGUCCCCAAAUAAAACGCUACUCCAAUAAACAAGGCCACCAUUGCUGCAGCUGUGCUCUUCAUCGACUUGGGAAACUCUUGGUAAUAAAACGACACAUGACCUGGUAAAUGAAACGCUUCACCAACACCAAUAACCACAAGUUGUGGAACCAUCCAAAACACAGACAUUGGCACGACUGAAUUCCCUUUUAGGUCAUGUGAUCGAGCCAUAGCAAGUCGUUUUGACUCGACCAGUGCCGAAAUGGCCAUGCCUAACGCAUUCAGAACAUGGCCCACUCCUAUUCGUUGUAGGGGUGUGAGGGAGGUGUUUGUAAGUUUUUGGUAUGUAGGAAGAAGGAAACGGUCGAUGAGAACGAUAAAGAUGGAAGUUGAAAGCAUAGCGAAGACAAUCAUGGUUCCUGCUGAGAUUUGGAAGGUGGUGGGUGUGGGUCCGAGGUGACGAUCCAUGGCUAAAGCUUGGAGGACUAUUAAGCUCAUUUGGAUGGCUAAAGGGGUGGACAUCAUAACACCAGUUGACCAAAGUGGGGAGAUUCUGAUUAGGGUUUUGAGGUCUUCGACUUGUUGUAUUGUGCAGAGGUUCCAUGGUUUUUUGAUUGAGCUGUUGUCUGAAGUGGUGUCCCCUUGGCUUGUUAUUAGAGCUGCAUGGUUCAGAAACCUGUAUCAUUUUUAAUCAUUAGUUAUAUAACCGGUGUAAUACACGUUUAACAAAAUAAAAUAAUAUAAACUACAAAAAAACAUAAUCAUUAAUCAUAAAUUUACCGAUAGUUAAUUUAUAUAUACAACAUUGGAUGAUUGUUUAAAUGUUUAACAUAAUGUAGCGUGACAUUUUAGUAAAUGAUUUGGAACAUGUUUGUAUAUUUUUCUACCAAAAACCUUUGUGUUGAAUAAAUUCAUAAAAAUAUGAAACAUGAUUUACAUAAAUAUGCAUUUAUCCCUUCUAAGUGUAUCAAACAUGGAUGUUGUAGCUAGGUAUAUGGAUGUUAUUUUUCGUUUGCUUAUUUAGAUGGAAAGUGUUAACAAAAGCAAAGAGUUUUUAUUCUCUCAAACAAAUGUCAUAUUUUCUCUCAUGACUUUCAAAAAAAAUGUCAUAUUUUCUCAUAUCAACUACCUUUAUGUAUCAAACAUGGAUGUUGUAGGUAUAUGGAUGUUAUUUUUCGUUUGCUUAUUUAGAUGGAAAGUGUUAACUAAAGCAAAGAGUUUUUAUUCUCUCAAACAAAUGUCAUAUAUUUUCUCAUGACUUUCAAAAAAAAAUGUCAUAUUUUAUCAUAUUAACUACAUUUAUGUAUAAUUUAACAGCAACGUUAUUGUUUAAAAAUAAAUUAAAAAAUAAUAUAAACUACUCCUUUCGUCCUAAAAUUAUAGUCCAUCUUUCCUUUUUGGUGUGUCCCAAAAUAAUAGUCCACUUCUAAAAAUAAAUAACAUUUUUACCAAAAUACCCAUCAUUAUUACUUAACAAACUAAACAUUUAAUGCAACAUUAAAUGCAAAGUAAGGCAAAACUGUCAUUUUAUUAUAUAAAGUUAGUGGUAAUUAAUGAUUUUCUUAAUCUAUGUGUUUUUUGUCUGUGGACAAUAAUAUUGGGACGGAGGGAGUAUUUAGCAUCUCUCUUAAUUAGACCAUACUUUUUAUUAAUUAUAUAUGAUCAUUUUCUUUAUUUUAGAUGUUUGAAAAAAAUUAAUUAUUUUAUUCGUUGGAUAUAGUUCGAAUUAAUAAAAUUUAUGUUUAAUAUAAUAAACAUAAAAAGAUUAAAAAUACCAAUACAAUUAAAACAAAAGAAAUGUUGUCAUGUCGGACUUGUUUGGACGCGACUAAAUAGAUAUGCAAAUUCCAUUUUUGAAAGAUAAAUGCACACAAAGGAGUAAGGACAAUAAAAUCAUGAAUAUCAAAUGUGUUCAGUAUUAGGGUAAGAUGUUUUAUUUUUAAAUUUUGAAUUGAAGUUAUAUAAUGCAAAAUAAAAAGAAAAAAUGGAGAUUUUUUUUAAAUAUCAUUUGUCAUUUAAUUUACCAAAACAAUAAAAUAAAAUAAAAUAAAAACAAAAAUUAUCGUUUUUCUAAAUAUAUGUGAAAUAUUAUAAUACUCAUUCCAUCCCAAAAUAAUUGUCCACAGACAAAAAAAAUAUACAGAUUAAGGAAACAUUAAUUAUUAUUACUUUAUUAAAUGAAUCGAUAGUUUUACUUUUUGCUGUAUAUAAUUCAAUGGCAGUUGCAUUUAAUUUCAUGGUAAUUUAACUAAUAAUGAGGGAUAUUAUAGGAAAAGACAAAUUUAUUUUUAGAAGCAGGUUAUUAUUCUGAGACAAACUAAAAAUGAAACAUGGACUAUUAAUAUGAGACGGAGGAAGUAGAAUAUUGUACUGUAAAUAUUCAAAUAGAAUUUUUAGAAUGUUAAAAUAUUUUAAUAUUCUAUUAAAAUUGUUAGAUAUUUUAAAGUACUUUAAUAUUCUACUAAAAUUGUUAGCAUAUUAUAAUAUUUGAAUAUUCUAACAAUUUUGUUUUAAUACUUAUACUGUAAUAUUCUAUUAGAAUAUUUCAUGUAUAUAUAAAAAAUAUAUUUUUUUUUCGUAAAACCCUCAUCUUGAGGUACUUUAUGUUUUAUUAUUAUUUAUUAUUAUUAUUAUUAUUAUUAUUAUUAUUAUUAUUAUUAUUAUAUAUAUAUAUAUAUANNNUAUAUAUAUAUAUAUAUGGUAUUUUAGGGUUGAAACGACAUGAUGGAGGGGCCACCACGACGUGGCGAGGCAAGCUUGGAACACGUGUUACAUUUAAGCCGCCACAACGAGGCAGUAUAUGGCCAUGACAUGACAACUGUCUGAUGGAAAACCCGAUUUUUUUGGGUUUGCUUCCUAUUUAAAGGAAUAAGGAGGUUAGGGUUUGCUUAUCCUCAGCCUCCUGAAGCUCUGAAGAAACCCUAAUCUCUUUCCUCCAUUGUUGAAGCUCUUUUUGGUGUUCUUAGAAGUUCUUAAGGGAAAAAUGAAGAAGAGGUGAGCUAAGAUUCAACAAACAAGCCUCAUUUCUUCGUCCUAUCACUCUUCUAGACCUUUGUAAGUGUCCAAGACUCGAUCUUUAUCAUGUUAGGUUGUUAGAUCUUGAGUUGUGUCCCUUAAUCUUCAUGUUCUUGUUAGUUGGAGAGGUGAUAUCUCAAAAAGUUUUCAACUUUAUAAAUCUCUGAGACAUUUGGUGUGAUUAAUGGUUUGGAUCUGAAGUAUAGUUAAGUUUUUAAGCCAUAAAUGAGAAUUUUUUAUUUAUCAAAAACCCUUAUUUUGACUUAUUAUGGCUUUAAGACAUGCAUUGGACAUGCAUGUCUAUAAAGCACCGACUUUUAUGUUAGUUUUGGUGAUAGAAACCCUUCUGGAGUUAAUGGACUAAGGACUUUUUGGAAAAAGUGCUUAAUAGAUGAAUCCAUGUCUUGUCUAUCCUUUUUGAAACCUCGGGUUUGAGAUUUUGACCUUUUGGGUGGUCUUAAGGGAUAAAGUUGGAAACUUUAUCCUUCUUGACCAUGUUUCAUACCAGAUCUGAGCUUUGAUUCUUCUGUCUAUCAAUAAUUGCAUGCACUGCACGGUGGAUGUUUGAGAUUUUAACCUUUUGGGUGGUCUUAAGGGAUAAAGUUGGAAACUUUAUCCUUCUUGACCGUGUUUCAUACCAAAUCUGAGCUUUGAAGCUCUUAGGGUUAAAGGAAACAUCUUAAUCCAUUAAGCUGUUUGGAACCUAGUUCCCAUGAUGCGACAUCAGGUCGCCAUGUUGUGGCGACUAAGGAUGGAUCGACUGCUUUGUCUUGAUUCAGUGUCACGAUGUGGCCAAUAAUGGCCAUGACAUGGCGAUUCACUGAAGUGAGAAAUUUGACUCUUGACCUUGACCAUUGUCUGUUGACUUUUGACUUGAGUUGACUUUUGGUCAAACUCUUAGUUUUAGAAUAAGAACUAAGGGCUUUUUAUUUCUGGCAGUGAGAGUAGCAGUAGUUGAGUUUCGACUAAGAGGUGAGUCUUCUCACUGUACUUGUGGGUCGAAUGCACCAAUAUCGGUCCACUGGAUUGUGUUAUAUAGGAUGUUAGUUGUCUUUGUGACUCUUGAUGUAUUAUUAGGUUGAAAUAUACCCAGGGUUGGGCUCAUGAUUAUAUGUUUGGGUAAGAAACCCUAGGGCUGGGCCUAUGAUUGUAUGUUUGAUUUGAAAGAAACUCCAGGGCUGAGCCCAUGAUUGUAUAUUUGGGUUGAUAGAAACCCUAGGGUUGGGCCUAUUAUUGCAUGUUCGAGUUGAAACAUACCCCAACGCUGGGCCCAUGAUUGCAUGUUGGAUUGGAACAUACCUCAGGGCUGGGCCCAACUAUAUGUAUGGUAUCUGAUAUUUUUAGGGAACUCACUAAGCUUUAUACUUACAGUUUUAUGUUUAUGGUUUUAGGUACUUCUGGUACGAAAGCGAAGGGUUUGACGUGAUCGCACAACGUCUCCUUUAUGUUUCCGCAUUGAUUCCCAUUUUACUCUGAUGUUUGUGAUACACUGUUUUGUGAUGGAUUUUGUGACACCGAUUGUAUGGAUUGAUGAUUUUUAAAUUGAAAAAUUUUACCUCUAUUUUUGAGAUGUUAUAUUUUUCGGAUAAUCUAAAUGAAAAAAAUAAUAUUUAAAAAAAUAGAAAAUUUUCAUUUAUUUUGCAUUUUAAAAAUAGUUUUUUUGAUCUACAAAAUGAGUGGUUAUGAUUGCGUCCCCAUGUCUUACAAAAUAUAAAGAUCUCAUAUGAACCUAACCCUAUAUAUAUAUAUAUAUAUAUAUAUAUGUGUGUGUGUGUGUGUGUGUGUGUGUCAAUGUAGUUUGCAUCUGGGUCUAAAGCCAUUGAAAUCAGAGUUUGUUAGGGUGGUCGAUGAUGAACAAGCAAGGAAGUUGUGUUUCUCAUUAUAGCCGGAGGAGCACUAUGAUUCUUAUUGGAGCUUGUUAAGGUUGGUGAUGACUAAAGUCAUUGCCACGAUCACCACCGAAUGCCACUAUCGCCCAUCGCAAACAUCCAAUCCCACCCUCACCUAAUCUCUCAUUCCUUAGACCUGAUGAAACUUCCCCACCCAUUCGUCAUCGCUCAUUCUUUCUUGUGUAUGAUUCGAACCACCUCAAUUGUCGAAUUCCUCUCAUACUUCACCACAGUUAAUAAAAAAAACCCUAAAUUGUUUGGUGCAAACCCUAGCUCCGAUUGACUCAUAGUGUGGCGAUGGAGGGGAAUAGUUCAUCAGUGAGAAAUUUGUUGUUUAGGCGAUUGGAGGUGGGGUUGUUGUCAUCGCCAGAGGCUUGGCCGGUGUUGGAGGUUAUGUCUAGCCAUAAAGUAAAGAAGAAGGAAAAUCAAGAGAGGGGGAGGGGUGGGUAUUAGGCAUGAUAACUUAUGUGGGGUUGCAUAGGAUUUUUUUUUAGUUUAGUUAAUUAAAAAAAUCUUCACAAAAUAGAUAAAAAGAAAUUAAAAACAAUUUUAGGGGCAUGUUCGUCAUUUCAAAUUAGGUAUGGACCAAAACUACACAAAAAUUCCAACUAGGAGGACCAAAACCACAUAAGGUAUCCAAAAUUGGACCAUUAAUGUACCAUCAAACUAAAGAAUGUGUGUAUUUAGUUCAAUAUUAAAAUGAUGAUUAGUUAUUAUGAAAUGCGAAUCUACUUCGUUCAUUUGCAUGUUACCUUUUUAAUAGAGAUGACUUUUUCUUAGAAAAACCAUAUUGACUUUUAGGCAUGGAUAUACGAAAUUACUAAAUAUCGUGAUUUUUUGUUAAAUAUAUUUGUGUAUUUACACGGUGUCCCCAAGUUGAUUUUAAGCAGAAAAGUCAAAGGAAAUAAAAAGAAAAUAAUAAAAGUUCUUGUUUCUUAGUUUUUUAAUAGAAAAAAAUGAAAGUGAGAAAAGAAGAAUAUUUUUUCAUAAUUUUUCAUCCUAUGUUUCCUCCCCCAAAUGAGAGGGAUUUGUAGACAAAGAUAUAUAAGGCUGUCAUUUACUGAUUUUAUCCUUCAAUCUAAUAUUAAAAAAAAAUUACAAAGCUUACAUAAUCGUGAUUUUCUUCAACGCCUCUAAUGUACAUGUUGUUCAAUUGUUCUCCAUCACGACUCCAUAUUUUACCAUUUAAUUUAACUUUCAUAUCUUUUCUUUUGAAUUUGAGAACAUAAAUAUACAACUAUAUAUCUUCAUUUUCCCUCCCCUUCUUUUCUUAUUACCCUUCUUUUUCUUUCAAAUAAAAAACUCGAAACACAACGGUAAUGUAUUUUUCAUAAGGUUUAAGAUCAAAAUCGAAUAAGAUGAGUAUUUCUUGAAAAACAAUGUUAAAGAGUAUGGUUUUUAGGGCUUAGACUUGGGGUUUUAAAUCCAACAAAGACAAAUAACUACUACUAUUUUUUCUAUUUUUCAUUUUUCUAUUUUCAUGUAUAAAAAAACGUCUUUCAUACUAUUUGAAUCCGCAAUGGAGAUCCUCAAAACCACAUAUAUACUUCAAUUAUUUUUGCUACAAUUUAUUUUAUUUACAUUUUUAUGAAAUAUUUGUUUGAUCCAUUUUUAAAAUUUUCAACCUCAUGAAUAUAUUCAAAUUUUCAUGAGUUUUUUGUUUGAAAAAAUAAUCUUGCCAAUUCUUAAGUUAGUUUUUCAUGAAAUUGAUUAUUUUUUUUAAUAGACGAUUGAAAAUGUGGUUAAAUGGUUAUAUUGAUAUGUUAGCCUUUCAAAUAUGAUCAUUUUAAAUGAAUAACUCGUUUUCUUAAUACAUAAUUGGAAAUUAGAUCAACUAUACACAAUAUAUUUUAAUAAUCUGUUAUAACAAAACUUAUCAUUUUUUUAUCAUCUUAUAUAAUCGUCAUAUAAAAUGGUAAAAAGUUGAUAAGUUACAUUUGAAUGACUAAGUUGCAUUAAAGUGGAAAAGUUAUAUUUUCUUACAUAAAUAGUUAUAAAAAUAGGUUAUAUAGAUUGAUAUAUGGUGUAGCUUGUAAUUUAUUGUAUCAUUAUCUAAUUAUCUUUAAUAAAAAUUCACAUGAUUUCCUUAUUGAACAAAAUAAUAUCUAACUAAAAUUGACUUUACAAAAAUCAAAGGAUAAAUUUGAAAAAAGAAAAUACACUUUGUUUAUAUUUAAAUUCCAAUUAAAUUUGAUUGGUUGUGAAUAUGGACGCCUAUUCAUAUAUUCAUGUAUUAGGCAAUAAUUGCGCCAUACAUGUGUUACAUAUGCACUAGUCAUUCAUUUAUACUUUGCUUCAAUGCCAAGUAUUUCUAACUCAUGAUCAUUGCCUAAAACAGGAAAAUAUAAAGGUGAUACAAAUUCAUAUACAUUGAUAUUGAUAAGUCCUUUUAAACAAUAUCUACAAGAUACCACUUGAAAGACAUUUAAGUAUUAUAUUUAUAUAUGUAAUUUUUUCUGUAAGAACUUUGGGUAUUAUAUUAUUUUAUCCAGUGUCUUUUCAAGAUCGAUGAUAUUAAUGUCCCCAUACAUAGGUGGAAUUUUCAUGGUAAAAAAUAAAGAAGUUUAAUGUCAUAAUUAAAAUAUUCCAAAAUAAAAUAGUACACAACUAAAUAAAUAAUAAAAUUAUUGUUUCUUAUAAUUAGUCAUGUCCAACGAUUAUUGCAAUGAGGAGGUGACAAAAAAUCGAAACCAAAUAGAACCUAACGUGUUUGUGUUAUUUGCUUUUCAGCUAAUUUAAUUUGGUUAACCAAAUAAACCGAACAAAUAUAUAUAUAUAUAUAUAUAUANNNNNNNNNNNNNNNNNNNNNNNNNNNNNNNNNNNNNNNNNNNNNNNNNNNNNNNNNNNNNNNNNNNNNNNNNNNNNNNNNNNNNNNNNNNNNNNNNNNNNNNNNNNNNNNNNNNNNNNNNNNNNNNNNNNNNNNNNNNNNNNNNNNNNNNNNNNNNNNNNNNNNNNNNNNNNNNNNNNNNNNNNNNNNNNNNNNNNNNNNNNNNNNAUUCUAAAAAUAAAUUUAAAAUGCAAAAUAAAAGGAAAAAUCUGAAAAAUUCUUAUUUUAAUUAUUAUUUUUUAUACUUUUUUUACCUAAAAAAUAAAAAUAAAUAAAAUAAAAUAAAUUACUGUUUUUUUUAAAUAUACGUGAAAUAUUUUAAUAGAAUACUACACUGUAAAUAUUUUAAUAUGAUUUUUAGAAUGUUAGAAUAUUCUACCAGAUUUGUCAGAAAUUUAAAAUAUUCUAAUAUUCUACUAGAAUAUGUAAAAAAACGGUAUAUUUUAUUAUUAAGUUUUUAUAUCUUUUGGUAUUUUUUCAAAAAAAAAAUUGAAAAAUAUAAAUGACGAAAAUAAUAUUUGAAAUUUUUUUUCGAAAAUUUUCGAUUUNAAAAAAAAUAGGAUUUUUUUUGGAUAUUUAAAAUUGAAUCAUGAAUCAUAAAAAGUGAAUCAUGGAUCAUAAAAAUGAUCCAUGAUUCAGUUUUAAUGAUCCAUUUUUUUUCAUUUUUUUUUCUCUCCAACAUAGUACUAUGCUCGAUUUUAUGAUUUGUAUAUUUUUUUUCAAUUUUUAUAAGGUGUCCUUACGAGUCAAUUUUUUAAAAGCUAAGAUGUUACAUUUAUUUGGAGUUAUCGUUAUGUUUUGAUUUAUUGCAAUAUGCAAGGAAAUUACACAGUAAUUAAUUUAUCAACGUUUGAUAAUUUUAAGAACUAAGAAAGUCUCAUUAUUUUGUAACUUUGUUAAAAUGUAAUGAUUUUUAUGGUUUGGUCUGAUAGUCACAAGGAAACUAUUCACUUAAAUGAAUUGAUCAAUGUCGUAUAGUAUUCGUCACCGCCGUUNNNNNNNNNNNNNNNNNNNNNNNNNNNNNNNNNNNNNNNNNNNNNNNNNNNNNNNNNNNNNNNNNNNNNNNNNNNNNNNNNNNNNNNNNNNNNNNNNNNNNNNNNNNUAUAUAUAUAUAUAUAUAUUCCACAAAAAAUAAAUAAAUAUAUAAAAACUUGUAGAUACUUACUUGAAGCUAUUUGUUGGAGUUGUUAGAAACAGUUUUGUUCCUUCUGCAUAUGGCUCUUGACAAUAAUCCGCACUUUUUAGCGACAACAAAAGUUUCCUAUUCCGGAAUGCUGCUACCACAACACAAGCCAAACGAGUAAAGGGACUAGCUUGUGGUUUCAACAACUGAUAUUUAAUUCUUCCUACCGCAAAAAUCACUAAACCAAUCAAAUUAGCAGCAACACAUAAACCGUAACCCAAUCCCCAACUCAUAUUGUCUUCAACAUAAAUAAUCCCCACGACACUAACAAGUAUCCCGACAUACAAGGUAAAAAAGUGCCAAUUAAAAAAAACCCCUUGAUCCUUAGGGUUAUCGAAUUGAUCUGCUCCCAUUGUUGCUAACGUGAACCGCGUACCUGCGAGCCCUAUGCUUGAAAGAGCCACACUCAUGUACAAGAUUACGAGUUGUCUUUUUGAUGGGCCUACGCAAAGUUCUGACCCAUUUUCGCAUGGUGCGGGCUUUAACGGGUCGAGUGUUGCGGUUAGGGUUAGUAGCAGUAUGCCCGCCAAAGAUAUAAGAGAUGAAACUAAAAUUAUUGUAAACGAUCCAAAAAAUGAGUCCGCGAGUAUGGCUCCUAGGAUUGGAAGCAAGGUGGUGCAACCGUUGACUAUGUUUGCUAUUUGAGCAGCAUCGAUGCUUUUGAUGUUAAAUUCGUUGAUUAGGUACACGAUAAUAUUAGUUGACCAUCCUGCCGCGGCUAGUGUCAAACCAGCCAUGGUUGCUAUAUUUAAAAAAAUGGUUUUGUGUUAUGAUUUUAAAGAGACUUGGAUUCUAAAACUAAAAGUUAAACAAAAGAACAUACACAUACCCAUGAGAAAAGGGAAGGUGAUCCAGCCUCCUUUGGUGGGUGUAACAGAUGGUUUUGUAUCCAUGGCUGCAAAAUUUGUAUGUAACUGAAUGUGUAAGUUUAUUUUCGGGUACAUAUAUAUAGAAAACGGGACAAUGGACCCCAUAAAGGUAGGGUCAUACCAUAUGCAUGUCAAUAAUGUCAAGUCAUCAGAACUAUGGACAUCAAGUAACUUUUUUUUUUCAGAUUCUAUCUCUUAAGUUAAUUGCGGUUGGGCUUUCCAUAAUUUGGCUCUUUUUAGGAUACUUUUGACCGUUUGGGUAUUAUAGCUAUUAAGGAAAGGAGACAAGCUUUCCCUGCCGGGGUAGACUGGAAUUUCACAUUUCAAUCGAGCAAUAUAAUUUUUCAUGUUUGUCUCUUCUACUUUUAUGCUUUACAAAUAGUUUAUUCUUAGUAAUCCGAUCAGAGUUAGUUUUAAUUGAGCUCAUUUGAUAUAUUGAAAUGGUAAUAACUUCAUUUUGAAGGCUACUCAUAUGCAACAAUGCACACUCUACUUCUGCCAUAGUGGCACCAAUAUUGGUACUCACUUGCCUCUUAGUUUACAUGAUAACAAGUGGGCUUUGUCGCACAACAUGUUUUUAGACCACAAAUUAAUAAAUAACAUGUCGUUUCCAAAAAAACAAAUAAAUAACAAGUUAUUAUUAGCAUUCAUCGAGUUAAGCAUUUUUAUUUUGUUAGUACAGCCUUGCAUAAAUGAUUAGUAAUAUUUCUCAUGUCUAUGUGGACUUGAAUGCAGCCUACAUAAUGCACAAUGCAGAUAUGUGGAAUGAAGCCCUGAAUAUGCAUCUCUUGGGACAUAAGUAAAAAAUAGCAAAUCGAUCUUGAGCUUCAUUUUUUACGUACAUAAGUUCGUUCUUGAAUAUAAAUUUCACAACGACAAUUGUAUAUUAACACCAACACCUCCUGUAUAUAUUUUGAUGGGUUUUUUCUUUCCAUUGAUUAUACAUAUUUUAAUGGGUUUUUCUUUUCCAUUGAUUUAUAUGUAUAUACGGACACAAAUCAGUCUUGAUAUAUUUAAUUUUGAUUAGAUAUAUUUUUUGAUUAUAUGUUCUAAUCCGUUAGAACAUGAUAUGUUUCAUUUUUUAUUUUAUGAAAUUUAGUUCAAAGUUUUAAUGUUAUUUUAUUUUUUGUUACUUUUUCAAUUUUUAGUUUUUUAAAUAUAUUUGUUAUAUACACCUUUCGUCCGCAACAUGAUUUGAACCCUCGAUCUUUAGAUGAGGGGCGCUUAUCUGUCAACUUCUGAUACCGUUAUGUCAAAUGUCUCUUGGUAAAUAUAAUUAAGUAUAAUGCACUUACGAGUAAAAGGUUUAUACAACUUAUAUCCGUAAUUGAUCCCAAGUAAUGAGAUUUCAAAUAUAACCAUCAAACUCCUUACUUCACAAUUUAUCUUUCGCUUCUAUUAUGUCUAAUUAUUAUAACAUUAUGCAUAUAGAUGAUUACUUAGCAAGGACUUGAACUUGAGAUCUCCAUCUUUUCGACAUUUUGGUAUUCGUACAACCAUGAACAUACCACGUAAUAUCCAAAGUUAAUCAACCCAAGAAUAGUCAACACCCAAUACACAUUAUCCAUCCUCCCAUCAUUAAUCCCAUCAGGCAACCACCCGGUUGUCUUCCUCAUAAACCCAACCACUGCAGUCCCCAAAUAAAACGCUAUUCCAAUAAACAUGGCCACCAUUGCAGCAGCUGUGCUCUUCAUCGACUUAGGAAACUCUUGGUAAUACAACGACACAUUACCCGGGAAAUGAAACGCUUCACCAACACCAACAACCACAAGCUGUGGAACCAUCCAAAACACGGACAUUGGGACAACCGAAUUCCCGUGUAUGUCAUGUGAUCGAGCCACAGCAAGCCGUUUUGACUCGACCAGUGCAGAAAUGGCCAUGCUUGACACAGUCAGAGCAUGGCCCACCCCUAUGCGUUGUAGGGGUGUGAGGGAGGUGUUUGUAAGUUUUUGGUAUGUGGGAAGAAGGAAACGGUCGAUGAGGGCGAGAGAGAUGGAAGUUGAAAGCAUAACGAAGACCAUCAUGGUUCCUGCUGAAAUUUGGAAAGUGGGACCCAAGUGACGAUCCAUGGCUAGAGCUUGGAGGACUAUCAGGCUCAUUUGGAUGGCUAUAGGGGUGCAUAAGAGAAUACCCGUUGACCAAAGUGGUGAGAUUCUGAUUAGGGUUUUCAGAUCUUCGACUUGUUGUAGUGUACAUAGGUUCCAUGGUUUGUUGAUGGUGUCCUCUUGGCUUAUUAGAGCUGCAUGGUUUAGGAACCUGUUUCAUUUUUAAUCAUUAAUUAGCAUAUUUCGAAGAUUAGUACUUUGUAGAUCAAUAAUCACCUCAUUUUCAAUGUUAUUACAAAAUGUCCAUCUACUCCGCGAAUUUGUAAGUUACAUUUUUAAUAUAUGAAAGACUUUUUUUCUCAUAUGAUUUCGUUAUUGAACAAGAUAAGACCGGAUAUAAAUCUGAGUUUAAAAAUUAAAGGAGAACAUUGAAAAAAAAAAUAGAAUCGAAAGACAUGCAUGGGUUUCGUUUUAAGUUCUGACUUCUGAUUGCAUUUGAUUGUUUGGCUUUGGAAAUUUGGUCCACCCUCGCACUCCUGCAUUAUGCAAUAAUUGCGAUGUGCAUCUUGAGUUACAUAUGCACUAAUCGAUCAUUCAUUCAUGCUUUGCUUCAAUGGCAAGUAUCUCUCACUUAUCAUUAUGCCUAAAACUGGAAAAUAUAAAGGUGACACCGAUUCAUGUACCAUUGAUAUGUCCUUUUAAACAUUAUCUACAAGAUACUUGAAAGACAUUUAAGUAUACUAUGUAAUUUAUUUUGUAAGAACGUUGGAUAUUAUAUUAUUUUAUCAAAUUGUCUUUCAAGAUCUAUGAUAUUAAUGAGAGGAGGAUUCUUAUUUUUAAUACCGCCUUAAAUACCAAAACAUAUUGUGUUGAUGUUGCGUGUAAAACUAGAUAAAAUUGUCAUUAUAUUUUUAUGUUUAGUAUAAAGAUCAACAAGAUUAUCAGUUAAACAUUUAUUUCUUUUAUGACCAUAUUAGUUAUAUUAGAUUGCAGGUGUAACAAAAUCAACAACUGUGAAAAAUAAAUUUUGAUCCAAAAGAACAAGAGAAUAAUACUUUUUUAAAGCGUAAAAAAGAUUAUGGAAGAUUUAUAUUAGAUUAAUUGUUAAAAUUAGAUCAAUAUAAUUUAAUUGAAACAAAAUGAAUAAGCUUUCCGAUAAUUAAUCAUUGGUAGGUGGGCUUACUACUUUGUUGGUCUUUCUUGAUUACAUAUUUGGGAAAUUGGUUGGUGGGUUCAACUUGCUAUUUCUUUAUUAUUACCCACUAAAAGUUCCAAAGUUAAGUUGGCUUCAUUCGGAAAUGUUCAUCACAACAAAUUACUAGGUGACAAAAAAAACUUUUAAAAGUAUGCGUAUCAAAUUAGUUAUAGUAUUUGAAUAUGAAAACUAAUUCGUACAUAACAAUUUUUUUUCAUACAUAGCAAGUUAUGCAUUAAAGUGUUGUAUCGUACAACUCUAUAAAACAUAAUUUGUUGUGUAUGGAAAAAAAUCGUUGUGUAGGAUUCACUUCCCUUUGAAUAUUUAAAAGGCUAUAAUAUACAAUUUAAAUGCUCAAUUGGGUUUAUUUAAAGCUUUACGGAACAAUAUAUGAUAUAAGUAAAUUUAUGUCAUCUUUUUAUUGGUUUAACGUAACAAUAUACCGAAUAUCAUCAAACAACGAAUUUCGGUGUAAUAAAUAAAUAUUACCAAUUUAUUUGGGACUAUUGUAUUUUUGUUAUGAUCAUGUUUUCUCAAUGCCAAAAAUUAUUGUUAGGAGAAUCACGAAUCUUAAUUUGUCUUCAUCCAUAUACAUUUUCAUAUUUCAUCAUUAAAUAAAUAAAUAAAAACUUGUAGAUACUUACUUGAAGCUAUUUGUUGGAGUAGUUCUAACCGAUUUCGUUCCUCCACCUUGUUGCUCUUGGCAAUAAUCCUCACUCUUAAGUGACAACAAGACUUUCCUUUUACGGAAAGCUGCAACCACAACACAAGCCAAUCCAGUAAACGGACUUGUUUGUGGCUUCAGUAGCCGAUACUUACGUCUUCCCACCACAAAAAUCAUUAAACCAAUCAAAUUAGCCGCAACACAUAAACCGUAUCCUAGUCCCCAACUCACAUUGUCUUCAACAUAAAUAAUCCCCACAACACUAACAAGUGUCCCGGCAUACAUAGUAAAAAAAUGCCAAUUAAAGAAAACCCCUUGAUCUUUAGGGUUAUCAAAUUGAUCUGCUCCCAUUGUUGCUAACGUGAAUCGUGUACCCGCGAGCCCAAUGCUCGAAAGAGCUAGGCUCGUGUACAGUAUCGCGAGUUGACUUUUUGAUGGGCCCACGCAAAGGUUCGACCCGUUUUCGCAUGGUGCGGGCUUUAACAGGUCGAGUGUUGCAGUUAGGGUUAGUAGCAGUAUGCCCGCCAAAGAUAUAAGAGAUGAAACCGAAAUUAUUGAGAAUGAGCCAAAAAACGAGUCAGCAAGUAUGGCUCCUAAGAUUGGGAAGAGGGUGGUGCAACCAUUGACUAUGUUUGCAAUUUGAGCAGCAUCGAUGCUUUUGAUGUUAAAUUCAUUGAUUAGGUACACGAUAAUAUUAUUUGCCCAUCCUCCCGCUGCUAGCGUCAAACCAGCCAUGGUUGCUAUAUUUAGAUGACAAAAAAUGGUUUUGUGUUAUGAUUUUAAUUAAAGAGACUUGGAUUUAAAACUAGAAGUUAAACAAAAGAAGAAGAACAUAUACCUAUAAGAAAAGGGAAGGUGAUCCAGCCACCUUUAGAUGGUUUUGGUUCUGCAUCCAUUGCUGCAAAAUUUGUGUUUGAGGAAAUAAGCAUGCGUAUGUUAUUUUGGGGUUAAUAUAGCAAAUGGGACUAUGGACCUCUUAAAGGUAGGGUCAUAACUCAUAAGUCAUGCGUAUGUUAUUUUGUCUUUGUUAGAAAACAUAUCAUCGACAGCUAAGUAUUAAUGUAUUAUUAUUAAGGGGGUGUUUUGUUAUCCAAACUUGGACUACAAUGUCUUUGAAUUAAUUUUAUAAUAAUUAAUUAGGUUCAUGUUGAAAUUUUCUAAACAACUAUUUGCUAUGUAUUUAUUUGAUCACUAUAUUUUCUUUGAGACCCAAAAUCAUUAAAUGCUGUAUUUGUAUCCAUUAUAUGAUAUGGCCUUGUAUAGUUUCACGAUACUUGGCCAAAAAAAUUAUAUAAAAUUGCACGGAUUUUAUUUUUUAUUACUUAUUUGGUCUCAAUAUAUUUACAAAAAUUUUGUUCUUUUGAUAUUUCUUGUUUUAUAUAUUUUACCAAUUUGUAUUAUUUACCUUGUAAUGGAGUUUUGACCAAUUAUCGGCUAAAUCCAAAACAUGUGUAUACAUUUUCAUGUAGGUGUCAAUAAAAUAAAAAAAUUAUGAAGUAAUUUAUAUUAUAUGUACAUUUAGCCAUGAUCACUUGGUAAAGACAAUGAUUCCCCAUAUGAGAGUUCCUAACUUCUAAUCUUGGAGGCUUUAAUUAGGGGUGAUCAUGAGAAAGAUAAGGUUGUGACUUGCUAGCAUUUCACCAUAGGUGAGCCCCCUCCCUCAUAUCCUUGUCAAUCGGUGAAAUCGUAGUGGAUAGUUGUGCAACCCAUAUCAUAUAUUAAAACAAAUAUAAAGUAAAAUCAUGUUUUUUUGUGGGAUGUUGAUGCCAUUGUUGAUUUUUCUUAUAAAUUUAAAAAUCUUUGAAAUUUUUAGUGAAAAAAUUAUUAUUGAAAUGUUUUAUCAUAAACAAUAUUUAAAAAAAAAAAAGUUAGGGCAAAUUUAUUAAAAAAAGGACAAAAUUCAUGACAAAAAAAAUUGAGCCAAUUUUUUUUUCAAAAGUUGCUAAGGAUCGGUAACAUAUGGUAAGGGAUGACAAUGGAUACAAAUUUGAAAUUAAAUGACAUUAGGUCUCAAAAAAAUUCAUGACCAAAUAUAUUACGAAACAAAUGAACUUCGGUGAUAAAUGGUGAAACUGGAUUAUGGGAUGUUUAACCUUCGCGAGAGCAUCAAUACUUGUGAAUAGCUCACUCACCAUGCUAUAUAGGAGUUCAAUAUCAAGAAAGAAGUGACUCAAGGUGAUCCGAUUUCCUUUUUCUAUUCAUCAUUAUAAUGGAAGCUUUAAGUGUUCGUAUGAAAACGACUUAUGGUGUUCACAUCUUCAAAGGUAUUACCUUCCUUUGAAUGGUCCAACACUUUCACAAAUCAUACCUAUUGUAUACCAAUGAGGUAACCUUUAUAGGAGAAGGCAUGGUUAGUAUUUUGAACCUCAAAAGAUUGCUUCGAUGUUUCAUGUGGCAUCCGGGCUAAAAGUAAACCUACACAAAAGCAAGAUAUAUGGAGUUGUCGAAAAUGGCGAUAUAGUUUGUAUGGCCAAUUUUCUUAAAUAUAGGCAUGCCUCCUUUCCAUUCAUUUACCUUAGUGUUCCAAUUGGUGCCAAAAUGAAAUUAGCUAAGAAUUUAGAAUCGGUUGUUAAGAAAUUUAAAUGUAGAUUAAGCCAUUGGAAAGAGAAAAAACUUUCUUUCGGAGGGAGGUUAACCUAGAUCAAAUUGGUGUUGGAAAAUCUCCCACGGUAUUACUUUUUAAUAUAUUUUAAUGAGAACAUAUACAUCUUCAUAUAUUAAAUAUUCUAGCAAGUUACUAGAAUGUUGAAAAAAUAACAAUUACAACGGAUUUAAAAGCCAACCAUUCCAAACUACAAUAGAGUUGGAAGCUCGAUUAUCCGGCCAAGAAAAAGAAUUGAUCGCUAUACUAUCAAAAAUGAAACUCUUAUUGACAUGCAUAUCGCCAAAAAAAGUAAGGAGUUAUGAAGACACCAAAUAAAAAAACAUGAUGUUACAAUAAUCACUUCCAAAUGUCGUUUUCUGGCAGUAUGGAGGGUACCACAGGAUGCGCCAACCCACGAAAGUCAUUCCUUGAUCGAGGGUAUUACUUUUCAGUAUUUAAAGCUCCAAAUAGAGUGAUUGACAUUCUUGAAGCACUUCAAAGAAGAUUUCUAUAGGUCGGUGAUAUGGAGAGAAAGAAGAUAUGUUGGGUGGAGGGGCAAGAUACAUUAAAGCCCAAAAAAUAUGGUGGCCUUGGAGUGUGUAACAUCCCAAGUCAGAAUCAAGAGUUCAGGGGGUAAAGUGUAAGUUUGGAAAAGAGGAACUCGGCGAGUAGGAGCUGCAACUCAUCGAGUCUAAGCGUGUGUCGGGCACAUGUUAAGUGACUGGACUCGCCGAGUCGGAGGUUGGACUCGACGAGUCCGUGUUGGAAUGAGGAAACCCUAAUUCCUAAGGUUUGCACCCUAUAUAAGGAACCUUAAGCCCCACCCCAGCCUCUUUAGCACUCCCUUUGAUGUCCAGAAGCCUUCCCCAUCGAUUUCAAACCCUAAUUUGAGAGUGAGAAGGAUUUAAGUGUGUUUUGGAGCUUGGAGAAGAAGGAUACUUGAAGCAAGAGUUGAUGGGAUCAUAGAGGAGCUAAGUGGAUCUAAUCUCCUUGCUUGUUGGCAUCAGAUUGAAGGUAAAAAGUUGUUGCCUUGACUUUGUUGUGCUUAGAUUGUUCAUGGAUGAAGUUUUAGGGCCAAAUUGUCAUAUAUGAGUCUCUUUUCGAGUAUUGGGUUUAGAUAUGGGGUUGGUACUCCAGAUCUAGACUGGUCUUGACUCAUGAAUCUGGAAAGUGAUAGCUUUGGGGCUUGAUUGAGAGUGUCAUUGCCUUAAACCUUCAUUUUAGCUUGAUUAGAGCUUGUUGUGCCUUGCAUGCACGUAAAGUUGGAAACUUUACGUGUGAAUAUGGCCCUAGGAGUCCAGAUCUAUGUAUUGGAAGCAAUGGAAUGGCCUGUGAUCGUCUGAAUAAAGAUGUCACGUGUGGACUCGGCGAGUUGGAAGAACAACUCGGCGAGUCUGUUGAAGAUUGCCUUGAACUCGGCGAGUCUGUUCUUGGACUCGGCGAGUCUGGUCGUGGAACCCUAACCUUUUCUGGUUAAGCCUCGAGUCGGUGAGUCGAGGGACGACUCGGUGAGUUAAGCAGGAUGGGACUCUGAGAUUGUCGGACUCGAUGAGUCUUGGGGCGACUCGGCAAGUCGAGUCAUAUUAUGGGAAAUUUUGAGUAAAGGAACUCGACGAGUCGACGGGUUGACUCGACGAGUAGAGUCAAACAGGAGGGUUGACUUUGAUUGAGGACUUCGACAUUGACCAAGGGUUGACCAGUUGACUUCCAGUGGUAUUUUGGUAAUUAUUGGUAUUUAUUGGAUUUGGUUAUUUGGUAAUGUUCAGUGGUGGAGUUUGUGUCGGUGGUCGGAGUAGCGUGAUCUUAUUCUUCAGUCGGCAGUUGCAGGUGAGUUAUCCUCACUAUACUGACAAGGUCUACGGCACCAAGGCCAGCCCUCUAUCGAAUGGAAAUUUGGGUAUUGUUGUUAUGUUAUUGUUUUGCUAUGUUUGCAUCCUGGUAGUUAGGAUGGUAUACGUUAGGGACCUGGUUAAGGUCGGUAUCCUGAUAGUUAGGAUGGUAUAUGUGUGACUGGAAGGUCUUAUGUACUAUGAAGAGUAUGAGAUAUAUGUUGUUAGAUGUUAUGAGAGUUGUAUGUGUUAUGUUACGAUAUGAGCAGUAUGUUAUGGACCGGAAGGUCAUCAUGUUAUAGAAGGUCUUAUGUGCUAUGAAGAGUAUGAGAUAUAUGUUGUUAGAUGUUAUGAGAGUUGUAUGUGUUAUGUUACGAUAUGAGCAGUAUGUUAUGGACCNNNNNNNNNNNNNNNNNNNNNNNNNNNNNNNNNNNNNNNNNNNNNNNNNNNNNNNNNNNNNNNNNNNNNNNNNNNNNNNNNNNNNNNNNNNNNNNNNNNNNNNNNNNNNNNNNNNNNNNNNNNNNNNNNNNNNNNNNNNNNNNNNNNNNNNNNNNNNNNNNNNNNNNNNNNNNNNNNNNNNNNNNNNNNNNNNNNNNNNNNNNNNNNNNNNNNNNNNNNNNNNNNNNNNNNNNNNNNNNNNNNNNNNNNNNNNNNNNNNNNNNNNNNNNNNNNNNNNNNNNNNNNNNNNNNNNNNNNNNNNNNNNNNNNNNNNNNNNNNNNNNNNNNNNNNNNNNNNNNNNNNNNNNNNNNNNNNNNNUUCAUUUGUUUUUUUUUCUUUUUUUUUUUAUAAUCUGAAUGUUUGUGUUUUUUAAGAAAAACUUAGGUGGCAAAUAAAAUAUAUGAUGUGACAUGCUUUAGCAUGUUGCUAGAAGUGUCAUCACUCCUCUUAGAGCAUCUCCAACCGAUCCUCAAAUGCCAUUUUUUCCUCCAUUUUCUCCCCCAUUCUUCUCCAACCCUACCUCAUUUCUCCCCCUAUAUUUGGAGAUAUGAAUAGUAUUACCCCAUAUAUAUGGGGUGAUACUAUUCAUAUCUCCAAAUAUGGGGAUGAAGUUUCAGUUGUCGGGUUUAGUCCCUAAUUUUAUAUAUUUAUACAUUUGUAGUUUAUUUUAUUUAUUAGAUUUAAUUUAAAUAUAAUGUUUAAUAUUUAUAAUAUUAUGAAAUAUAAUAAAUUGUAUUAAUUAAUAAAAAAUAUAAAAUUUAUUUUUAUUUGUUAAAACUAAAUUAGUAGAGGGGUGUGUUUGACAAUCUAUCUAAGUUGAAAUAAUAGAAUAUACUUGGAAUAUACUUUUUAGAGUUAAAAAUGAGGUAAAAAAAUGGAGUAGGGUUGGAGAUGAAACACUAUUUACCCCAUCAUCCUAGAUUAUGUUAGAAAAUUUGCAAGCACCAAUUCACCAAAAGACAUUAUGAACUCAAUUAGUUCUACUAGUAUUUGGAUUUUGUGACAACAAAUCAUAUAAAACUGAAAUUUAGGAAAAAAUCGACACUUCUUGGCAAAAUUAAAGAUGUUUUUGAAAAUAAUCUACAUGAUUGUAAUUGAAACAAUAACCUGUCGGUGCAUGGUUUUAAGAACUAAUAGGUAGAACUCGAAGAUAUUCUUUUUCUGAUUUGCCUCGGUGUCUUUCAAAAUAUUCGUUUCUUGAUUUUCCUCGAUGAUUGUCUCAUUCUCCUGCUAUGUUGAUCACAUUCUCCUAAUGUGGCGAUCACAUAUUCCUCUCCUUCUCUGCAUCUUUUGGAGUUUGGCCUAUAUUUUUGUGAUUUUCCCUUAAGCAGUCGCCUAGGUCUCCCCCUUUUGGUUCGACUUUGCUUUGUUAUACUUUUGUAUACUUUGACAUUUUAAAAAUUUUAAUUGUUAAAGACUAUAAUGUUUAGGACCUUGUCUGAAUUGUUUUUUAAUUAAUUAAAAACCUUUUAAAAAGAUUAUUUCAAAUUUCCUAUAUGAUAGGGUCUAUGGUCCAUAAGGAAUGGGUGUUGUGGAUGGCAUUAUCCACUAUAGUAGGGAGGGAUAGCUUAAGUGGAGAGUACAUGAGUUUUAGGUGAUGAGAAGAUCUUGUUGAAACUAAAUAGAAGAUUCCUAACAUGGUUAUAAGACAAGUUUUGUUGUAUGGUUUUGAAUGUUGGCUGAUUAAGAAGGGGCAUGAGAGAAAAAUCAAAUGGAGGUCGUUGAAAUGAGGAUGCUAGUCUGCUACAAUCAUAUGGUAUAACUUUUUGGAUAUGGUACCAAAUACGACAAACAAAAAUCUAUUGGGUGUAGUGUUGGCUAUCAACAAACUAUGGGAAAAAACAUGUACAUUGAGACAACCGAUGAAUGUGAUGUGGAGGGUGGAUGUGGUUGGUCAAUGGUACGAGGAGGAAAGGAUGCAUAAGAAGGAUGUGGGGAAAUAGUAUGAGGUUAUAUCUAAAGAAGUCAUGAACUCAGAUGGUAUGUAGCCUUAUAAUGAGGGUGGUGGAGUAGUAUAUGCACUAACUUCUUUUGUAGUAUUCGUGUGCUUCACUCAAUCUUUGCCUUCUUAUUUGUGUAUUAAUCUUUACCUUCUUAUUUAUGUAUUUGUUCGGUAAUUACCUGCUCAAUCAUGUUUAUUUUGUAUUCAGUUUCAAUAAAACACCCCACAAAUAACUAUUUUUAUGUAUGUGUUCGGUAACAAACUGCUCAAUCAUGUUUAUUUUGUAUUCAGUUUUAUUAACAUACCCCACAAAUAACUUUUUUUUAACAUACGGAACAAUAAUUGAUUCCACAGGCAGACAUCAUCAUUAUCAUUAUUGAUGCAUCACUAAUAAGCAUUAUGUCAAUAACUAUUAUAUUUAAUACAUAAACGAUAUAAAUCUAUACAGAGAUAUGAGAACACAAUCACAAAUCGCAGAAGUUUCAUAAAAUGAUUUAAAAAGUUGCACCAAAAUCAUAAGAAUUAAGAUACAACUUUUACUUUACACCUAAAGAAGCCAACUGUAAAUAUGUAAGCACCUUAAAUUUUAUUACCCAAAAACUUCUGAAUCCCCAACAUUUUCCUGCAAAAUCCUUUCAUCACCUAUAAAGUUAUCUGAAUAUUUGCAUCUAACACCUCUCUAUAUUCUUAUAUAUGUUAACACUCACUGAGCUGCACAUCUAUCUAUAACCUACCCAAAAUUUGGAUUCCGUCUUCACCCAAAAAGUGAAGUGAUUCUACCGAUCGUCGGCAUCGGCUAUUCCGGCAAACGAAAACGGUUUGAACUUAAAACCAUCUCCGGAAUAGAAUUUGUUUUGGAAUUCCACCCAAUGAAGCCUCAAUGCAUGAAGAAAAGCACUUAGGGUUUCCAUCAUCAGUAGUAUGAAUCCAGUCGCAAAUGCAAAAACCACUAUCCCCACCAUUCGUAUAAUCACAUUAUCAUACCUACAAAAAUUACUCAGAUUUUGAGAAAUUUACAUUUUUGGUCCCUGAGUAUAGCCAUUUUUUGCAAUUUUAGUCCAGCUAUACUCAGGGACCAAAAAUGUAAUUUACUCAAAAAGAAAUAUAGUCAGGAAAAGAUUACCCCCAAGCAAGGAGGAGAAUUUUCUCAUAGAAUACAGUGGACAAUUCUGAGUGGGCCAAACUGUAACAACGAGAAAGAACGAGGGUAAGAUUGUAAAUUUUGUAAUUGACAAGAAUGAAUAUAAUGUUUUGUACCUUAAAGCCCAUAGCCGAAGGUAUGAAGCUGUGUUGGAAACUGAACCAAGUACAAAUUCAAUGGAGUGUAUCAUUUGAUAUACAAAAACCUCACUGAAAUUAAACUCUUCAACAUGAUGUCUUCUUGCUGAAUCCGGUUCAUGAUCUUCCAUAUCUGUCUCGGAAGCUUCUAGAAUGUUGUAUGAACGCCCAUGAAAUCUCUAAAAUGUACAAAAUUUAAAAAUGUAAAAACAAAGAGAAAAAAAAAUAAACAUAUAGUAGAAAUCGAGUACCUUAAAAUGAAGUUUUUGUAAGAUGAAAGGUUUGGGGAAGAGCAUCCAUGGAACUGCAACAAUGGCAGACACCAAUAACAUGAUCUGAAGGAGCUUUUGUCCCCAAAACAACUCAUUCUCACCAAGAUCAUCAAAGGGACUUAAAAACAUGUAAAUCAUGACAUGAUAAAGGUCUGCUUUUGAUCCAGUGCACCACUUUAUGAUAAUGAGAAGAGAAAGGUACCCAAAGAGGCUGUUUAAGAAGAUCAUCUGUGGUAUAAACUGAUACCUGAUGUCUAAUGAAUUGUUGAAGAAAACUGAAUUGAAAUAGCUUAAUAAGAUUCCAAGAUUCAUUUGUGUAACACCGAAUAAAAUAGACAUUUUCAUUUUCAGAGAGUUUAAAAAAGGUAACUCUGAUCGACUUCCACGCCAGCUAGGAUCCACACCAAAUGGAUAUGUGUCACCAUAUUUUAUUAAACCAGUUGUAUAUGCAUCACUGUUGUUUAACAUACGGAUAUCAUAAAUAAGAUAUUGAGCUUAUAUUAUGAACACGUUGAAAGGAAAAAGAAAGAGAAAAGAUGAAUUUAAAUUUUAAAUUAAAUACCUGCAUGAGGUGUCACGACAUUUAUAUGCAGAUGCCCCAAAUAUGUGAAAAGGAACAGAGAAGAAUUCAUUGUAUAUUAAACCACAGUAAAUUGAAAAUAUGGACAUUAAAAGGAGCACAUAACGCCCACCAAAUAACAUCUCCAUGAAACUCCCAAGUUUCUGCCACAUAUAAAAAUCUGGAUUAUAAAAAAUACCAAGUAAAUGACAAAAAAAAAAAAAAUCUUAGCAGAUUGAAGAGAUACCUGAGAAGUAAGUUUUUUUUCAUGAGUUAUGAGAAAUAAAGCUCCAAAAAGUAAGCAAAUUCCAUGACCCCAAUCACCAAACAUGACAGCAAAAAGAAAUGGGAAAGUAAUUACAGUAAAAACUGUUGGAUUUGCUUCCUGAUAUUUAGCAACCCUGUAAAAAGUAAAAACAAUCUGUUACUAAUAUAGUUAAAUCAAAAAGUAUUUUUAAGAUGUGAGAAUGAGAUUUAGGUUUUUACCCAUAUGCAUCAAUAAUCUCUUGAUAUGCGUGUGUAAAUCGGUUAGUUCUGAUAUAUGUUGGAGGUGAUUCCACAGCUUCCAUUACAUGAAAUAUUAUGCCAACUUGUGAGUUGCUAUCAUAUGUUGCACGUUGCAAUGCCUCCUGAAUCUUUAAAUAAAUAAAUAACUUCCAUCAAAACCUUUAAAAAAAUAACUAUAAUAAUAAUAAUAACGUUUUCCGGAAAAAUAAAAGAAAAGUACCUGGGACUUAGCAAAUAUUGGACACCAUCCUUCUCCAACUAGACACUUCUUUGUUACAUCAAAAUCCAACAUAUUCAAUGUGUCGAAAACAGCUUUCUCUCUUUUAACCUACCAAGAUUAUUAAAUCCUUAAAAUAUUAAAGAAAAUUCAAGUCUUGUAUAUGAAAAAAAAUUUAAGUUUUAUUGUUAACAAUACAGGAAAUGAAGAAAAUGCACACCUUACCAUGGUCAUCCAUGUCAACAAGUGUAAUCCAAUAGAAUGUAAAGCAGCAUUACGAUGACGAAUCCCAGCAUCUAAAGUGGUUUCUAAAUCCAAUAAUCGUGACAAAAUCUGCAGAAACAAAUAAAAAGUAAUAUUAUAUGAUUUAUGUUGCAUGAUUUUGGGACAUAUGGAGUGUGAAUUAAAGAAUAAACAAUAAACAGAACACCUCUUCAGUUAUUUGUCUCUGUUUUGUUAGGUCUUCUGGAACAGGAUAGCAGUUUGCAUCAAAUGCUUCACAGAUUUUCAGAAUUUUUGUUCUUGAAUGCUCCCCUGAGAAGUACACUACAAAUAUAGUCUUCUCCACCUUCAAAAGAAUCAUUGAAAAGUGAAUGACUGUGUGUGUGUGUGUGAGAGAGAGAGAGAGAGAGAGAGAGAGAGAGAGAGCAAACCAUUUCAGUUGAUACAGGAUCCAGGAUUGGUUCAUCUGCAUCUGCCUGAUUGAAAAACAUAUUUCCUCUUGUGGCACGAAACAGUGUUCUCUCAAAUAAUAACAUUUUGGAUUUUAUGAUAAUGCCACUGAUAAAUCUAAGACCUGAUGGAUUUGAUGAUCCUGAUUGCAUUUCUUGAUCAAGUAAGGAGACUGAAUCUUGAUAGUCAUGGGAGAACACGUUCUCAUCUAAUUCUCUCUCUUCCAUAAUAACCUCAUGACUCUUGCUUGAAACUAGAAAGCCUCCUGCCUGAAGAAAGAAUAAUAAGUUAAUAAGAUUUACAAAUUUGAUUACUUUAAGAAGUUAAAGGUUUUGGUUAUAUAUACCUUCUGUAGCACCAUCUUGAACUCUAGAAGCUCAUUAUAUGUUUGUUGUAGUUGGUCACUGUUGGCAUUCAUCUCAAGAAGCUCAUGUUCAUAAUUAGCUAGUUGUAUCUCUAAUCUUUCAAGAUCAAUAUCUGGUUGUAUUAUGGGAAGAGAUGAAGAUGAUAAACCGGCCUUGUGUAUCUGAUCUUUGAAGAAACGAAGCUUUCUUGACAUCUCAGCACAUCUUUUUACCUGAUAAUUGUAGCACAAUUUGGUAAUUAAGGAUUUAAGGUUACUUUGUGCAAUGCAUUCAACAAUCAACAAUCAACAAGUGAUAUCAACUACUGAUAAAUAUAAGCUUUACCUGAUUUACAAAUAUUCUCUGAAAGGGGCUUUUAUCAGCAUUCAACUGCCAAGAAAAAUCAGAAUCAAGAGAUUAGUAAAAUCUGCCUGAUGUAACAAAGAUCUAUAACCUAAAUCAAUAUUUAAAUUGAAAUAUGAAAACCAAUAGAUAAGAGCAACUUGUUAUUUGGAAUUGUCUUGUAAUGCCAAGAACUUAAGCAGCAACACAUGCAGACUCCACAUCCGAACUCUUAACAUUUGAUUGUGAAAAGAGAGGAUCAACUUCAAAAGAAGGUUGGCACUUGACACAGCUGGUGCCCUCAUUCAUCUUCAUUCGCUAUUAGUGAAAUUAACAUCAUUUGUCUUAAUGACUCUACACCUUUAUAAGUUUAUAUCACAUUUAUAAUCUCAAACAUUUUAUUAGUCUAUGCCUGAAGUAAUUACUAAGGAGAUUAGGUUACCAAACCACCAUAACCUAAAACAUAGCAUGCAUUUUGAUAUUGGAUACAAAAUUCUAAGUAAAUCAUAUGGCACACACCCUACUUAAAAGGUGAAUAGAUAUCAAAAUUCCAAGUCGUUCUUAAACAACACUAAGAUCCUAACCAAUCACUGCUGGAAUUGGAAAAAAAAAAAAAUAAUAAGUAAAAUCAAGUCCGUAGAGUAAAAUGUGGUAUUGAGGAGUAAUACAUAUGCAUAUGUAAAGAGAAAUUCGGAUUCAGGAACAUACGUCACGGAACUGUAAAAGGCCGAGUUCGCCGAGAUAAGAGAUGGCGCGGUGAGCAGACUCAACGGGGAUGAUCAACUGAACCGAUGUCAUCUUCUCCGACCGCAUCAUAUCCAUUUGAGGCAAAUUCUUUAACAGCUCCAUAAUUAUUGUUCCUGCUGCUACUCUUACGCUACCUACGGAUUGAAUGAAUGCUAAAAUUUUGAUAUUGAGGGUUAUAUUUGAGAUCUAGACACCAUCAAUUCAUAUUCUAUGUUCCAUACGGAAAUCCGCGUUACAAUUCACUGUAAUUUGUUUGUUUUCUUAUUUUGGGGGUAAAGGUAAACCCCUAUUCCUAUAUGAAUUAUGAUCGCGUACAUAUACGUGAUGUCGGUGUCGAAUUGGUUUAAUAGUUGAGAUUUUCUCAUGUGAUUAUCAAAUAUUGAACAAUUAGAAUCAUAGUUCUUUUCUACUUAAUAAAAUGGAGGCAUGACUUAUUCUAUACAGACAUAUAACAGCAUUUUUUUUUUAAAAAAAAAACAAUACAUAUAACAUGUCUUAAUAGGUUACGUUUAAGAAAUGAGCAUUUGUCUAUUAAGACACCUUUUUUUUUCUUUCUCACCUUUACGGGUCGGAUUUACGUUAGCCCAAGAAAGGAGCAUACCUACAACCAUAUGGCCCAUAUGUCUUUUGGUUUGAGCUUUUAUCCUACUUCUUUUGUUGUACCCUUUAUCAUACUUUUCUUCUAUAAAUAACUAAAAACCACCGCUUUAAAAGUAAAUGCUAACUUAAAAACUCAAUACUUUGGCCUAGCUGUCAAGAAUGACACUUUUAAAUAAGAGGUCGUGGGUUCAAAUCUCAUUAAAAGACAUAGGUGGUAUUUGGGAGUAAAUUUGUCGGUUCAAAAAAAACUUACAAACUCAAUCCCUCUUGUUUCUCGAAAAUGGUUGAAUCAAUUAUACAUAACAAUCAAAGGAGAUUAACCAAAAUAGGUUGUGUACGAUUUAAUAAAAUAUAACCGAUAAAACCGAUCAAGUACUGCCGAUUAAAAUUUUUAAAAAACCAAAUGAAAUAUAACUGAAAAAACUAUAUAUCAUAUUUAACUUUAUAUAUUUAAAAGCGCAAUUGUGCCUUGUAACUUUUUUUUUAAAUGAUUUUUUAAGACUUUUUUUUUUAAAAAACACACUUAAAGUAUGUCCUAUUUUUAUAAGAUAGUUCCUAAUUUUUGUGGUAUAUAUAUUAUAAAUGAAAUUGAAAUUUUAGAUAGGUCGUAGGACCUACCUUUUUCCUUAUUAGUACACACAUAACAACUCAACAAACCAAAAACUUUAAAGUUUAAUGUCUCCAUUAUAAUGAAGUUUUUUCAUAAAGCUUAUUUAUUACUCUUCCAACACUUUUUAAUUUGUAAUUAAUGAGAUAAUGGAAUAAAAUACAACUAAAAUUAUGAAAAAAAAAAAAAAAAAAACUCUAUAUCAAAGCUUGUAAUCGGCAGGUAAAUGAAAAGGUUAUGAGAUAAAAUAGCUCUACUUGAUCCAACACCCUAUAACGGUUACAGAUAUAUGAUUGGAAUGCUUAAUUGUAUUCAGUAAAAUACGUACCUUUAAAUAGGCUAAUUAUACAGUUAGAUGAUAUUACAUUUACUGGAGAGAUAAUAAAAACUCUAACCAGCUAUUCUACAUUGACAAGAGAGAUAACAGAAACUCUAACAAACUAUUUUGGAGCUUACUUGACCAACACCCUAUAAGGGUUAUAAAUAUAUGAUUGGAAUGCUUAAUUGUAUUCAGUAAAAUAUGUGCCUUUAAAUGGCUAAUUACACAAUUAGAUGAUAUCACAUUUACAAGAGAGAUAACUGAAACUCUAACAAACUAUUCUACAUAUGCAGCAAUACUUUGACUGUGUAUUUACAAUACGACUAUAAUCCAGUUAUGUUGACCCAAUGGAUCUAGAUGAUCUAUUUUCCUUAAUACGCCCCCGCAAGAUGGAGGAUCCGUCAGAUACACCAAUCUUGGAUCUAUUUCGCAGGAAAGGAGCUCAAGACAGAGGUUUGGUGAGCAUAUCGGCAAGUUGAUCAUGAGAAUUAAUGUGAAGGACACUCAAAAAAAACCACCUGAAACUUGUUCACAGACAAAAUGAUAGUCAAGGGUAACAUGUUUCAUGUGUGAAUGUGUAACAUCCCAAAAAUACCGGUUAAAAAUUUCAUUUUUUAUUUAGAUUAAUACGUAGAAACAUCAUUACAAAACAUUUAUAACAAUAAUCCAUGUCUGAAAACCAGUAAUAUCAUAGUAAUAAUUCAGAGUACAUCCCAGAAAUCCAUAGUGCGGAAAACAAGAGCGUGUGUGAUAUGCCGCUAUCGUGCCGACUCCUUUCCCCUAGCUGAAGAGGUACCUGAAACAACAACUGAAAGACGUAAUCACAAAGCUUAGUGAGUUCCCCCUUCGUACCACAUACCAUACAAACACAUAACAUACAUACUGCCAAGCUAUUAUGGGGUGCCUGACUACCCGGUACGACCAUUCUGGGGUGUCGACUACCCGUGCGGCCAUUCUGGGGUGCCGUCUACCCGUGUCAAGCCNNNNNNNNNNNNNNNNNNNNNNNNNNNNNNNNNNNNNNNNNNNNNNNNNNNNNNNNNNNNNNNNNNNNNNNNNNNNNNNNNNNNNNNNNNNNNNNNNNNNNNNNNNNNNNNNNNNNNNNNNNNNNNNNNNNNNNNNNNNNNNNNNNNNNNNNNNNNNNNNNNNNNNNNNNNNNNNNNNNNNNNNNNNNNNNNNNNNNNNNNNNNNNNNNNNNNNNNNNNNNNNNNNNNNNNNNNNNNNNNNNNNNNNNNNNNNNNNNNNNNNNNNNNNNNNNNNNNNNNNNNNNNNNNNNNNNNNNNNNNNNNNNNNNNNNNNNNNNNNNNNNNNNNNNNNNNNNNNNNNNNNNNNNNNNNNNNNNNNNNNNNNNNNNNNNNNNNNNNNNNNNNNNNNNNNNNNNNNNNNNNNNNNNNNNNNNNNNNNNNNNNNNNNNNNNNNNNNNNNNNNNNNNNNNNNNNNNNNNNNNNNNNNNNNNNNNNNNNNNNNNNNNNNNNNNNNNNNNNNNNNNNNNNNNNNNNNNNNNNNNNNNNNNNNNNNNNNNNNNNNNNNNNNNNNNNNNNNNNNNNNNNNNNNNNNNNNNNNNNNNNNNNNNNNNNNNNNNNNNNNNNNNNNNNNNNNNNNNNNNNNNNNNNNNNNNNNNNNNNNNNNNNNNNNNNNNNNNNNNNNNNNNNNNNNNNNNNNNNNNNNNNNNNNNNNNNNNNNNNNNNNNNNNNNNNNNNNNNNNNNNNNNNNNNNNNNNNNNNNNNNNNNNNNNNNNNNNNNNNNNNNNNNNNNNNNNNNNNNNNNNNNNNNNNNNNNNNNNNNNNNNNNNNNNNNNNNNNNNNNNNNNNNNNNNNNNNNNNNNNNNNNNNNNNNNNNNNNNNNNNNNNNNNNNNNNNNNNNNNNNNNNNNNNNNNNNNNNNNNNNNNNNNNGCCGAGUCUAUGAACAACUCGCCGAGUCCAUGAACAACUUGUCGAGUACCAGGCAAUCUUCAUAGGACUCGCCGAGUGGUUCAUCCAACUCGCCGAGUCUAAGGCCAUAUUCAUAGAACUCGCCGAGUUCCACCUUGGGACUCGCCGAGUCCCUUGACCCAUUUCCCAUAUGAGCCAAAUCUGAGACAUGCAACUCUUCAAAACCACAGAUCUAUGAUCCUAGGGCAUGCUUAACACGUAAAGUUGCAAACUUUACGUGCAUGCAUGGCCCUAUAAGCUCAAAAAUGCAAUUCCAAGCUCUUUAAGAGGUCAUGCACUCCAUGGGGGUCCUCAAUCACUUCAACCACAGCAACUUUAUGUUUCUAACACGUCCAUAAAGUCUAGAUCUGAAUUCCUUUCGAAUUAUUAAGCACAACACAUGGAGUUUGGUGUUUUAGGGCUUGAAAACCACCAAAUUGGGACAAAAUGGGAUCUAAUGAACUAAAGAUCAAGGUAGAGACUUUACUAACUGAAUGGAAGCUCCUCCCAAAGUAGAUUUCGGAUCUACUCCCUUUCUUGCACUCUUCAAACUCUUCUUUUCUCCUUCUAAGCUCCAAUGUGCCCCAAAAAUCCUUCACAAGGCAACAAAUCACUCAAACUUACAAAUGGAGGCUAGGGUUUCGACAAGGAACGCUCUAAGGAUGAUAGAGACUGAGAUGGGGCUAUAAGGACAUUUAAAUAAGGUGCAAACCCUAAGGAUUCGGGUCUCCUCCUGAUUGGCCUACUCUCCGAGUCCAGGCGUGGACUCGCCGAGUAGAUCACUUAAUGCCCGCACCCAUCUCGACAUCUACUCGGCGAGUUAGGGCUACAACUCGCCGAGUAGCUCUUCCAAAAAGAACCUUUAAUCAAAACAAAUACGUACUAGGAACUGGGCGUUACAAAUCUCCCCCACUUAUCUUAGACUUCGUCCUCGAAGUCUGCUGACUCCAGAAACAACUCUGGGUAGUGCUCCCUCAUCUCCUCCUCCGCCUCCUAUGUCCACUCUGAACCCCUCCGGUGCUGCCAUUGCACCUUCACUAACUGAACCACCUUGUUCCUCAAGGUCCUCGUCUUUCGAUCUAUGAUCACAACUGGUCUCUCGAUAUAAUUCAGGUUGCUAUCGACCUGAAUAUCCUCCAAGGGUACAACUGUCGACUCGUCCACCAAACACUUUCUCAACUGAGAAACAUGAAAAGUGUUGUGGAUCUGGCUAAGCUCUGCUGGAAGAUCCAACCUAUAGGCGACCCGACCCACCCGGGCCAAAACCCUAAAAGGACCAAUGAACCUGGGGCCCAACUUGCCCCUCUUCCGGAACCUAAUGACACCCUUCCAGGGUGAUACCUUCAGGAGGACCAUGUCACCCACCUGAAACUCCAAGUUUGAAUGCCUUCUGUCGGCGUAACUCUUCUGCCAACUCUGCGCAGUCUGCAGCCUGCUACGAACCUGCUGGAUCAACUCUGUCGUCUUGAGCACCACUUCGGUGCUCCUGAUGACGCGCUGACCGACCUCGCCCCAACAAAUCGGGGUCCUGCACUUUCUCUCAUAGAGCAUCUCGAAAGGAGGGCGGUCAAUACUCGCAUGGUAGCUGUUGUUAUAUGAAAACUCAGCCAAGGGAAGAUAGGUAUCCCAGCUACCACCGAAGUCUAGCACACACGCCCGCAACAUAACCUCCAGAGUUUGGAUGGUCCGCUCGCUCUGACCAUCUGUCUGCGGGUGAAAGGCGGUGCUAAAAUGCUAACGAGUGCCCAACUCGUCAUGAAACCUCUUCCAAAACCUGGAAGUAAAACGCACAUCCCUGUCCGAGAUAACCGAUACCGGCACCCCGUGUCACGCCACAAUCUCCCUAAUAUAGAUGUCGGCCAAUUUCUCGGCCGAUAUGCUCUCCUGAAUCGGAAUAAAAUGAGCACUCUUGGUCAAUCGAUCCACGAUGACCCAAAUCGAAUCUACUCCACGCGCGGUCCUGGGAAGCUUCGUGAUAAAAUCCAUCGUGAUAUCUUCCCAUUUCCACAACGGGAUGUCCAACGGCUGCAUCUUGCCAUGCGGUCUCUGAUGUUCGGCCUUGACCUUCCUGCAGGUCAAGCACCGCUCGACGUACCAAGCCACAUCCCGCUUCAUGCAGGGCCACCAAUAAUCUAGACGAAGAUCCCUAUACAUCUUCGUCGCCCCUGGAUGAAUAGAGAAUCGGGAUUUAUGCGCCUCCUCCAUCAAGAUCUGGCGCACGCCUCCGUGAUACGGCACCCACACCCUACGGUGUAGUGUCAAUAGUCCUCGGCUAUCAUAAUCGAAGGAGGAAACCUGACCCACCACACGCUCGCUCUUCUGAUGCUCCUCCUUGAUAGCCUCCUGUUGAGCCUCCCGAAUUCGCUCCAACAGGGGAGUCACUACGGUCAUCCUCAUGCAAAUAUCCCUGAUCGGCGCCGCCUUGCGGCUAAGCGCAUCGGCCACCACGUUGGCCUUCCCCGGGUGGUAAAGGAUCUCGCAAUCAUAAUCCUUCACCACGUCCAACCACCGACGCUGCCUCAUGUUCAGAUUCGGCUGAUCCAUGAGGUACCUCAAACUCUUGUGGUCCGUGUAGAUGGUACAUCGAACCCCGUAGAGGUAAUGCCGCCAAAUCUUGAGGGCAAAAACCACCGCCCCCAACUCCAAAUCAUGCGUCGGGUAGUUCGCCUCGUGAGGCUUGAGUUGUCUCGAAGCGUAGGCAAUGACAUGCCCCCUCUACAUCAGUACCGCGUCCAAACCUGAAAUGGACGCGUCAUAGUAAACCAUAAAAUCCUCUACGCCCUUUGGCAGGGCUAAGAUUGGCGCCUCGUACAAUCUCCGUCUCAGUGUCUCAAACGCAGCCUGCUGCUCGGGUCCCCACCGAAAGACUACGACUUUCUUCGUCAUCCGCGUCAGGGGUACGACUAUCUUGGAGAAAUCCUGAAUGAAUCUCCGAUAGUAGCCUGCUAAUCCCAGGAAGAUCCGAAUCUCGGAUGGAGACUUAGGAACCUCCCAUCUCAUCACGGCCUCGACCUUAGCCGGGUCGACUAAAAUCCCGUUCUGGUUGACAAGGUGUCUGAGAAAUUACACCUCGCGCAACCAAAACUCACACUUUGAGAACUUGGCAUACAAGCUCUCCCUCCUCAGGGUCUCCAAAACCUCUCUCAGAUGCUCCUCAUGCUCCUCUUGUGUCUUGGAAUAAACCAAGAUGUCGUCAAUGAAAACUAUCACACAUCGAUCCAACAUCAGUCUGCAUACGCGGUUCAUGAGGUCCAUGAACGCGGCAGGAGCAUUGGUAAGCCCAAACAGCAUCACCACGAACUCAUAAUGGCCAUAGCACGUCCGAAACACGGUCUUCUGUGCAUCCUCCUCUCUGACCCUCAUCUGAUGAUAACCCGAACGCAAAUCGAUCUUGGAGAAUCAAGAUACUCCCUGAAGUUGGUCAAAGAGAUCAUCAAUCCUCAGGAGUGGGUAACGGUUCUUCACCGUUACCUUGUUUAGCUCCCGGUAAUCUAUACACAUCCGGUGCGACCCGUCCUUCUUUCUCACGAACAGAAUCGGGGCUCCCCAGGGUGAACUGCUCGGUCGAAUGAAUCCCUUGUCUAACAGCUCCUGCAGCUGUGUAGACAACUCCUGCAUCUCAGGAGGAGCCAACCGAUACGGUGCCUUGGCUAUUGGAGCCGCACCAGGAACGAGGUCAAUCCUGAACUCCACCUGUCGCUCCGGAGGUAUCCCAGGAAGCUCCUCUGGAAAAACAUCUGCGAAGUCUCGCACCACCGGAACCUCGCUCACCGUCGCCUUACCCGCCUCCCGGGUAUCCAUCACGUACGCGACAUAACCUGCGCAUCCCUGCUGAAGGUAUCGUCUAGCCCUCGUUGCUGAACAGAUUGUGGGUCCACACUGUGGCCUCUCGCCAUGAAUCACUAACUCUCCCCCACCUGGGGUCCUGACUCGCACUAGCUGUUGCGCGCAAUCUAUCACCGCCCCCAUUAGGGCUCAACCAAUCCAUGCCUAUAAUCACCUUGUUCCCACUCAAUAGAAUGGGAACCAAGUCUACCAGGUAACGCUCCUCAAACAAACACAAUACGCAAUCCUGAAACACAAUCGAUGCUCGCGCCAAUCGAUCAUCAGCAAUUUCUACCUCUAAUGGGCAAUCUAACACGCCCGAAGACUCAGGAAACUUCUUGCUAAGCGCAAGGGAAACAAAUGAUCGGGAGGCACCCGAGUCGAACAACACCUGAACUGGGAUGCCGUUCACAUGGAACGAUCCUAAUGCAUACAUUUACACACAGAGCACAUGUCAAUAUCAGAACAUCAUAAAAAUAAAAUAGAGGGAAAGAAUCAUACCCGUCACCACAUCGGGUGCGGCGCGUGCCUCCUCGGUAGUCAGCUGAAAUGUCCGACUCCUCACCACUGGAUCCUCUGCCUUGCCCUACCGGCCAUCAGUAAUCUGCAGGGUCGCCGGUGCUGGCGCCUUCACUGGCGUUGUGGCUGUCAACUGGGGACAGUUGUCCUUCUUGUGGCCCCUCUGGCUGCAGUGGAAACACAACAACUCCGAUGUCUGUAACACAGGUGCAGGGGCAGUAUAAUCCCUGCUAAAAUGCCCCGUCUUGCUGCACUUAUAGCAGUCUGACGAUCCAAGUCUACACGCCCCCUCAUGAGGCCUGCGGCAUUUCCUGCAGCGGCCCGGUCCUGACUGGCCUUUCGGCCUACCAUCUGAUCCCUUGGGCUUCUUCCCCGAAGCUCCUCCCGCCUAUCCCUCCUCUGACUUCCGUUUCCGGAUAUACUCCAAAUCUAUCUCCCACUCCCUCGACCUGGCAAUCAUAGAGUCCAAGGUGGGGCAAGCUGAAAAACUAACGUGCUCCCGAAUGUCAGCUCGGAGCAUGUCAUGAUAGCGGGUCCUCCUCAUGUCCUCAUCACCCGCGUACUGAGGCACCAACAGUUCCCUCUCCCGGAACUUGGCGGUGAUCUCCGCCACAGUCUCUGUCGUCUGUCUCAUAUCCAAAAACUCCUUGGCCAGCUGCUGAAGCUCGACAGCCGGCGCAAACUCCGCCCUGAAUCUGGUCACAAAGUCCGACCAGGUCAUAGCCUCGACCGUUGAGGCUCCCAACGAGUCACCCACUGACUCCCACCAAUCUCGAGCUCGGUCUCGUAAACACCCUGCUGCAUACCUCACCUUCGACCCCUCGGGGCAGAAGCUAGUCAACUGUGCAGACUCGAUGUCUGCAAUCCAUCGCCUGGCAGCAAUGGGGUCUUUCACCCCGUGGAAAUCCGACGCACCACUGCCCCUGAAGUCCUUAAAGGAUAGCGUGCGAGAUCCCGACUGGCCAGAUGCCAUGUCGCUCCUGAAUGCCCUGAGGCGAUCCUCCAUCAGCUCAACUAUCCCUUCCUUGAUCGACCCGAAGAUGAUGGGAGUCGACUCAAGGAUACCCCUGGUGAUCUCUGACGCGAUGAACUCGCGUAGUCUCUCAUCUACCGGCUCGGAACCUGAUCCCGAACCCGACCCCUCUCAUGAACCGCCAUCUAUCGGCCUCGAUCGAAGUACCACCAUUCUGAAAUACAUAAUUAACAAUUGUUAGUGAUUCUGCUACUUCUUGAGGGAUCACAACUACUACAAGUUCCCCGGUCUUAUCUCAACCUUCCUUAGUUCGGGUACGGAUCCUCUGCUUUCAGUAGUACGGGCCCAUACUACUUUCCACAUCUAUUCGUACCUUCUUCAAAGACUGCCUUGACUCCACCGGACCCCUUUCACUAUUGUUGUUCACUGCUAUACUCAUCCUAGGCUUGCCCUAGGGAAAUCUCUGACUCUACUCUACCCAGUCCUCAGCUGCUGCAGGCCUCCUUGUAAUGCCAAUUAGCCAUUACCUGAAUACCAUCACAUGUGAUGAGGCUCAGAUAAUCCUUCGAGUAACAGACUCGUCCCUACCACGGUUGGACUCAAACAAGAGCUGCGCAAUAGGAUCAAAUCCAGCGCUCUAAGAUUAUUCAACCCUGAUCACAUGUGACGUGACGUAUUCACCUAAUGGCUAACUCCUAUUAUUCAGAGUCCCACAAAGCACGGAGCAAGCAGUAUUCAGACAAGGGUAACCAUCUCAAUCAACUCUAUCUGUCUACAGGAACUGUACUAGCAUACAAUGCUAAGUUCAUACUAUCAGGCAUAACCUAAUCAGGUUAUCCUACUUACUGUCUACUCAAUACUAGCAUGCAAUUCUCAUACAACUGAAACAUAUAAAGCAGGCACAUAAGGCAUCACUCUUAGAUCUUUAGUCCUAUUCUAGCAUGCUGUUCCACAAAAUCUGAUAAACAUAACAUAAACUUGUAUGUGUACUUUGGGGAAUACUUACUUGAGCUCGGCCGGUCGCGCACAUCACACACUUCGUUCUUUCUCAAAACUCUUUUCUAAAUUUUUUAGAAAAACAUUUUCUUUUUGCAAAAUCUUUUAAUCCCUUGAUUUGAGUUCAGACACCCCCGAAGGUGUGUCCGAAUCCCUCAAACCAGGGCUCUGAUACCAACUUGUAACAUCCCAAAAAUACCGGUUAAAAAUUUCAUUUUUUAUUUAGAUUAAUAUGUAGAAACAUCAUUACAAAACAUUCAUAACAAUAAUCCAUGUCUGAAAACCGGUAAUAUCAUAGUAAUAAUUCAGAGUACAUCCCGGAAAUCCAUAGUGCGAAAAACAAGAGUGUGUGUGAUAUGCCGCUACGUGUCGGCUCCUUUCCCCUAGCUGAAGAGGUACCUGAAACAACAACUGAAAGACGUAAGCACAAAGCUUAGUGAGUUCCCCCUUCGUACCACAUACCGUACAAACACAUAACAUACAUACUGCCAGGCUAUUCUGGGGUGCCUGACUACCCGGUACGGCCAUUCUGGGGUGCCGACUACCCGUGCGGCCAUUCUGGGGUGUCGUCUACCCGUGUCAAGCCAUUCUGGGAUGCUGACUACCAGGGACGAAUUUACCUUCAUACAAAGGGUGUCCAUGGACACCCCUAAAUUUGAAAUUUUAUUUACAAGAUAUAUCAUAAAUUUUAGAGGACACCUGUUGGAAAAAUAAAAUAGACACCCUUUGGAUGUAAUAUGGAUGUAAUAACACAAAAGAGAUAAUAAUAAUAAAUUGAAUGUUUACAUUUUGACAAUCGAUUCUAAAUUAUUAAUGCUUACAAAAAAAUCAGAAGCAUAAAUUUAGGAGUUAAACAAACAAAAUAUUUUUCAAAAAUAUAAUAACAAAAUCUUUUAAAUAUAAUAUUAUUUUUGGUAGAAAAUUACCGAAGGAAUCAAGGAAAACUAAAAACCUAAAAAACAAAUUACGAUUUUUCUAGAUCCGCUGCCAAACCCUUCGUCUUCUCAACAUUGAAUUCCUGUCGGCCGGAAGCAAUUAUUUAGUCUCGCCGACGAGCACAGUUGUGGCCCUUUACGAUCUCCGGCGACCGCAAUCUGCCUUGAACCGUUGUUGGACUCUUGUUUCAACGUUCUUGACUUCUGGUUCUGCAUCUCUGAUUUAUCAAUUGCUGCAUCCGUUUGCAUUUCUUAUCAUCUCCGUCUUCAGUUGAAACUUGAAAGGGCUUCUCUUGCACUUGAUUUACUUUUUAGGUAAAAUUGUUUCUUUUUUUUUUUAGAACUCUGGUAUAUUGAAUUUAGCUAUUUGGUGUGGUGUAAAAGCAUCCAACGAGUGUUAUGUAUAUGAAGUGUAUGAAAAGUCAAAGUCUAUAAAACUAGAAAAGUCAUACUCUACACCUACAAUAGUACAAUUACUUUUGUGAUGAUAUAUGUCAGGCACUAGAGACUAGAGUCUUGGAAGUUGGUAUAAUAAAUAAUAAACAAUUACUCUAUUAGAACCUAGUUUACCUUUCGUGAUUCUAUUUUGAUUUACAUACAAUUUAUUUUGACGAUUUAUUUCUAUUAUAGUCAUAUAAAUUUCAUUUUGUUUCAUAUAUAAUUUGUUUUUUAUUUUAUACAUAAUCUGUUUUGAUGAUUUAUUUAGGCAUAAUGCUAAAGUUUUUUAAAAGAAAAGGUGAGGCAAGCUCUUUAUCUCAUGAUCAUGAUAUUCCACGACCAAACGAUGAACGAGCACCUUCUUCAAAGUACACGAGAGUUGAUUUAAAUACACUUCCCGCGGACCCCGGAGAAAGGCCAAGUAUGGAAGUGUAUCAUGUAAAUCAAUGAGAUGAGAUUAGAAGAGCCUACUUGCAAAAAGGACCUUAUCAACCUCGUGCUCAUUCUUUCCAACAAAGAGAGAUUGUAGGUAAACUUCGUAGAUUUAGUUCCUCUUGGUUUGAUGAUCAUAAAAACUGGCUAGAGUAUAGUAUUAAACUAGAAGCCGCAUUUUGUUUAUGUUGUUAUCUAUUUAAAUCCGAGAUAAAAAACAAAGGUGGAUCAGAUCAUUUUGUAAAAAAUGGAUUUAAAACUUGGAACAAGAGAACAAAUCUAGAUCUUCACAAUGAUGGAAGCNNNNNNNNNNNNNNNNNNNNNNNNNNNNNNNNNNNNNNNNNNNNNNNNNNNNNNNNNNNNNNNNNNNNNNNNNNNNNNNNNNNNNNNNNNNNNNNNNNNNGGACAAAAUGGGAUCUAAUGAACUAAAGAUCAAGGUAGAGACUUUGCUACCUGAAUGGAAGCUUCUCCCAAAGUAGAUUUCGGGUCUACUCCCUCUCUUGCACUCUUCAAACUCUUCUUUUCUCCUUCUAAGCUCCAAUGUGCCCCAAAAAUCCUUCACAAGGCAACAAAUCACUCAAACUUACAAAUGGAGGCUAGGGUUUCGACAAGGAACGCUCUGAGGAUGAUAGAGGCUGAGAUGGGGCUAUAAGGACAUUUAAAUAGGGUGCAAACCCUAAGGAUUUGGGUCUCCUCCUGAUUGGCCUACUCGCCGAGUCCAGGCGUGGACCCGCCGAGUAGAUCACUUAAAACCCGCACCCAUCUCGACAUCUACUCGGCGAGUUAGGGCUACAACUCGCCGAGUAGCUCUUCCAAAAAGAACCUUUAAUCAAAACAAAUACGUACCAGGAACUGGGCGUUACAGAAUGAUAGAUUGAAUUGGCAGAAACAUAAGUACCCCCUGUAUUGUCACAAAAUAAAGUUGGAGUAGUUUUGACAGCUAUUCCAAGUUCAUGUAGUAGAUUCUUUAACCAAAUCAGUUAUGUUGACGCAUUGGCUAAUGCAUUGUAUUCAGCUAUGGGUGGAUGAGUGAGAAAUUGUUUUCUACCUUGUUCCAAGAGACUAUAUUGGACCCCAACUAUAGAAUGUAAAUUGUAGCAGACCAACUUGCAUCAUGAAUGCCACCCCAAUUGGAAUUCGAGAAUGUUGAGAGAGUGGGAAGAGAGUUGCGAUUGAGAAACAAACCAUAAUAGAUGGUACCUUUUAGAUAUCGGACGAUAUGCUUGAUAGCUUGCCAAUAAGAUUGGCACGGAGUGUUCAUGAAUUCGGAUAAUUUGUUUCUGGUAAAGGAGAUAUCAGGUUGUGUGAAAGCCAAAUAUUGAAGAGACCCAACAACUUUACGAUAUGGACUAGCAUCAACGGUUGGUGUGAAGUCAAUGAAAAAUAAGGGAUCUAAGGUACUGAGAGGGGUGGAGACAUCUUUGGCAUCCUCAAUGUGAAACUAGUUUAAAAAGUCUUGUAUGUGCCAAUGUUGAGAUAGGAAAAGAUUGGAAAGAGUGGGAAUGACUUCCACACCAAGGAAAUGAUGAACCAUGCGAAGAUCUUUUAGUGAGAAUUUGUUGCUCAAGGUUGUGAUAAAGUGAGUGAGAAACUUGGAAUCACUUCAGUAAGGACAAUGUCAUCAACAUAGACUAGGAAGUAGCAGGUGAUCUUAUGAUGGUUGUAGAUGAACAAGGAAGCAUCAACUAAAAAUUUGGUCAAUUCGAAUUGCAUAAGAAAGGAAGACAACUCAUUGUACCAUGCUCCAGGAGCUUGUUUGAGGCCAUAGUUGGAUUUAUUUAAUUUGAAAAUGUGAUUGAGAAAUUCUGGAUGAGCAUAGCCAGGAGGUUGAGUCAUAAAAAUUUCUUCAUGAAGGGUACCUUGCAAAAAGGCAUUGUUGACAUCAAGUUGUCUUAAUGGCCAAUUUUUAGAUACAGUAAUGGAAAGGAGGGUAUGAAUGGUUAUAGGUUUUGUGACAGGGCUGAAGGUGUCAAAUUAAUCCUUGCCAUAUUAUUGAAAAAAGCCUUUGGCAACAAGGCAGGCUUUAUAUUUGUCAAUAGAGCCAUCAGGUUUUCGUUUGACUCUAAAUUCCCAUUUACGACCGAUGAGUGUGUUGGGUGUGGGCGGUACAAGUUUACAGGUUUGGUUUUGUAAAAGAAAAUUAAACUACAAGUAUGGCAUUGCACCAUAUUGGAUCCUUAAGACCCUGAUUAUGAGUGGAGGGUUCAAGAGUGUAACAUCCCGAUUUCCAGGUAUGAAAUUUAUUCCUUAAGAGGCAAGUUUCCCCUUGGAACUCAUCGAGUUGAUUGCCUCAACUCGACGUGUUGGAAAGUUUUUGGUCGCGCAUAUUUUUGGACCAACUCGACGAUUUGGUAAGGGAAAACUCGAUGAGUUGGCGGCUGGAUGAGAAACCCUAAAAUUUAGGGUUUCCACCCUAUAUAACCUCCUUAAGUCUUUAAGGCUGAUCUUUUAUCAGCCUCCAAAACCUAAUAUCGACCUUGUAAGCUCUAAUCUUCAUUUCCUCUCAUAUUGUGAGUUAGUGUGGCAUUUUGGAGCAAAAGAAGGAGAAGAUUGUGAGAAGAAGGAAAGGAACUAGCAAGCAAAGCCUUUAGUCUUCAGUUUGGCAUUCUUGUGGACUGUUGUAAGUAUUUAAGAUUCGAUUUUUAUCUAUGUAUGUAGCUAGAUCUUGAUUUUUGCCCAUUUAUCCUCCUUAUUCUUGGUUGUUGCAUCGAUGGACUUCAAUAAGUAUGCAACUUUAUGAAUCUCCAAGGCAAGAUGGCCUCAUAGUGGGUUAGAUCUGGCUUUUCGUCAAGCUUUCAUGUCAUGCAUGGAUUUUUGUGCAUAUUUCCUCUUUUUGGCCCGUUUUGGCUUCAAGACAUGCAUUGGAGAUGCAUGUCUAUAAAGCAUCAACCUUUGGGAUGUUUUUGAGGUUAGAAUAUCUUUUGGAAAGGUGGGGUUUCAGAUCUCUAAGGUUUUGGGUUUAAUGGUUAAGCCUUUGAGUUUUCAAGCCUUGGAUAAGAGCCUUUGAGCAUUUGGGGUGGUUCCAAAGGAUAAAGUUGGAAACCUUAUCCUUUUAGACACAUUUGGAGUUCAGAUUUGAGCCUUAGAGUCCCUGGAAUCGAAGAAUCAUAUGAAUGUGUUAAAUAGGGGGAAAACUCGGUGACUUGGCUGGGGUUUUCUCGACUUUCCGAGUAUUGAAGGAACUCGACGAGUUAGUGGGUGCACUCAACGAGUUGGGUCAACAUGGACUGUUGACCUUGACCUUUGACAUCUGACCUUGACCAUGGUUGACCAAGAUUGAGUUUUUUGAGCAUUUUGGGUAUUUCGGGAUUUUGAUGGAAUUGGUCACGUGGUAGUUGUAGGCAUUUGGGUCAGAAGCGGAGUUCCGGAGUUAGAUCAUCAUCGGUUCAACUGCUUGUGAGGUGAGUUUUCUCACUAACUUUGCGGGUCGAAGGCACCAAUGUCGGCCCUUGGAUUGAUAUAAUGUUGUUCAUGUUAUGCUAUAGUAGCUUGGUAGAUCAGUAUCCUGAGAGUUAGGAUGAUGUUAUGCUUUGUGGUCUAUAAGAUUUGUUUAUUUGUUGCUACCUGGUUAAUAGUAUGUUGAGAAUAUAAUUGAAGUAUUCAUGGAUGACUUCACUGUAUAUGGCAAUUCAUUUGAUUAAUGCUUGGAUAAUCUUAAGAAGGUUUUGAAAAGGUGCAUCGAGACAAAAUUGGUGUUAAAAUUUGAGAAGUGUCACUUUAUAGUCAAUCAAGGCAUCAUCUUGGGACACAUCGUCUCCAAAAAGGGAAUUGAAGCUGAUAAAGCCAGAAUUGAUGUCAUCCAAACCCUUCCUUACCCAAUAUGUGUUAGAGAGGUGAGAUCUUUCUUGAGCCAUGUCGGAUUCUAUAGAAGAUUUAUCAAAGAUUUCUCGAAGAUCACGCGACCAAUGUGUCUCCUUGUCCAAAAGGAUGUUGAUUUUUACUUCAAUGUUGCAUGCCAAGAAGCCUUUGACAAACUCAAAAACUUGCUCACAUCCGCUCCAAUAAUCCAACCUCCAAAUUGGAAACUUCCUUUUGAAAUUAUGUGUGAUGCAAGCAAUUUUGCCAUUGGAGCGGUUUUAGGUCAAAAGGAGGACAAAGCUUCACAUGUUAUCUACUACGCCUCCAAAACCUUGGAUAAUGCUCAAGCCAAUUAUUCCACCACCGAGAAGGAACUUCUAGCUAUUGCAUUCGCAUUAGAGAAAUUCCGAAAAUACCUUCUUAGGACAAAAGUUAUUGUGUACUCCGACCAUGCCGCCUUGAAAUAUCUCAUGACCAAGAAAGAUGCCAAGCCACGGUUGAUUUGGUGGAUUCUUCUCUUACAAAAAUUCGAUCUUGAGAUAAAGGACAAAAGUGGUGCCGAAAACCUAGUUGCAGAUCACUUAAGUCGGUUGUAUAUCGGUGAUUCUUCUUCUCCCAUCCUUGAUGAAUUCCCGGAUGAACACCUCCUCUACAUUUCAAACACUAUUCCAUGGUAUGCGGAUAUUGUGAAUUACUUGGUUACGAAAGAAAUUCCCCACACGUUUACUAAGCACCAAAAGGCCAAGUUAAAGAGUGAUUCCAAAUACUACGUAUGGGAUGACCCGUAUCCUUGGAAACAUUGUCUGGAUCAACUAAUACAGAGGUGUGUUCACCCUUAACCCGUCGGAUGCCCCCUUCCCCCUAUUGACUCCCGUCCACAAAGAACGUAGCCACCGACGACAAACUUCCGACUAGCCCUCCGUUGCCGCUGCCGCUGAUUACGCCACCGAUCGGCGUUGCCAAACCUGCCACCGCGUCGCCAUUCCCCACCCUUAUCUCUCAAGCUGACGACUACCGCCAACAACCCCCCUUCCUCGCUGGUAAAUCGCAAAUCGUCAACCACCGCCUCACUGCUAUUUGUUUCACCGACGCUUCCCUUCCAACCGUCCCCCCACCUAAUUCCGACCAACCCCCACCCUUUUAAUUCCGAGAACAGUCGUCCGCCGCCACCAUUAUCAACUCGCCGGAAAAUCAUUAAAGCCCGAUUCCGACGCCAAAUCUACGUCAAAUUCGCAGCAGUUGGUCCGGAUCAGGACCCCGAGUGGAGGAGAGUUGGUGAUUCAGGGCGAGAGGCCACAACAUGGACCAGCCUUAUGUUCAGCAACGAGGGAUGGGCACUAUCUACAGCAGGGUUGCACCGGGUAUGUUGCAUAUGUUAUGGAUACCCGAGAGGCGGGUAAGGCAAUGGUGAGCAAUGUUCUGGUGGUGCGAGAUUAUGCAGAUGUAUUCCCAGAGGAGCUGCCUGGGAUACCUACGGAGCGACAGGUGGAGUUCAGGAUCGACCUAGUCCCUGGUGCGGCUCCGAUAGCCAAGGCACCAUAUCGGUUGGAUCCUCUCGAGAUGCAUGAGUUGUCUACGCAGCUGCAGGAGCUGUUAGACAAGGGAUUAAUCAGGCCGAGUAGUUUGCCUUGGGGAGCCCAUAUCCUGUUUGUCAAGAAGAAGGACGGGUCGCAUCAGAUCUGUAUAGAUUACCGGGAGCUGAACAAGGUAACGGUGAAGAACCAUUACCCACCCCUGAGGAUUGAUGAUCUCUUUGACCAGCUACAGGGGGCAUCUUGGUUUUCCAAGAUUGAUUUACAUUCAGGCUACCACCAGAUGAGGGUCAGAGACGAGGAUAUACAAAAGACUGUUUUCUGGACUCGCUAUGGCCACUAUGAGUUCGUGGUAAUGCCUUUCGAGCUCACCAAUGCUCCUGUCGCGUUCAUGGACCUCAUGAACCGCGUGUGCAGACCGAUGCUGGAUCGGUCUGUGAUAGCUUUCAUUGAUGACAUCUUGGUUUACUCCAAGACGCAGGAGCAACAUGAGGAGCAUCUGCGAGAGGUUUUGGAUACCCUGAGGUGGGAGAGCUUGUACGUCAAGUUCUCCAAAUGCGAGUUCUGGUUGCGCGAGGUGCAAUUUCCGGGGCACCUGGUCAACUAGAAUGGGAUAUUGUUCGACCCAGCCAAAGUGGAGGCCGUAAUGAGAUGGGAAGUUCCGAAGUCUCCAUCUGAGAUUCAGAGUUUCCUGGGAUUAGCCAGCUACUAUCGAAGAUUCAUCCGGGAUUUUUCCAAGAUAGUCGUACCCUUGACUCGGCUGACGAAGAAGACUGUUGCAUUUCGUUGGGGGCCUGAGCUGUGACAACCCAAGUUUAUUCUGUUACAUUACCCCGUUACCGUUAACGGAAUAUUCCACUGUAUAAAAGUUCCGUUAAUUUGAGGUCGUAAAAUAAAUAAAUGUUUUAUUUAUUUAUAUCUUAUGUCGUUAUUUGUCGUAAUAAGAUAAGUAAAAGCAUGUAAAUUACAUUUCCAUAUUAAGUUGGAAAAAGUUAAAUUUUAUUGCGACCACUAAAUCGGGUGCGACCAAAAGCCCCGUUUAACGACAGUAUUGCGUAGAUUUCCAUUGAGCUUCAACUCCAACCCCUAUAUAAGGGAGAGUAAACUACAUUUUCACCUUUUUACUCUCUCUCUAAACUCUCUCUCUAUAACUUUUUCCCGAGCCAAAAAUCGUCCGUUUCGAGCCCCAAACGAGUAGGUAAACUAUCCUAACUUGUUGUACAACCUAUCUAGCAUGCAAAUUCNUAAAACAUAAAUUAGAGACACAAUGAGGUGUUUACGGCCCAAGAACACUCUUGGACCGUGAACACCAUUUAAUGGGGUUUUUAAGCCCCAAAACCCCUCCAAAUUGCCCCUAAGGCUUAGAUAUGACUUUUAGGCUUACAUAUUCGGACUUAGAACACCUUGAAACGAGUUUUUGAAGAGUAAACAUGAGUUUACUGCCCAAGAACAUGCUUGGGCCGUAAACUCCUCUUCAUGGGGAGUAAACUCAUAUUUGUGUGUUAAAAAUACCCUUAAACACACCCAUGGCCUUGGAUUAAAUUCUAGAAUCAACCACCAACAAGCUAGGGACCUUAAACUCAAUUAAAACAACUCCAUAAGGAGUUCACGGCCGUAAACCCCUCAAGAAAGGGUCCAGGGCCGUAAACUCCUAUAAAGGGGUUAAAUGGUGCCCUAAACUCCCCAUUUGGCUUGGAAAAAUACAUAGGAUUUAUUCUCAAACACUUAAGCCCUUAAAACACCCAAGAAAGAUGUCCUUGGGAGCUUACGGCCGUAAACUCCCUUGGUUUGGGCCGUAAACUCCCAUUUGGUCCCUUUUGAAGCCUUAAAUCCACUCAUACAAUUUAGAUUUGGACCUAGCAAAAUUCCACGAUCAAGAUAGAGCCUUUAAACAUCCUAGAACACCCUCACCAUGAGUUUACGGCUGUAAAAUCAUGGGGAGUUGUCCCAGGGCCGUAAACUCCAUUCCUAAGCCAUUCAAGCCCUUAAAUGUUACCCGGGACACCCCAAACACUUAACCAAAGUGUUUUCCGCUCUUUAGGGUGCCUAUACUUAUUUAAUUAGUAUUAAAUGUACUAAUUGUAUGUGAACAUAUGUUAAAUAGGUCACUAAGUGUGUCCAAGUCUUUACUUGACACCGAGCACCCAACCGACACCUUCGUCGGAUCCACUUACACCAGGUGAGUUCAUACCCCUGAAUGAACCUUUUAAAUGUUUUUACAUGUUUUAUAGGGGGGAUACAAGUUAAACAUGCCAGUUAUAAUGCCAAUCACAUGUGAUUGAUAAUCCGCAUGCAUAAGGAUUUACCACACUGUAAACUGUUUUACCGAGUAGGAUACUAUAAAAGGUUUUCUAAAAUGUUUUCACUCGUUCAAAAACUCUUACUGAUACUGUUUUGCCAAAGUUCAUUUUAAACUGGUUUAUGAAAGGUUUCCAAAGGAUGUCUAAAGUUUUUCAAACUUAUUUUACCAAAGAACACCAAGUUGUGAUUUUCUCAAGUAUAAAGGGUUUCUUCCAUGUUUUGAUACUCCCUCCUAGUUUAAACUCCUACUUGAUAACGCUUUCACUUUGCGAUGCGUUUACACUUGUUAUUGCCUCUAUUUCACUUAUACUUGUAGUCGCUUAUGCCUGUUGGACACUCUUACUUCACUUGUUGUCGCUUCCACUUUGUGAUACACUUAUAUUUGGUAACGCUUAUACUUCACGGUUUGAAUAUUCCACACUGUAUGCUUCUACGUUACGAUUCGGUUAUACCACACUGUACACUCAUACUUCACAAUUCGGUUAUUCCACAUUGUACACUUAUACUUCACAAGACGGUUAUUCCACACUGUACACUUAUACUUCACGAUUCGGUUAUUCCACACGAUUUGGUUAUACUUCAUGAUAUGCUUCCACUUGUUACACACUCAAACGUAGUUAGAUGUAUGUAUGUGCUUCUAUAGAUGCAUAUAAAUAAUGGUUGAAGGACUUAGGAAGUCUUGUCCGCCCUAUUUCCUUUUCUUCUUUGAGAUGUGGUCUGGUGGGAUCGGAUGUCCGUCCGAAGGUCGUUUGAUUCAUUAGUUAUAUAUUAUGUAUACAAGCAUAGACAUAUAGGUUUACUCUAGUCAGUUCGGUUAUGAGUCUCUACCUUUAGUUCAACACUUACAUUGGAAACCCACUACCCACUAUUUGGGAUGCAUCUUCGGGACACGGCCUUCUCCGUCGUCUAGUUGGUAACCAGAGUCUCCUGUAGGGAGAGCGGACAUUGUGUGUAUAGAUCUAUAUGGGAUUGACACCCCCGCACCCUGACUGCUAGCUACAGUCCACGGCUUACCAAGCCAAGGGGUGACAAAUGUCACAGUUUAUAGACGCUUGCAGGGCGUCAGGUACUCUAGUGUCGGUUAGUAUGGUUACGAGUAUCCCGGUUUACCUUAUAAUUCAUGGCCUUAAGGUAACGGUAUUUCACACUGUACUUUACACUGUAUGCUGAAAACCCACUCUCAGAGUCACACUGUUUUUAGACCUUGCUAGCUGUAUCUUUCAUUAGAUACUGUCUGGGGUUUGUAUCCUCUGUUUUUAGACCUUGCUAGUUGUAUCUUUCAUUAGAUAUUGUCUAGGGUUUGUAUCUUCUGUUUUUAGACCUUGCUAGCUGUAUCUUUCAUUAGAUACUGUCUGGGGUAUGUAUCCUCUGUUUUAGACCUUACUAGCUGUAUCUUUCAUUUGAUACUGUCUGGGUUCUGUAUCCUCUGUUUUUAGACCUUGCUAGCCGUACCUUUCAUUUGGUACCGUCUGGGGUCUGUGUCUCUUUUGUUAGACUGAUCCAGGCGUGUCGUUAGUUCGAUACACUCCUGGAGUCUAUGAUUCCUCUCGCCUUAGUCAGCAGUCUUCACUGCUGAGGCAUAUGUUAUUUUCCUUGAUUUCUCCUGCUUUCUGUAAUGAUCAAAUUCUGUAUUUUGAUAAUGAUAGCGAUUAAGGGAAAACUACUUUUUACCACAUAACUUCGUCCAGUCUUGGUAGAAGACUGCUUUUAUUAAAGAAAAUAUAGGAUUUUCUGGAAAAGACACUAAUUUAAUGGAUACUCUAAAACUACCACUUUUAUUAAAGUUAUUUGAAUAAAAUGACACUAAAUACUUAUGAACUCACCAGCAUUUGUAAAAAUGCUGAUACUCGCUUUUCAAAUAACUUGUAUUCUCAGUUCAGCAUUAGACAGGUACAUUCCCAGAGCUGUUGAUGAAGAUAGCUUAGUACCAAGCUGUACUUAUUAUACUUACUUGUAUUACUUUUAUGUACUGUAAUAUAAACCAUGUAAAACUAUUACUAUUAAUGCAAUGGUUGUUGUACUUUGAUUACUAUAAUGCAUGUGUUGUGAUACUUGACAUGAAGUCAUCCACCCCAUAACGUUUCAGCCGUUCCGGUUAUGGGGUGUGACAGAUUGGUAUUAGAGCAUUGUUUAUAGUGAGCUAAGUAUAUCAAAUCAUAAAAGAUAUACAGCCUAUAAAUACAAAGAGAUAAAACACUCUGACCAAGAAUUAUACUUUAAAAUAUAACCAUAUUUUACCAAAGUAUAAGAACAUCCAGAACCUAAACACUCGAACACAAGUAUCACAAGAACAACAAGAAUAAAAGUCUUCGGAUGUUGAGCAUCACCGUCAAACCUGGGCAGUUAUGUAAUCGUAAGCUGGAAUAAAUGUAACCUGAUCAACUACAUUUAUUCGAGAUACGAUGAACAUGUGCUUGGGAGUGAAAGUGGUGUGCAACCGGUCUGAAACUUACCAACUAGGAAUGCUAGAGCCAAACAUAAAGUCAAAAUACUAUAGGAGUAUUUUGGAACACUAAAAGAUUCACGCUAAUCCCAUAACCAUAUUCAGAAGAUAAGAACCAGACAAGAAAUUAAAAUGCCAUAGGGGUAUUUUAGGAUCCAUAACUAACCUUGUGUGAAGAACUAAAAAGAUCCUUAUUGAUAUACCUACAACUAUAGAGGGUAUACUUCCAAGGUUAUAUAUAAUAAGGAUCCCAUAGGCUAAGAAUGUGUGGUUUCGCUCUACUUCCUUUUCCUUGUUUGGAUGUGGAUACCGAGUAGUAUCACAUAUUCGAAGGCCUAUCUGAUCCUGGGGCGACGAAGAUGUACAGAGAUCUUCGUAUUGAUUAUUGGUGGCCCUGCAUGAAGCGGGAUGUAGCUUGGUAUGUCGAGAGAUGCCUGACCUAUAGGAAGGUCAAGGCCGAGCACCAGAGGCCUCACUGCAAGACGCAACCGUUGGAUAUCCCUAUGUGGAAAUGGGAAAAUAUUACUAUGGAUUUCAUCACAAAGCUUCCCAGGACCGCACGGACCAUGGAUUCGAUUUGGGUCAUUCUGGAUCGAUUGACCAAGAGUGCCCAUUUCAUACCGAUCCAGGAGAGCAUCUCUGUAACACCCAUAAAAUUCAAGCCAAUUUAAAACUUUUUAAAUCAUUUGAAACCAUUCAAUUGUUACAAUUUGCUUUCAGAAUAGUUUAUAAAUGAGAGUUCCUAGAAAUCAUAAUCAUCAAUCGAGGAAGUGUACGGUCACGCCUUCGACUACCCGCGGCCAUCCGCUAAACCUGUAACAAUAAACUGAAACUGUAAGCCCGAAAGCUUAGUGAGUUACCCCCAAAAUACCAACCUCAUAUAACCAUAAUCAUAUCAUAUCAACAAAUACAGAACAACCACGCAUCUCGAGUCUAUAAUGUGACUGGUCCGCCCGCACCGGGCCUUCAGUCCACCUGGUCCACUCUCUGAGUCUACAGUCUGACUGGAUCGCCCGCAUCAGGCCUUCGGUCUAUCUGGCACACUCUCCGAGCCUCGGCAUGUCUGGAUCUCUCUCUUAGGGCCUUCAGCCUAUGUGGACCGCUCGCUGGGCCUUCGGCUUGACUAUGUGCCCUCCCGGGUCUACAGUCGAUCCGGUCCGCCCUGGGUAUGUUGGCCUACGGCACAAAUCAGGACCCGCCUCAACCCAAACCCAAUCAAACAACCAUAUGUACAUAUAACAGAUAAUUACAUAAUAGUCCAUAGACAAACAAACUGAUCUAGCAGAUCAUAUAGCAUAGCAACAUCCUAACCAGGAUACCGACCUAACCGAUCACUAACAUAGCAUCAUCCUAUAUACCAGGAUACCGACCUAAACCGGUCACUAAACAUAAUACCAUUCUAACUACCAGGAUGCAGAUCUAACAGAUCAAUAAACAUAUCAAACAAAACCAGUAUACAAUCCGAGAAAGGGUCGGCCUUGGUGCCUUAGACCCUAUUGAUAUAGUGAGAAUAACUCACCUCGCAAGUAGCUUGGAAGAUAGAGUCAAACUCCUCCAGAUGUAACUCCAACCCCCACACCUAUAAUCACCAAUGUCCUUUGCUAUAAAUACCCAAUUUACCAAAAUACCCUCAGAAGUCUACUGGUCAACCCUUGGUCAAAGUCAAAGUCAACUGCCAAGGUCAACAGUCCAUGUUGACCUCAACUUGUCAAGUACCCUCAACUACUCGACGAGUUCCUUGCAUAACUUGCCAACUCACCAAGUCACUCUUCUGACACGUCGAGCCCAAGGCAAUCUUCAUCAGACUCGCCGAGUCACCCUACUGACUCGCCGAGUCUACGACAAUCUUCAUCCGACUCGUCGAGUCGACCAUGCCACUCUCCGAGUCCCUUCGGUCCUUCAUCCAUACAAACGCUUUUCAAGCCAUGCUAAGGCUACAUACUGCAGAUCCAACUUCCCAAGGCAUGCUUAUCACGUAAAGCUGCAAACUUUACGUGCAUGCAAGGCUCUAAUGACUCAUAAUGCCAAAUCCAAACUUGAAAUGGGGUUUUACACUUAAGGAGGGGUUCAUACUUGCCAAAGCUGAUAGCUUUAUGGACUUACAAAUCAAAGAGAGUUCAGAUCUAAAGUUACAACUUCAGAUCUGAGCUCAUACUUCAGAAUAACUUCAUAAUAUGCUAGAAAAGCCCAAAUCUUUAACUAAAUGAGAUCUAGAAUGAAAUAAGGUCAAGGUAACGACUUGAUACCUUACAAAAGAUGCCAAAUGAGGUAGGUAUCAGAUCCCCACAUGUUCCUUGCUUUUAGCCAUUUUCUCUCCAAGCUCUCCUUACAAAGAUCCUCCUUCCAAAGCUUGAAACACACAAUAAUGAAGCCUUCACACGAAAUAGGGUUUACUGCACUCUUUAAAGGCUGUAAGGGACUAAGGGAGGCUAAUGAUUCCUUAAAUAGGGUGAAAAACCCCGGAAAUUAAGGUUUCACCCUCCAACUCCAACUGGUCGAGUCACUCUUCCGACUCGGCAAGUUGGUCACUUAAACACGUCGUCCCAAACCCGCUGCUACUUGAUGAGUCAAGGCAUCCAAAUCGUCGAGUAGACCUUGAAAUUUGAAAAUUAAAGUCAUAAUAUUAAUACCAAAGAAUUGGGGCGUUACAAUCUCGGCCGAGAAGCUAGCCGAAAUCUACAUCCGAGAGGUAGUAGCCCGACACGGAGUGCCAGUCUCCGUGAUUUUAGACAGAGAUGUACGGUUCACUUCCAGAUUUUGGAAAAAAUUCCAUGACGAGUUAGGCACUCGUCUGCACUUUAGCACCACUUUUCACCCACAGACGGAUGGUCAGAGCGAGAGGACCAUCCAAACUUUGGAGGAUAUGUUGCGGGCAUGUGUUCUAGACUUCGGUGGUAGCUGGGAUACCAAUCUUCCAUCAGCUGAGUUCUCCUACAACAACAGCUACCACGUGAUUAUCGAUCGUCCUCCUUUUGAGAUGUUGUACGGGAGGAAGUGCAUAACCCCAUAUGUUGGGGUGAAGUCGGACAGAGGGUCAUGGGGAGCACCGAAGUGGUGCUCAAGACGACAGAUAGGAUUCAACAGGUUAGGAGCAGGCUUCAGACUGCUCAGAGUCGGUAGAAAAGUUAUGCCGAUAAGCGCCGUUCGGACCUGGAGUUCCAGGUCGAGGAUAUGGUCCUCCUGAAGGUGUCGCCUUGGAAAGGCGUCAUCUGAUUUAGGAAGCGGGGCAAGUUGGGCCCCAUAUAUAUUGGACCUUUCAGGGUUGUCACCCGGGUGGGAAAGGUAGCGUUUAGGCUGGACCUAUCAGCCAAACUCAGUCAGAUUCAUAGUACGUUUCACAUCUCCCAGUUACAAAAGUGAUUGGUGGACUGCUCGGUAGUGGUGCCUUUGGAGGAUAUUCAGGUAGAUGAUAGUCUGAACUACAUCGAGCGGCCAGUGACGAUCCUCAACAAGAAGUCGAAGGAUCUGAGGAACAAUAAGGUAGAGCUAGUGAAGGUGCAAUGGCAUCAAUGCAAGGGGUCGAAAUGGACUUGGGAGCCGGAAGAAGAGAUGAGGGAGCACUACCUCGAGGUUUUUCAGGACUCAGCAGCAAACUUCGAGGACGAAGUCUAAAAUAAGUAGGGGAGAGUUGUAACACCUGGUUUCAUGUACGUAUUUUGUAACGACCCAAUUUUCACGUCCUAAAUUUCGUUAUAAAACAUUACAUAGCAUUAAUAGUUAAAACAUUGUUUGAUUAAACCAUUUCACAUCGAAAACCAAGUUGAAAACCACAACAUUCGAUCAAUCAAAUAUCAGAGUAUCAAUCCCAGAAUAAACUCGUAACUGCGGAAACAAGAGAGUAUGUGUGUGUGUGUGUGACAUGCUGCUACCGCGCCGACUCUUUUCCCCUAGCUGAGGAGGUACCUGAAACCAAAACUGAAAACCGUAAGCACAAAGCUUAGUGAGUUCCCCCAACCUACCACAUACCAUGCAAACAAAUAACACAAAUACUGCCAGGCUAUUCUGGGGUGCCUGACUACCCAGUACGGCCAUUCUGGGGCGCCGACUACCCGUGCGGCCAUUCUGGGGUGUCGUCCUACCCGUGUCAAGCCAUUCUAGGGUGCUGACUACCCGUCGGUCCUGACAACCGAUCCUCAGGGACUAGUCACCUCCUACUACCUCUAUCGCAUAUAACAUAACAAGCCAGCAUGCAAACAUAUCAUCAUAUACUGUCAGACAAAUUAUGGGGUGUCUGCACUACCCUUCGGUCCUAACAACCGAUCCUUGUUCUAUCACAUAAAACAGAUCAUGCUAGCACAUAACAUAUCAGGUAGUAGCAAACCAAGAUGAUAUCACAAAGACAAUCAUCUAACAACAACUCCUACUGGUGGGGCGGCAUUGUGGCCGUAGACCCACCGCUACUGGAAGGUAACUCACCUCAAAGUAGCUGCUGAUCUGAUCGGGAACUGGCUGCCUACUGCUGUUGCUGCUGUUCCGGAAAUCCUCCGGCUGCAAUUCCCACAACAUACUCAAUCAAUCACUGCUAACUGUCCUUUGGGUAAAAGGACCAUUUUACCCCUGAUCAUGUCAUUAAACAAAGUCGGAGUCAACUUUCAGUUGACUUUACUCGCCGAGUUAUCUUGCCAACUCGCCGAGUCCCUAGCAAAUCGUCUGACCUGAAUCUCGUUGCUACUCGUCGAGUUGGGCGCUGACUCGACGAGUUCUCCUUCUAAACUUAAGGUUCAAGUCCUUCAUCCUANCUUCAUCCGAAGAACACUUAUGCUGCGACUCGCCGAGUUGUAUGAACAACUCGCCGAGUCUGUUCUUGAUCUAAGGAGAUUGCCUUGAACUCGCCGAGUCAGGGCAUUGACUCGCCGAGUUCCUCCAUAGAUGAGUUCAGCUUCCGACUCACUGAGUCACACCCCGUGACUCACUGCUCACUCGACACUACGAAAAGGGGACAAACUCGGAGACUCGCGAACAGACUCGCCGAGUCACAUGAACGACUCGCCGAGUCGUUGCCAUGCACCCACUAAAUACACAGAUUUGCUCGAUUCCAGUCCAUGCCAUUCACAGAUCUGGACUCCUAGAACACGAAUCACACGUAAAGUUUCCAACUUUACGUGUAGAUAUUCACCAAUACGGAUUUUAGGGUUCAAAAUGUACUUAAAAUGGUAGAUCCAAGGUCUUCAAGCAAUGAGGGUCCAUAAAGGCUACAGAUCCGAGCCCUUAGAGCCCAAACAUGCCUAGAUCCGAAGUCCCUCAACACUAUAAGCUCAUUACACAAAGGUCAAGACUAGAAGAAGCCUUGAAAUGGCUAUCACAAGCUCUCAACGAGAUAGUAAUGAAGGGACAGAGAGGGUUUCGAGUCCAAUACCUCUAGAAGUUCUGAAAUGGCACAAAGAUUCUGGAUCUUCUUCCUCUCCUCUUGAUCUACCUUCUUCUUCUCUCCAAAACUUCAAAGAAAUGCACCAAAAUCACCCAAAUUACCAAAAGAGGAGUUAGAGCUUCGAGAGGGAGUGUUCUGGACGCAAUGGGGGCUGAUAUGAGGCACAAAACGUCGUUUAAAUAGGGUGCAACCCCUAAAACUUAGGGUUUCAUCCAACAGCGGUGACUCGCCGAGUCGCCAACUUAAACAUGUCCCGGGUCCCGUCCUUACUCGGCGAGUCGGACCUAUGACUCGCCGAGUCCAAGGCUAAAAGAAGGAAAAAUACUCAAUAAGAUUUACAUACCAGGAACCAGGUGCUACAUAUUUAAAUUCAAGCAAACUUUAAUAUUUUACACCUCUGCGAGUUGGAGGCCCAACUCGUCGAGUAGGAUCGAUUGCAGAUCAGGGGGGUUAAGUGGCCUACUCGAAAAGUCGGGAGACCGACUCGGCGAGUGGGAGUUGUCUGAGUGAAACCUUAAAUUUGAGGGUUUGCACCCUAUUUAAACACUUUAUGAGGCCUCCACCCCAACCUCCAUCACCUCCAAACCAUGUUCAUGAAACCCUAAUCAACCUUUGAGUGUUCGUGAGUUAUUUCGUGCCAUUCUUUGUGAUUUGAAGUUUGAAGAAGGAAGGAAAGACUUGGAGAUUCAAGAGGAAGUCAGUAGAUCUAGAGGUUUGGUUGCAUUUCCAGCUUGUUUGAGGUAAAAAGCUCCUACCUUGACUUCUUGCUUGUUAGAUCUACUUUAGGGAUUGAAUCUUGACAUCUUUGGGGCAUUUCUAAUCCAUUUUUGGGUCUUAGAGUGUAAUAUAGAGAAAGGGCUUCAGAUCUUGAACCUUGGAGGGUUCUCAUGGCAUUAAGGUGCCAACUUUAUGGCCAUAAGAGCCCCAUGCAUCUUGUAGACCUCAUUUUUGGUUCUUUUAAGCUUAAAGACCUAUGCAUGGACGUAAAGUUCAUGACUUUACGUGUUAUAUCGACCCUAGGAGGUCAGGUCUACCCUCUGUAUGAGAUGAGUUCAGCAGAAAUCGAGUUUAUAGACAUGAACUUUGGGGGACUCGGCGAGUCGGGUAUUGGUUCUCCAAUCUUUUCUGUUUCUGAGGAAUAUGGUUGAGUCUAGAAGGGGACUUAUCAAGAUGGACGUAAUUAUGGACCUGGAAAUCAUGGGACUCGACGAGUUGUUUAUAUAACUCGGCGAGUCCAAGGCAAUCUCCCAACUCAUGAAGACGGACUCGACGAGUUGUUCAUAUAACUUGGCGAGUCAUAGAGUGAUGAAUAUUGAGAUAGAUUACUUACUUCUCAAGGUAUGUCGAAGGUCCUUUUAUACUAAGGAUUCCAACAGUUCCGUACGGGGAACAUGGACAUAGUUCCGACAGGAUCCUUUCCUUUGACUGGUUAGUCAUGUCCCCUGUUGUGUCAGGGCCAACGAUUGGCUCAGUUGCUAGUGCUCUUUGCGUACUCUUUGUCGCGUGGAGCAGUUGCAUUUGUCCUGUAGUAGGGAUGUUCUUGGCAAGGCCGAACUUCUUACACGGGCGUUUCGCUCUAAGGGGGCGCCUGCGUGCUGGAGCCCUUACCGAGACAUCCAGGUCGGGUCUGGCUGAGCUAAUCGGGGAACCCUUCGACUUGGGGAGUCCCGCUUCUGGCCCGCGCUAGGAGGCACAUCAUCAAGUCCCCUAGUCUAGUAGUCAUAGCGUUUACUAGCUAGCUAUGAUGUUCUGGACUCAAUGGUUCCCUGGGUGCUAGAGCUCUUGCUUAUACAUCCAGGCUGGGCCUGGCUGGGCUAGCUGGGGGAUCCUUCAACCUAGGGGAUCUCUCUUUUGGCCUACACCAGUAGGCGUGUCAUCAAGUCCCAUAGUCUAGUAGUCAUAGCGUUUGCUAGCUAGGGGAUCUCCCACUUUCUUCUUGCAUUUUACAUUUCCACUCCUUUUUUUCGGUGAUGUCUUGUAUUGACGACUCCGGUUGGUCUUGUUCUUAUUGCUUCUGAGUUUGACAACUGUAGGAGACAUAUGGUUUGUCUCCGGCUGAGGGGGUGGAGUUCCCUGUUUCUGGCGCCGUGAUCACUGCCCCUCCUGCCAAGAAAUUUGGCAUUUACUUAAAGACGCUCGAUGCUGGUCUCCACCUGCCUUUGACCGACUUCCAGGAGGAGCUCCUCCGUCGUAACGGUUGCAGCGUCCAAAUGCUCAUGCCUAAUGCGGUUCAUAAGAUGGUGGCCUUUGAAAUUAUAUGUCGAGCCAAUGGUAUCCUCCCGGACUUCUUUGUCUUCAAAUACUUCUUUCGAUUUGGAGCUACUGGUGAUAAGUAUACCUUUUCUACUCGUCGUGGGGGGUACAACCUUGUUCCAGACAGUAAAACACCCAAGAAUCAGCAGGAGAAAUGGUUAUGGAUCAACCGAGAUUUGCUUGGUCGAGAGCCUGUCGAGCGAAAAACUUUUCCGACGUCAUUCUGAAGCUUUUCCCUCACAACCAAACCACUGUUGGUUUCUUGAAGACUCUUUAAGUGAAUGUCUAUGGGUUGUCAGAGGUCAUGUUUGUCGGUGUUAGGAUGAUCUCUAGCUGGCGUGCAUGUAGCAAGAUGAUGGUCUUCUUUACUGUGUAUAAUGGUAGUGUUGUUAUUCUCAUGUUCUUCCUUUUUUUUUUCUCUCUCUCCCUUUAUACGCAUAAUAACCGUUUAACUAGUUAUUGCCUUCAGAAAUGGUAUCAAGGGAAUUCGGAGCACCGUGUGGUGGAUCUGCAUGGGAAACUUCCCCCGCCUCGCCGCCUUAGCCAGUCGUCGUCUGUUGUGGCUUGACCUCUGAGGAGUUCUUUGAUCACGAAAAGUGGGACUGCCUUGGUCGUUCCUUCACCUGUGACCCUACUUGUCUGGCCGGCUGAGGGUCCUUCUGGCGAGGUUGUGGAGGAUAGCAAAGAAGGGAUUGUGUCUGGUGUUCUUCGUGCCAUGGCGAAACAGAAAGCUGUCCAUGCAAUGGGUGACUAAGUAAUUCCUCGUUCUUGUUCUUUUCUUCUUCUUUGUUCAAUUCAUACCUUGGGCAUCAAGGUAAUAUCAGGUGGUAUACUACACUUGGUAUCAGAGCCUAGGGCUCGUGAAGACGUAGGGCGGCCGCUCUGAGAGUCGAUUUUAAGAAAAGUGUAUCCCUUUGCUGCGAGGCAGACGCAACGGGAACUGGUUCGGUUUGAGGGGGUGUGGAUUGUUUUAUAGCGUGAGUUGAAGCAUCUCAACAGGAGCCCGAUUUCUCUUGAUUGAGCUUGUUCUAAGGUAGAGAGAGACUAAUCGGAGGCGCGGAAUAAACGGACGGGAAGACAUCAAAGCAGGUGGCUUUGAUUUUGUUCGUUUUGCGGGUGAUGGAAGACGGUAAAGGUGGUCGUGACCUUGUCUUUUUGUUCGGAAAAGUGCUCUCAAAACAAGCUUGAUCAAAGAGUUCGGGGUUGUCAAAGGAGAGAAAAUGAUGCCAUUAGUUAAAGAAGGAGGUUCGAUUGCAUAUCAAGUUUUGAUUUUGACUCUAACGAAUUAUCUGGUGUUUUCAAUCAAAUUCAAGUUAAUUAUUGAUGCAUACGACAUAUAGGAGAUGGUUGAAAACCGAGGCGUUCGGUGGAAGAAUCUCUCGAAACUAAGCAGUUAAUAUCGGCGAUUUCCAGGUGAUUUCCAGGUGGGAUAUCGGUUAUCGGUACUUUUCAAAAUAGCGGUGUCAAAUAUCGGACCGCAAAAAUCGGUGAUAUUUACCGAUAUUUACAGGCGAUUUCCAAGUGGGAUAUCGGUUAAGUAAUUUUACUUGCUUUUUUUUAGUGUUAAGUCAUCGCCUUAAGUCUUAUGGACUUAACUUAACUGAACCUGCUAUUAUAUUAAGUACUUAAUUGUUAGUUUUAGGUCAUAGACUCAUGUUUUAAGUAUUAACUAGGGUUGUCAAAUCGGGCAGUCGUGUCGUGUUUUUAUCUGACACGACACGACAUGAAAAUGUUUUGUGUAACACGAACACGACACGACACGACAAAGAUAACAUUACAUAACUAUUAGUUUAUUUAAUUCAUACUUAAUAAUAUAUAACACGACAAAAACGACAAACACGAUAAACACGACAGACACAUGCUCAAUCGUGUCAAUUUCGUGUCGAUUUAUGAACACGAACACGACAUGACACGACACGACGUCGUGUUUUUUAAAAUUAACACGAAAACAACACGAACACGAAUUCAAAUUUUGAUUUCGUUCUGAUUUCGUUUCGUGUCAUGUAUUUUUGUCGUGUCGUGUCAUAAAUUGACACCCCUAGUAUUAACCGAUCUUAUUGUUAUGUUAAUUACAUACUUAAGUGUUAACUUGCUAGUUUCUAUAGGUUUGAUCAUGUUGAUGUGUUAAGUACAUAAUUCUUAAAUGAUAAUGAUAUUAGAGUUGAUAUGGAUGAUCUAGAUAAAAUAAUUGGUUGUCUUGGUUGAUGUGGACUUGGAGGAAGAUGUCAUGGCUUACGUAAGAUUAUGUUUCAAACAUUGACAAUUUUGAACUGCUAUAUCCCACCGAUAUCCCACCGCGAUAACCUAUAUCCCAAAUAUCGGCCCUUGACCGAUAUUUGAUUUUGGACUGCUAUAACUGCCUAGUCUCGAAAUAUGAUGGAUCAACAAAGGUAUGGUUGUCAAGACAAGAAUGGAAUGGACAAACAACACGAUGUGGACAUUAUGGCGAUGAAGUUCAAAUCAGAUGGCGUAUUAGCUUUGGAUGUGGCCGGGGAAAGGUCGUUGAUCUGUAAAAAGUCGGGAUGGUAAUGAACAUGUCCAAUUGGAUGUCAUGGUAUAUGUUACAUGUGUUGCCAACAAUCAAAAAGAUUAAGAAAAGACUUUGGAUGUGACCGAGAUGGAGGUUGGGUGUUCGGAAAAGUCGAGAAUCAAGACGGUUUGAACCAAAGAAUGCCAUGGUAUAUGUUACAUUGUUUUGAACGAGUGGUUGGCAUGACUAAAUCGAUUAAGGGAGUGAUUGUUGGAUUAAUCGGUUUGAACCAAAGAAUGAUUUUUAGUUGUAAGGGUAUUUUAGAAAACAUUCAUUUUAUGCAGUUUUUUUGUUAGAGUAGGAAUUUUGUUUUAUUAGUAUAAAUAAGGUUAAUGUUUAUGAUGUUUAAGUUAACUUUUUCAAGCAAUAAAGUUCAUCAAGUAAUUCGGUAAUUCCUCGUUCUUGUUCUUUUCUUCUUCUUUGUUCAGUUCAUACAUUGGACAUCAAGGUAAUAUGACGUGGUAUACCAAGUCUCUCCUACUCUUUUUAACCCUUUUUGGGUCUUUGAAAUAAUUCAGUUGAAUCUUAAAUUCCAUUGAAUAUUAAUGUCGCCGUCCAAAAAAAAAAAUACUAAUCCAAAACUAACUUUCGUUUAAAUGCUACUAAAAACUAACAUAUAGAAACCAUAAACUCGUCCGGAUUCAAAGAUCUUGGUCAGUAAACUCAUUCGAAUCCAAAAAAUAAGUUCUGGGAUGUGAUGUAUACCAUACAUUUGAUUUUGCAAAUAAAUAAGGAUAAGGAGCAUGACAUGAACACACGCAUCUUCUUUUUUUGAACAGCUAUAAUUGUAUAUUUUUUUUUUCCUUCGAACAUUUGGCUCAUAUUCGAACACAUACACACAGAUUCAACAUCUCUUGCAGAUAUUAAUUUUGAUGCAUACCUCCAUAAAAUCCGACGAUGGCCGCUUCACAGUUAUUUCGUCGAUAUGAAGCCGUGAACAGACACAUAUCUAUCGGAUCUUAACUCUCAAGUCUAAAAUAACACAUUUCAUAUACCGUGGUUUAAUUAAACGGGCAACAUCUUGACAUUUUUUUUAUAUAAUCAUUAAAAAAAAUCAUUUUUAUGAAUAUCCUUAUAUUCAAUGUCACAAUUAUUAAACUAAACGAAAUGAACCCAUGACAAUUGACAUGCCACCUUCGCUCUGUCGACAAAGCAGAUAUUUCAUAUAUGCAGUUUUGUAUUUAUAGAGAUUUACACGAAUUACCCUCUCUCUUUCCUUUUCUCACUUUCAUCCCAAACCCAUUUUCGUCAUUUCGUCAAAUAGAGUCACACAUACACAUGCUUCAUACUUUCAUCUUUGUACUCUUCCCUCCUUGCUUCCCCUCAUUCAACACACGCUUAUAUAAAAAAAACUCCAAAACACACACACCACACACAGAGCUUGAAAAUCACUUUACUUUUAGAGAGAGAAACAAACAUAUAACUGUAGAUUCUAGAGAGAGAGAGAGAGAGAGAGGAACAGAGUGAAAUCAUGAGGUCGAGCAACCAUCUGAUUGGUAUGUUAAACUUCCUGACGUUCCUUCUAUCAAUUCCAAUUCUUGGUGGCGGAAUAUGGCUGAGCACGCGAGCCAACAACACCGAUUGCAUGAGCUUCCUCCAGUGGCCAUUAAUCGUCAUCGGAGUCGCAAUCAUGGUGGUCUCACUCGCUGGAUUCGCCGGCGCGUGUUACCGGAAUACUUUUGUAAUGUACCUUUACCUCUGGGCGAUGUUCGUCAUCAUCGCUCUGCUUAUCGGAUUUGUGAUAUUCGCCUAUGUGGUAACCGACAAAGGAUCGGGUCGACCCGUAUUAAACCGGGAAUACGAGGACUAUUACCUACCGGACUAUUCGGGUUGGCUUAAGGAUCGGGUUGCAAGUGAUAGCUAUUGGCGGAAAAUCAGUUCCUGUAUCCGUGAUUCGAAUGCUUGUGCGAAAACGGGUCGGGUUGUUGGUGGGUUUCCGGAGUCUGCUGAUAUGUAUUACCAGCGAAAGCUCAAUCCAAUUGAGGUAACACUCAUUUUUUUUUAGACUUAGUAAAUUAUUUUUUAUAAAUAUUUAAGAAAAUAAAAAUGAUAGAUAUUUAUCAGAUGGAUAUACAGUACUAUAUUACUAUUUAAAGUAAUACUAUUAGCCAUGGUCCAGUUAUACAUUAUCUGUCAUUAUUGUUUGACAUACGCAAAAUUUAUUUUAAUGUUUAUUUUUUAAAAGUUACGUGAUGUUUUGGCUUUUCUAAACGAAGUUUUUUUUAUUUUAAUAUUGAUAAAGAGAAUGUAACAUUAAUUAAAUAUGUGUAGCAACAAUAUUUUUAAUUUUAUCAUAUACGGGAAACAAGUAUGAAAGACAAAGGUGAGUAUGCACAAUUUAAUUAAAUAAAUUGGUAAAUUUAUUGAAUUAAUGUUAGGUGUGAAACAAUCGUGUCGUUGUCGUGUACAUUAAUGAUUGGUGCCAGUUUUUUUAAUUUUCCAUACUUGUCAUGUAAUUUCGUGGAAUAGGACACCUAUAACACGUAGCAAACUUAUGUAUACAAUAAUUGAAAAAAAAAAUAAGUAAUAGAAUACGGAAAUAAUUCUAAUUACUGACUAUAAUAAAUAUAACUGUUUAAUUUAAAAGCAUUGAACACUUUUUAAAUGUAACAUACAUUCAUGUAAUAGUUCUGUAUUCGUCUGUACUUUUGUUUUCUUACUAAAAACCACCUUCACUUUAUAUUUGUUUUUUUUCUUUUUAUGAAAUAAAUCCAUUUAAAAUUCUUCUGAAAAAUUAUGUCAGAUUUACCGAAUAUUUGUAGGGUCAUAGAGGUUUAGAAAUGCAAUACACGUGUUGAAGAGAGGCAGUAGAGUGAACAAAUGGCCUAACAAAGUCGUUUCAAGUGUCACUAUAUCAACAAAGCCCGGCUGCCCAAUGGAUAACCCAUAGAAAUCGGUCCAUUCGGUUCGGGUCACAAAGACAUCGAAACAAAAUCACAACGCUUUAGAACCAAAUAAACUUUUUUCAUUUUGUUACAAACCAAUGAAUGUCACGAAACGUCCUCUAACUUCUGACAUUAGUACGGAUGGGACCCCAAAAGUUUGGUAACGUUUAUGAAAUCAGAAAUCCCAUCCGCUAUUAAAUCGAAAAUAGUUUAAGGACUGUUAUUGUAAUUCAUGCAAACUUAUCUCAUCCACGCAUACGAGUUGAGUCGGUUGACUUCCCAUCCACCUCUUAUCAUUUUCCAUGCACAUUUCACGCACAAUCCAAAAUGUAUCCAUAUAUCUAUUCAACUUUUUUAAUUUUAAAAGUCGUAAUAUAAUCAUUACAUAAUACGUUCAAUUAUCUUCAAAAAAAUUCUAUUUUUUUUUUUAUUAAAACCAUUAAAUUUAUUUUGUGGAUUUAUAAUUUAUUGGUUGCUUGGUCAAAAGAUCCCCAAAUCUCAACUGCCCCCUGUUACUUACCUUUGCAUUUUCGCUUCUGACCUUAAUUCUCCCCUUUCCAAGCCACGCCCUAGUGUCCCACUUGCUUUUUCUCUUUUAUUAUACUUUUACUUCGCCAUAUCAUCAAAAAAUUAAUUCUAAAGUAACGAAUUUUUGGACUUUUAUAAUAAUAAGGAUGAUGUUUGAAAAUUUUCCUUUGAUCUAGUUGGUAAAUGGGCCCCUCGUGUAUCAAUAAUUAAUAAGAAAAAAUAAAUUGCAUUCUAUUUUCUUUUAUACCCACGUUCUAACCAUUUAAAAUAGAAAUUAAUUCAUAUAGGAAAAUUAUUCUUCAUACACAACAAUCUGUACUUUAAAAUGUUAUUUUAUGGAACUCUAUAAAAUAUUAAUUGUUGUAUAUAUGGAAAAAACUAUUGUGUACGAAUAAUUUCUCAUUUAAAAUUGUGACAAGUGUCCUAAUAUUAUUGGGAAAAUAAAACUUGACACUUGUCAUAAUUUUAAAUUGGUAGAAAUAUGAGUAGCAAGGAAGAGUAGGAUACUAUUUGAUUUCUCAAUUAAUUAUUAUUAAAUUAUUAAUGAAACUUUUUGUUUAAUUAUUGCAGUCGGGAUGCUGUAAGCCACCAACAGAAUGUGGGUACGUGUACGUGAACGAGACAACAUGGAACCCCGUUAACUCAGCGUUAGCAACAAACAAUCGUGACUGCAUGAGGUGGAGUAACGAUCAAGAACAGUUAUGCUACGGGUGUAACUCGUGUAAGGCGGGGGUGUUAGCGAGUCUUAGGAAAAGUUGGAGGAAGGUUUCGAUUAUUAACAUUGUUGUUCUGAUUCUCCUAGUGAUUGCAUAUGUUGUUGCUUGUGCGGCUUUUAGGAACAAUAAGAGGAUGGAUAAUGAUGAACCCUAUGGAGAGACCCGAAUGGAGAAGUCGCGACCUAGUUGGAUACAAUUUUAGUUGCUCUCGAAUUGAAAGAGAAAUUUAAAAGGUUCUCUUUAGUUCGGUUUUGGAUUUUGGUUUUUAGGGUUUUUGAAGGUGUGUGUAUGUUUUAGCCUUUUAGGUGUGGUGAUUUUGCUUUCGUAAAUGAAGCGUACAAACUCAAACUCGAACGUACAUAUCAUAUAUAUGUUAUUUGCAUUUUAAUUUAUUUGUGAUAUUUCAUGUAUGUUUUUGAAAUCUAGGUUCACUUAAAGGUCCUCUUGUGUUGUGUCACGUAAAAUUAUUGAACAUGUAAUAGUUCUAUUUGUAUGUGUUUAGUUAUAAUAUUAAGAUAAGGGUAAAUAAAGGUGUAUUCCGUCUUAGGGCUGAAAAUGAAUCGAGGCGAGCUCAAUUAAAUUGCCUUAGGUUAAACUUAAACUCAAUUUAACUGUUUGCCUAUUCUUUAUUAUCUCGACUUAACCGCUUGAGCAGUUAAAACCUUUUCAUUAGAAACCAUGACCAGUUAAACAAGUUUGGUUCUAGCAAACUCAAAUAACAAGAAAAAAAAAAAAGGUGUUAUUGUUUUUAACAGUUUUGUAAUAAAACCGUACAUCAAAUAAAAUUUAUAACAGAUUUGACAUGUUCAUCCCUCAUUUAGAAUUUUUGAAUUUGUUAUUCAAUAUAACCAUUUUUUUUUAUUUGGUCAUCAUCCAAAACCUUUUAACAAGUUUCAAAAUCUGAUCCAAACCUGCUUCAUUAUGCAAAUGUUUUUGAAUAAUUGAACACAUAUCUUUAUCAUCCAAAUCAACGGAUAUCCACCACCCAUUUAAAACAUUAAGAAAUUGAUUGUAGUGAUAAACAUGUAAAAUCAACUGUAGAAAGAAUAAAAAUCCAAAAAUCUAUAUUUAUUUAUAACUAGUAUCUUAUUAUGAAAAACUCCAAAAAUAAAUUGCUAUGUUUUAGUUAAAAACUCAAAACGCACUUGGGUUCUUAGAAAAUCGACAAAAUCCAAUGUGGGUAAUAGUUGUUUUUACAAAAAAAUUGAUUGUAGACUUGAGGACUUGAGAUGCGAUUCAUCGUAGUGUGACGUGAGUUGAGUUGCGAUUUGUGAAUGCAAAUGUAAGAUUGUCAAUUGCGAUCGCAAAGUUGAGGGGCGAUUAAUGAUUUUUCGAACUUCAAAUUGCCGAUUGAUGAUUUAUAAAUGACAAAGUGGUUAUUGAAUUCUAGAAAAUCGGAACGAGAAAAUAAAGAAAAUUACAAAAAUAACCUAAUUCCUUAAUUAUUUUGUGGAAAAUAGCAAAAAAAACCCAAAUUACAAAAAUAGUCAUCAAAAUCGCAAAUGGACUCAAUGGAUUUGUGAUUUUACUUGUACGUUCUUGCUUUAGCGACUUAUACGUUCAUAGGUGGACUCGGUCCAUUUGUGAUUUCCCUUUUUUCAAGGGUAUAAAAACGUUUUUUUUUUUUUUCAUUUUUCAAACUUUUUGUUGGAAAACUAUCUUUUUAGAGGCAUUAUAGACGAUUUCAAUUUUCAAACAUUUUUAAAACUUUUUUUUUUAGAGAAUUCAUUUUAUUAUAGAGGUUUAAACAAAUUUUCCAAAGAAAUAACAACUAAAGUGAUAAUUUUUUGUAGAACUUUAUAUAUAAUAAAGUUGUUUCGUAGUCAAGCCAUAUCAAUUUCGUAGUAAAAGAUAUUAAAAAAACGCAAAAUCGCAGGUGGGAUGAGAGGAAUUGCAGAUGAACUUAGUUCAUAUACGAAUUUAGUCAAAGAUUGUGGUAUUUAUACGGAAAAAAAAAAACAUUUGUGAACGUACAAGUCGCUAAAGAACGGUUGUGUUUUAGCGACUUGUAUGUUCACAGAUCAAAUGCUAAAAUUGCAGAUGGGCUUAAUCCGUCUGCGAUUUUCAUGACUAUAUUUGUAAUUUGAGUUUUUUUGGCUAUUUUCCACAAAAUAAUUACGAUAUUAGGUUAUUUUUGUAAUUUUCUCUUAAAAAUAAACGAUUGGGAAAAUUAAAGACUAUAAUUAUAAUAUUUAGAGGACGGAUUAUAAAUAGAACAUAUUGAUAAUAAUCCAUGCCCAACAUUUUUAAUAAAAUGGUUAACAGGUAUAUAUAGUUAACGUAUAAACGAAUCAAAAUUUAGAUCUAAACUCUUAUGAUUCUUAUGGAUUUGGAUCGAAUCAUGGUCAAAACUCACUCUAUUGACAUGUCUACAUAUAUGGAUCAAUGGGUGCGUACUUAAGGAACAUUGGACUUGAUUUAUGGUAACCCAGUUAAACUUAAAUCAUUAAUCUUAUUAUCAUUACUUUUUGUAAGGUUAAAUGUAUAUAUUAUAGGGGUGAUUGCUAAAAUGAUUGAAAUAAAAGGUGUCUUAUUACCAGAAUUUUUUUAUAAAUUUCAUUUUAUAAAAUGGAUUUUGCAAAAUCUUUUUUUUCUUUUGUUGUAACCCAAUUAACUCGAAUCACUACUCAUAUUACUAAGGCCCCGUAUGGUGAUGGGAAAUAAGUGGAACAAAAUAGAACUAAAAAACUUUCCAUGGUGUUUGGCAUGUUCAAAACAAAGCUAAAUGAAAUUUUGACCCAGUCCAAUAAGACUUUAUUCAAUUGUUCAGUUGUCUUGGUUGGUGGUAAUGAAAGUAUAUUGUUAUUGAGGUUAAGUACAUUGUUUGUUUUGUGUAAUUUUCUUUUGUUUUUAUUAGCUUUUGUAUCUCUCCAACCUCUUGCAAAUAUUUCAUUUAUUUUAAUAAUAUUUUUUGUCAUAUCGGUAAAAAUUGUCAUAUUCGUCUCUCAAACGUCUUUCUUUAAAAUCAUUAGGAUGUUAUUUUUUACUUGUUUUUUUUCUUUAAACUUUGUAGAUAUGGAGAGUUGAAGACCAUGUAGUUGUCUUCUUCAAAAGUCAUGCGGGUUUGUUUCAAUUUUGCAAAAAACAUGUAUGUGUUACUGACGGUGGAAUAGCUUGGAUGCAACUACCAAAUCAUUUUUUGCGAAUACUAUAUUCGGAGAAGACGAUUGAAAAUUGUUAUUUUAUGUUUAAAAUUACGUAUUUUGGGAACCACUUGGGUUUAGAAUUUUCUUAUUUUGAAGCAAUUUUGAGUAUUUGUUAUUAGAACUUAUGUUAAUAUGAGAAUUUUAAAUAAUUUUUUUAAUAAAAAUGUUAAUUUUGAAGUUAUGUAUGUCAAAUAGAAUUAUUAUUAACAUUUUUGCAAAAGAAUAAUAUGGUCAUUUUUACAUCAUGUACUGUCCAGUUCUAUUGUUAUCAAACAGUUUCAGACAACUUGUUUUGUUCUGUUCCAGUCUUAUCAAACGCUAUAUAAAUUAUUUGUCAUGUCCAAUCCAAUUCUAUUCAGUCCAGUCCAAUCUAGUUCUGUCCCACCUACUUCAUCUAUGAAAUGGUACCUAAACAAGAUCAUCUUUUAUCAAAAUGACAAUCAUACUAUUUGCAAAAUAGGAAUUUUCUUUUGUGAACUUUUAUUACUUAAAGUAAUUUCGUAAAGUCAAAUUAGUAAUAUGUCGUUCUUCAAGAAAUAUAUGUUAAAUUAUAAUGUUUACAUAUAAUUAUAAUCACAAAGUUUAAAACUUUCAUUCUAUUAUGUCUUAGAAAAUAUUCCAUAUAUCCAUAAUUCAAGAUUUUUAAGUUUUAAUCUUAAUUUUCUGUAAGAUUUUACAUUCAUUAUUUUUUGUUUUGUAACUAAUCAUUUUUUAACCGUGCGUCCAAACACCUCCAAAACUAAAACGAACCCUAAAAUGACACACUUUGCAAUUUGGCAGUUGCUAUAGCUCCGAGGUACUCAUCUCUUCGAUUUCCGAGAGAGAAAAAACAGAGAAAGAUGAGCGGUGCAGGGAAGAAGGUGGUGGAUGUGGCAUUCAAGGCAUCAAAAUCUAUCGAUUGGGAUGGCAUGGCGAAGAUGAUCGUCACCGAUGAGGCUCGUAAGGAGUUCUCGUCACUCCGCCGUGCCUUUGAGGAAGUCAACUCAACUCUUCAGACCAAGUUUAGCCAGGUCAUUGAAUCAAUCUCUCUAAUCUUUUUAUACACUUAUCGAUUGACGGCAUGUGUUUAUCUAUAUUGAAUCUAUUGAUAUCAAAUGUUAAACGAUAUGGAUCUGCAUUCUAUUGGAUAGCUAGGGUUUCUGUAAUCCGAAACAUUCAGAUUAGGUUUGAUGCUGAUAUUGUCCUUUUAUUUAUUUACAUUGAUCGUGACUUGUGAUCUGUACUUUUUUAAUAGUAACACUGUCGUAAUGAUUUUACAUCGAGAGGUUUCGUUUAUUUGUGUAUAUAUGAUGAGUAAUUUUGACUCUGUAGGCUAUAAAUUGAUCGUAAUUUUGGAACUCGCAAUUUCUUUGCUGAAUUGGAUUGUCAAAAGCAUUUAAAUUUCCAUACAACCUGUAGAUGCAAUUGAAAUGAGAAGAUUCAUAUGACAUGGUUUCGAGAAUUUAGGUAUACAAAAUGAGAAGAUUCAUUGUAUUUCAAUUCCAAUGAUUUUUCUUGUUGGAUAAUGCAGGAGCCAGAACCUAUUGAUUGGGAGUACUACAGGAAAGGGCUUGGAUCCCGCAUUGUUGAUUCUUACAAAGAAUAUUAUGAAAGUAAGUCUUUCUUUUACCAACAAACAAACAUGCAUACACUUUUAUACAAACGAUUUUUAUGCAAACAGUUACAUUCAUGAUCCUCUUUACAGGUGUUGAAAUCCCAAAGUUUGUUGACAAAACUACCCCAGAGUAUAAACCGAAGUUUGAUGCACUGGUAAGAAACUAUAUAGUAUUAAAAUUCAGUUCUUAAAUUCAGAUCUGAUUAUAUAUAUUUGUAAAUAUGAAAUGACAGCUGGUGGAACUUAAAGAAGCAGAGCAGAAAUCUCUCAAGGAAUCUGAAAGACUUGAGAAAGAAAUUGCUGAUGUGCAAGACCUGAAGGUAAGAAACAAUGAUGAUGUGGCAAAGUUUAUAAACUUGAAAUCCAUUUUAAAUGUUAUUAGUUUGUUGAUAAUUGAAUUUAAUUGUUUGAUUAUGGCAGAAAAAGCUUAGCACCAUGACUGCUGAUGAGUACUUUGAGAAGCACCCAGAGUUGAAGAAGAAGUUUGAUGAUGAAAUCAGAAAUGAUUACUGGGGCUAUUGAUUUUGAUUUUCUGCAAGUGAAGGAAGGAAGGAAGGAAGAUGUAUUUGUUUUUGUUAUAGAAAUAAAGCAAGAGGAAUGAAGAUGCUUGGGUUUUUAUUUGUUUGGAAGUUUGAGGGAAAAAAAAAACAUGGAGUUGUACUCCAUGAUGGUGAUGAAAUCGAUCCCAAUAUGAUGAAAUACAUAAAUCUGAAUUUGAUGGGAUAUGUUGUCAUGUUGAAUACAAUCGUUAUUUUAUUUUUUGUUUUGUCAUUGAUCUUAUUUCUUGUUUAGUGUUUGGUUAACAUGGAAAGCUCUAAACAAUGCUUUCUAAUCUACUUGGUGUCAAUGGGACAAAAAUUGCAAAUUUUUUUUGCCCAAGCAAAGAGGUGAAAUAAGGAGUCACUGUUCAUCUAUUGUUUGUUCGAAAGUAGUCGGUACCCAUCUCAUUCUUCACCAACGAAAAUAAAGCAAUAAAAAAUGAAUGUGAAAAGGUGCAAGAAAUGUAAAUAUUGUAAGCACAAACCAACAUCCACGCUUACAUAAUCUUAUGUAUCUUUUAAGUCUAUCUUCCUACUGUCUUUCUAGGUGUCCUCUCCUCAUUGUUUGCUUGACUAUGAAUAUCUCCAUAGUCGAUUCUGUUAAUUGUUAGGGGUGUUCGUUUGGAUAGAUCGGUUCGGUCCAAUCCAAUUAAAUAAUUCCACAAAAUAAGGAUCCGAAUAGUUCGAACUAAAUUUGAAUCUGAUUCGAUUCGAUCCAAUUACAAUUCUGUUGGAUAGGUUUUUAUAGUUUGGUUUUCAAAAACAUAAUAUUUUAAAACGACAUAUAAUUAUAAUAUUAUUCAAUUUGUAUAAAAGAAGCAAAACAUAUUAUUUAGUUGUGAUUUAAAAUUUAUAAACUACUAAAAAUGUUUAUUGUAGUUUAGUAUUUAAUAGGAAAAAAAACACUUUUGAAAGAAAAAUACAUAUUAAUGUUUUUUAUUAGAUGAAACUUUGAACUUAUUUGAAAAAAUUAAAUUAAUAAAUAAUUAUAGAUAUACUAAAAACAAAUCAACAAUAGAUUGUUAUUCGACUUUUUUGGACUAUUUGGUUCGUAUUUUAUAAACCAAAACCAAUCUGAAAUCCAAAAUAAUAAUCCGUUUUUGUUGUAAACCAAUCAUAAAAUUCGAAUAUAUAAACCAAAUAAUCCAAUUUAGAUUGUCCAAUUGGAGAACCUGAUUUUAUCCAAAUAAAUGAUCACCCCGGGGUAUGCACUAGCACCCUUGACAGUCCAGAACCCGCCAUUACUCGUGAAAACCCGGGUCGGUCGGUCCUCCAUUCAUCCGACCGAAGGUGUGGAUAAGGAGGCCACCUUCACAACCCUCUCCCUUCUAUCCUUAUGUUGUAGUAAGGUAGGGCGGUUCGCUUGAGUUGCUCAACCGCCCCUUAGCCUGGUACUCAUGACGAUUGACGCGCUACAGAACCUCCAUUGUGUCUGGGGACCAAGCAAGGCAUAACUAGCGGCAUAGGAGCUGACUCGGAAUGAACAACCCUAUUAAUUAUAACCAUGGUUGAUUCCUUUUGGAUCAAAGACCCUAGUGCUUGAAACCCUCCUUUGGGUGUAGAGCUUGCUCAUCUAUAUAUACUUAUGCUCCAUUAUUAUGCUCUCCACCGAAAUUACAUCAUAGGUAUUUUGUGUAAAUUAUGUUGCUCCGUAACCAUUUUCUUAUAUUGUUGCCUUCUGGCUCCGAGUAUCCAACCUAGCAAUUGGCUCAUUUUUAAUGUGUACCGCGAAAACAUUCAUUAGAAAAAAAAAACAUACACCAUGACACUCUUUCCUUAUAUGAUGAUGGAUACCAUCCUUUAAAAAGACAAAGAUGUAUGGCUAUGAGUCAAUCAUUGGUGUAGCCUAUGAAAGACCAUAUGUUGUUGGUUGUAAUUUGAAAACAUGUCGGAGACCUGUAGGACAUGACGUGUAUAAUUCCUUUGAACACUUACAGGGUUCUCGAAAAUGUCAUGUAGUACACGUAACCAUAUGACUUCCAAAAUGUCAUGUAGUACAUGUAACCAUGACUUUUCAAUACUUAUGGAUACUAUAUAGAGAUCAUUUUUUCCCUGUGCUUUUUCAUAUGGCGUUCGAGAAGGUGGAUAGCAUCAUUCUUCAACCUCAUUGGCAUGAAGUCAAAUUUCUUUUUAAGUAAUGUUGUUUCAUGUUUCAUUAUGGUCUCCAACACCAUCUCUUAGAGAGGUGGGUAUGGGCAAUGCCCCAAGAGGCGUUAUUGGGUGUUAUUAGGUGUUAUAACACGAGAAAACCGUCCUCUAUCCAUGUUAUCAUUCGUUAUUAGCCUGCACGUUACUCUCCGUUACCAUCAUAACACGUUAUAACACAUUUUUUUGUCUUUUCCAAAUAACGUCGUGUGGGCGUUGUCCACACCUACCAGUCCUAUAGUUUGUUGCAUUACUAAGUAGCUUAAUACUGCAAUAGUUGUCAUACCUUUCGAUAUCUCUUUUGUUCAUUAUAGUAUCUCAAAGCUAGAUAUUCAUUCUUUUGGCAUCUUGGUUGUCUUUAUUAUAAUAUAAAAGUGAUUCUUUAGCCACUACACCUCCUCCCUCGUACACAACAUAAUGAUAUCGAUUUGGUCUAGAUUUGUAGCUUUGUCUAGGGUUAGUAAAUCGGACAGUUAUCGUAGCCAAGUACUUUUAGCUUUUAGCCUACACGACAAUUUCACAUUUUCACUCUCCCUCCCUCUUAAAAAUCCCAUUUCCCCAUUCUUUUGUAUAUAUCUUCGUAUGCCAUAUACUUCACUUUAGCCACUACUUUCUUCGUUUCUUAUUUAGGCCCAUUAUACUUUCCUUCACUCUGGCUCUUUCUCGUCAUCACUACUCACUAAAAACCUUAACAAGUAAGCCAUAAAAAGAUGGUUCAUCAUCUUAAACAAACCUUUCUCUAAAAGCCUUCACUUGUCACAUCCUUGAGUUCUCCCAAGGAACCCUUGGUCUAUCUCCCUUUUGCGGUGGUAUAUUUAUGAUAUGUUAUUGUUAUUUUAAUCUAUUAAGCCAAAAAAUCAACAGCCUAAUUUACUCUAAACCAAACAUUAUUGUAAAUUUUUCUCUUAGCAUUAAUCAAUAUAUAUGGUCUCGAAGGAAGUGACACACAUGUAUUUAGAGCAAACAAAACUGGAAAUGGUGGUGUCAUUAGUAACUCCAAUAAAAAUCCUUGGCAUCAAGUAUGAUUGGUUUGAAAUACAACACUAACAUGAAACAAGAUGAUAGAAAACCAAAACUUGUGGGUGAGGUUUGCAUUUAGAUCUUGUUGAAUGCAACAAUGUCACAACUCUGCACAUACUCAUUGAUGGGCUCAGCUGUAAGUCGAUCCUCAAUCAGAUCAUCCACAGAAACAAGAUCAUCAACAAUGGUCAACAUGAUCGUCAUCUUCUUUAUCCCAUAACCAACUGGCACAAGUUUUGCUACAAAAAAACAUCAAACACAACACCAAUUAUAUUUUUAGCAGUGAAUUUUUAUAUUCAAUUUGUAUUUCAAUGAUAUUGCUAUAGUAAACCAUACAUUGUCCCCAAUGAAGGCCUUCUAGUUCAACACUUCGAACAGCCUCCUCAAGCUUCUUCAUGUCUGUCUCAUCAUCCCAUGGCUUUACAUCCAUAAGAACGGAUGAUUUCCCACCUAAAUUAUACAUGGAGUUAUACAGCUGAUAAAAGAGAAAGAAAAGAAGAUAGAAUAAAACAAAGAAAAGAUGUACAAACUCACUCUCUUUCUUCUUUGUUGAAGCUUUUGCUUGAUCCCUUGCUUCAGCUGCCUUCUUUUCCUCUUCAGUCUCAUCAGCAAAGAGAUCAAGAUCAUCAUCAUCUUCAGCUGCAGCUUCAGUUUCCUGUAACAUCCACGUGGAUCAAAAUUCAAUAAGUUUGAAACCAAAAAAAAGAUCAAAAAGAUAUAGGGAACGUGAAACACACCUUGGGAGCUUCCUUGACUGGAGCAGCUUCCUCUGAUGGAGAUUGAGCAGAGACUCUCACCCCAAGAGAUUUGCCUGGGAAACUGCAUGAUUUAGUUGUAAAAGGUAAGUAACAAUGGAGAUCACACACACCGCUAUGUAUUAGCAUAACAUUAUGCUAUGUCAAUCCCACUUUGAUUCCAUAAUUAAGGUCGUAUGUAGAUGUGGAAUUGACAGACAAAUUAUAGUAUUAGCAUAGAACUAUAUCACGAUUGAAUCGUCUACAUCAUAGUUGACUAUCUACUGAACUAUAUUACCGAAUGCCUAGAUUACUACUAAACCCGAUCGACAACAAUCGCCGAAGAAUAAGAAAGGUGCAUAUUGUUGAAGUAAACGGAGUAGAGUUCAAACAGACCUUGAUUCAAGCUGUGAAGCAACGCACUCGUACCACUUACUAGCAGCGGGGUACAGAUCGGCGCUUGGUUUAUCCAAAACAGCUGCGUAAACCUUAACGUCAUCCUUUGUGAUUUGGUCACUGAAUCAUUCGAAUGAAAACACAACAAUUAUACAAAACAAUAGACUGAAUCUGGAAAAAUAAAGGUACAAGUGAAUUGAGUAAUGAGUAACUACAAUGCAAUACCGACCCAGAGAUGUAAGUUUUUCCGGAGAGGAAGGCUUCGAGAGCCUUCAAGCCAGCUUCAGUUUGCAGAUCGGAGAAAGUAACAGCCAUCUCUGAAAACUUUGUAUGUGGAGAUCGGUGAGAUGGACGGAAUAAGCGGGAUGACGGCCGGUAGAGUUUGGGUGAGAGGGGUUAGCAGGAUGAAGAGUUGAAGUAUUUAUAUAUGGACCGGGAAUUUUGGGACAAAAACCCUAGAUCCAGUGAAGCAUAAUUCCCAGAUGCCUUUUUUUUCCUUUCUUUUCUUUGGUCAAAAUAUAGAGUCAUAAAAGAAAUUUUAAAAUAAUUAAAAAAAACUUUGAUAAAAAGAUUGAAUUUGUUGUAUUCGUUUUAUCAGUUAUAAAUGGCCUUAUGCAAUGGUUACCACAAGAAGGAUCGUGGUCGAUCAAGAUCGUAAUUAGUGCACACCACCUCUCAAACCUUUACGGUCAGGUGUGGCCAUGAUGUUUUAUGAAGUCAAAAACAACCUACAACGUUCAAUAAAAAUCAUUUACUCUUUGACUCUUCCUUUAACCCAAGGUUUUGAAAACCGGACCGGAGAUCGAACCGAUCGUCUUAUUGGUUCGAUGGUUCAAGUGGUCGGACCGGUCUCAAAAACCGGAAAAACCGGAUGAUGUUAUAACUAUAUUUAAUUAUAUAAAAAAAAAAUGAAAAAAAAUAAAUAUUUUUUAAAAUUUCCGGUUUUGUCCGGUUUUACCGGUUCAACCGGACCGGUUUUUACCGGUUCGGCCGGUUUUCACCGGUUCAAACAAAUACCGGUUUUUUGAUCUAUAUGAACCGGUUCCCGGUUGAACCGGUCGAACCGGCCGGUCCGGUCCGGUUUUCAAAACAUGGCUUUAACCAUGUAUAAUGGUGACUUUAGGCAUUUUUUUAUUUUUAUUUUUUAUUAAAUUAAUAUCUAUAUAAAUACCAUUGUAAACCUUUUUAUUUUCAUACAAUUCUUCUUUCAUUUUAUUCAUAUUCACACAUUUGUGCUACUCUUUCAAACCAUGGCUCUCAAAAUGAUGAAUUAGUCAGAAGAUGAAGACGAGAAGUUAGCACAAACUUCUGUGUCGGUUUCAGAAGAUGAAUAUACUCAAAUCUUUAGAGAUUUUUUGGGAAAAGUAGGAAGCUUCUUUUAUGGUUUAAUGGGUUCUACAAGUUAAAAUCCCGACGAAAUAUGUUUGAAGUGACGUGAUAUGAUUGUGAAAUGUUGUGUGUUCAAUAGAAUUUACAACUUUGUUAUAAACAAUGUAUACGAAAGCGAUAUUGAUCUGGUUAAUGUACCCAUAGAUCAAUUUGAAAACACAAACCUAAAACGUUUUUACAUCUCAAAGCUUGACAAAAGUUGAAGAAUUCCUCAAAAUAAAAUAACGUUGUUUAAAAAAUAGGAUUAAGGGUAGUUGUUUUUGUUUGAAUUGUUUAUGUUUUCUUCUACUUUAUUUUAAAUUGUCGUUUUUUUUUUUAAAUUAAUGUAGUAUCUUUUUAAUUUAAUGGAAACCUAGUUUAAAAAAUAUACGUGUGUUUAUUGUAUUUUUGAAUUUAAUUUAAUUUAAAAAAUGAUGAUCUAAAUUGCUUCAAAGUAGUUCUCCAUUUGACGAAGAUACAAAGACGCUUUUAUUAUUAUUUUGCAAAGUAUAAUAUUAUUCUCAUUCAGUCUUCUCCAAUAUUUGAACUUUUAUUAGUGCCUAUGAAGUCUUAUUAAGUGGGCUAAUGAGUGUUUGUAUUGUAUUGUCACUGAUUGUUUAAAAAAAAUCAUAGUUUUUUAUGGAUUUCAAUGGAUGAGUUUGAUGUUUACAUUACAUGUUUAGUUAUAAGAUAGAAAUAAAAAAUGCUUUGUCUUUUUUCUUUUAUAUGUAUUGUCUUUAUAAUAUGUGAUCAUGAUCGAUGAGCUCCUCUCCUUGUUUGUUUUUUGGCUUGAUAUUAACAGUCAGUCAAACCUUAAUGUUAAGAAACAACUUUGAUGUUGUAUGACACAACGGUGUGUUCGCUUCUGAAAUCGGACAGAAACCAAAAUAACUGAAAGCUAAAAGUGACAAAUCCUAAAACCAAAGACCGGACCGAACCAGAUUUAGUUUCGGUUUCAAAUCAGGGGCUGUUAUAUCAGUUUUUGAGCCAACUAUUAAAAAAACAAACUUGGCUCAUUUGUAUGGAACCAGAAAUAACUUAAAACCUAGUUUGGAACCGAAAAAUAACUAAAAAAUCAGAACUUUUUAGUAUAGAAUAAAAGUAAAGAGAGAUUUCAUAUCUUCUGCAAAUGAAUGAUCUAUUAUAAUAUAUAUAUAUAUAACAAAACAUAAACAAGGAUGAUACUCUUUGUUUAGGGACUUGUAAAUUAGUUGAUACACAACCAAAUAAUGUGUUUCCAGUGUCUAAAAUUACACCAAAACAUUGAACUACAUUUUGGAGAAGAAAAAAAAUAGGUAAUCAAAAUUAUGAUGAAGCAGUAAUGGUAGCUUAAAGUGGAGCAAAUUUUUUGCAUAAUGUAGAAACAAUAAUAAAUCAGCUUUGAUACCCCAUGUUUAAGACCAUGCAAGUCGAUUGAUAUUUAACCAAAUAUGUAACGACUAUUUUCAGAAUAUGUUAUAAUUGCCAAGUUUUGAUUUUAAGAUUUAAAAGUGUUGAGAUUUGGGCUUGAACACGACACGUGGAAUGGCUGGCGCAACGUGUUGGUGUGUGUCGGGUGCGGCGCGUCCAAGUGCGGGCAUGACGCAACAUCACAAUCAAUCCAAAACCCUAGGUAUCGGGCUUUGGGCCCUAUUUAAAUGCUAUAACUUCCAUGGUUUCCUCGUUUGUGUGGUCUCCAUCUCUCAAAAACCCUAAAGCGCAAACCCUAUUCUCCUUUGAUUUUGUGUGCUUUGGUGCCUUUUUAGAUUGAAUCUGUGUUUAUGGUACAAGGUAUCAAGAUCCAUAAGAGUUUCAGCAUUCUCAUCAUAUUUUUAACCUUUGUAAGUUAUAAAGUUCCAAUAUUUAUGUGUUUCGUUCAUGGAUCUAGUACGUAGAAGAGUUUUAGAGCAUUUUGGUCAAGUAUGGUCCCCUUUGCUAGGUGUUUGGAAAACUUCAAGCUUUUGAGUUAAUGAAUGGUCAUUUAUGCACUUAAUGGGAUGAAACAAUAGUAAACUUGAGCUCUCUUCGAACAAUACAAGAAGAUUUAUGUCUUUUUGACCUCAUUUUGGAUAUAAGGUUAAUGUUGGAUUGUUAGAGGCGUGUGCAUGGAUGAAGUUGGAAGCAUUAUCCAUUUAAGAACCCUUUUUGAUGGUUUUGGACGAUUAUAGCUUUUUUUAUAGAUUAAGUAUUUAAUGAAGGAGUUAGUAUGCCAUGGAAAUGCAUCAAGUCCACUCCUUGGACGCGACAUGUGGGUUGAGGUCAAUCUAUGAUUAUUUUUGGCUUAUAGUGGACCCGACACGUGGCACGUGUUGACCGUUGACUUUAGUUUUGACCGAUGACUUUUUGACCGGUUUGACUUAUGGUGAAACUUUGAUAGAUAUUACUCGUUUGACUUCUUUUUGGUAUUAGGUAAUUCAUGCUAGCUGUUUCGUUUGCAUAGAAUUAAGAUUCGAGUUGAUAGCUUCAUGUGAGUGCUCUUACUAUAUUGUGGUUGACAAUAUAUGUCCUUGUGUGGUAGGUUGUUUGCAUACUGAUAGCGUGUGAAUGUGUUAUCAUGCAAGAGCAGUGAUAAGUUAGUCUUAUGAUUAGAUCAUAUGCCUUGGCAUGAAUGAUGGCUUAGAGCCUAGAUGUCCGAUGUAACAUCUGCCUUUCCAAGUAUGAGAUUUUUGACAUUGAUUUUUACCAUGUUUGAGAUUUGGGGUUUUCGUCGAACCUGGGUCCAACAUUUAUGUAACAUCCCAAAACAAUGAUAAAAAAUUUUCAUUUUCAAAAUCAUCAACUCCAUACAUCAGAUGUCUCAAAGUCAACCACGAUGCAAAAUAACCAAAUUCAUCAGAGUAAAAAAAUCGUAAGUGCGGAAUCAUAAGGGGGAUGUUAUGUCAUCACGUUAGGCCCUUCCCUUUCGUACCGGAAGUACUUGAAACCAUAAACAUAAACUGUAAUCACAAAGCUUAGUGAGUUCCCCAAAGUACCACAUGCCAAACAUACAAUUGGGCCCAACCAUAGGGUAUAUUCUAACCCAACAUACAAUUAUGGGCCCAACAUUGGGAUAUGUUUCAAUCGAAUCAUACAUACAUGGGCCUAGCCCUGGGGUUUCUUUUAACCCAAUCAUACAUACACGGGCGCCCAACAUUGGGGUUUCUUUCAGCCCAAUAUACACAAAGAUAGCUAACAUCCUACAUAAAACAAUCUAGUGGGCCGACAUUGGUGCCUUCAACCCACAAGUACAGUGAGAAGACUUACUAUAAGUGGUUACACAUAAUAAAACCACAUAAGUAGCUAAGAUUGGUUUCCAGCUCUUAGGGCACCUACAAUCGUAUCAAUAAUCCUUGCUUAGCUCGUAACACAUAUAUUACCUAUUGAUACUUCAUAAUAAACUUCUUGUUCGAUUUUAUUAUCGUUAUAGUAGUUGACUUGUGAACCGAUUUACUCCUCUUAUCCCUAUUUCUUUGAAAGCUUAACACUUAUUUUUAAAGAACGGCUCCUAAGAUUUUUAGGGGUAUACAAUACACGUUAUAACAAAUUUUCUACAUUAUUCAAUGAUUUUUCCAUGAACCCAUUUAAUAUGUAAUCACCAACUGAUCGUCUACUAUUUCAAUAUCAGUCAUUAAGUAUAAAAUGUGCCCUUGAUAAAUUUCAAUAUCUAUAAUUUAACCAUCGAGUUAAGAUAUUAUGCAUAAACGUCAUUUCUAUUUUAACUGCACAAUAUUAUAGUUUUGGACCUUAAAAUCCAUACAAGUUUAUUUAUCCAUUUAGAUCUAAUUAGAUUAAUUAUCUUGUAAUUAAUUUAAUUAAGCCAUGAUUACAUAAUUAUCUAUAAACAAUUAUCUUAAGUAGACGACCUCUAGUUAAUCAGAUUUUGUUCUAAUUACUCAUUGAUAAGGCUUGACUCCCACUAGAUUUAUCCCAUAUUUAACCCAAUACCUCAAAGCCCAAAUUCCUUAUUAAAUCCAUAAAUAGUUAACCUACAAUUUGUAAAAUCUACAAAAUUCAUGUAACACACCGUACUUGAUACGCAUCAGUUCAUUUAAUAUUAAUUUUGUAAAAGCUACUCGACAAGUUGGUAGCCCCAACUCAUCGAGUAGAUGCCAGAUUGGAUGCGGGGAUUUAAAUGGUCUGCUCGGCGAGUCGAAGCCUUAACUAAACGAGUAGGUCUGUCAGGAUGAAACCCUAUUUUUGGGGUUUUGCACCCUAUUUAAGCCACUUAACCCCUUUUAGGACUCCCUUACCAACCUCCCUGUCUUCCAAAACCCUAAUUCGUUGUGAGCUUCAUCCUUGAGAGAUUAUUGAGGUUUUGAGUGUGUUUUUGUGAUAUCGAAGAGAGUUGGAAGAGCUUAGAUCCAUCAAGAUUGUGGAGAAGAUCAAGAUCCAUAAUUUCAUCCAUCUUUGGCAACCUUUUAAGGUAAAAAGCUCUUAGCGUGAUAACCCAUAGCUUAGAUCUCUUUUAGUGUUGAUUUAUGGGUCUUUUGAUCCCUUUGAGAAGGAUAAGUUACUCACCAUGGGGUGUAUACCAAGCAAUCAUUUUUUCUUAUGAUAUUUAGCCUCCAGAACCAUAAAAGAGGUCUUGAACCUGUUUUUGUCCAAGCAAUGGUCAUGUUCAUGGAAGUAGGUUGCUAUAACUUGAGUUUGGGUCUAUUUGGGGUGCGAAAAGCCAUCAAGUCUCCAACUUUAUAGAAAUGGACCAUGGAAACGAUCUGGAUUUGUAUUUUGGAGACUUGGAAGUGUGAAAUCAGUUGAAUAGGUUAGAUAUGCAAGGGACUCGACGAGUUCAUAUGUGAACUUGGCGAGUCCGAUUAAGGAUCCUCGAUGAUGUUCAUGAAACUCGGCAAGUUGUCACGGAACUCGACGAGUUGGAUCAUUUUAUCCCUUUUCUGACUAUGCUAGGACUCGGCGAGUCCGAGGACGACUCGACGAGUUAGUUCGUCCAGUCGCGAUGAUGGGUAGCCUGGGAACUUGACGUGUCAUAAUGUGACUCGGCGAGCGGAGUCAUGAUUUUAGGGUUUCUGAGUUCUAGAACUUGGCGAGUCAAUAGGCUGACUCGGCGAGUUAAGUCAACCUGGAAGGUUGAAUUUGACCAAAACGUUGACUUUGACCAGGAGUAGAAUGGUCAUUUUACCCUAAGCAAGAUUGCUAGAUUUCUGCCUAAGUAUUAUUAUAUAGUGGUAGCUGAGGAGUUGUGGGAGCAGCGAGCAGAGAUUCCUCACGCACGAGUUCAACAUUCAGUUUGAGAUGUAAGUUUCCUUUCGGUAGGAACGAGUCGAAGGCACCAAGGUCGGCCCGUAUAUGUGAUAUGUUAGUAGUUGAGUGUAUCGGGGAACAAAUCUCAUAGCAGUCUAGUGUGGGCGGAGCCCGAACCUCAUGGUAUCAUUUGAGUAUAGAUAUGUGAUUGUUUGGUAGAUAUACUUGUUGUCUGUGUGAUACUUGUAUACACGUUAGUAGUGGAGUGUGGGCGGGGCCUGAAUCUCCUAGACAGCGGAGUGUGGGCGGGGCGCGAAUAUCCUAGACAACGAAGUGUGGGUGGGGCCCGAAUCUCCAUGAGAAUGGGUGGGGACCGUAUCUCCUAGUUGCAUGAUAUUGGUAUGGUAUGUGGUAGUUUUGGGAACUUACUAAGCUUCGUGCUUACAAUUUCAGUUUUGGUUUCAGGUACUUCCACUAGCAAGGGAAAGAGUUUGGGAUUAUCGCAUGGCACACUCUACAGUUUUAGCCUGGGAUGUUUAGACUCUGAUAUUUGUAUCAUAUGGUUUUGUUACAGUAAUUGAUAUGAUGUUUUGAGAUACAUGAUACAUGAUUUUCUUUAUGAUUAUGGAUGAUUUAUGGCUUUGUAUUAAGUUUCAAAACAAAACUUUUGGACCGUAUUUUUGGGAUGUUUUAAUUCAUGAAAAAUUUAGACUUUUAAAACCAAUCCACAAACCAUCAUUGUUUACAAUUUAGUUUUGAAAACAUGUUUAAUAUCAAAGUUUUCCCAAUAUUAUAAAUCAAAACACGAGGAGGUGUACGAUCACGCCUUCGCCUUUCCGUGAUCAUUUGAGGUACCUAAAACAUAGUCCAAAAUUGUAAUUCAAUGCUUACUGAGCUUUCUCCCAAAGUACCAACACACAAUGCAUAUAUCAAUAACAAGCAGCAUGCAUACAGAGCCUUCAGCAUGAUUGGUUCGCCUCGCAGGCCUUCGGCCUAUCUUGGCCGCUCAGGACCUUCAACAUGACUGGACCGCUACACCGAGCCUUCAGCCUAUCUGGACCAUCCUCCUGGCCUUCGGUUUGACUGGACCGCCUCGCAUGGCCUACAAUCUAUUCGGUCCGCCCUGGGUGUCUUGGCCUUCGCCACAAAGUAGGACGACCUCAACCCAACCAAUCAUAACAUGUCGACAUACACAUAACUAAUAUUCAUAUAACUAGGCAUCAGACAAACAGGUUGAUUUACAGUUCACUAUCGUAUGUUGAUGCAACGUACAAAACAAACAUAAAUAAACAAGAAUGGACCUAUUAAUUCUAAAAGAAAACCAUGUCUAUCUAUUCAAAACCACGUUGAUUCUAUGGAUACCAUGGGCUUGGGUUCAAAAUUUGGGUUAACACACACAUAAUUUUGGGAGAAAAUGAAAGUUCAUAAAAUUGAUAACCGAUCAUCCAAAUUACAUCAAAAACAGUUAAAUAAGAAGCAUAAAUUAAAAUGGAACCCUAAAAGUCCAUGGACCAAAUACAAACCCAAAAAUCAAUGAAUAAUAACAAAAUUGUUAAUAACUCCAUUUAGAAAGCGAUUUAUGGACUCAAAAAUAGGUAAGUCCCCUUCGGGAACUUAUCUAGACGUGCUCCUUGAUCCAAGAUUCGAUUUGACUAGUCGUAGGCCCAAAACGGAGAUCCGUAGCCAAAGUUGUGGCAAUUUUCGUGAAGCCCCUUUAGUCACACAAUCGUGGGCCUUUAGGAACGCAAGGGACCCAUCCUCUACACUAGGGCCCGCAUCACAUGCUAACCUCCUAUCUACGAGGAUACCGAUCUUAUAGAUCACUACAGUACACAACACAUAUGAUAAACUAGGAUAACAAUGUUGGAUUAAUGUCUAAGUCCAUAACUAUAAUUGGUAAGACUUGACCCGACCCGACAUGGUCCAUUUGGGUUGCAUGACAUCAUGCAUUUGGAUAGAUUAAAAUGAGAGAAAUAACACUUAAGGUUUGUUAAUAUAUUAUAAGUUCUAAUAUAUUAAUAAGAUUAUUUAAUUAGUAUUGAUCAAGAAUUAAUCUAGAAUUAAUUAAGUGAUCAAAAGAAGACUAAUUAAAUAUAUGGGUUGAUUGUGUAAAUCAUCCAUACUUGUAUACUGGGCUAAGACUCCAUGGAUUAUCAAGUUAGUCUAAAACCCAUAAGUGCUCCAUGGAUGCUCCAUGGUGUAUUUGAACCCAUAAAUCCAAGGAAAUGGAAAGCCAUGACAAUUAGGGUUUACCCUAAUUGUGACACUAUAUAAAGAUCUUAUUGGUGACAAAAUCGGCCACUAUGUGUGAGAGAAAGGGCUAGCCGAUUUUCAUGAAGUGUGUAUAUUCUCUCAAGUUAUUCCAAGUGUAUUUGGUGUUGUGUGAACCAUUUGAGGUGUCACACUUGGGGCAUUAUGCACUCAAGCUUCAUGAAGACAUUCUACAUCAAAGAGGUAUGUAAUUCUAAGUUGAUAUAUUCAUAUGAAUCAAUGAUAUUAUGCUAGUUAGGAUGAAUACCUUGGAAAGUUCAUAUUUGCAUGUAUAAUAGAGAAAACAUAGAUCCAAGGUAUUUAGGGUUGCAUGUACACUUAGGAGUGUUAGAAUGCUCAAAACCCAACACACUAUCCAAAGGGUCGACCUUGGUGCCUUCUACCCGUAAGUGCAAUGAGGAAAACUCACCUCGCAGACUGAACAUAAUUGAUAAGGUCUGACUCCGAAUCUCUGCUUUGUAACUGAUACCUAUUUCCAUCAAAUGACCAAUUCCAUCAAAAUUCCAGAAUGCGCAAAAUACCCUCAACGUCAAAACUUGGUCAAAGUCAAAGUCCACUGGUCAAACCCACUAAGUUAGUUGAGUCAACCCCACCGAGUCAACUUAAUAAGGCUGACCCAUGCGAGUACAUGGGGCGUGCUCCGGAGGUACGCUUAGCGUACAUGAAGCCUCACAUUGACCACCAUCGGGGUGGUUGACCAAGUACGCAUGACGUACUCCCAUGUACGCAGGGCGUACCCUCGAAGCUUCCAAAUUCCAUUUAGUGCUUAAUGGCUUAAGCACUUAAACCCAUAUUUCAGAAUCCAUGACCAAAACAUACCCUAGAGUCAUAAAGUUUCCAAGUUUAUAACUUUACAUUCCUAAUAAGAGCUUAACACAAGGUCUUAAUCCAUUAAGACCUCUUACAAGAUUCAUGGAGUAAAACCAACCAAAGGGACUUCAUUGUUAUGGCUAAGGACCCCUCCUAGGGUCCGAAAGGACAACUCAAAACAUCCAAACAAGUCAUGCUCAAGAGGAGACUUUUGGGACCAAAAAGUUGACAUAAAACCCCCAUUUAAUUUGUACACAACACACACACACACACACACACACACACACACAUAUAUAUAUAUANUAUGGUUUGGUCAAAAUUGCAUGUUUGGUCCCUAACUUUUUUUGCACUCGAAUCGUCCCCAUGGUUUGAUGUUGUUGCGUUUUUCGUCCCUAUGGUUUGGUCAAAAUUGCACGCUUGGUCCCUAAUUUUAUGUAUGUAAGGGACGAAAAACGUAACAAAAUCAAACCACAGGGACGAUCCGAGUGCAAAGAAGAAUUUAGGGACCAAACAUGCAAUUUUUACCAAACCUUAGGGACGAUUUUAGUAAUUUACUCAUUUUGUUAUUAUUUCCUAGAAACAAUAAUUCUCAAUAUGUUGGUAAAAUAUUAUAUUCAUAAAAUAACGUUUUUCCAAUUAAAUACAAGUAUUGAUAUUAUUUAUUAAUAAUCAAAUUACUUUGAUAAAUAAUCAAUUAAUAGUAACUUUCUAUAAAAUAUGACCCUAUAUGAUCAUAUGUCAUUAGCAAAUAUCAUUUUAUAAUGACUUUUGGAAAAUGUUUACAAAACCUGUUCGAACGGAAACCGGAGACAAGAGCGGUUCCAUAAGGACCGAUUUUAUGUCAAUUUCUAGACAAGAUCGAAUCAAACGUUUCUUCAAAAACCAAGUUAAGUCGGUCUAAUAGAACCGAUAAAAAUUGUUUAAACCGUUUAUUAGACUUGUAUAGUUGGAUUUUAUUUAACCUGUUAAAAAAACAACACAUUUCCAAAGAAAACUGAACAUUUCGGAGUAUACACAAUCGAACAUUUCGGAGUAUACACAUUUCCAAAGAAAUAAUUUUUUCAUUGCCACAUGACAUCAUUAUAUUAGUUAAUACUCUAGAGAAGUGUCAUUUGACACAAAGUCAUUUUUGUUUAUUAGGCGGUAUAAAUUUCAAUUAUGAAAUUCAACAAAAAAAAAUGUUGUUUUCAAAAUUCAAAUAGAAAUUUUUUUUGCUAAUUUACAUGGGAUACACUCUUACAUGUUAAUAACAUAAUUUAGUUACAAUAUAUUUUAAAGUAAAAAAACUAUAAAUAAAGGAGUAAAAUUAUGAAUAAUAUUAAUUAUAUAUAAUGAUUUCCUUUUUAAAAAAAGUUAAACAUAAAUGAAUUUUAAACUCAAAAGCUAUAAAUAAUUGAGUAAAAUUUAGAAUAAUAUUAAUUAUAUCUACUGAUUAUUUAAAAAAAAAAAAAAACUAAACGGGAAUGAAUUUUAAAAUCAAAAACUAUAAGUAAGAAGUAAAAGUAAAAAUAAUAUUGUUUAUAUUAAUUGAUUUCGAUUUUUAAAAAAUCUAAGGGGAAAUAAUUUUAGCAUUGCCACAUGGCGUUAUUAGAUAACUUAAUAUUCUAGAAAAUUGUCAUUUGAUACAAAGUUAUUUUUCUUUAUUAGGUAGUAUACAUUUCAAUUAUGAAAUUCAACAAAAAAAACUUUGUUUUCAAAAUUCAAAAUUCAAAUAGAAAAUUAUUUUGCUAAUUUACAGGGUUAUACUCUUAAAUGCUAAUAACAUAAUUUAGUUACCAUAUAUUUUAAAGUCAAAAAUUAUAAAUAAGGAAGUAAAAUUAUGAAUAAUAUUAAUUGUAUAUAAUGAUUUCGUUUUUAAAAAAAAGUUAAGCAUAAAUGAAUUUUAAAUUCAAAACCUAUAAAUAAUGGGGGUAAAAUUAUGAAUAAUAUUAAUUUAUUGAUUUUUUUAAAAGCUAACUGAGAAUGAAUUCUAAAGUCAAAAGCUAUAAAUAAUAGAGGAAAGUUAGGAAUAAUCUUAGUUAUAUUAAUUGAUUUCGUUUUCAAGAAAAUCUAAGUGAAACGAGUUUAUCUUUACCACAAGACAUCGUUAGAUAGCUUAAUACUUUAGAAAUGUAAUAUCUGACUGAAAAUUAUUUUUAAUUAUUAGGUAGUAUAGAUUUCAAUUAUGGAAUUUAACAAAAAAUUCGGUUUUCAAAAUUCAAAAUUCAAAUAGAAAAAUAUUUUGCGAAUUUACAAGGGAUAUACUUUUAAAUGUUAAUAACAUAAUUUAGUUAUCGUAAAUUUUAAAGUCAAAAACUAUAGAUAAGGGAGUAAUAUUAGUAAUAAUAUUAAUUAUAUUUAUUGAUUUUGUUUUUUUAAAAGCUAAUAAUAAAUGAAUUUUAAAAUCCAAAGCUAUAAAUAAUGGAGUAAAAUUAGUAAUAAUAUUAAUUAUAAUUAAUGAUUUUAUUCUUUUAAAAGGUAAACGGAAAUGAAAUUUUAAAGUCAAAAGCUAUAAAUAUGUGAGUAAAAUUAGGAAUAAUAUUAAUUAUAUUAAUUGAUUUUGUUUUUUUAAAAAAAAUCUAAGUGGAAAUGAAUUUUAGCAUUGACACGUGACAUCAUUAGAUAGUUUAAUACUUUAGAAAGAUAUUAUUUGACACAACGUCAUUUUUAUUUAUUAGAUAGUAUAAAUAUAAAUUUACAUACAAUUACAGAUAUAUUUGGAUUUUUCAUCUAAAAAGUAUAGUUAAAAACAAAUUCAAUAAAAUUACGAAACAAUGAUUUAUUUAUUUAUGAAUAAAAUUGGCUAAACCAAGUGGUAAAAAAACAUUUUAUUUUUGUUAUUUUGAGAAAUUUUUUUAUAAAAAUUAUAUUUAUACUCCACUAAUAAGAAAAAAAAAAUCUUUUAUUUUUUUUAGGUAAUUAUAGUUCAUCUAAAAAGUAUAGUUAAAAACAAAUUCAAUAAAAUUACGAAACAAUGAUUUAUUUAUUUAUGAAUAAAAUUGGCUAAACCAAGUGGUAAAAAAACAUUUUAUUUUUGUUAUUUUGAGAAAUUUUUUUAUAAAAAUUAUAUUUAUACUCCACUAAUAAGAAAAAAAAAAUCUUUUAUUUUUUUUAGGUAAUUAUAGUCAUUAUUGCAAGAUUUUAGAAAAUUAUUGUUUAAAUUUAGUAUUAGNNNNNNNNNNNNNNNNNNNNNNNNNNNNNNNNNNNNNNNNNNNNNNNNNNNNNNNNNNNNNNNNNNNNNNNNNNNNNNNNNNNNNNNNNNNNNNNNNNNNNNNNNNNNNNNNNNNNNNNNNNNNNNNNNNNNNNNNNNNNNNNNNNNNNNNNNNNNNNNNNNNNNNNNNNNNNNNNNNNNNNNNNNNNNNNNNNNNNNNNNNNNNNNNNNNNNNNNNNNNNNNNNNNNNNNNNNNNNNNNNNNNNNNNNNNNNNNNNNNNNNNNNNNNNNNNNNNNNNNNNNNNNNNNNNNNNNNNNNNNNNNNNNNNNNNNNNNNNNNNNNNNNNNNNNNNNNNNNNNNNNNNNNNNNNNNNNNNNNNNNNNNNNNNNNNNNNNNNNNNNNNNNNNNNNNNNNNNNNNNNNNNNNNNNNNNNNNNNNNNNNNNNNNNNNNNNNNNNNNNNNNNNNNNNNNNNNNNNNNNNNNNNNNNNNNNNNNNNNNNNNNNNNNNNNNNNNNNNNNNNNNNNNNNNNNNNNNNNNNNNNNNNNNNNNNNNNNNNNNNNNNNNNNNNNNNAUAUAUAUAUUCGUAUUUGCCACCUCAAAUUUUUUAGUUGUGUUAUGAUGUCUUUUCUGAAUUCAUGUAAUGCAUGCAUUAUUCCAAUUAAAUUAAAGGGAUUAUGAUUGAUAAGCGUAACAUAGUUUUGUUUUUGUACACAUUCAGUCACUAAUCUUUUUUGUACACAUAUGACCAUUAAACUUAUUUGGAUUGUGCACAAAAUACUUAUGACCGACUAGUGUGUUUUCCGGCCAAUAAUGUUUUGCUUUUGUUCACAUUUAGUAACUUAUGUUUUGUUUUUGUAUUUAUUUAGCUAAUUAUGUUUGUCUUUUGUACACAUUUAGUCACUUAUGUUUUUCAGUGUUCCAUUUUUUUUCAAAAACAGCAAGUUCUAUGUUGCUUGUUGGAGAAAAUUUACCUCCUCUAUUCUAAUCUAUCGAACUUUGGCUCAUUAUGGUAAGGUUUUAUGGAUUUGUUUUGGUUACCAAAGACUUUGGAAUUUAGCUUGCUUGGUGGAGGAAGCUUUUACAAAAAUAAGUGGCAUAAUUCAUCAAUUAUCAAUCAAACUAAUGAAAAAUUAGCAAUAAAUAUUGAUACCUAAAUAUUCUAAUUCAAAUGAGUUUACUUUGAGCACACAAAUGCUAACAGGUAGAGCCUCAAACUUAGGGACAAUGAAUUGACCAAUUAACUUCAAUCCAAAACCAAGAAAGCCAGACAACUUCAUGUGCCUAAAUCUUUCAUCUGUUUGAACAUAUAUGUUUAAGUUAUUAAUAAUUGCAAGUCUCCUCUAUGUUCUAGGAUCUGUCAAAAAUGAAAGCUCUGUUAACAACUCUUAAACAUCAUUUAAACAAUAAAACAAACAUUAAUUCCAAAAAUCAAUCAUAUCUUAAACUUGGUUCGAUUGGUGGACUUAUUGUUCUACCCCCAUGAGGAUAAGGAUACUUAGAUGACCCUCCAAGAACUGGUUGUACAUCAUCUAUGUCAUAAUCAGGAUCUACGAAAUCAUUAUAGAAUUCAUAAUCAAUCUGUAACAACCCAAUUUUCAUGACCAAAAAUUUCGUUUUAAAGACAUCACUUUUAGAGGAUAUAAAAGGACUAAAACAUUGUCUGAUCAAAAUAUCACACCAGAACCGUGUCUAAAAACCAAGUCAUACAUUUAAUUAAAAUAUCAGAGUAUAAAUCCCAGUGAAGCUCGUAAAUGCGGAAAUCGGAGAGUGUGUGCGUGACGUGCCGCUACCGCGCCGGCUCCUUUCCCCUAGCUGAGGAGAUACCUGAAACCAAAACUGAAAACUGUAAGCACAAAGCUUAGUGAGUUCCCCCAUAAUACCGCAUACCAUGCAACAAAUAACAACCAUUAUUCAGCUAGGAGUUACGGGCCUUGCCCACACUCGGGAAGAUACGGGCCCUGCCCACACUUCGCUAGCCGGGAGAUACGGGCCUCGCCCACACUCGUGAAGAUACGGGCCCUGCCCACACUUCGCUAUCUGGGAGAUACGGGCCUAGCCCACACUCCGACCUUGGCGAGAUACGGGCCCUGCCCACACUCAACCACUAACCCAUAACAUACAAGUAUCACGCAGACAACAAGUAUAAGCAAUUCUAUCAUAUUAACACAUAUACCGUACUUAACUACAACAGAGAUACGGGCUCGGCCCACACUCUAGCACUAGCAUAUCGUCUACACGGGUCGGCCUUGGUGCCUUAGACCCGUUCCUACUGGGAAGGAAACUCACCUCGAAAUAGCUGCUGGUCUGUGUGGGAACUGAUCACCUACUACUGCUGCUGCUGCUGCUCCGGAAACCCUCCGGCUGCAAUUCCCACAAUAUACUCAAUCAAACACUGCUCACUGACCUUUGGGUAAAAUGACCAUUUUACCCCUGACCUUGCCCUAAGUCAAAGUCAGAGUCAACUUUCAGUUGACCUCGACUCGCCGAGUUGGCUUUCCGACUCGCCGAGUCCCUACGCAAACGACUGCCCUGAAUCCCGAUCCUACCCGUCGAGUUAGGCGACGACUCGACGGGUUCGCCUUCAUGACCAAUACUCAAGUCCUUCAUCCUACUCGCCGAGUUGUAUGAACAACUCGUCGAGUUCAUCUUCAUCCGAAGAACACCCAUGCUAAGACUCGCCGAGUUGUAUGAACAACUCGUCGAGUCUGUUCUUGAUCUAAGGAGAUUGCCUUGAACUCGCCGAGUCAGGGCAUUGACUCGCCGAGUACCUCCAUAGAUGGGUUAAGCUUCCGACUCACUGAGUCACACCCUGUGACUCACUGCUCACUCGACACUACGAAAAGGGGACAAACUCGAAGACUCGCGAGCAGACUCGCCGAGUCACAUGAACGACUCGCCGAGUCGUUGCCAGGCACUCCUUAAAUAUACCGAUUUGCUCGAUUCCAGUCCAUGCCAUUUAUAGAUCUGGACUUCUAGGACACGAAUCACACGUAAAGUUUCCAACUUUACGUGUGGAUAUUCACCAAUAUGGAUUUUAGGGCUCAAAAUGUCUCAAAAGGGUAGAUCUAGGGCUAACAAGCCACAUGGGGCCAAAAAGCUAACAGAUCUGAGCUCCUGGAGCUCAAUCUUGCAUAGAUCCAAAGGCCAAACGCCUUAUUACGACAUAUAAUGCACAUACAAACUUGGGGAAAUGACCAAGAAGGACCCAAAUGAAGUUUUAAGCAUAGAAUCAAGGGGAAAACGGGUUAUACCUCAAAGGAACUGCUGGAAGGACACAAAUAAUGCUUGGAUGGCUUCCUAUCUUCUGGAUGUACUUCCUUCCUUCCUUUAAAGCCUUCAAAAUUACACAACAAAACUUCAAUCUUCAAAGAACAAGCACAAACGAGGGNNNNNNNNNNNNNNNNNNNNNNNNNNNNNNNNNNNNNNNNNNNNNNNNNNNNNNNNNNNNNNNNNNNNNNNNNNNNNNNNNNNNNNNNNNNNNNNNNNNNAAUACUCAAAUAACAUUUACGUACCAGGAACCGGGUGCUACACUGUCUAACAUAACUUACUUGUAAUCUUGGUGUGAGGAUUUAUCAGUGUUGCAGAAAUUGGCCUAAUCGGCCGAUUAAUCGCUAAUCGGACCUCCACCGAUGAGAUUUAUUGCUAAUCGGUCACUAUAAUCGGGUUUGGUCAAUACAGGUCAAAGUCGGAAUUAAUCGGACCUAAUCGGACUUAGUCGGACCUAAUUGGACCUAAUCUCCGAUUAAUCAAUUUUUUUGUAGGAUUAAAAUUAGAUUUAUAAAUUUUUGAAUAAUUUUCUUAAUAAUUAAUGGUCUCCGAUUAAUCUCUGCCUAGCCGAUUAAUCCCUAAUCACUAGUCCACUGAUUAGCGGCCGAUUAGCGAUUUCUGCAACCAUGGGAUUUAUGAAGCAAAAAUGCAGUUGAGAGCAAGAAGCACAGAAGAUGAUGAGGUCAGUAUAGGAGACUGAAAGGAACACCAACAUCUGUUUCCGGUUUGUAGUUUUCCGGUGAAGAGUUCAAGCAAUGCUCCAUUAUUGUGUUUAUGGAAGCAAGUCAACUACAAAAGAAGGUCAAAGAAAUGGGGAGAAAGAGUGAGUGCAAGACUUUGAUUUAAUUUAGGUCAAAGAGAAAGAGUUUUGAAUUUUGGUGACCAAAUGCCACGUGGUAUAUCAAAAUUGAUGAUUAGGAAGGGGUUCACCGGGUGACCCCUUCUUAUUUUUGAUAAUGACCAUUUAAAAUGGUAAAACACAAAUACAUACUCCUAAAAGGCAAAAAAAAAUAAAAUCACGAAGGACCUUUUAAACCAAUAUAUUUAACAUUGUUGGGCUACAGUGACAAUAACCUAAUAUGUUCUGUCAAAAUGUUAAAAUUUUAAAUAUGGAUUGGGUUGAUUUAAAUAUUUUUUAUUUAUUUUCUAAAAAUCAAAACAAAUAAUAAUUAAAAUGCUAUAUCAUUAUAAUAACAACACAAUUUUAUAAGACGAUAAAAGUUUUGUAUAUGUUAUUCUUAAACAUUAAACUAUUGUAUUUGCCCGGUUUAAUUUUUUAAAUGUUAAAUUUGCCAAAAAAAUUACAAUAUGAUUAUUUGUUUAUAAUUGUUUUUAUAUUUUAAAACUAUUAUAAUAAUUUAAAAUUUUGGGUAUAUUAUCUCUACGUCUAAAUCUAUGGUACAUUUACUUCCAAAAUGUUUAAAUGUCGUCAUCUUCACAAACACAGCACAUCAUAUUUAGCUUUUUUACUUGGAAUGUAUGUAUUGAUUGCUUAGUUUUUGUUGUUGUUGAUUGUUGUCAUAUUGUAGAUGGAGAAUAUUUUAGAUAUUAUCCUUGAUAUUUGGUGUUUAUGAGUAUCGUAUAUGAUUUCUUUUUUAUGUUUAAGAAAGACACAUGUAAUAAUUUGAUUAUAACAUUCCAAAAUAUACAAUAAGUUUUCAUUUUUAAAACAAAGUAAAAACCAUCUGAUAUCAAUCCAAACAAAAGAUAUUCAAAACAUGAGUUUGAAGCUCCAUAAAUUAUCAUAGUGAAAUCAUAAAAGAAAUAGUAUGGAAUCUUCGGUGGAUUGGAUGUAAUCCGACCGGACUCUUUCCUUUGCUACCGAAAGUAGUUGAAACAUUUAAACUUAAACUGUAAGCACAAAGCUUAGUGAUGUUUCCCAAAAACAGGCCUCGCCCCAUCAAUCAUGUAAACAAUCAUCGCCCAAAGGGUCUCACCCAACAAGCAUAUAAAUUGGGCUCGCCCAACAUAAUAUUCAUGUAGUGUCACAAAGACAAUAGUAAUCCAAUGACAUCUAGUGUCCUACAUAGUAUAGUGAGAAAACUCACCUCUAAGACAGAACAAAUAACCACCACAUCUCACUAGAAAUGAAAACAGCGAUAACACAAACAACCUAAACAUCAAUAAAAGGUUAAAUCCCAACAAUGACUUAAAACCCUAAAGUUUGACCAACAAGUCAACUGGUCAAAAAGUCAACGAUUGACCCACUGCGUUGUGGCCAACACUAUGACCGCGCCAUGGCAACAUGAUGACAAAAUAGACACGGUUGAAACCCAUCACCACACCACAACCCACUACUCAUCGUGUUGUGGCGAGCAUCCAAAACAACUUAAUGGAUUAAGCUCUUAACCCUUAACCUCCAGAGCUCAAAAGCUCAUAUUUGAUUCUUCUAAGGUCUUUCAUAGAAUUGUAAGGGCCUGGUCUUUCAUACAAUUGUCAGGGGCCAAAUCUUGGUCUUUCAUGCAAGUAUCAUAAAGACAACUAGCAUUCUACAUAACAAAGUAAUGGGUCGGCACUUGUGCCUUCGACCCAUGGAUAUAUUGUCAAUCACUCGAUAACCAACUAUGCUCAUGAGUCGAUGCUCAGAAAGCUCCAUGCACACUAAUCAAACCAAAACCAUUAUCCUAAUUAAUAAUUAAUAUAAUACCCAUCAAACGAGUCAACAACUCAACAAUUCCAAGAAUGGGCAAAAGACCAUUUUGCCCCACAAUAAGUCCAAGCCACUCAACAGUUGACCAAAAGUCAACAGGUCCACAAAAGUCAACGAAAGUCAACAGUUCUUGAGUACGCCCUAUGUACGCAUGAUUAGCCUAGUAUGCACAACAUACUCUGGAGUACGCCUAACGUACUGGUCAAUCCCCAUUUCUCAAUCCAAAUUACUUAAUCCAUUAAGCCCACAAUGCCCAAACCUCGGAUAUAUUGCUAAAUAAAGCCUUAAUACAUAAAGUUGGCAACUUUACUCCAUUGCAUGUCUUAAUGGGACUCAAACCACAACCCAAGCUUCAUAACUUCAUAAAAAGGUCGCUAAUUCUUGCAUGAAAGAAUAAUACUCCUCAAGAUCCAAACUUAAUUACUUAAUGACCUCAACAAGGACCAAAUAUGAGGCUCAAAGGUUCUAGAGUAACUUUCUACUCACAAGAACCACAACCAUGGGUCCAAAACAUAACAAAUUACCACCCAACUAGAUCUAUAAGAAAAAGUCAUCAAGAUUAAAGCUUUAUACCUCCAGAAGGUAGAUCAAGAUGAACAAAGUCCGAAUCUACAAGAUCCAAGCUAACCAACACUUCUUCAAUGAGCUCCUUCCUCCUCAAUGUGCACCAAGAACACUUCAAAUCACUGAAAAGGCUCAAGAAUACUCAAAGGAAGGCUAGGGUUUCGAGAUUACAGGUUGAGAGGGAUAGAUGUUGAAUAUGGGGAGGGUUCUAAGAGUUAAUGAUGCUUAAAUAGGGUUUAAAGGCUCAAUAUUUGGGUUUGCACCUGACUCGAGUACGCCCAACGUACUCCAUCGUCCAACCGCGAUCAUCUAGUCCAGUGCGCCCAUCGUACACCUAUGUACGCCCUGCAUACUGGAUUAAACUAGCAUCCUCCUAACUUCUGAAAGCCAUAACUUCUUCGAUUUCUAUGAUCCUUAUAUCCACGGAAAUGUAACGAGAAGCUCUACAAUCCUAUCAACUCUCUUUUGCCUUAAAACCUUCCAAACUUAAAUCCAAAAUUCAUGAAAAGACCCGACCCCAUCGCCUCCGAAGCACAAGGUGAACUCUUGGAUCACAUAAUCUACAUUACCCACAUCUAAAUGAGUCUAACCCGCUCCUUCACCAAAGUCCAAAGUCUUAUGAUAAUUAAUCUUCGGGUCACGACCCCAAAUUAAGAAACGAUUUGAAAUAGGGUGUUACACCCGAUGUCUAGGGUUUUGAACCUCAACCGCCACCGCACCGUGGUAAGGUACUAUCGCACCACCACUUAAUGACACAUCCCUUGUCGUGGUCCAGAUCUUUCUGCGUCGUGGUGCAAAGAAAUUCCCAACUUUAACUUAAAAGGACAAAUGACUUUCUUGGAAUACGGGUGUUACAUUGAUAUUUAAGAAUGUAUAUUAUAAACGUUAAUUUUGGUGCAAUACGCAUAUUUCUACAUGUUUGGUCACAAUUUUGAGAAAUUGAUACCAUCCAUUUAAUUCUAUUAGACGCCUCCCUUGUCUUGCAUAUGAAGGCAAAUUAGUCAUUUCCCUACUCUUUCUUGGCAUCAUAAGUUAAGCGAGAAAUUAAAUAUCCUCUACAUUUUCUUACUUUGCGUUUAACAUUUAUUGUUUGAGUUUAAACAAUCAUAACUUAAUCAUUUCCCUACACCUUCAGGUGUCCUGCAUAUGAGUGCAAAUUAGUCAUUUAUUGCAUGUUAUUUGUUUUUAAUUUGCCUAUACACAUCGUUGUUGAUCGAGUAAUCUAUGUUUGGUGUUUCUGUUUUGGUAAUUUAUGAUUGUUAUUUAAUUUCAUGUAAUAAUUGUAUUGUUCGGCUGGAUUUGGUUUUUGUUUUAAGGUGAUGCAGUUAGGUUUUUAGAACGACACUAAAAAUUUGCACUUUUAAUUAGAAAUAUAAUCAAAUUUCUAUUACCUUUUUUUCUAAAUAAUUUUACUCUACACACUACCUGUUAAACGACUAUUGCAAUGUGCCAAAGUUUUAACCACCACACAUUAUGCAUUUUCUCAUCACAAUUUAAAUUAUUUUUUACCUUUUCAAGCUUAAUGAUAAUAAUUACGUGGUAAUACUAUUUUUUGUAUUGUUCACUUUUUAAACUAUAAUCCAAAUUUAUGUUCCCAAAAUAAAACUCACAAUAUUAUCACAUCAACAUUAACUACAAAGUUUAGUCAAAACACCACUAAACAAAAGAAAAAAAAAAUUGAAGAAAACCUAGCUACCAUAGAACAUUAUUUUGUAUCUAUCUGCACUUUUUAGUGUCUCUUCAAGGUUGUUCUUGGACCCCAGCCAGCCUUGAAUAAUGUCACCCAAUAAAAGGUUAGAUUUUGAAGUAUAAUGGUAUAAUUGAAAUAUAAUGUUAUAAAGAGGUCACGAGUUGACUUUUGUGUUUUGAAAUGAGUCCACUCGUGACUCGUACGAGUUUGAUUCUACAAAAACAUAUCUUAAUUAGCAAUAGAAUGAUGAAUAUAUAAGUUGUAUACUUGACUUUGAUGUACAUGUCAACAAUAAAUUGUAUACUCUUUAAUAAAAAUAUAAAUAAUGAAUGUAAGUAUGAUUAUGAAUGAAUGUACAAUAAUCUAUUUUGAUAGAUUUGCUAAAUAAAUGUCUUAAUAUCAAAAAAAUUAAAACUAUAAUAACCAAAUUCAAACGUGUUUCAAAUUACAAUGUUUUAUCGGAAAAGACUAAUAAACAAUGUCUUAACAAAAAAGGAAAAACUUAAACUAUAAUGCUCUAAUUAUUAACAAAAGUCAAACAAUUAUGUCUUCAUAGGAAAAAAAAUACAUUGUGCGAAUAGUUUGAAAGUAAAAAACAUACGUGACUAAAUGUGUACAAAAGACAAGCGUAAGUAGCUAAACAGGUACAAAAACAAAACAUAAGUUACUAAAUAUGAACAAAAGCAAAUCAUUAUUAGCUAAAACAUACACGAGUCGGUCAUAAGUAUUUCUUGAACAAUCCAAAUAAGUUUAAUGGUCAUAUGAAUAGAAAAAAAAAUAAGAAAUAAAUAAAUAAAAUAUGUGACUAAAUGUGUACAAAAGCAAAACUAUGUGUUACCCUUAUCAAUGAUUAUCCCUUUAAUUUAAUUGGACUAAUGCAUGCAUUAAGUGAAUUGAGAAAAUGACAUCAUAACACAACUAAGAAAUUUGAGGUGGCAAACACGAUAAUAUANNNNNNNNNNNNNNNNNNNNNNNNNNNNNNNNNNNNNNNNNNNNNNNNNNNNNNNNNNNNNNNNNNNNNNNNNNNNNNNNNNNNNNNNNNNNNNNNNNNNNNNNNNNNNNNNNNNNNNNNNNNNNNNNNNNNNNNNNNNNNNNNNNNNNNNNNNNNNNNNNNNNNNNNNNNNNNNNNNNNNNNNNNNNNNNNNNNNNNNNNNNNNNNNNNNNNNNNNNNNNNNNNNNNNNNNNNNNNNNNNNNNNNNNNNNNNNNNNNNNNNNNNNNNNNNNNNNNNNNNNNNNNNNNNNNNNNNNNNNNNNNNNNNNNNNNNNNNNNNNNNNNNNNNNNNNNNNNNNNNNNNNNNNNNNNNNNNNNNNNNNNNNNNNNNNNNNNNNNNNNNNNNNNNNNNNNNNNNNNNNNNNNNNNNNNNNNNNNNNNNNNNNNNNNNNNNNNNNNNNNNNNNNNNNNNNNNNNNNNNNNNNNNNNNNNNNNNNNNNNNNNNNNNNAUAUAUAUAUAUAGAGAGAGAGAGAGAGAGAGAGAGAGAUGUUAAAACCAUAAAAGAAAAAGGUUGAGAACACGAGAACAGUUUUGAAUCAUUCAUUUUAUAAGGGUAAAUUAGUAAUUUUGUACUUAAAUUAAAUUGUAACAUACUAAAUUUAAACAAUAAUUUCCUAAAACCUUUCCAUAAUGAUUGUUAAAACAAUAAUUUCCUAAAACCUUUCAAUAUGAUUAUCAAUUUUUUCUUGCAAAAUAACAAAAAUAAAGUUUAAUGUGUUUUAUCACUUGGUCUAGACAAUUCUAUUCAUAAAUAAAUAAAUCACAAUAUUCUUUUGUAAGUUUAUUGAAUUUGUUUUUAACUAUAUUUUUUAGAUGAAAAAUACAAAUAUAUUUGUAAUCGUAUAUGAAUCUAUACUACCUAAUUAACAAAAAUGACUUUGUAUCAAAUCAUAUUUAGAAAAUGACUUUGUAUCAAAUCAUAUUUUUCUAAAGUAUUAAGCUAUCUUAUGAAGUCACGUGGCAAUGCUAAAAUUCAUUCGCGCUUAGAUUUUUUUUAAGCAAAAUCAAUUAAUAUAAUUAAUAUUUUUCUAAUUUUAGUCCUAUAUUUAUAGCUUUUGACUUUAAAAUUCAUUUCAGUUUAGCUUUUUAAAAAAAAUCAGUAAAUAUAAUUAAUAAUAUUAUUAAUUUUACUCCAUUAUUUAUAGUUUUUGACUUUAAAAUUCAUUUAUCCUUAGCUUUUUUAAAUAAAAAAUCAUUAAAUAUUAUUAAUAUUAUUCCUAAUAUUACUCCCUUAUUUAUAGCUUUUAAUUUAAAAUAUAUGAUAACUAAAUUAGUUAUUAACAUUUAAAAUUAUAUCCCCUGUAAAUUAACAAAAAAAAAAAUCUAUUAUUUUGAAUUUUGAAAACCGGAUUUUUUUGUUAAAUUCCAUAAUUAAAGUCUAUACUACCUAAUAAAUAAAAGUGAUUUUUUCUCAAAUGCCACAUUUCUAAAGUAUUAAGUUGUCUAAUGAUGUCUCUUGAAAAUCUAAAUUCAUUCACGCUUAGAUUUUUUAAAAAACGAAAUCAAUUAAUAUAAUUAAUAUUAUUCCUAACUUUACUCUCUUAAAUAUAGCUUUUGACUUUAAAAUUCGUUCUUGUUUAGCUUUAAAAAAAUCAAUAAAUAUAAUUAACAUUAUCCUAAUUUUACUCCAUUAUUUAUAGCUUUUGAGUUUAAAAUUCAUUUAUGCUUAAUUUUUUUUAAAAACGAAAUCAUUACAUAUAAUUAAUAUUAUUCUUAAUUGUACUCUCUUAUUUAUAGAUUUUGACUUUAUAAUAUAUGGUAACUAAGUUUUGUUAUUAACAUUUAAGAGUAUAUCCCUAUAAAUUAGCAAAAUAUUUUUCUAUUUGAAUAUUGAAUUUUAAAAACUGAGGUUUUUUUUGUUGAAUUCCAUAAAUAAAAUUUAUACCACCUAAUAAAAAAAAUGAUUUUAUGUUAAAUGACAUGUUUCUAGAAUAUUAUGUUAUCUAAUGAUGUUAUAUGGCAAUACUAAGAUUAUCUCCGCUUAGAUUUUUUUAAAAACGAAAUCAAUUAAUAUAAUUAAUAUUAUUCAUAAUUUUACUUCUUACUUAUAGUUUUUGACUUUAAAAUUAAUCCCCGUUUAGAUUUUUUUUAAAAUAAUCAUUAAAUAUAAUUAAUAUUGUUCCAAAUUUUACUCCAUUAUUUAUAGCUUUUGAGGUUAAAAUUUAUUUAUGUUUAACUUUUUUUAAAAAGGAAAUCACUAUAUAUAAUUAAUAUUAUUCAUAAUUUUACUCCCUUAUUUAUAGCUUUUGACUUUAAAAUAUAUGUGAAGUAAAUUAUGUUAUUAACAUUUAAGAGUAUAUCCCCUGUAAAUUAGCAAGAUAUUUUUCUAUAUGAAUUUUGAAUUUUGAAACGAGUUUUUUUUGUUAAAUUUCAUAAUUGAAAUUUAUAUUGCCUAAUAUAUAAAAUUAACUUGUGCCAAAUGACAUUUUUCUACGGUAUUAAGUUAUCUAAUGAUGUCAUGCGGCAAUGCAAAAAUUAUUUCCACUUAAAUUUAUUAAAAACGAAAUCAAUUAAUAUAAUUAAUAUUAUUCGUAAUUUUACUUCUUACUUAUAGCUUUUGAUUUUAAAAUUCUUCCCCGUUUAGCUUUUUCUUUUUUAAAAAAACCAGUAAAUAAAUUUAAUAAAAUUCCUAAGUUUAAACCAUUAUUUAUAGCUUCUGACUUUAAAAUUCAUUUAUGCUUAGCUUUUUUAUAAACAAAAUCAUUAAAUAUAAUUAUUAUUCUUCCUAAAUUUACUCACAAAAUUAUAACUUUUGAUUUUAAAAUAUAUGGUAACUAAAUUAUGUUAUUAACAUUUAAGAGUAUAUCCCUUGUAAAUUAACAAAAAAAAAAUGUAUUUGAAUUUUGAAUUUUGAAAACCGGAUUUUUUGUUGAAAUCCAUAAUUGAAAUACCAAUAAAUGAGAAAAUCAUUUAUGAUUUGUAACAUCCAUAAAAAUCAAACCAAAUUUAAACUUUUUAAAACAUUUAGAAACCAACAGUUAUUACAAAUUUGUUUUCAAAAUAGUUCCAUAUCAGAGUAUCCCAGAAACAUAUUCAUAAAAUGUGAGGAAAUGUAUGAUCACGUCUUUGCGUUCUCGCGAUCAUUUGAGGUACCUGAAACCAAAACUGAAACUGUAAGUCCGAAGCAUAGUGAGUUUCCCACAUAUACCGAUACAUAAUAAACAAUACACAUAAUAACAACAUGUAAUGGGUCCACAACUCUCCAUACUGGAUUACCCCCCUUGGGCCCACAGUGUGAGUCUGGCUUGCCUUCCGGGCCCACAGCUCACAUCUGGCUUGCCUCCGAGCCCACAACAUAAGUCUGGUUUGCUUUCAAGCCCACGGCUUAUGACUGGCUUGCUCCCUUCAAUCCUACAACUAAAACCUAACUGACUUGCCCUCGGUACGAAUCUAGCAUACCACUUGGUCCUCGGCUCGUAUCUGGUAUGCUAAUGAGUCCUCAGUUUGAGUUUGGUAUGCCUUCCCGGCCCUCAGCUAAUAUCUGGCAUACUCCAGGGUUUAUUGGUCACUACACGUGACAGUGCAACCUCAACCCUACCACACGACAUGUCUACAUAUACACGUAAUUACACAUACGAAUAAUCAAACAAUAACACAAGUAGUCCUAUAGAUCUACUUAACUAGCACAACAAACUAGCAUGUAUAAUCAUCUCAUACUCAAUACGUAAUCAACUGUUGGAAUAUCAAAUCCAAUGGGCCGGCCUUGGUGACUUUGACCCCAUAGUAUAGUGAGGAUAACUCACCUCUCAAAUGACGAGUUGAAGUGAUAAACUCAAACUCUCGAACCAGGGCCACGAACUCCACCACCUCAAAAACGGUGCUAAGAUGAAAAAGAACUCGGAUCUAUAGCCUUCCUCUUGCUCCAAGCCUGAGUACUUCAAGAUCUUCCUUCCACAAUUCACCACAAGGCUUAAUAUCACACAAAAGAUAGAAAAACGGCGAUUUAGGGUUUCUGGACUCACAAGGGGUUGUAAGGGAGGCUAGUGACCCUUUAAAUAGGGUGCAAAACCCCUCCCAAAAGUUCCUACUCGACGAGUUAGGAUAUCCAAUUCGUCGAGUAGACCUUCCAAUAUGAAAAAUAAAGUUGUAAAAUUAGUACCUGCGAGUCGGGGUGUUACAAUUCUCCCCCACUUGAUCUAGACUUCGUCCUUGAAGUCCGCUGCGGUGAACAUCUCCGGAUAGUGCUCCCGCAUCUUGGCCUCCAACUCCCACGUCCACUCAGACCAAGGGUAUCUCCUUGUUUUGCAAAACCUUCACCUUCCUCUCCAAGAUAGCCACGAGCCUCUCCAUAUAAUUCAAGAGGUCAUCUACCUGAAUGCCAUCCAAUGAUACUAUUGCCUACUCAUCCAGAAUGCACUUUCUCUAUUGCGAAACGUGAAAAGUGUUGUGGAUCUGACUAAGCUCCUCAGGAAGAUCUAGUUUGUAAGCUACCUUUCCAACCCUGGUGAUGACGUGCCUAGGGCAGCACGACAGAAGCACGAGCCGGACACGUCGACCGGGCCGAGCCUAGCAGGCUUAGCGUCUGCUGGAACCCUCGGGAGUGGAAGGCACAGACGAAAGGCUCGCACACACCAACCGGGCCCAGCCCAACAGGCUUAGCGUCCGUUGGCGCCCGCGGUAGCGGAACGCACAGGCGAAAGGCUCGCGCCCGCCAAGAGACGCUCCCAGCUCCAAGACAAAAGAUACGGUCAGGAGACAAGCAACAAGAUCAGACCAUUACCGUCAGAGCCAAUAAGAGCGCCCUAACGGUUGAAGGCGCAUGACUCUCUAAUCAGCGCCCUUGAUCCUGUCUCCCCAAAAAGCGAUCUUGUCUGGUACGGAUCAGGCAAGGGAGCUAGGUAUAAAAGAAUACGCUCUCAGACCUACGAGGUAAGCUCUCUGGACUCUUGAAGAGCGCAAACCCAAAGAUCCUAAACACUCUCUAACUUGACCGUCAGAGCGUUCUUCCGGGAACUCCUCCCGGAAAGCGGCUAACGGCCUUCUUUCUUUGUGAUCUUGCAGAGCCAACCGAGAAUCCAAGUGAACAACAUUGAUUGAUCCAAACCAAGUUCGCAUCAUUUGGCGCCAUUCGUUUGUGAGAUCAAGAACACAAACUAAAAGCACGAAAGUGACAAGCAAAUGGCAUCUAACGACAGUGAGGGACAACAAGCUAGUCCCAUACGUCCCAUGGCAGCGUUGGACGAAACACCGCUGCCUACAACGGUCAACAGGGCCGUUACAGGCGAAGGAAGCUCAAUGGUAACCACUGAAGGUGCCCCACACCCGCCAGUUCACCAGCCAAGAACAACUNGGGGGGGCAUUUCUGACAACGUCUUUUCAGAUGCCACCGUUCUUCUUGCCGUCAUCGCAACAAACACAACCGACCCACUCAGCGAUGCUACCACCAGGCCACGUUUUCAACAUCCCACCGCCGUACUAGGCAAUAAGCGGAAAGAGUUCAAUGCUUUCAGUUCCACUAUUGGCGCAAACCAUGAUAGCUCAUACACCACCUGCCUAUUCACUAACCGGCACAUGGACCGGACCAACCAUAGCCGCCAACAAUAACUUACAACAGACGACAACGGUUAUCCGUAUGACCCCUAUACACCCUUUCCCCUCUAGUUACUCCCUCCAACUACCAUUCCAGCCGUACCCCUUUUACGGACCAAGCCCUGGCUAUCACACGCCGCCACCGUAUGGCAUAAACACACAAUAUCAGCAGUUGGGAUCGUCCACCAUCCCCGGCCACGAAUGCCUUUCCCGUAGUGUGACGUCUCCAGUUGUCAAAGAACCGUUGGACUACGAAAUACCAAACACAGCCAAACUACCGACGCUCAAAACAUAUAGCGGAACCACUGACCCAGAUAGCCACAUCAACACAUAUGAAUGAACCAUGACAUCAUUAAAGCUCGAUGAGAGGUUUUGGUGCACAUAUUUCUCGACUACACUCGACGACAACGCCGACACGUGGUUCAAGACGCUACGACCGAGCAGCAUCUCUAAUUUUGCCCAACUUAAGUACCUCUUCCUUACCAACUUCAUGCAAUUGCGCAAGUACAAGGGAGACUCUCAUUCAAUCAUAGGUUGUAAGCAAAAGGAGGGAGAAACUGUACGGGAAUACUUCACAGGAUUCAUAAAUGCCACGUUAGACGUACCAGGGCAUGAUGAGGGGCUCAUAGCCGGCGCCUUCACAUGGGGACUUUUUCCAGGCCCUUUAUCGUAGAAACUCAUGGGAAAUAAGCCCCUAACAUGGGCCGAAUUGAAGGAAAGGGUAGAGCGAUAUUUGAGACAGGAGGAUGGCGAAGCAGCAAAACAGACCUACCUGAAUGCAAUGACUACCAGACACCACAACCCGGGUCACACGGACUUCCGAGGGGGAAGUAGGCACUACGGCCAAGCGACAAGACCACAUGCUCGGUUUCGACCGUUUGCUAAGGACGACAGGCGUGGCCGCCGCCCGGAGGUGUACACGGUGUCAGAGAAGCAACAGCCAGCCAAGUCGCCAAAGAACCGGUACUGCGAAUACUACAAAAGUAAGACACACGACACAGAUAACUGUUCGGUGUUAAAAAAAAAGAAAUGGAGGAGAAGCAGCUUAAAUGGGACUUGGUGGAAAUAGCACGAAGCUUGCGUGCAAUGUUUGAUGUUGAAAACGCUAAAAACACACCUCACGAAGGGGUCCAGCCCAAGGAGAUAUUCAUGAUAUGGAGUAAGAGAAGCAUGGGAGAACAACAAAUGGAAUAGGGACCACCAGAACCCCGAUGUGCACGCUCACAUUCUCCGUUCAAGACCCUCGCCCGGAGGGAUGGAGAGGCGACGAACCAUUAGUGAUCCAAGCCUCCAUCAGGGAUGUAACCAUACACAGGGUCUAUGUAGACACGUGUGUAACGCCCCAUUCCUAAGAGUACUUAAUUGUGAGUCCCCGGGAUUUAAGAGGAAGGGUAUUUUGGUCAUCUUGUGGGAAAAGUGGAAAAAGAGGGCCAAAUAUGAAAUUUGGGGACACGCCGAGUACGCCCAGCGUAAGGGCGUAAGUGGACGCGGGUGCAAGGUUGAGUACGCCCAGCGUACUAGAGGUAUGCCUAGUGUACUCUCAGAGUUCUAAAACCCUAAAAUUAGGGUCAGCCACUAUAUAAGGAACAUGUUGGUUCAUACCCUAGCCUCCAUAAGCUCUCUCUUAACCUCAGAAACCCUAGAUAGUCGUUCCACCUCCAUUGUUGGGUGUGUUUGGCCUUGAAAAGCUUAUUUUGGCAAAGGAGAGGCUAGAAAAAGAAAGUGGAAGUUGUCAAAGAAGGAGUGGAGUGGCUGGAGCUUGUAGAUCUGGAAAGAUAUCAUCAUUUAGAGCCUAUCUGAGGUAUAAAGCUUCUUGCUUGUCAUUUAUAUUGCAUAGAUCUAAGUGUUGUGAAGUUUUGACAUCAUUCUUGUCCCAAAAGUCCUCAUCUUGAUGCAUGCUUUGAGUUGGCCGAGAUUAUCUAUCCUUUCAGACCUUUGGAGAGGUCUUGGGUGAGAAAAAUGAGGUCCUAAGGGUUGUGGUUGUUCCAUGUGUGAGAUAAGUAGGUCUUAAUGGAUUAAGACCUUGGAUUAAGAGCUUUAUGGACGUCCCAAGUGAUAAAGUUUGAGACUUUAUGAAUCUUAGGCAUAUUUGGCCUAAGGAUCUGAAGUUUGGGCUUAAGAGCUUAAGCCAUUAAGAAGUUAUGUGGACUUAAUGAGCAGCGAAGUUACGCCCCGCGUAGCGGGUCAGUGCCCCGAUCCCCAGUUGCGAAUCAGUGUGUACGCCCAGCGUACUCCCUCUGUUGGGUUUUUCAUUUUGGGCCUUAGGGAUUGGGCUGUUAUUGGGCUGCUGGAUUUUGGGUCGUGACUGGACAUUAUGGAUGGAGUAUUGUGGACCCAUUAGUUAUAUUGGACCAUGGAUCUAGGCCCAUUUGGUGAGGUGGGCCCAAUUUAGUAAAUUGGGCCAAUAGUGGGCUUUGCUUCGGACUUUUGGACUUUGGGCCAUUAGUGGGCUUGAGAGCUUAUCCAGUGUUGGGCCGGAAUGAGUUAAGGGUAAAUUGGUCAAUUUACCCUUGGAAGGGUAUUGUGCUUAGCCUAAUGAUUAUUUGUGCUAUGUUGGCUAGUUCGGGAUUUUCGGUGAGUCGGUGAUUCGAGAAUCUGCUUCUUCAGUUCAGAGUUUCGGCAGUGGCAAGGUAAGUUAUCCUCACUAUAUCAACAGGGUCUAAGGCACCAAGGCCGACCCUUUAUCGGAUUGAGAUCCGGGUAUUGGUUGUUAUGUUAUUUCUUUGAUAUGUUUGCAUCCUGGUAGCUAGGAUGGUAUAUGUUAGAGACCUGGUUAAGGUCGGAGUCCUGUUAUGUAGGAUGAUGCUAUGCUAGUGACCGGUUAGAUUGAUAUCCUGGUUAGGAUGAUGAUAUGUUAUGUGAUCUGCUAGAUCGGCUUGUUGACUGUGAAUUGUUAUAUGAUUGUAUGUUUAUGUGCACAUGGUUGUUGGACUGGGGUUGGGUUGAGGCGGGUCCUGCUUUGUGCUGUAGGCCAAGAUACCCAGGGCGGACCGGUUGUCCCGAAGGCCCAGCGAGCGGUCCGGAUAGGCUGUAGGCCCCAAGAGGGCGGACCAGACGUGCCGAGGCUCGGAGAGUGGACCAGGCCGACUGAAGGCCCGGUGCGGGCGGACCAGUCAUACUGUAGACUCAGAGAGUGGACCAGGUGGAUUGAAGGCCCGGUGCGGGCGGACCAAUCACACUGCAGACUCGAUGUAUAUGGUUAGAUUCGGAGAGUGGACCAGGUGGAUUGAAGGCCCGGUGCGGGCGGACCAAUCACACUGCAGACUCGANNNNNNNNNNNNNNNNNNNNNNNNNNNNNNNNNNNNNNNNNNNNNNNNNNNNNNNNNNNNNNNNNNNNNNNNNNNNNNNNNNNNNNNNNNNNNNNNNNNNNNNNNNNNNNNNNNNNNNNNNNNNNNNNNNNNNNNNNNNNNNNNNNNNNNNNNNNNNNNNNNNNNNNNNNNNNNNNNNNNNNNNNNNNNNNNNNNNNNNNNNNNNNNNNNNNNNNNNNNNNNNNNNNNNNNNNNNNNNNNNNNNNNNNNNNNNNNNNNNNNNNNNNNNNNNNNNUGUGAUCGGAUAUGAUAUGGCAUGUUAUGCGUGUAUGGUAUAUGUGGUUGGUAUUUUGGGGAUAUCUCACUAAGCUUUCGGGCUUACAGUUGUGGUUUAAUGUUUUUUAGGUUCUUCAGGAGACCGUGGCAAGGCAAAGGAGUGAUCGUACCGCUCCUCAUGUUUAUGUUGUGAUGUGAUUCUGGGAAUACUCUAAAUUAAUUGUAUUGAAAACCUUUUUGUAAUAAUUUAAUGAAAUCGGGUUGUUUUUGAAAAGUUUAAAUUGGUUGGAAUUUUAUGGUCGUUACAACGGGAAGUUCGGCGUACAUCAUUUAUGAGCACUGUUUCCGGCUCCUCCCAGAUCGCUGGAAGGACAACCUGCGGCCCACGACGGGGAGGCUGGUCGGGUUCACCGGCCAUAGCCUAUGGCCGAUGGGCACAAUUCACCUUCCCUUGACCAUAACCAGCCAUGAUAAGCAGCAAAAGAAAACUGCCCUGAUCGACUUUGUGGUCAUUCGACAUGCGGCGGAACACAAUAUUAUUCUAGGGAGAACAACUAUUUUAAAGCUAGGGGCGGUUCCAUCAACCAUGCAUGGAGUCAUGAAGUUCGAUACUCCAACGGGCGCAGCCACAGUACUGGCCACUCCACCGAGAGAAUUGCAAUGCUUUGCAAUUAUGAAACCAACAUAGAUAACUAAAGAGGCCAAGAAGUUGAGACGCGACCCCGCAAAGGGAAAGGAGGUGAUCAACAAGGAACACCCCGACCAGCCGGUCAGUAUUGGAUGUGAUCUCCCAAGUCACGUAAGAAGAGUGUUCGUCGACCUGCUCAAGCGGUAUAAACACGUGUUUGCNCCCACAGACAUAGGGGGGGGGGGUAGAAAGGAAAGUCAUUGAGCACAAGCUUGUAAUUAAACCAGGAGUAAUGGAGGUUAAGCAAAGGAAGAGGGUCGAGGGUGGGGACCGUAAUAGGGAAAUCAACGCCGAGGUGGCCAAACUAGCAGAAGCUGGAAUAGUAAGAGAAGCGAUAUUCCCGAUGUGGAUUGCCAACCCAGUUAUGGUUCGCAAGCAAGAUGGGUCAUCGCGAAUGUGCAUAGACUUUUCCGACUUAAACAAAGCAUGCCCUAAAGAUAGCUACCCCCUCCCAGAAAUUGAGCCAAAGGUAGAGUCGUUGCAAGGAUUCAAGCUAAAGUGUUUCUUAGAUGCAUAUACGGGGUAUCACCAGAUCUUGAUGAGCAAAGAGGACGAGGAGAAAACGGCUUUUUAUACGGACCACGACACUUUCUGUCACACUAAGAUGCCUUUUGGUCUAAAGAAUGUGGCGGCUACAUACCAGCGCCUCGUUGACUCGAUCUUUGCCAAACAAAUUGGGAGAAACAUUGAGGUAUAUGUGGAAGAUAUGGUGAUCAAGAGUCCGCACGAAGACAAGAUGUUACAAGACAUCGAAGAGACGUUCCAAACCCUAUAGAAGGUAAAGAUGAAGCUACACCCGGCUAAAUGCACGUUUGGGGUGGAAGAGGGGCAGUUCUUGGGGUACUAUGUCAUUAGGCAGGGCAUCCAGCCCAGCCCGACCAAGGUGGACGAGUUUAUUGAAACGCCAACCCCAGGCACCCUCAGGGACGCGCAUGGCCUAAACGGGAAGCUUACGGCUCUGAGCAGGUUCAUCUCAAAAUCCGCUGACAAGACCAUGCCGUUAUUUCACACGUUAAAAGGCUGCAUUGAAAAGAGCAACUUCCAGUGGACGAACGAAGCAGAAGUAGCGCUCCAGAAAAUCAAGGAGGCAUUACACCAGCUACCCACGUUGUCCAGUCCCGUCCCGUGGGAAACAUUGCAAAUGUAUCUUUCGACCUCAAACGAAGUGAUUUCCUCAGUAUUAACUGUAGAAAGAGAAUGAGAGUAGAGACCGGUGUAUUUUGUAAGCAGAGCACUACAAGGACCCCAGAACUCAACUACCCCACCCUAGAAAAACUAGUCCUGACGCUCAUCUACGCGGAACGGCAACUAAGGCGGUAUUUUCAAGCACAUCAGAUCGAAGUGCUAACGAACUGCCCUAUCAAACAAAUACUGCUUAAACCAAAGACGUCGGGCCGGCUGGCAAAAUGGGCGAUCGAGCUAGGGGAGCAUGACAUAAGUUACCACCCGAGGACAAGUAUUAAGGGACAAGCGUUGUCCGAUUUCCUGUUAGAAAUCUCAGACGAAGGGGGCCCUAUUAAGGAGAAGGUAUGGGCAGUUGAAGGAGCUCCGCUCGAUAAUAGUUCGUGGACAUUAUAUACGGACGGAGCAUCCAGCAGGGAGGGCUCGGGGGCAGGGCUAAUCUUGACUAGCCCUGAGGGGGAGAAGUGACCUAUGUCGUCUGUUUUGAUUUUCACACAUCAAACAAUGAAGCGGAGUAUGAGUCCCUCCUCGCAAGAUUGUGACUAGCCAAGCAAAUGGGUGCAAAGGCUGCAACAGCCCUGACUGACUCAAGGCUAUCAACAAACCAGGUCAAUGGAAGUUUCGAGGUGAGAGAUCAUAGAAUGGGAAGGUACGUGAAGAUGGUGAAACAACUAAUUGAAUCGUUUACACAGUUCACAAUUAGGCAGAUACCUAGGAGCGAAAACAAGAGGGCGGAUGCCUUAAGUAAAUUGGCAUCCACGUGCUUCGUUCACCUAUCGAAGAAAGUCUUGGUAGAGGUACUCCGAGAAAGAAGUAUAGACGAGCGACAGGUGAAUACCCUAACGAUCAAUGGACCAAUGUGGAUGACACCAUUCAAGGAAUUCCUACAGAGAGGGGUGCUCCCAGACGAUCACAGCGAGGCCAGGAAGACAAGUAUAAAAGCACCCUAAUAUGCACUAAUAAAUGGAGAACUAUACAUGAAAGGGUUCACAACGCCAUGGCUGAAGUGUGUAGACCAAGCCAAAGGGGGAGAGAUGCUACAAGAAGCACACAUAGGCCAAGUGGGUGCACACGAGGGGGCACGAGCCUUGACAUGCAAAGUACUUCGAAUGGGCGUAUACUGGCCCACAAUACAGCAAGAUGCGCUAGAGAUAGCCAGAAAAUGUAGGGAAUGCCAAUCGUAUGCUCCAGUCCAAACAAACCCCCCAACACCAUUGCAUAACAUAUCUAGCCCGUGGCCAUUCUACCAAUGGGGUAUAGAUAUAGUGGGCUCAUUCCCGGAAGCACCAGGGAAGCUAAAAUAUAUGGUGGUGGUCGUGGAUUACUUCACAAAAUGGAUUGAAGUGGAGCCAUUAGCAUGCAUCUCAGGAAGACACAUGAUAAAGUUUGUAUGGAAGAAUAUUAUGACAAGAUUUGGGACACCCAAAGUACUCAUCAGUGACAACGACCUACAGUUUGCUGAGAAUCCAUUCAAGGAGUGGUGCGCCGCCAAAGGGAUAAGUCAAAGAUUCACAUCAGUCGCGCACCCACAAAGAUAACGGACAGACGGAGGUGUCCAAUCGAACCAUCGUGAAUGGAAUCAAGAAAAGGCUGGGAAAAGCAAAAGGGAAUUGGCCAUAGGAGCUACCGACAGUGCUAUGGUCGUACAGGACCACGCCACGAACGAGCAUGCAAGAGACCCUGUUCAGCUUGAUAUACGGGACAGAAGCCAUGCUCCCCAUGGAGUUAACGGUGAGUACACUAAGGGUGGCCAACACGGAUGAAGAAAGCAACACACAGGACCUGAGGAUGAACCUAGACAUCCUAGAAGAAAAACGCGAAAAAUCAGAAAUGCGCCAGGCUGCAUACAAACACGCAACAGAAAGGUAUUAUAACCAAAGGUUAAAAGAGAAAGCGUUCAAGGUGGGUGAGUAUGUUCUAAGGAAAAACGAAGCGAGUCGAGCCCAACCCCAGGGAAAACUGGGCCCAACGUGGGAAGGCCCUUAAAAAGUCACGAAAGUAAAUCUAAAUGGCGCAUAUGUCUUAGAAAUGAUGGAAGGAAGGCAGGUUCCAAGAACGUGGAACGCCAGGAACUUGACAAAGUUUUUCUUUUGAAAAAGAAAAAGGUGUAGCCCCAGUCGAUCAAUACGCUGCUUAGUGCAGUACAUCCCAAGUACUUAGUGUACACAAGUUCAUGCUUAGUGACAUGAGUCUAAUACUUAGUGUAUUUAUGGUCCAUGGAUAAUGUAAUGGGAUUAUUCUAAUGCUAAUUGAUAAAAAUGCUUAGUGACAUGAGUCCAAUACUUAGUGUAUUAAUUCUUAACGAUUGAAAAUGUGCGUAGAGAUCCAUUCGUUGGGAGCUAAGAGCACCUAAGGUCGACACUUAGCGUGUCGACGAUAACACAGGCAAAGCAGAAGGCCUAGCGCAUCAGAGCGCUAUGUCCUUCUCAUAAAAGAAAAGAAAAUAUACAAGGAAAAGCAAGCAACAAACAAAUAACAUUUAGAGUCCAUGUUCACACGCACAAAACAGAAAAUAUUGUCCAAAAACCCAUACAAACUAAAGGCACCAUACGGCCAUCAAAAGAAGCAUGCAAGAUAUAAACUAAAAUAUGUAAAGAAAUUUCCACGCCCCAGAUGGGGUAGCACACGAUGUCAGGGCAUCUUCAACAAGAUCAUCUUCGCCACGUACGACUUCGUUUCCCACAACAACCACUUGACCUUCUCCACGAUCACCAUCACCACCCUCGUUCGCCUGCACAAUAUCUUGACCCAUCGCACUUUCCGGAGUACCCUCUGAACCACCAAACGAGCACAAUUCUCGGAGACCCCCAAUAUCCAAUUCACCUAAACCCAACAGGGAUGCAUGAUCCAUGUUGGAAAAAGAUAACAAAGCAUCAUUCACACUAACCACGGGACCUACAGAAUCAGCAUCAACAUCGACAUCUCCACCACCAGCACCAGCAGAAGUCUUCUGAACCGACUCAAUCCCGGCCACAAAAGCAGCAUGCCGAAUGAGACUAAUCGCGUUGGUAAAGUCCGGAUGCUCAAUCAAUUUAUCAACAAUAAGAACAACACCAACAUGUACCAGCUAGUCCAAAUCCUGAUGAGAAGCGUCCAAAUCCGAUUGCAAUGACGAAAUAAGCUUAUCACGCUCAGCAGCAUCGCGUUCAAGAUGUUCCACCUGGAUCAUUAAACCUUCAUUCACCUGAGUCAAGGAGUCGACUUUAGCUUCCAAGACGGCUCUAGUUUCGUCAAGGAUGGUCUUCUCAGAGGAUAGCAAUUCACACUUCUGCUCAGACAGACGGAGGUCCUCGCCAAGCUCGCCAAGGCGAUGCUCCAGCCUCGUCACGCGUGACCUACAGGUAGCGUGGGCAGCCUACAUCUCGCCAAGAGCGUGAACACGACGGGAACCUGCGACGAGGUAAAACAAGGCCUGCGCGGCAACAUAGGCCAUGUUAUGAGCAAGCACAGGAUUACCCAUAGCCUCCAUAUCGCCAAGGCAGCCGGUGGAAAGGCAUGGCGGGAAAAUUCCAAAGCAUUGUUCCGAACAAAAUCAAUUAAUAUAAUUAAUAUUAUUCCUAAUUUUACUUCUUACUUAUAGCUUUUGGCUUUAAAAUUAAUUCCUGUUUAGAUUUUUUUUAAAUAAUCAUUAAAUAUAAUUAAUAUUGUUCCAAAUUUUACUCAAUUAUUUAUAGCUUUUGAGUUUAAAAUUUAUUUAUGUUUAACUUUUUAAAAAAAAUGAAAUCACUAUAUAUAAUUAAUAUUAUUCAUAAUUUUACUCCCUUAUUUAUAGCUUUUGACUUUAAAAUAUAUGUGAAGUAAAUUAUGUUAUUAACAUUUAAGAGUAUAUCCCUUGUAAAUUAGCAAAAUAUUUUUCUAUAUGAAAUUUGAAUUUUGAAACCGAGUUUUUUUUUUGUUAAAUUUCAUAAUUGAAAUUUAUACUGCCUAAUAUAUAAAAUUAAUUUGUGCCAAAUGACAUUUUUCUACGGUAUUAAGUUAUCUAAUGAUGUCAUGCGGUAAUGCAAAAAAAUUUUCCAUUUAAAUUUAUUAAAAACGAAAUCAAUUAAUAUAAUUAAUAUUAUUCCUAAUUUUACUUCUUACUUAUAGCUUUUGAUUUUAAAAUUCUUCCCCGUUUAGCUUUUUCUUUUUAACAAAAAACCACUAAAUAAAAUUAAUAUAAUUCCUAAUUUUAAACCAUUAUUUAUAGCUUCUGACUUUAAAAUCCAUUUAUGCUUAGCUUUUUUAUAAACAAAAUCAUUAAAUAUUAUUAUUAUUAUUCCUAAAUUUACUCACAAAAUUAUAAUCUUUGAUUUUAAAAUAUAUGGUAACUAAAUUAUGUUAUCAACAUUUAAGAGUAUAUCCCUUGUAAAUUAACAAAAAAAAAAUUCUAUUUGAAUUUUGAAUUUUGAAAACCAGAUUUUUUGUUGAAAUCCAUAAUUGAAAUACCAAUAAACGAGAAAAUCGUUUUAGAUUUGUAACAUCCAUAAAAAUCAAACCAAAUUUAAACUUUUUAAAACAUUUAGAAACCAACAGUUAUUACAAAUUUGUUUUCAAAAUAGUUCCAUAUCAGAGUAUCCCAGAAACAUAGUCAUAAAAUUUGAGGAGAUGUACGAUCACGCAUUUGCCUUCUCACGGUCAUCUGAGGUACCUGAAAGCAAAACUGAAACUGUAAGCCCGAAGCAUAGUGAGUUCCCCACAUAUACCGAUACAUAAUAAAAAAUACACAUAAUAACAACAUGUAAUGGGUCCACAACUCUCCAUACUAGAUUACCCCCCUUGGGCCCACAGUGUGAGUCUGGCUUGCCUUCCGGGCCCACAGCUCAUAUCUGGCUUGCCUCCGAGCCCACAACAUAAGUCUGGUUUGCUUUCAAGCCCACAGCUUAUGACUGGCUUGCCCCUUUUGGUCCUACAACUAAAACCUAACUGACUUGCCCUCGGUACGAAUCUGGCAUACCACUUGGUCCUCAGCUCGUAUUUGGUAUGCUAAUGAGUCCUCAGUUUGAGUUUGGUAUGCCUUCCCGGCCCUCAACUAAUAUCUGGCAUACUCCAGGGUUUGUUGGUCACCACACGUGACAGUGCAACCUCAACCCUACCACACGAUAUGUCUACAUAUACACCUAAUUGCACAUACAAAUAAUCAAACAAUAACACAAGUAGUCCUAUAUAUCUACUUAACUGGCACAGCAAACUAGCAUGUAUAAUCAUCUCAUACUCAAUACGUAAUCAACUGCUGGAAUAUCAAAUCCAAUGGGCCGGCCUUGGUGACUUUGACCCCAUAGUAUAGUGAGGAUAACUUACCUCUCAACUGACGAGUUGAAGUGAUAAACUCAAACUCUCGAACCAGGGCCACAAACUCCACCACCUCAAAAACGGUGCUAAGAUGAAAAAGAACUCGGAUCUAUAGCCUUCCUCUUGCUCCAAGCCUGAGUACUUCAAGAUCUUCCUUCCACAAUUCACCACAAGGCUUAAUAUCACACAAAAGAUAGAAAAACGGCGAUUUAGGGUUUCUGGACUCACAAGGGGUUGUAAGGGAGGCUAGUGACCCUUUAAAUAGGGUGCAAAACCCCUCCCAAAAGUUCCUACUCGACGAGUUAGGAUAUCCAACUGAUCGAGUAGACCUUCCAAUAUGAAAAAUAAAGUUGUAAAAUUAGUACAUGAGAGUCGGGGCGUUACAAUUCUCCCCCACUUGAUCUAGACUUCGUCCUUGAAGUCCGUUGCGGUGAACAUCUCCGGAUAGUGCUCCCGCAUCUUGGCCUCCAACUCCCACGUCCACUCAGACCCUUUACGGUGCUCCCACUGUACCUUUACCAAGGGUAUCUCCUUGUUCUGCAAAAUCUUCACCUUCCUCUCCAAGAUGGCCACGAGCCUCUCCAUAUAAUUCAGACGCUCAUCUACCUGAAUGCCAUCCAAUGAUACUAUUGCCUACUCAUCCAGAAUGCACUUUCUUUAUUGCGAAACGUGAAAAGUGUUGUGGAUCUGACUGAGCUCGUCAGGAAGAUCUAGUUUGUAAGCUACCUUUCCAACCCUGGCAAUGACCCUGAAUGGCCAAUGUAACGGGGGCCCAAUUUCCCUCUCUUCCUGAAGCGGAUCACACCCUUCUAGGGCGAGACCUAUAGGAGUACCAUGUCACCGACCUGGAACUCUAGCUCUGAUCGGCGUCGGUCGGCGUAGGUCUUCUGUCUACUCUGUUCAGUUUAUAAUUGUUGUCUACUACCUCUGUCCCCCCCCCCAUCACUCUGUGACCAACCUCACCCCAACAGACCGGGGUGCGACAUAUUCGCCGAUACAACAGCUGAAACGGUGGGGCACCAAUACUGGAAUGAUAGUUGUUGUUGUAGGUGAACUCUGCAAGGGGUAGGUGGGAAUCCCAGCUCCCACCGAAAUGAAUGAUACGGGCCCUCAACAUGUCCUCGAGGGUCUGUAUAGUCUGCUCGCUCUGGCCGUCGGUCUGUGGAUGAUAUAUUUUGCUAAAAUGCAUCCGCGUGCCCAACUCCUCGUGAAACUUCUUCCAAAGCGGGAGGUGAAUCUAACAUCUCCGCCGGAAACAAUAGAGACCGGAACUCCAUGGCGAACAACGAUCUCGCUGACAUACACGUCGGCCAACUUCUAGGCCGAUGAACUCUCCCGUAUAGCCAGGAAAUGGGCAUUCUUGGUUAAUCGAUCCACGAUGACACAUAUAGCAUCAAAUCCCUUUGCCGUCCUUGGCAGCUUGGUAAUGAAGUCCAUCUUGAUCUGUUCCCAUUUCCAUAUGGGAAUCUCAAGAGGCUGCAGCUUGCCAGGCAGCUUCUGAUGCUCGGCCUUGACCAUUCUGCAGGUCAAGCACCUCUCGACGUACCAAACGAUUUCUCGCUUCAUGCACGACCACCAGUAGCUCAAACUCAAAUCCCUGUACAUCUUGGUGGCUCCUGGGUGAAUAGAGAAGUUAAACUUAUGAGCCUCCUCCAUAACCGUCUGCUCUACCCCACCGGACAUCGGAACCCAUACUCGACCGCAUCGGGUCAACAAUCCCCUGCUAUCCUGCACAAAUCGGGCGUUCUCGCCCUAGAUCCUCUCCAGUUUCCAGUUCUCGGGUCACAUGCCCUCAACCUGAGCAUCUCUAAUAAAACUCACGAGUGGAGAAUCCACCAAUAUCCUCAUACAUGUCACUGGUAUGGAAGACCCUAUUGACUUGUGGCUCAGAGUGUCUGCCACCACGUUUUCUUUACCAGGGUGGUAAAAGAUCUCACAGUCGUAGUCCUUGACUACGUCUAGCCACCUGCACUGUCUCAUGUUUAGGUUCGGCUGAUCCAUGAUGUGUCUUAGGCUCUUGUGAUCCGUGUAUAUGGUACAACGGACCCCAUAGAGUUAAUGUCACCAUAUAUUGAGAGCGAAAACCACCGCUCCCAACUCCAUAUCAUGAGUACGGUAUCUCUUCUCAUGCGACUUCAGCUGUCGCGAUGCGUAGGCUAUCACCCUCCUCUUUGCAUAAGGACCGCCCCCAAUCCUGUGAUGGAUGCAUAACAGAAUACUACAAAAUCCUCAACUACCUCCGGGAGAGUCAAGACUGGAGCCUCGCAUAGUCGCUGUCAGAGGGUCUCAAACGCCCUCUGUUGCUCGGGACCCCACCGAAAAUCCACCCCUUCCUCGUCAGAUGAGUGAGAGGUACUGCAAUCUUGGAGAAAUAUUUUAUGAAUCUCCAGUAGUACCCCACCAAUCCCAAAACGCUCCUGAUAUCUAAGGGAGAUUUCGGAACCUCCCACUUCAUAACCACCUCAAUUUUGGCCGGAUCGACCAAAAUUCCCUCUUGGCUAACAAGGUGUCCCAGGAAAUGGACCUCACAUAACCAAAAAUCGCAUUUCGAGAACUUAGCAUAAAGCCUUUCUCGCCUCAUAACUCCUAAUAACUCCCGCAAAUGCUCCUCAUGCCACUCUCGGGUCUUGGAAUACACCAAGAUAUCGUCUAUGAACACGAUGAUUGUAACUUCCGUGUUUCUAAGCUAGGCAUUAAUGAUGGUGAAAUAGUCUAGGUUAACCUUUGUAACCCGUCUUGAAAUAACAAAGAUGUAUUAUUUGAGUAUUAUGUGUUUUGUGCUUAAUUGUGUGACUUAAAUGAAUUAAAGAUAAAAAUAAGUGUCAAAAUGAAAUGUUAGAUAAACCUGAUAUCUAUGAAGGAUGUGGUAGUGGUCGUGACGAGGUUUCCGAAUGUAUAAAGAAUGCUGAAAUCCGAGUUAUAACGAAGAAGUUAUGACCUGUCGAAGUUUCGCGACAGAACCGGCACGACGCUGAAUGACGUAAAAUAUGAAUUUAAGAUAGAGCGAUAUCUAGCCUUAGUGAUCUAAACGAAAAUGGUAGCAUAAAUUAAACCAAGAGCAUACAUAAGAAGAACAUCUAAAUCUGACUUCUUAUGAGGAAGUUAUGAUUUUUCGAAGUUUCAACUUAGCGGUAUGCGGCCCAAAGUUCGAAUAUGAGAAUGAGUGAUUUCUAGCCGAAACAACGUAUACGAGAAUCAAAUAUCUCGUCGAUAGUCGUCCAACGGUGAAAAGACAGACGGAAACGGACAUCAGAUGAAGAAGAUAUGAUUUUCUAACGGAAUUUUCCUGACCCGGCCUACUAAAAUAAUAUAAUAAAAAUUAAAUUCAAAAAUAGGCUAAAGAGUCUAAACGAGAGUUGUAGAGCAUAAUCUCACCUACACGUGGAUAUAAAGAACGCCAAAAACGGAGCUCGUAUGUGAAAGAUAUUAAUUUCUGAAGUUCGGAAGACAAACUUAGAGGUCUGUCAGAACUCACGACGUGAGCAGGGUCCUCACGACGUGAGCAGGCAAGUUGUAAUGAUGCACUGGAUGAUGAUCUAGCUCACGACGUGAGUAUAAGAGGCUCACGACAUGAGCAUAGCAUUUUUGCCCUAUAAAUAGAAAUCAAAGGGGCAGCCGGGUUUGGUUGUUCCUUUCUCACUCUAUCCCUCCGUAUUACAUCGUUUUACGUGCAAUUUAUACCUCCGAAGCCCCGGUAUCAUCCCAAGACCCGAAGCGAGUCCCGAUGCUCCAAAGAUCCCGAGAAGAAAAGAGUUUCCGAGCCGAAGCUCUGCCCACGAGAAGCCCGAUGCGUGAAGAGAUCACAGUUUCAUAGAAGAACUUCUCCUCCUAGAGCCGUAGUGUUUUCCAAUCAUCUUCUGAUCAACUGAGUGUGUAGUUACUUUCUUCUAACACAUAAAUACGAAGUAUUCUCUAUNAUUGAUUGAAUGUUUUAUACAUGUUUUAUGUUGUGUGUGUGUGUGUAUAUAUAUAUAUAUAUAUAUACAAAGAUGUUGGGUAGAACAUGGGUAGAUAGUGGAUGUGUGAUGAAAUAAAAUGAUGAGAGGCCUAGAUGCUGAUGUUGUUAAUCUAGUCAUCUAGCGGAGUUUGGAUGACGACCACAGACUCUUUCUAGAUUGUCCAGUGGAGCGCUGGCAGGUUUAUAACCUGUAGGUGUUGUGAACGAUGUGUUCACCGGUGUACUCUAUCCCCCUCAUG